UGGUCGAAACCUUCGGAGGGAUGGCCGAACGACAGAGAUGUCGAGACCCUCAGGAACAUGGCCGAACGACAGAGGUGGCAGGACCUUCGAGGAUUUGGACGAACGACCGAAGGUCAAUACCUUCGUGGACUUGGACGAACGACCGAACGUCAAGACCUUCCCUUAGACCUUUUGCCCGAACUUUCCAGCCUUCUUCUUUUUCACUCAGUCCCAAGACCUGAGACUGCAUUACAACAGCAUAAAAUGUAGAACCCCAAGCUCACCUCCAGAGGCUAUUCCUGUGACAUUCAAGUGUAGCCUUUUUACCACCAUUUUGAUCCAGCUUUCUCUGCUAAGUCCUAACAUCCACCUCUCCACUCUCCAUUACAACAUGCAGCAGCAAAGUGGUGAUGUUGCACACUCCAACAACUGAGCCAUACUGUACCGUGGCAUUCGAAUACCUUUGUUCACCAUCAAUCUACCAUCACCCAAGCCUGCUCCCAUCACAAAAAUUAUUACUUAAACGUUAUUAACCAACCUUGGUCAAAACAUAUGGCUAAUAACCUAAGUGGUUAGCCGUUCGUUCGCCAAACUUGGUCAGAAAUUAAUAACUAAAUUAUUAAUCAACCAUUCGUGCGGUCAGAGCAUAUGACUUGGGUUAUAUAAAUUAAACGUUAUCUACCAAGCUUGGUCAGAACAUACAAUUGGUAACUUAAGUGUUGUCCGAGCGCAUAACUUCGAAUACUGACAUGAUAUGGUCAAAAACAAUAGAAGUGCGCGGAAAAAAGCAAGAACUAAAAGCAGUUAAAUUGUUCAAACGCCCACAACCCGGGUCCAGAUAUUUUCACAAAUUAUACUAUUUCGAUGGCUUCAUCCUGCUGCGGGCCCUCCGACACAGUUUCAUCACGAUUCUGACAUUCUUCCUCCGCCCCUUCUGCCUCCUCACCCUCUUCGCCUCCAAGAGGUACUAGGCGGCCAUCCACCACAUCCAUACCCGGGUCGUAACGGCUAUCAUUAGUCGGCACACCAUGGAAGAAAGCUACCUGACGAACGCCCUGGUUAAAACUCUCUUCACUUACACGCAGCAUAAAACUUUGGCACUGUUCGAUCUGAGCGGUCAAAGACUCCUUUUCAGCCAUCAGACUAUCUUUUUCUUUCUUUAAAAGAUUUCGUUCGGUCGUCAUUUCAACCAAGGCGGUUUUUAAUGCUUCUUGCUCUUCUUUCGCAAACCGGCUAUCCUUCUCCCUCUCCCUUUGGCAUUCUUCAACAGACUCCAAAGCUCUCUUCAAAGACGUGUCUGAGUCGUCAAGCUUACGCUUUAACUUGGGAAUCACGACCGACUCAGCCCUCUUCAACUCCUCACCAAUAGCAUGGCUUACGACCGCUGNNNNNNNNNNNNNNNNNNNNNNNNNNNNNNNNNNNNNNNNNNNNNNNNNNNNNNNNNNNNNNNNNNNNNNNNNNNNNNNNNNNNNNNNNNNNNNNNNNNNCGGUUUCAGUCCUGUAAUCAUAUGAUGCAUUGUGACUUUCGGACUGAGAUUGCGGAUACUUAGUGCUACCUUUCCAAAGCGCUCCAUAAAUGUUCUUAGGGAUUCUCCCUUUUCUUGCCUUAUAUUCACUAAGGCAAUUGAUGUCAGAUGAUGUGGUCGGCUUGUAGCAAAAUGAACUCCAAACUUUUUUACUAAAGUGUUGAAACAAUCAAUGGAUAACGGUGGCAACCGAGUAAACCAACUCAAAGCCCCUCCCUUCAAAGUUGUUGGGAAUACUCGGCACAAAAUGGCAUCAUUCCACGUAUACAAACUUAUCUACGUUGUGUAUUGUACCUGUACUGGGCGAGCCCGAACGACCGAUAGGUCGAGACUUUCGGAGAGUUGGCCGAACGACAGAGAUGUCGAGACCCUCGGAACUUGGCCGAACGACAGAGAUGUCGAGACCUUCGAGGACUUGGACGAACGACCGAAAAGUCAAGACCUUCGGGGACUUCGCCGAACGACAGAGAUGUCGAGACUUUCGAAGACGUGGACGAACGACCGAAAGGUCGAGACCUUCGGAGAGUUGGCCGACGGCCGAACCCCAUUUCAAUUAACGCUCAAACCGAGAUCAGUGAAGCUAAUCCAUCAUCAAGAAUUAGGUAAUGCAACCCUAAGCGAUACCCACCUCGAUAAACAGGCCCAACAAGGUAGGCCCACUAGAAUAGUAUAAAUAGCACUCAUUUCCAGGAGUAAGGUAUGUCAUUUUUCACUCUGAGAGCUGACAUUUAUCACUCUGAGAGCCGAUUGCCCGCUUUACUGACUUGAGCGUCGGAGUGCCUUCGCAGGUACCCCCCCAUCCGGUGUUCACCCGAGUGCCGAGUGCCGAGUGCCGAGUGGACGAGAAGAAUCCCAGUUCACCACCCAGCCAGCUGCCCGACCGAAGGAAGGAGAAGAAGACUUCAACAGUUCUCUAGGUCCCAUCUCCCUAGCAGGAACAUGUAUACUGCAAUGUGUUAAUCAGGAUCUGUACCUCCAUCAUAUUUCUCCAUGGUAAAAUUCUUCCAAUUUUCGGGCAGUGGGGUUUCUAUAAUGGCUUCAAAAAGCAUAGCCAUUGAUAUGGAAUUUUGAUUAUCUCUCUGCUCCCCAGAUUGCUCUCCACCUUGUUCUUCUCAUUUGAUUCAUCUUGUCUUCAACCUUUUUCAGCUACUUCUCGGCCCCACGGUGGGCGCCAAAAUGUUCUUACAACAAGGACCAAGAACACUAAAAUUAGGUUGACAAGAUUAACUCUUAUACAAAUCUUCUGAACUUUGGGCUGGAUUCUCUCGGUCUCUUCUCACAUUGGGUGCUCUAGACUUCUCCUCAAGGUAGAUGAUCUCGGCUUCUCUUCUCGGGUUGGGCUCUCGACUUUUCCUUCGGCUAAGUGCUCUCGGCUUCUCCUUCAGCUAGGUGCUCUCGGCUUCUCCUUCAGCUAGGUGAUCUCGGCUUCUUCUCGGGUUGGGCUCUCGGCUUCUUCUCCUCACAGGUGGGUGUGUGUACCUGCAAGGCGCUCCGAUGCCAAAGUCAGAUAUAGUUUUUUGCUUAUCAGAUCAAUUGAAUUUCCCCCUACCUUUUGAGUUGAACCUCUAUUUAUAAGGCUCUCUUAUUGGGCUUAAGAGUUACUUAGGUCUUUUCUUUUUGCACCUAACAUUUUGAAAACACACACCUGUAUAUCUGGACCCAUCUUAUGGGCUUUGCUAUAAUCACUAAUUUAAUUUUACGCACAAUCUUUCGGUCGGUCCAGACUUUCGGUUGACCUUUCGGCCGCACAACCUUACGGUCGGUCGCGACUUUCAGUUGACCUUUCGGCGUCACAACCUUUCAGUCGGUCGAGACUUUCAGUUGACCUUUCGGCCUAGACAGUACAGAAGAUUAAUUAGGCUAGAAAGAAUACCUUCACAAGUUGCAUCUUUAGAAAUACUUUAGGGUUUAGGGUUUAGAGAGAGAGAGAGAGUUGUAUAAUUAAUAAAAUCAGAAUUGUUUUUAUUACUUAUAUCCCAAUAUGUACAGGGAGUUACUUAAGAAAUACUUUAAUAUUGCGAGAAAUGAGAAUAGACUAUUAUCGCUGUACUCCCCAGUCAACGACUCAAGAAACACCUUACAACCUGACGUACGGCACAGAAGCCAUGUUCCGGUCGAAAUCGGUGAGCCUUCACUACGCCGACAGACAUUAGACCUAGACUUAAACAAGGAAAGUCUACUAGUCGGCCUCGACCUCAUCAAUGAAUUAAGGGACAAAUGCAAGAUAAGGGAAGAAGCAUGCAAGAUACGAGCAGCACGAAGGUACAACUCGAAAGUGAACCCACGAAACUAUCAGAAAGGAGAUCUAGUUUGGCGCAUGCGCAGCAACGCUCGGAAGGACGGAGGAAAGUUUUCAAGCAACUGGGAAGGACCGUUCCGCAUAUCCGAAACAGCAACAGGAGGAGCUUAUUACUUAGAAUAUUUGUCAGGAAAAUCUAUACCGUGGAAUGCCACGCAUCUCAAAUUCUAUUACAGUUGAUGAAUAAACUCAGUGCACUCUUUCCUCGCUCGGUAGUUUUAUCCGAAUUAUAACUUAAACGUUAUUCACCAACCUUGGUCAGAAAUCCAAUUAUUAAUUAACCGUUCAUUCGGUCCGAAUUAUAUAACUACAGUUAUCCGAAUUAUAACUUAAACGUUGUACUGGGCCGACCGAAAGUAAUAUAUAUUGGGCCGACCGAAAGCUUUGAAAGAUGCCGUCAUAAGGAAUAUCACCCACCGGCAUUAAUUCGCCCUUGUAAAAGUCUUUGCCGACAUCAAAGUUGCCGGCAUCUAAAGGGAUCUUGUAAAAGUAUUCGGCCUGUUGGAGAGCUUUCUGAAAACCUAAUUGGUGUUGUUGAAUGACAAAACUCUCAGCUUCACCAACUCUCCACUUCAACUUGUUCACUUCUGCUUCCAAUUGAGCAAGGCUUUCAGUAUCAAUUUUCUUCGCAGCCGUAAGUUUAGCAAUGUCCCCCUUCAAUCCUUGAUUCUCCGUGUUAAGCGCCAGAGUUUGGGCCGAGAGCUUUACGUUUUCAUCCUUCAACUUUUCUUUCUCAGUUUCUUGUCGGCUUUUAACUGAAGAAAGUUCACCAAUUUGAGCCUUCAGUAAUUUGAUUUUCUCAUUUGAUUCGGCUGCUUCCCUUUUUAAUUUCUCAAAUUCGGCAGAGGUAACGAGGCCCUUUGUUUUCUCCUUUAUCGCUUCACUGAUCAAGAAAGCACGGCCGGUCAAUUCAAACAUAGAAUCGGCUAACGAAGGAACAGAAACCACUUUGAACAUAUCACUAGCAGAGGAAUCAAGACUGCAGUCAACAAAGUCUGCAAAACGUGUGGACGAAGUGAAUAUUCUUUCAAAAAGUGAUUGAGAAGAGCUCCCGGAAUCGUGACGAUGUUUCUUAGCGGAGUGUGACCUUCUACUACUCUUGUCACGUUUCCUAUUCUUCUUAGAAGGUCCUAUCCCGGCGUCCACUGCUACUUCAGCCUCUAGGUGAGGGACAGGCUCAACUUCAUUUUCUGUUCCAGGAGUUUCAUUCUCAACACGAGGAGUUGAACUUCCAGCCUGAUUAAACAACUUAGAAAAAUAAGCGCGAUCCUUCGGUCUCACGGCCGCCAUUAAACCUGGACAUCACCAACAGAUUUAGCAAAGUUAAAAUUCUAUCAUUACUCAGAGAAAAUCCGAAAGAAUCACAUACCCUUGAAAUCCUUUUGGGGUUUGCGAGAAACAUAUAGCCGAAGCAGAGCACGAGUUGGAAUCUUAUGGGAGAAGUGACUUAGAACCGCAAUACUAUGCUUCUCUUCGGUAUUCAUCGAAUGGUAAGAACGCGAGUUAAAUCUCACAGGAGCACGGGUCCAGUACAAAGGAAAUUUUGGAAUAUCACCAUCAAAAAAGUACUUUCUCCCGGUUUCCUCAAUUAGAAUUUUAAAGAAACUUCCUUUGAAAUUUUUAUACGAAGAAGUAAAUGGAGACAGCAAACACACUUUUCUCUUACUAAUCAGGGACAACCAGCUAGGCUUCUUCCCGGGCCGAGAGCUAUAGUAAUAUAAAAAGGUUUUCGGACUCGGAAUUUGAGAGUCAUGUGAUGGGGAAGGGAUUCAUAGUUAUCUUUGGCCAACACCUACGGUCUUCACGUAAGUGUGUAAUUGUUAAUAUUUACUCAGCCUGUAGUCUAAGAGAAAAGAAGAUUCUCUGGGAGGAGAUAACUGGUAUUAAAGGGGCGUCACAGGAGUUGGUUUGGUGUCUCUGUGGUGAUUUCAAUGCUGUAAGAAGCAGACGGGAAAGGAAAGGUGCUAGCAGUCGGGGUGCAACUGCAAGUGGUCAAACGAGUGAGAUAAUUGGUUUCAAUUGUUUUAUCGAUUCUAAUAUGCUUCUGGAUCUCCCUAUAGUAGGGAAAGCUUAUCUGUAUCAGAAGCUUUAAGUGAUGGUUGCUGGAAGGUGAUCUUGAGGAGAGGAUUUUGAGGCUGCAGGAACAGAGUUAAAUGCAGAGGAGGUAACAACAAGAGCAGCCAUGAGGCCUGUCAGAAAAUACAAAGGGGGAACGGAGAGUGUCCCAACAGUUGGCAAGGAGGAGCUAACCGUCCAGGAGUGCUAGGAGAAGGGGUAUUUGAUGCUGAUUAACAGUGUGUUUUUCAUGCAGGUACCGGCAUUUGAUGUUGAACUUGGUGUCACUACUUUUGCCGUAUUGCAAGAAGGAUAACAAGGUUGAAUCAAAGGAAUCUAAGGCGCCACCCUGAACGAGCUUGUUGAGCUCAAAAGUUGCUCCUCGUGUCUUUUGUUUGAGUGCAGGAAGCAAAAACAUCUUUAUCUCUGGAUGGCCAAAUGCCCCAGUGGCCCAUCUGUAAAAUUUCUAGUUAGUGCGGUGCAUACUAUGGAGGAGUUGAAGCUAACGGGAAAUCACCUAAAAGAUUUCUACUCAUCAUAAUGAAGUAGAUAAAUUACCAAAGGGAGGCCUUGAUGUGUUUGAGGUUCGAGCUUUGGAGAAAAAGAAGAAGGCUGGAAAGUCUGCGAAGAAGGUCAAAGCAUAGACAAGGAGGAAGAUGCAUGAGAUGUCUAAUCCUCUGGAGCCUGAUGAGUUUGCAGAUAUGUGGAAAGAUUGAUUUUGAAUACAACUGCAGCUAAAGAGGGUGCGUGCUGGUCAACAGAACCAGGGAGCUGCUGGUCACCACAGAGGUGCUUGCUGUUGAAGGAGUCUCCACUGUUUUUUUCUCUUAACCUUAAUAGUACAAUAAUCCCUCUUGUCAGAGUUACAACCUCUGAAAUUCUGCUUGAGGCAUUUGUUGUAAUUGAGAGUGGAAAGAUAGAUGUUCAGGACUUAGCAGAGUAAGCUGGCAUCUCUUUUUCAAAAAAGUUGGUUAAAAGGCUAAUCUUGACUGUGUCAAGGAAUAUUUAUCAGCAGGAUUAGAUACUGGUGGUGUGCUUGGGUUUCUUUAAAUCAUCACUAGGAUUCGUGUUAUGCUGGUGGUAUGCAGUCUCAGGUCUUGGGACUGAGUUCUAUCUAGCUUUAAGUUUUUGAGUUAAGUGGUGAGCCGCUUAACUUUGUUAUAACUGUUAAAUGCUUAAUUAGGAGGUCUAUGUAUAAGGGUUGGAACACCCCUAAAGUGUUUCUUUUAUUAUAUUAAUUUGUUGCUGAUCAAAAAAAAAAAAAUUUACACAAAAUACUGAAAGCCUGCAUAUAAGCCCAACCGUUGGGAUGAAGUUGGGUAGGAGCAAUAUUAAGAAAACGCAAAACACCCAUCUGAAAUUCACUUAACGGAAACCGAACAUGAAGAUCAGUAAAAAGACACUCAUAAAAAUAAAAAAAUUCGUGUUCGUCGCUUUCACGACCAUGGCAAACAUUAUCAAUGGCACAAGUUCGCCGAAACGAAAUAAUUUCCUCAGUGGCAUCAGGAGAAUACACAUAAAUUUUAGAAAGGAAGUUACGAAGGGUUGAGCUAACUUGGUACCGAGAGAAAUAUUCCCGAACUUUCGGAUUAACCCAUUCAUACCCUCGCCGAAGGCUUAAUUUUUGUUCGGCUAUUUCUUCUCUUCUCUCGGCCUCAACAUCUACGCCAUCCUUGCUUGACGAGUUUAGACCCGAAACCGUUUCUGGUGACACCGCAGGGUCGGCAUUCUUAUUGGUUUCAAUCACUCUCCCAGUAGAUUCAUUACUCGUGCUCGAAAAUUCCGUACCCUCAGAAGAAACGGAAACAGAACUUGAUGAAGACAUUAUACCUUCCACGAAUCUGUGCUUCAGCUUUACUAUAUAAUGCAGGGAGGAACUUUGACCUAAAGCCAAUAACAGUGAAGAUUUAUAGUGGUGGAAGAGUGGUGAAAUCUGAAGAGUCAAGGCAUAGUGACCAUCAGAUUUACUUACAUCCAAUGGUUAAAACAGCAUGCUUGUCCUGUCGCGCAGUCCCAUCAGCAAAAAGCGCGCAAAACCAAGGAGUCCUUCAAAAUUUGCUUUUUCUUUCAAAUUUGCUUUUCCCCCCAAAAAUACAAAGGUAGCAUUCUCUCUUUUAAAAGACAUUUCGUCGUCUACACCUCCUUAUGCCUGGGGGGCUUAGUGUACUGGGCCGACCGAAAGUAAUAUAUAUUGGGCCGACCGAAAGCUUUGAAAGAUGCCGACCGAAAGAUUUGAAAGAUGCCGACCGAAAGCUUUGAAAGAUGCCGACCGAAAGCUAUGAAAGAAAUAGAAUAGAAUGGAAAUUAUUAUUAAGCGACCGAAUACAAUGGACCGACCGAAGGCAAAAGCCUAUGCCCAAUUAGGUCCAAAUAUGCGGGUGUAUGUAGUAAAGGCCUGAUACAAAGAGAAAACGUCCAAAUAACUUCUGGGCCCAAUAAAAGAGUAGUAUAAAUACAGGGUCAUCCUGAGAGGUGAGGUAAGUGAAAAUUGACUCUUAUUAAACUAAAUCUAACUUUGGCAUCGGAGCACCUUUCAGGUAUACACACCCGUCCGUGAGAGGAAGCCGAGACUAAGAACCGAAAGAUCAUACCGAGAAGGGAGUUCGGAAAAGCUGACCGAAGGGUCGAUCUGUGGAAGCCGAAAGAAGUGUGUUUCUAGGCCCUUGUAAGAACAAACGUUAUUCACCAACCUUGGUCAGAAAUCCAAUUAUUAAUUAACCGUUCAUUCGGUCGGAAAUAUAUAACUACAGUUAUCCGAAUUAUAACUUAAACGUUAUUCACCAACCUUGGUCAGAAAACCAAUUAUUAAUUAACCGAUUUACUCGGUCGGAAUUAUAUAACGACAGUUAUCCGAAUUAUAAUAAACGUUAUUCACCAACCUUGGUCAGAAAUCCAAUUAUUAAUUAACCGUUCAUUCGGUCGGAAUUAUAUAACUACAGUUAUCCGAAUUAUAACUUAAACGUUAUUCACCAACCUUGGUCAGAAAUCCAAUUAUUAAUUAACCGUUCAUUCGGUCGGAAUUAUAUAACUUCAGUUAUCCGAAUUAUAACUUAAACGUUAUUCACCAACCUUGGUCAGAAAUCCAAUUAUUAAUUAACCGUUCAUUCGGUCGGAAAUAUAUAACUACAGUUAUCCGAAUUAUAACUUCGGGAAGGUCUUAACCUCUCGGUCGUUCGCCCAAGUCCUAGAAGGUCUCGUCAUUCCUGUCGUUCGGCCAUGUCCCCGAGGGCCUUGUCAUCUCGGUCGUUCGGCCAUCUUUCCGUAGGUUUCGACCACUCGGUCGUUCGGCCUCGCCCAGUACCCAACUUCGUCUUCUACCAGUUUAUGGCUAUGUUACUGCUUAAGGAAAAUGUUACCCCAGGUUAUCAUAUAGACGCGAUGAUGUACCCUAGCUUUAAGUUUUUGAGUUAAGUGGGGAGCCGCUUAACUUUGUUUUAACUGCUAAAUGCUUAAUUAGGAGGUCUUUGUAUAAGGGUUGGAACACCCCUAAAGUGUUUCAUUUUAUUCUAUUUAUUCGUUGCUGAUCAAAAAAAAAAAAUCCGAAUUAUAACUUAAACGUUAUUCACCAACCUUGGUCAGAAAACCAAUUAUUAAUUAACCGAUUUACUCGGUCGGAAUUAUAUAACGACAGUUAUCCGAAUUAUAAUAAACCCGUCCUACCCAUGGUGGUAACGACGGUAAAGGAGGUCAUGGCGCAGAAGGUAAGACUGGUAAAUCUACGUAUAGCACAGGCGACGCCACAACGUUCUUCUUCUCCAACUUUCCGAACGGGUAUGGUGAACUGGACAUGCACAAGAUCUUCCAGAAAUGGGCUAGAGUGAAAGAAGUUUUCAUUGCUGGAAGGCUGAAUAAGUGGGGGAGACGUUUCGGUUUUGUUCGAUUCUUCGAAGUGGGAAAUGCGGCAAGAUUAGAGAAGGAGCUUGACCAAAUAUUCAUUGGCAAUGUGAAGCUCCAUGUCAAUAUCCCGAGGUACAGGAGACACGUACCCGAGUCUAGGGUCUACAAGUCUCCACCGAUGGUGUCUCAUCCUGAGUCAAGGAGGAGGGGAGGGGAAGGCCAGGCGGAAGUACGGAGGGAGAGGAUGAAGGAGAUAUGGGUGAAAAAGAAAGGGGAAGAGUCCUAUGCUGAUGCAGUAAGGGGAGGCCCUCGUCAGGCGUGGAAGGGACCAUCGUUCUCAGCCAAAAAGCAGAUCCUACCGUGGAUGGAGGCAAGCGUUGUUGGUCAGCUGCGUGCAGAAAUAGACCUUGAACAGUUACGCGAAGUGUUCCUGAAAGGUGGGUUGAGUAUGGUUUAUCUGCGUUCGUUAGGUGAUAAUCUUGUUCUGAUGAUGCCAAGGGAAGGGGAGAGCAUGCAGGCUCUUAUCAAGCUUAAUAAGGAGUGGUUCGAGAGUGUCUUCGAAAGCAUUGAACCAUGGUCGGAGAAGUGCACUGCGACCCAUAAAGUCGUCUGGGUAAGGUGCUAUGGACUACCCCUUUCUCUCUGGAACAAGGAGUGCUUCUCCAAAGUGGUGGGGGAUAAGGCAACAUUAGCGUCUAUUGGCAGAGCCACUCUCCUUUGGGAGAACCUGGAGUAUGCUUCUCUCCAAGUUAGGUUGCCAAAGAGCCAGAGCGUACGGAAGGCGGCAGACAUGAAGAUCAAUAAUAACCUCUAUAGCAUCCUUAUAGAAGAAGAAGUCACAUGCGGGAAUGGAGGUUCAUGCAGGUGCAUUAGUGAUGAUGUUGGAUCCUUGGAUAGCAUUUCCUCGUCGGAAACCUAUGUAGAGGAUUCUGUCUCUGUGAAUAGUUGUGAAGAGGAAGGAAAAGCUCAGGGUCGGUUUAGGCAGUGGCCAAGGGGGGUGGUGACCGGUGGUGAAGUUAACGGACAAGAAACCCUAAUCGGAAGGGAGGUAGUAGGUGACGGUGAGGGUUUACAGAAAACGACAAAAGGUUUGGUUUGUGGGGAAGCACCCUCUAAGGGUCUAGUCAGUCAGAGGGUCAGUGCCAAGAGUUUCACUAAUGUGGAAACAGUACACCUGAUAGCCUCUGACGAAACGGCGAUCCUGGAAACCUGUAGCCUUGGGCCCACAGCUCUGCACAAUAGCACCAACCCUCGGGCUGACGUGGCCAAGUUAGUUGUGGAUGAGGAGUUGAGUUGCACUCAGCACGAAGCCUCUGUGUUCUUGGGCCACGAAGUAAACCGAUUGGAAGUAGGAGACGGAGAGCUCCUGAGUAAGGACGAAGGGAGUGUCGGUCGUUCGGUCGUUCGGCCGAACAAAUCAGCAUAUCCAUGAGGGAGCUUCGGUCGUUCGGGAGCUGGAGCCAAAGGAAGUCAUGGAAAUACGUGGCCAUGAGGUCAGCAAAGGGGGAGUCAGAGAGUCCCUGAGUAAGGACGACGGGUGUGUCGGUCGUUCGGUCGUUCGGCCGAACAAAACAGAAUAUCCUUGAGGGAGCUUCGGUCGUUCGGGAGCUGGAGCCAAGGGAAGUAUUGGAAAUUCGUGGCAAUGAGGUCACCAAAGGGGGAAGCGGAAUUAGGAACCUUUCUCCUAGGGGGAGUCUGCGAACGAAGGGGCUGGGGGAAAUGGCGGAACCAAGCACCCUUCCACGGAGGUCAAUAAGAGUAUGGCCCUCUCAGGUAAGGGACUCUGCCUCAAAAGCUGGAUCUUUUUCUGCAACUAUCUCUGAUGGGGACACAAUUUGCAACUCAAGGUUCCGGGACCUGGACGUAACGGUGGAACCACUAAAGUUGUGGGAGAUGGGUAAACAGAUGGGAAUUGUAUGCCGUAGGAUAGAAGAAGAGGUUGUGAAGGAAUAUCAGAGUAUGGAAGCGAGAGAUGUAGAGUUUUCACAGAAGCUAGAAGAGGGGGUAACAAAAGGUUUCCUAUGUUGAUAGUUAGCUUGAACAUUCGAGGUCUGGGGGGUGGAACAAAAAGCAGAUAUCUGAAAAAUUUGAUUUCAAGAGAAGGAGCAGAGUUUGUUUGCAUUCAAGAAACGAAAUUGAAGGGGCUCACUGAUGCUAGAUGUUUUGCUCUGUGGGGGGACAACAGAAUCGGGUGGAUUCACUUUGAAGGUGAAAAUGGUGGUGGAAGCUUGCUGUCCAUGUGGCACAAAGAUAUGUUCUGCUAUGAGAGUCAUGUGAUGGGGAAGGGAUUCAUAGUUGUCUUUGGCCAACACAUACGGUCUUCACAUAAGUGUGUUAUUGUUAAUAUCUAUUCAGCUUGUAGUCUAAGAGAAAAGAAGAUUCUCUGGGAGGAGAUUACUGGUAUUAAAGGGGCGUCACAGGAGUUGGUUUGGUGUCUCUGUGGUGAUUUUAAUGCUGUAAGAAGCAGACGGGAAAGGAAAGGAGUAAGUAGUCAGGGUGCAGCUGCAAGUGGCCAAACGAGUGAGAUAAAUGGUUUCAAUUGUUUUAUUGAAUCUAAUAUGCUUCUGGAUCUCCCUAUAGUAGGGAAAACUUACACAUGGUUUAGAGCAAAUGGGUCGGCUAUGAGCAGGCUUGAUAGAAUUCUUGUCACCGAGGAGUGGUUGAGCUUAUGGCCAAACUGCAAACAAUAUGUCCAACAGAGGGAAGUGUCUGAUCACUGUGCUUUGGUGGUGAAGACCUUGGAUAAGGACUGGGGACCCAAGCCCUUUCGAAACAUCGAUGCCUGGCAUAUGGAUAGAGGUUUCAAUGGGUUGGUGAAGGGAAAGUGGCAAUCUUAUCCAGCCCAAAGGAAUGCCAUCUUGAACAUUAAGGUCAAGUUGAAGCUGCUCAAAGGGGAUUUGAAAAUCUGGAUUAAAGAAGUGUUCGGCAAUCUUAACACCAUUAAGAAUGGUAUCCUGCGCGAAAUCGAGGCCUUUGACAACCAAGAUAAGGAUGGAGGUUCGGCGGUCAGGGGGAGGAUGGUGAGACUGGAUUUACUGAACCAGCUAGGGGAGGUUGACAGAAAGAUAGACUCCCUCAUUAGCCAAAAAGCAAGAGCUUGUUGGUUCAAGUACGGAGACUCGUGUACAAAAUUCUUUCACUCCUCUUUGAGAUGGAGAAGGCUUAGAAACGAAGUCAAAGGUGUUGAGGUUGGGGGGCAGUGGUGUGAGGAGCCUGCUACGGUUCGAGCAGAGGCUAAGAAGUUGUUUGAGAACAGGUUUAAAGCAACAAGGGAUUUCGGGGUUCGGCUUGAUGAAGUGGAGUUCAAAACAAUUUCCCCAGAAGACAACCUGUUUCUUAUAUCGGGUUUUAAGGAAGAUGAAGUCAAGGAAGCGGUGUGGCAUUGUGAAGGUUCAAAGAGUCCUGGACCCGACGGGUUCAACUUUAACUUUAUCAGGGAAAGCUGGGAGUUCCUAAAAGACGAGUUUGUUAAGGCCUUGGCUGUGUUCCAUGAUACAGGGUCUAUUCCUAAGGGCUGUAAUGCUUCUUUCAUAGCUCUGGUUCCAAAGGUGAAGGACCCCUGUUCGCUGGAGCAGUAUCGACCUAUCUCUUUAGUGGGGGCUCUAUACAAAGUUAUAGCAAAGGUGUUGGCUGAAAGAAUAAAGAAAGUGUUGAAUGCCGUUAUUGAUGAAAGUCAAUCUGCUUUCUUAAAGGGGAGAGGGAUCUUAGACAGUGUACUCAUGGCCAAUGAGGUGGUUGAGGACCUCCGAAGGCGUGAGAGGAGUGGUCUAUGCUUGAAGGUGGACUUUGAAAAAGCAUAUGACUCGGUGCGGUGGGAGUUUAUGUACGAUAUGCUCUACAAAAUGGGUUUCCACUGUAAGUGGGUGACGUGGAUACGAGGUUGCAUGGAAUCGGCCUCAGUAUCCGUUUUAGUUAACGGGAGCCCUACGGAGGAAUUCAAACCAUCUAGAGGGUUAAGGCAAGGUGAUCCGCUAGCCCCGUUCCUUUUCAUUGUGGUAGCGGAAGGCCUAGCUGGGCUAGUUAGGCAAGCGAACAAGGCCAACCUGCUAUCGGGUGUUAAGUUCGGCAGAGGAGAGGAGGAGAUUAGCUUCUUGCAAUUUGCAGACGACACCCUCUUUCUCUGUGAAGCGUCGUACAGCAAUGUUGUUGCCGUGAAGGCGAUCCUAAGGGGGUUUGAACUAGCAUCAGGCUUAAAGAUUAAUUUUCAUAAGUCAAAGAUUGCAGGUGUGAAUGUGGACAACUUUGCCCUGUUAAGCUAUGCAAAAACCCUGAGUUGUGCCCAGAUGGGAGUCCCGUUUAAAUAUCUUGGUUUAGAAGUGGGGGGGAAUCCAAGGAAGGUGAAGUUCUGGGAACCGGUGCUAACCAAGCUCAAAGCUAGACUCAAUGUCUGGAAAGGUAGAUUUUUGUCAAUGGCAGGAAGAAUUUGCCUGAUCAAAUCGGUUAUUUCAGCGAUUCCGCUUUUCUAUCUCUCUAUCUUCAAAGCACCGGAAUCUAUAUACAAAAGCAUUAUCAGCAUUCAGCGAAGAUUCCUGUGGGGUUGGGGGAAGGAGAAAAGGUCGAUACCCUGGGUUAGCUGGGAAAAUGUAUGCAAACCGAAGGAGGAGGGUGGUCUGGGGAUCAGAGAUAUUCGGAAGUUUAAUUAUGCUCUCCUAGCCAAGUGGAGAUGGCGGAUGGUAUCGGAAGAAGAGGGGCGGUGGAAAGACUUAUUGAUCUCAAAAUAUGGGAUGAAUCUGGAUCGUUCGCUUGGUCCAGUGAAACUCCAAUCAUGGUGGUGGAGAGAUUUGAAAAAAGUGUGUACAGAGGGAGAGGGAGAAGGGUGGUUCAAAAAUCAACUUGUAUGGAAGGUAGGAGGCGGUGAAAAAGUGAACUUCUGGGAGGAUGUGUGGAUUGGUAAUAUCAAUCUCAAAACCCUCUACCCAAGGUUGUUCUCCUUAUCCUUGGACCAGGGCCUAAUGGUGAGUGAGGUUGGGGAGUGGGACAGUGAUGUUUGGAGGUGGGACCUAAGGUGGAGAAGGGCUAGGUAUGAAUGGGAAUCACCGUUGGAAGCAAACCUGGUCCAAUCCCUAACCCGUGUAAGUCCGUCCAGGGGCCACAAAGAUGUUCAGACGUGGGGGCGUGAUGACUCGGGGUCCUUCUCUGUCCAUUCUGCAUAUGAAUGCUUAGCUAAACAGGACAGUAGUCCGCGCCACGAAGUUUUCGAGUAUCUGUGGAGAAUCAAAGCCUUCCCCAGUACAAUAACAACCGCUUGGAGAGUCCUCCUAGGUAGGAUCCCAACCAGAGUUGAUUUGAGGAGGAGAGGAGUGUUGCUUAACACAACCUUAUGUGAGCUUUGUCAAACAAAGGAGGAAUCCUGCCAACACGUCUUCUUAGAAUGCCCCUUCGCCCAGAAGGUGUGGAGGUCUUGUUUUAUAUGGAUUGGCAUCUCUUUUGUGCAGCACAACGUUCUUACGAUGCACUUUGAGAACUUCUCCUUGCCUCAUCUGAGUAGCCAACAAAAUCUCUUGUGGAAAGGAGUUUGGGCGUGUGUCGUUAGGAGCAUUUGGGAGCAUAGGAAUUCGGUUGUUUUCAAACAAGGUGUUGUUGAUGCGGAAGAGACUUUUUCGAUGGCCCAACUCAAAUCAUGGCAAUGGAUAAAGCACAGAGGUCACCGCUGUGUUUAUUCUCUGGCUGAUUGGAUUCUAAAUCCCCUUAUCUGUAUCAGAAGCUUUAAGUGAUGGAUGCUGGAAGGUGUUCUUGAGGAGAGGUUUUGAGGCUGCAGGACUUUCGGUCGUCCGUCCAAGACUUUUUGGUCAUUUGCCCAAGUCUUCGAAGGUCUCGAUUCGUUCGCCUAAGUCCCGAGGGUCUCCAUCUCUGCUGUUGAAGGAAUCUCCACUGCUGUUUUCUCUCUCAAAAUAUUAUUAUAAUCACUCUUGACAGUGUUUCAUCCUCCGAAUCUCGUGUGCACAUAGUUCAUUUGGAUGGAGAGUACCAUUUGCAUCUGGUGCAAAGGCUAGUGCAGUUUGUGCAGCAUCCUGUGGCAACGAGCUGCUGAUAGUGGUUCUAGUUUCUGCUAAUGGUUGUUUGGUAUGCAGGAGUUAAACCAGCAUCGCAUGAUUUGAUGACUAGGUGUGAUUGUUGGAUUGAUGUGGAAGCUGGUGUUGAAAGCUGGAUGCUGGUUUGUAGGUUAAAGGUGCUCUGAAGUUGUAGGAAGUAAAACAGAUUUGGGGAAUGAUGGUUUGGUGUGGAACAUGGUUUGGGAUGGUAUGCAGGAGAUAAAACAGCAUCGUUUGUUUUGUUGACUAGGUGAGUAUGUUGGUCUGAUGAGGAAGCUGGUGUUGAAUGCUGACUGCUGGUUUGUAGGUUAAAGGUGCUCUAAGCCAAAAGCUUCUUUUUACAAACAAAGCUUAAGACAAUGCAGGCGUGCAGGUUCUCUUUUUGGCAUUUUUUCAAAUGUGGAUUCAAAAUGCAGGGUGUUGGUCGUUGAUGGAGCUGUAAGGGACAGCCUGAUUGUUUAAAUCAGUGUAGUACCUCUGUUCUUUUUAGUAGGAAGCUGUUAUGUUUUAUGUGUUCUGUUAUGUGUACUGAACUGUUAUGUUGUUUAAAUCAGUGUUGUGAGGUUGCGAGGUAGGAAAUGGGAGGCCUGCAUGUCUUAUAUGUUGAUGAGUGCAUGAUGGUUAGGGAAAGGCAAUCUGAUGUAACUUCAGUAAUAGAAUGGGGUUGCAGUAGGAAUAGCUUCUGGAGGUGUGCUUGGGGUUCUACAAAUCAUCUCUAGGACUUGUGUCAUGCUGGUGUUAUGCAGUCUCAGGUAUUGGGACUGCAUAAAAGACUUUGCUGGAGGUUCGAGCUUUGGAGUAAAAGAAGAAGGCUGGAAGUUUGCGCAGAAGGUCAAAGCGUAGGUCUUGACUUUCGGUCGUACGGGAAGGUCUUAACCUCUCGGUCGUUUGCCCAAGUCCUAGAAGGUCUCGUCAUUCCUGUCAUUCGGCCAUGUCCCCGAGGGUCUUGACAUCUCGGUCGUUCGGCCAUCUUUCCGUAGGUUUCGACCAUUCGGUCGUUCGGCCUCGCCCAGUACCGGUUCUCUAUCCUAUAUAAGUCGAGACCAACAUCGUCUACUACCAGUUUAUGGCCAUGUUACUGCUUAAGGAAAAAGUUACCCCAGGUUAUCACAUAGACGCGAUGAUGUACCCUAGCUUUAAGUUUUUGAGUUAAGUGGGGAGCCGCUUAACUUUGUUUUAACUGCUAAAUGCUUAAUUAGGAGGUCUAUGUAUAAGGGUUGGAACACCCCUAAAGUGUUUCAUUUUAUUCUAUUAAUUCGUUGCUGAUUAGCUGAUCUAAAAAAAAAACAUUUUAAUAGUUUCCUCUAUGCUGAAUAAACAAAAAAAAAAAAAAAGAAAAAAAAAAAAAAAAAAAAAAAAAAAAAAUAAAAGUAUGAAUACACUGUUUUGUUUGACAUGCUUUUCCUAGUUUACUACCAGAAGGCCCUUUUACAUUGGCCAAUGAGGAAUCAUCUUCAACGAGUGUGAACAGACUUGGGAGAGUGCAGAGUGCUAUUCAGCCAAGUCCAAAAUAAUAAAUGGACUUGAAGCAACAUGUUUAUGAACAAGAAGCUUCAACAGCUAAACUCUUUGGUACUCCUUUACAUGGAUCUCCGAAUGUAUUAAUUGAUAAUCCAAUUCUACAACUGCUUGAUCCAAUGCAGCCCUGUUAACAGAUGCUCCUUAGAGUAAGUAUAAUCCGAAUGAAAAAAUAAAAUGAAAUUAACUACACAAAAGACAUAUAUGAACUUCUUAUUUAAAAAGAAAGAAAGAAAACACCUUCUGCACAAUGGAUAGAGCCUUAUUGCUGCUGCAGCGUCCAUGUUUGAAGUUCCCACAAGUCCCCUGAGGUGUUCCAAAACUAGCAAAUUUAAUGGAAGAGAUCACUUGAUUAGGAUAAGGGCACUCCAGUAACAUUACAGGCCCUACUUUUCUUCCUGAUUCUGCAUCUGAAUUCCACAAGUCUACAGGUGGAGGGUGAGAUUCAGAUACAUGUGAACACACGCUUCCCAUCUGUUUUGUAGCAAAAGUGAUUUGCUUAGGGUUGCCUCCACUUUCCUCAAACAAAACAAGUGUGUUGCUUUUAGGUCGUAGCCAUGAUCGUGGUACAUGGUAUCUGCAUGAUUAGUUACUAAAUAAGUAUCUAGCAUGAUUUCAAGUUACUUUCAAGUUUCAACUUCUUUCAUGCAGAAUAUCUAGCACUUACAAUGUCUGUGAUGGCUUUCCACAGUUUUGGAGACAUUUGGAUGCUUGAUAGGACCCUCUAUAAUUGCACGAAUCAGUACAACCACUACUUGGAGAGGCAUACGUAGGCCAGUAUCGCCCAAUGCUCUGUCCAUUCACCCAAGCCUCACCUUUUCCCAUCCCCGUGAAGUCAAUUGCAACUGGAUUGCUACCAGAGGGAGCAAGGAAAUUUGUCUAAUAGAAUGUGUUAAUACAUUUUAGCUAGCCGCAAAAUCAUUUGUCCUAUAGUAGCAUUCCCUUAAUUUUCUAUGAAGUGUGUGAUGAUGAAGAUAUCAGAGGCAAAAGUAAAAACGAAAUUGGACAAUCCAUAAACAAAGGAAACAAAUUUCAGCAAAGAGACUUUGUCUGCCUAUGCAAUUGUUAGCAUUAAACUCAAAACCGUCAUCAGUUUUAUUUUGAAAUUUGAAUAGUCAAUAAUUAUUACUUUUAAUUCUAGUUUUGAAUGUCAUUUAUACUAUGAUUUUAAAUAUAAUUUAUAGUAUAGGUUUAUGAGAGAAUGUAGAAUUUGAGAAGUCUAUUGUUAAACUAUUUAGAAAGAUUGUAUUCUCAUUUGAAAAGUAACAGGGAAAUAAAAGUUAUAUUCUCUGUUCACAAAUUGGUUCAGUUAUAAGGAUAAUUUUAUUUCAGUAGAUUAUAUAUUCUGAUAAAGAUUACCUUGUACCAAAUCAACGGUUGGUGUACAGGUAGGGUAGAUUGUGAAUUCCACUGUCCAGAACUGCCACCAGAUGGACCUAAAUCUUCAUCUUUAAGGCCAAUCUGAAUUCACAAAAUUAUGGACAGUCUAUUCUAUAUAUAGGUUUAAUCAAAACCUCAAAAUGAGAGAAAAAAAAACUGGCUUUACUUAGGCUGAGAGCAUGAGACUAACCUGAUAUGUCCACUUCUGGGAGGACAGAUCAAGAGAGCUGCCAUUUUUCAAACCUUUCAAUAUCACAGGGCCAGUGAUCCCUGCACCCCAUGUGUCAAAAAAAGCUCCAUAGUUCUGAUGCGCAUAAGGUGUGCAUUAGUUAAUGUGGCAAUGAGAACUGGUUUGGUGAUAAAGUGAAAUUAUAUGGGAAGGGAUUAACAGGACAUUAUAUUACAAGAAGAAAAGACGAACCUGAAGUCCCACAGUUAAACUUAGAAGAUCAAUUGUGUUCUUCCCAGCCAGUAGUGUGAUGGGGAUGUCUACUUUGACCUUAGCUUUCUCAUGGUUGCCAAUUCCACUCCCUGAAAAAGUUCUCCAUAAUGUGACAGAUGAGUAUCAUUAUUGAUAGAUAAUGAAAUAUUCCAUUUAAAUAAAGAACUGAACAUUUUAGAAAGGAACAGUCCUGAACAAUUGGUUCUGUGUAUCAUUAAUGCAAUUUUUGCUUGUCAAGGAAUGCAUAAAAUCAUCAGAAUGUUAAUAGUUUCUCUUCUAGCUAUACAUUUUAAUGAGCAUGAGUUUGUAAAAUAUUUCAAAGUAUUCCUUAUAAAGCUGCUGAGUACUAAGUUUUAUGCGUAGUUUGAGUGAUCACAUCUACUUAGUAUACCUGCAAGUUUCCCAUUUAUGAAAGCAUGAAGAGCUUGACCAAGGGAUUUAAUGUGAAGGACAGUUUGAGCACCAGUAUCAAGAUCAAUUCUGCAGAAAAAAACCAUGAAAAGCGUUACUGCGGGACAGAAAAUUGCAAUUUAUUUCUCAACCUAAAAGGUAUAUUGUAUACCUUGUGGAGUACCACAAGUAGUCACUUCUGUCAGCUGUUGUAUUUAUUUGCUCCAGUAACCCAAAUUUUGAGAAUGAAUCAGCCUUUGAAAUACCGAUAGGUUCACUAAUCCAACUCCAUCCGCCUGAGUCAGAAUCAUCCAACGAGCCAACCUCUUCUUUUAAAGAUUCACUUGUAAAGCUUGAAAUCAUAGAUGCAGAAUUAAUCUGUAAUCAUAAAUAACUAUUGGUUAUGCAACUUCAUGUACUAGAAGAUGAAAGAAAAGGUCUAAACUAUAGAUAGAUUAAUCACAUGCAUUAUGAAAGUAACUUCGUUCAAUUGAACAACUACUUUGAUCUCAAAGCUGAUAAGGCAAACCUUUGCAGUAUUAAGCACUACAUUCUUGCAGUCUGGUAAGAUGCUGACAGGCCAUGCGGGCAGGUGAUAUGGAUUUCCAUUGAAGGUCACUUUUGCAUCAGAUGUGGCUAUGUUGGCAAGGAAAGCGGAACAUACAGCUCCUGUCUUGUAAACUGCAACCUGGAUUUGAAUAGUAAUGUUAAGAGAUGUAACUAAACUAUCCAUUUGAGAUUAUUGAUUCUAAAUGUUAAGGAGUUUCACAUUCAUGAUCCUUUUACCCAACAUUUAACAUUAUGGAUGGUUCACUAAAGGGCACACAUUAUUUGUAGAGAAGAGACUCAAUCUUCAUAAUGCAUGCAAAUCAAGUAUUAAUUAGCCCACAAAGAAAGACACCGUCAGUGAUCAGACAGCAUUAUUUUUCCACAAUCAAUAAAAAGCAACACGAAAUUGGGAAGGAGGCAGGAACUAGAGAAAACAAUAACAUUGAGAAAAUCAGGUGGACCUCUAAAUUUUUCAAUGCAUUUUUCGAGACAGCAACUUAAAAUUUUGGCAGAAAAUGAGACAUUUAGGCCACUAAGAUAAUCCAGAAAUUGUGGCCUAAUUUUGAAAGGAGUACUUAUUACCUCUAUAUUUGGUCCAAGAGAUGUAAUUGUUGGAUCAGUAGCUGUGAGAGCUUCUUCACAAAGUUUUAUGGCCUUAUGCAAGUCUUUAAGGUGGCCCCACUUAGGCUGUCUAAGAAUUCCUGAAUCAUGCAGUUCAGAUAUAGAAUGUAAAUUUGAUGUCAUGUUACAAGUUUGUUUAUUUUUCUUGUGGACUGCACAUGGAAGCAAGUUUGACUAGUUCAUAUAAUCCUACAGAGUAGACAAUGAAUAUGAAGUAUAAAGGUAGAAAAAUUCCAUACCAUACUCAUCAAUUGGUGCAUCAUAGUCAUAACUACUAGCAACGAAAGGCCCACCAGAAGCCCGGCCAAAGUUCGUCCCUCCAUGGUACUGUUUUGGAAGCAACCAAAAAAGUUGUGGCAUCAGCUCAUUUCCUAAAUAUCUAGAGUAGCUUAAAGUUAAAAAAGCCUUAAACAUCAUGUAAGGUUUCAUUACCAAAUGCAAGAUCUUCCACAGGUCUGUGAGGUACAGCAUCGCCAAAUGCAAGAGCAAGAUCUUCCACAGGUCUGUGAGGUACAGCAUCGCCAAAUGCAAGAAACCUACAGUUUUGUGGAUUUCUCCAUCAGUAGAUCAUAUUUUGAGUAUUACUUUCAAAUAACUAAUGACUUAGACAGAAAAGGAGACUAACCAUUACUUUCAAAUAACUAAUGACUUAGACAGAAAAGGAGACUAACCAUCCAGUAUAACCCUCAGUCCAUAUUUUUAGCUAAAACAUAAACUGUUCAGGAUAAUUGUAGAUGGCUAAAAGGAGAAAACUUACAAUUGGAUCAGGAGCAUCUAGCUGUUGGCACAUUACCCAGGGAACCCCUGUAUCAAGAGAUGUUGCCAUUGAUGCUGCCCAUUUGAUGUAGGAUUUAGCAGCUGGACCAUAAUGAUCAUCAAUGUUCCCAUACUCAUUUUCUAUCUGUUCAUAGUAUUUUCACAUUUAAAAGUAGACGGUACGCUAUUAAAAGUUCAGGACUGUCUGUAUAUCAUGCUUCGACCAAGAAAAAUUGAAAUGUAUUUAGUAAAAUUUAAGAAAAACCUGAGACAAAAUAAUAGGUCCUCCGUAUGACAUAUAGAGGUUCUCUUGCUUCAUCAUAUCCACAAUCUUAGCGGUGAACCGCUUCAUUUCUUCCUGAACACAAUUCAAUUUCACAUGAUAGCAGGAAGCAGAUUUAGCAAGAUGAGACAAGGAGAAAGGAAAGGAAUAAUUACCUCAAAUGGUUUGUUAUCAGUUCGGAACUGAAUUCCCGGAAUAAAAUGUAGCCAAAGAGGGAAACCACUGCUCAGAAAAGUUAAAGGCCAUGAUCAGAUAUUAACUUCUUUGUGAAAAAAUACAUAUAAAGAUCAUAUUUUACCCGUAGUUCCAUUCAGCACAUGCGUAUGGACCAAUCCGUAGAUGCACAUAUAGGCCUGCUGCUGCUACUGUCUUCAAAAAUUUAACCAAAUCUGCCCUACCUUCAAAAUUAUACUGCCAAGCCAAAGCAAACACUCCAUUGAUUUAAUCACAAAUUUAAGCUUCUUAUUGACAUUAAGAAAUACCCUCUCCAUUUCAUGUUUUCAAGAUCUAACUACAUUGUUCUUAUUGACUCAGAAAAAUAUUUGAAGCAGUGAUCAUUUACUUUCCUAAGCUGCAUGCACUUAUUUUUGGUUGAGUUUAGACCCUCUGAAUGUGCUUGAUUGCUGAGAAAGUUUGAAAAUGAACACACACACACUGCAAUGCAAGUAACAGUGAACAAGAGACACAAUACAAAAAUGGUAGUAAUAGUAACAUCAACAGAACUAAAAAGAAGAGGACCUGGCCUCGAACUGGUUCGUGUAAGUUCCAGAAAACAUAAGUCUCAAUCACAUCAAGUCCUCCAUCUUUGGACUUUUGAAUGAUGUCUGGCCACAUCUGCAACAACAAACACCACCCCUUUUAAUUCAAAACUUCAAAAACAAAGGAAAAAAUAGUGUACAUGUAACAACAUUACACACAGACACAGAAAGAGGGUAAUGAAGAGAACCUCUGGAGUGCUACGAGGGUAAUGGAUAGAACCAGAGACCAAAACUCGGCGCUUGCCAUUAAUGACCAAUGCUCUAUGGUCGUACGUGACAUUUGUGGAAAACGAAGUAGGGGCAUAAAUGCAGAAGAACCAAAGCAAAAGGAACAGAGUCUGUGAUGCUCUCAUUGCCUUUUGGAAUUGUUAGUGCAAAACGAACAAACAAAAACAACAAGGAAAUGAGACCUUCUUUGUGUUUUGCUCUUGUUCUUGAAGCAAAACAAGUGCUAAAACGGGCUUAAGGACCAACACAGAUUCUACUCAUUCCAUUGUUAUUUAUAACACAUUUUUCCAGAAAGAGUAGUGAUACUCAAACUCAAUAAUUUAUUUUUUUUAUAAACACCUUAUAUAUCGUUUUCUACCAUUUAUUUCCUCAUGUCAUGGAUCACUUCUUUUUUAUUCUCUCUCUUCAAAUGUAAAUGGAUACUCUUCAAGCAUUAUCCUUCAGUAAAUUUUCUGUCUUUUAAAAGUUCCCUUUUGUUAAUGCUCUUAUUAUACUUUCUUACACUAAUCAUUUUCAGAACUGUUUAUAACUAAUUAAUGGAUUUUUCAAGUAUUAGAAGCUUGAUUAACUAUUCACAUGUAACAAAUUUUAAUUAUCCAACUACUUUUAUGAUUCUUUGAUAAAACAAAUUUUCUGAACUCGUCUCAAGAGAGUCAAUUUUCUUAAAGGGUAGAAAUGAUUGAAAAAGUGUUGCAGAUAAUGUGGAAAGAAAGGAAUAAAAUUUAAAAGAGGGUAGCUUAUCAAGACAGACAGAAAAAACAAGUUUGUGAAGCAUCAAUGAUUGGUUAGUUAGGUUCAUCAAUCAGUUUGUUGUGUCUUUUUGGCCCACCGUGUUGCUGUUUGGCCUCUUGUUUGAAAGAUACUUUAUUAUCUUUGGAUAUAAAAAAGUUGUAAGUUGAAAUUGAUAAACAUGGAAAGAUAAAGAGUACUUACUGUAACCAUUGAGAAGGGUACGGCACGCAUACAAAUUAUUUAAAGCUCUUUUUUUUUCUAUCAGCAAGAUUAUUUAAAGCUUGUAAGUUAGUUAAUAAUGUCACGAUCUUCUGCUGCUUUUGUUUUAGCAUGGUUUAUUAUUUUAUUUUAUUUUACUGAAGGGUCGAAAGGCUAAAAAAAUAAAUAAAAAUUAAAAUAAUAUAAUAUAAUAAAUAAUAAAAUAAGAUAACAUUGUAUUAAGGUCCAAUAAAUAGGUCUAAAACAAUAAAAUAUAUUUAAUAAUUACAAGAUGUUAAAAAUAAAAGUCCAAUAACAAACAUUAUAAAUAGGUGAUUUGUUUAAGUAAAGUGAUUUUAAUCUGAUAAUUAAACAAAUUGAUUCUGACUUAAUCAUCGGAGUACUUUGCAGAUACAUACAUCUAACCGAAAGUGAAUAUGGAUCUAAAAGCCGGAGUUGAUCCAAAUCCAACAGUCGAGUGAUAGUCCAAAUCAAGUAGUUGAGAGCAAUCCCAAGCCCACAUAGCAGAAUCCAAGUCAAUUGAUCAAAUAACCGAAAAUUCAAGUCAUCCAUAAGAAACCAAGACGCCGAGAGGAGAAGAAGAAGUUAAUUACUUCUAAACCAGCCAUCUAAUAACACUUUGGAUUAAACUCUUUUUUUUUUUUUUGUAUAAUGAACUUUAUAUUUUUAAAUAUUAUUUUAUCAAGAUGUGUGUUAAAUUAAUUAAUAUUUUUUUACUAAAAUGGGUAUCUUUUAUUUUCAAUUGUAAAUCAAAACUACCACAAACCAAGUAGUUCGUAAGUUUGUUUUAUUGGUAAAGGUUAAUAAAAACAUUUAACUUCCAAACCCUUUUAUUAUAUAACAAAAUAAAUAGCAAAAGAGUAAAGCAAUUUAAUUGCCAAUUCAACUAUUUAUAGUCUUUACAAUAUGGAUUAAAAGAGAAAAAAUCUAUUAAAAAAAUGCGUUGGUCUAAAUAGAAAAAAAUACGCUGUUUAUAUUCACAAUGAAGGCUAUAAAAAAUAUAACAUAGAUCGAAAACAAUUGUUUUCAUAAUGGGUACUAUUAAAAAUAAUAGGUUAAAUUGAUUUUUUGGUUUUUUUUUAUCUUAUUCGGAGGUUUCAGUUUGAUCAUUUCUCUUUUUAAAAAAAUCAUUUAUCUUCUUAAUCAUAUGUGUCAUUUUCUGACCGAUUCUUGACAUGAAAUUUGUCACAUUACAUGAACCUACAUAACAACUAUGAAACUCAAUCGUUGUUCAAACAAAAAUUACCAUAAAUGAAGUGAAUUUUACGAGGAAAUCGAGUUAUGAACAAUCGAAAUAAAGCAUACAAUUGAUUUUGGCAAUUUCUUUCUCCACUUCCUACAACUUCGUACUUUUGAUGAAAAAUCAUAUUAGUCAUGAGUCUAAUGGAAAAAGUUUUAGGUCUUGAAUUAGUAUAUGAUUCCUAAAAAUAAUAUAUUUUUUGUCAUAAACUUAGUGUACUAAUAUCUUAAAAUUGCACCUUGACCAAAAACACAAAUAAAGUUUGAACAGGAAAAAAUGGUAAUUUUUUAAAUAAACAAUUUUGUUCACAUGAAGAAUCAAAAUGAAUUUUUAAAAGAAAAAUGACUAAAUUAAAACUUAUAAGUAAAAUAAAUAACCAAAAAUAUCUUUUAAUAAUAAAAACAAUAGUUAUUGUCAAUCAUUGUUAUUAGAGAAUUGGUUAAUAUAAAAAUCAAAAUAUUUUUUAUUGAAAUUAAUAUGUAAGUGGAUAAGAAACCAUAAAAAAUUAUAUAUUUUAACGUAUUCCAAUAAAAUGUUUUUCUUAAAUUUUUAACUAGUACCCUUAAAACAUGAGUUAUAAAUUGCCAAAACUAAUAAGCUAUUUAGGAAAAGAAAUGAUGAUAACACUUAAAUAUUAUUUUCACAAUCAAGUUCUAUCAAUAAAAUAAUUUUAAUAUAUAUUAUUCAGAAAUCACUGAAGUUCACUUACCCAAUACAAAUAAGUUUAGCUUUAUAUCUGCAGAAAAUUCACAGCAACCUUAGAAUAUAUACAAGAGACAGUGGAAAACUCCACAAAUCAUAAAGAGAAUGAAUUAAUUCAAUACUAUCAAAUGCUUUAUUCAUUGAGCUACUCUUUUUUAUUCAUUGAAGUUUCCAUUUCUGUAUUUAUUACUUAAAACUCGCAAUUAGCCUAACAAUUUGAAAGAGUAACCCGUAAAUUCCAGACACAGUUUCCAUGAAAUUUUUUCUUCAAAGUACGUAAACUUACAAAACAUUGAAACAACCUCUAUUGAAAUGUGCAUAACAUUGAAGUAGCCGAACACAGAAGAAUACAACAAUCUCAGAUAUAUAUACUGAUAAUUCACCACUGUAGUACUCACUCAUGCCUUUCAAUCAUAGCACACUUGAAUAUUAACUGAGUAGUAUGUAACGGCUGGGGUGUUUGAAAAUUCAUCAUGAUGACAAUGUAAGCACAAGAAGUACUCCAAGAACAUGGGACACCCACUUUCCUUGUAAGUUGAUUUUCACAGUGCCGGAGUUGUCGUUCGUGGAAUUAAUAUCAGAUGAUUCUGAGGAAUCUGGAGACACUGGCUUCUCCUUAUCCGCUUUAGGAGCCUUUGCAGAAGGUUCUGGUGCCAAAGAUGGUCCCUUUGCUGGUGCCUUGGCCACUGCAAAGAAGUCCAUAGGAAGAAGCACCUUCCCCACCUUGUAAAUAGCGAGAUGUUUAUCUGUGUAUACAAUGCCUGUGAUGGUGGUGUUAACCUCACCCGUUGAGAUGUUCACACUCCCUCCGUAACUUAUCACAUUCAGUUCCACCUUUCCAGGUUUAGCCCCUGCAAGUGUUCUCACUGGGUUGGUUAGAGUAUCGAAGUUGGAGCUAGACACAUAGUCAGAAAGAACAUGGAACUGUAAGAGCUCCAGCUUUUGGCUGUCAGAAAGAGAGUUGAGGAAGCCUGCUUUCAGUUCAGAGAAGGAACUGUCAUCAGGUGCAAGAAUGGUGAUGCCACCGGAUUUAGUAGUGAGGAGCUGUGCAUUGAGUUGGUUGAUCAAUUGGGUGGUUUUCAUGAGGCGGAUUAGGAUGUUGAAUGACUUGGCCUGCCUCAGGAUUCCAACAAUGUCAACAGCUGCAGUGUCAGGGGUGGAAUCACUUGGUGACUGUGGCAGUGAGGGAACCAAUGGUUGUUUAGGAGCCUCAGUUGGUGGGGUAGGGGUAGGUUGUGGUGGUUUGAGAGGGGCAGAAGUUGGAGAUAAUUGGCCUAAAGUGGUGGUGGAGUACAAGAAUGAAAGUAGCAGUGCUAGUGAGAAGGACAAACCAAAUUGCUUUUUCACCAUUUUGGUCUUGUUAGAUGAUAAUGGUGUAGAAGAUAUUGGAAAGGAAUGCAAAUGGUAGGAUUUGUGUAUGCAAUGUGCACUUGAUGCAUUGAUGGUAUGGUGGAGGAGAUGGUUUUUAUAUAGCAUGUCUGAGAGUGGGAGACAAUGAAAGGUAGGUGAGAGGUUUUGUUUGAAAAUCUUGAAAUGUGAUUUGUGAUCAUACAAUGAGUUAAUAGCUGGCAAAGGAGAUUUGAGGUGUUGCAUCAGUGAAGAUGUAUGGAUGUAAGUUACAAACUAAACUGUUAAAGGGUUACUUCAUCAGAUGCUUAACCUGCUGCAUUUUUGGUUUUUCUUUUCUUAGUAAUGAGAUGGGAAGGUUAACAAUGUGUAUAAACUGUUAUUGCUAAGAACAUUCUUGAUCAGGUAAUUAAGCUAUAUAAAGAGGACAUUUUAAUCUCACCGGUGUAUAUUUUUCUUAUGAAAUUUAUCAGAAUAGUACAACUUUGAAAAAAAUAUAUAAAAUAAUGUCCUCUUAUAUUAUAAUAUCAAUUUUGUGAAGUUAAAAUAAAUUUUCAUAUUAUUUAAAGUUUAUUAUUUUUUAAGAUAAUAUUAGAGUUAUUUAAAGUUUAUCAUAUUUAAAUUUAUUAAGCUCGGUUGCUCAUUACUCUAAAAAAAAUGUUAGAAAUAUCACAUCAAGAUAUAAAAAAUUAUAAUAAAUAGGUAAACACAAACCUAAAUAAAAGUUCAAUAUACAAAUGUCUAAUCGUUAUGAAAGUACACAAGGAGCAUGGAAUUAUAAAAUAUUUCCCUUUAAUUAAAAAUAGCACAUUAACUUUUAUGGAUUUGCUCAUCAAGUUAACAAGUAUAUAGAACGAGAAAGUAAAGGUACAUUCACCAUUAAUCAUUAAAAUACUUUAUAAAUUUAACUAAGAACCAAAAUAGUAAAUAUACUUGACUUUCUCACUUCAUAAACAUUCCUUCAGAGUAGUCAACUCCAAUUUUCAUACAAAGAAAAGACAGUAUUACAAAAUUGAUUGCGCCUUAAACAACUAUCCAUUCAUGAAAGGCAGUGAAUAAUACACCACCGCGAACGCUCCGCUUUCGUGCUCUCUCUGCUUCGCGAUCGCUCCGCUUUCGUGCUCUCUCUGCUCCCAAUUCAGGCACUCAUGAGGUGAACUCGUUUGAGGAACACUUGUUGGCUGGCCAAUAAUCUCCACUGGAAAAUAACUGUAACUGCAUAACAUAAAAACUGGACACUAUGGAUGCAAUAAAGAUAAGAUGCAACAAUUGUUAGAACCUAUAGGGCCGUAGACAUCACAAUGCAAUGGCUGAUCACCUCCUUGUCUAUGAUCGUUUCUUUUGUUUCUUUUGUUUCUUAUAUUGUUCAUAUAGCUGCAGCGAUAGUGCAGUCCUGUCCAGCUCCUUUCUCAACCUUUCAUUCUCCUUGAUGUCAUGAUGAACCAUAAAAUGGGAAAUAAGUUUCCUCUGCAACUCAUUGUCAUCAAAUGAACUCAUUACAGUAGUAGAACCAAUGGAAGGUGAUGUAGCAGGGCCAUUUGUUCGUUUCCGCUUGUUAUUUAAUUUUAUACUGCCACUUUGCUGUGUGAAACAUAAUUCCUGGUCCAGAGACAUUUCCUUAUAAGCUAGCUGAGGAGAGGUCUUGGAUAAAAGGACCUGGUUAUGUGCAGUACUCAUACUUGAAAUGCCCGAGGCCAGCGUUGAUAUAGCUGGAUGAUAAUGGCUGGACAAAAGAUUGAGUUCCCAAAGUACUGAGGCAAGGGCACCACUUAAAUUGGGGUCUGUGGAAUAUGGUAGAUAUUUCUGCACACCAAAGUGGGAGAGACAGUCCAUAAAAACACAAGAAAAUGGUCCACAACAGAAUAUCUUGUCAUCAAAUUCACACGUUUUGCAUUUUUUCCAUAGACUGACUUCGACAUUAAUAUUCACACAUAUAAAGGAAUAGCUUCAGGAAGAUGCAGGCUACUACUUACGAAGCAUUCUCCACCUUUCCCAUUUCCCUUUUAGUUUAUACUAGGCUGUUGUUUUUUCAUUAUCAUUUAUCUCUAUACAAAAGGUCUUAUGCUUGGUAUGUAAGGAUUUUGCACUAAUGCAUAACUUUGUUGUAUUAUCACAUUAUUAGCCGAUGCACAAUCCACAAAAGAAAUGAUAGAGCACUUUACAAUAAUAGAUCUUUUUAGUGUCACCUCUAGCCUCUUGUUUUGGCACACCCAGUUUAAUUUCUUUUAUUGUGACUGCUUGUAAUAAAUAAAGCAAAGAAUCUGCACUUAAUGCAAACAAAUAAUACACGAAAGAUGCUUACAGGAAUUGUGCCAGAAACAGAGCCCCCUCCAAUGUCAUUUUCCAACAAAUUUCUGCACUUAACAUUCUUCUGAAGGAGAUUCUUUACGGUGACCAAGGCUGAAAUGGGGGAUUCAAAGGAAAACUAAAUUUAAGUAUGUCUCUCUUUUCAUUUUAAUUUCUAUUUCCUGUGUUUUAUUACAGAAGGUAGUGUUGCAUACAAAAUGGAAGGUUGAUAUAAGAAUGCUAAAACAUACCAGCCAUGGAAUCUGCUGAUCCAACACACAGUGAUAUUGUUGCUAAUCUUUUUAUAAAUGCAGCAGUCUUUUGCAUGUCAUGUUGCUUAUCAUCGCACAACAUUAUCUUCAAAGCUUCUGCUAAAACCUCUCCUUGAUCUCUGUUUCAUAAACAAAACACAAAUUAACUGGAACAAGUUAAAAAAAAUAAAAACAAACUGAGAAAUUUGCUAAUAAGGUGCAUUUCCCUGUACAACAUUAAAGUUGAAACAAGGAAAAAUUAAAAAAAACAAAAAUUUAAUAGUACUUUAUGUUUCCAUGCUUCCAUUUAAUGCCAUAUAUAUACAUGUGUAUGUAUGUGCACGCUAUGGAACAAAAUCAAUUUUCGGACAACAGAACUAACUGAUUCUAAAAGCACAAGAUGUUAGGUGAAGGCCCGGUAAUCAUUUUUAUCCCCAUUUCUCUAAUAUAUUCACCCAUGACAAGGCCCCGGAGCUUUAGGUGUCAACAUGUUUUUGGUUACAAUAUGUUUUUUCAUGUGUCCAUAUAUGCAAGCAAACUCUACAUUGGGACAAAUUAAAUAUUUAAUUAGAAAAGUGAGAGCAGAAAAGUCUGAAUUCCUACUUAUUCUAAAACCUUAAGAGACCCACAGGAUGUAUUGCAUCUCUAACAAUACAAUUUGUUCUUAUAGUCACUAAAUUUAUAUGCAUACCUAUGCAUGUAAACUAGCAUCUAAGACAACAUACAAAAACAAGUACAUCAAUAUCCACAAAAAUUACCUAUCCUGCAAGUCUGGUAGAUUUUCAGCAACAGAAAAUACUGGUCAUAAGGAAAAACAAAUUGAAAAGAAAAAGUAAAUUGUAUUUUAAUACAAACCUUCCAGGAUUGUAUUCAAGUACAAGAUUGUAAAGGUGGAUAAAGAAAUCCUGUAAAUCAACAUUUAAGGCAUCAAGAUUGUUCCGCAUCACUUUAAAAGCAACUAUGCAACAUUGGAGACGUUCCGAUACGGUCAAACAUUUAGAACACUUGUCAGAAGUGUUGCCUGAGUAGCUACUUCCAGAAGCAAGUGCUUUCAGAUGGUUCAUUAAAUCACCCAUGAAAUCAAGGUCAAUAAGAUGUGAAAAUUUUGCCAGUCCUUUCAGACAUGGAGCAAGCAAAGGGAGAGGUUCCACAGCAGUAGAUAAUGCCCCGGCAUUUGCUUCAGGCCUGAGCAAGAAUUAUCAUCCAUCAUGACAGAAAGUGAUUAAUUCUCAUUCAAAAGCUACUUAGUAUUCAAAACAAAUAAAAAACUUAAGCAAGAAAUAUUAAUAAAGAAAAAUAUAAUCAAUCAAUAAAUAAAUAAAAUAUCUAAUUCAAUGGAGAACAGGGUUUAUAAAAUAAACCAUAGAAAACUAAUAUUUCCUAUGCAUAUAUAGUAAUACUUGUUAUAUAAAAACACACCUGACACGUAUGGACUGCAUUGUAUGCUUCAAAAUGCGAAAGUAUGUCUCAAAGACAACUGAGAGUGUUGCAGUUUGCAUCUGUCUCCUCUCCAUAACAUCUGGGGCAAAGGAUGCAGCCUUGUAAUCGGCUUCAACCUACAGAAGGCAUAACUAUAAUAUCAUCUGAACAAAAAACCAUAAGUGACUUUUAUGGGGAAAAGUAAUAACCUCCUCUCUUGUUUUGGAAAUCGAUUCUUGCCUACUUCUCUUUCUAUCAUUUUCCACCAACUGAUUUGAUGCCUCCAUGUUUUUCCUUUUCUUACUAUUCUUGUUUUUUAAUUUCUGAUCCUCUUCUUUCUUUUCAUACUUCAAGAGAUCCUCAUUAAAUGAAAGAGACAAGAAAACCUGGAAAGCCAUUGCAACGAAGAUACAUUACUAAAUAACUCUGUUAAACAUUCCACGCAAAUAAAAUAAAAUAAGUUUCACUAAAACAGGAACAGAACAAAACACAAGUUGUUGGUGCCUUUUUAAAAGAACUGUUUUAAAUUAGAACAUGUCUAAAAUAUUUAUCAUAAGUAUUCAAGUUCUCUGCAGGAAAAGACUUAAAAAAAAACUACUUUAAACAAGCAGGCCCUUGAUGAUGUCACCACACAAAGUAAAGUAGAAAUUUAUUGGAAAAAGAAACAGAAAAUUGACAAAAUCUAGACUUCAAGAAAAAGAUACAAAUAUCAGAGGAGCAGGGUUGUACAUCAACAGAAUCUGGGUGAAAUUGGCAAUUAUGAGCUUUAACAUGAUCAGCAAUCAAUCGAACAGCCUCCAGGGUAACUUCACCCCCAUGUUUCCCUUCAUUUGUAAAGAGUGAUUUAAUUGUUGAACAACAAAGCUUCCUGUAAAAUGAAAAAGGAAAUUUCAAACAGAUACAUAGUAGUAACUGGUAAGUAUCAUGAAAUAAAAAUAAAUAAAUCACUAUCCAUAUGCAAGAAGAAAGUAACUCAUAACUUACAAGGUAUUGUCUUACUAAAAGAUUCAAGGGUCAAUGUGACAUGUGCACAUUAAAGAGGGGCAAAACAGACCUUGGAUAGGUCAUCUGCAGGGAGACACAUGGCUGCUGAUCCAACAAAAUGAGGGAAGGAGAAAAAGUGCAAGGCCCAAAAUAACUAAUUCUAAGCUGAAGGAUUUCAAAUGGUCUCAACACUAUUAUAUAAAAUUUGGUUAUACAUAGCGGAAUUCUGAUCUCUCUCUGGGACAAUUCUAUUCUCAUAUAGUAUUUUCUAUCUCUGUACUGCUACUAUGAGGUAGCCUUCCUCAUUGUAAUUCAUAUCCAUCUUAAGUAAUAAUAUUCAUUAGUACUGUUAUAAUAUUCAUUAGUACUGUUAUAUUGGUAAUGUUAGUCAAUGUUAAAAAUAUAAGCCAUGUAAACAAAACUUUGUCUUUCCACCACUUAAUAAACUGAAAUUAGAAUCAUGCCUGACUUUCAGAACCCAGCUUCCACAGAAAAGUGAAUGAUGCCACAACUUACAAUUAUAAAAUGAAAUAUUACUAAUGAAACUUGGCAACAAGUUUCUGAGGCAAAGUUCAUUACGACUACACACCUGAAGCAUGUAUUAUUUUUAAACAAUAGUCGUUUAAAUGGAAAAAGACGAUGAUGUUACAAAUUGCUAAGCCCUCAAAAUCCAACUUCAAGAAUAUCGAUAUUCACAUUCUACAAUUCUUUUUUUACGAGGUAUGCUUUCCAAAACAUGGUAAAAUAUUUUGUAUACUCUCCACUCCAACACUAGCUAAAUGACAAGAAAACAAUAGGCAUACAUUAUUCCCCUCAUAAAUGAUUUAAAGGAACAUCCAUAAAGAAAAGUUUUUUUUCUGUACAUUUAUAAAUUCGAAUGGCUAGUAUAUUAUAAAAACUUUUAUGCAUACACUAUAACUAUACAAGGCAGUCAAGCACUUUUAGUUUUAAUCCCAUAAGAACCCCAUUACCAUAAACAUUUUUCUUAUGUCUCCAAUGACAGCAUACAUAGUUUUUUUUUUCUAGUUAUAUUAGGUAUAACAGUUGUAUCUGUUAUUAGGUAUAACAGUAUCAACUGUAUAUAACAGUCUUAACUGUUUACGUUUACUGUAGGUUACUACUGCACUGGGUACUAUUAAUACCCAGCCUUCUAUGUACAUCAGAAUAUUGCAUUCUAUACUAAAGAUUACUCAUUCUCUUUUUCCUUCUCUCAAUCUCUCCUUCUCUCUACACUCUUAUAUGGUAUCAAGAGCAAAAAAUGGCUCCAUCAUCUACCCCUGAACCCACUCCUGACAAUUUUUCCUCCAAACCCGAGGCUCUUCUCCCUCAUAUCUUUCAUACCCCCAUCCCUCUCAAACUGGAUCCAGACAAUUUCCUUGUCUGGCGGCAGCAGGUUAAUGCUACCCUUCGCAGCCUUGAUCUUCUUUAUUUUCUGGAUGGUUCUUGCACUCCCCCGCGCUUCAUCUCUGCCGAAGAAGACUCUUCCCCAGUUGUUAAUCCAAAAUAUAUCCCCUAUGAUCGUCAAGAUCAGGCAAUCUUGGCCUGGUUAUUGGCAUCCAUGACUGCUGGUAUCCUAACUCAGAUGGUUGGACUGGAUACUUCAAACCAAGUCUGGGACAAACUCCAGACCCAUUAUGCUUCUCAAACUCGUGCUCAAAUAAAGAAGCACAAACAGCAACUGCGUACAUCCAAGAAGGAUCGCUCCAUCUCUGCCUACCUUCUUGAUAUCAAGAAAACCGUGGACCACUUGGCUGCUGUGGGUUGUCAAAUUUCUCCAGAAGAUCACAUUGAAGCUGUUCUUGAUGGGCUUUCUGACGAAUACGACCCUUUUAUCACCUCUGUCACAUCUCGCCUUGACCCAUACACAGUAGCAGACAUUGAAGCGCUGCUUCUUGCACAAGAAAACCGUAUUGAAAGGAAUAAACAAUCGGUUGAUCACAUCUUGCAGGCCAAUAUUGCCUCUGUCCCACAUUCUUUCUCUCCUUACAACUCCAAUUCUACAAAUUAUCCCUCCUCCUUCCGCCCCGCAGCUCCUGCUAAACAACGGUUUUAUUCAAAACCUCGUUUUCCACCAUCCAAGAACUUCCCCAAACCACCAUCUAACUCUUCUUCAGCCCGGGUGCAAUGCCAAAUUUGUGGAAAAUAUGGCCACACUGCUCUUCACUGCUGGCAUAGAUUUGAUUCUUCUACCCAAUCUCAAGUUACUGCUAAUACUGCCCAUUUUUCUAGAUAUCUUGGUGAUGAUGAACCUUCGAUCCUUGGAACUCCCAAUACUCUCCAUGACCCGCUUUGGUAUCCUGAUAGUGGUGCUUCCCACCAUCUCACUGCCAACAGCAACAACCUCUCCACAACCACUCCUUACACAGGUUCGGAAAAGGUGGCUGUAGGUAAUGGUUUCCAGCUUCCUAUUACUUCUAUUGGUUCUGCAACCUUUACAGAUAUUAAUACUCAUCAUACCUUCUCUUUACACCACCUUCUGCAUGUUCCUACUAUUUCUAAAAAUCUAUUAAGUGUUUCCAGGUUUGCCCGUGAUAAUAAUGUUUUCUUUGAGUUUCAUGCUGAUGUUUGCCUUGUUAAACGUCAGGGAACCAACAAAAUUCUGCUCCAAGGCAAGCUUAAAGAUGGUCUUUAUGUGUUUCCCAGUCUAGUUCACAAUGCAUCAUACUCUGCUUACAAUACUGCACUCUCUGCUGGCUCUUCUGCUUAUCAUUUGUGGCACUCCCGGUUUGGUCAUGCCCAACCAAGAGUGAUUCAUCAAAUAAUGAAGAUGUGUAAUAUACCAUGUACUGUUAAACAUGAAUUUUGUGAAUCCUGUGUUGUUGGCAAGUCCCAUCAACUUCCUUUUAAAGCCUCUCAAACUAUAUACUCUAAACCUUUACAACUUGUUUUCAUUGACAUUUGGGGGCCAUCGGCUACCCCUGCCACUAAUGGUGCUCCUUAUUAUAUCUCUUUUGUUGAUGCUUACACUAGAUAUGUGUGGUUCUAUUUAAUUCAUGCUAAAUCACAAGCCCUCACUGUUUUUAAAUCUUUCAAAAUAUAUGCUGAAAAACAGACUGGUUUUCCUUUGUUAAGCAUUCAGACUGAUAAUGCAAAAGAAUUUCUCUGUUUUAAAUCCUUUUUGCUAUCCAAUGGCAUAUCUCACCGUCUCACUUGCCCUCACACUCAUGAACAGAAUGGUUCUGUGGAACGCAAGCAUAGACAUAUUGUUGAUAUUGGUUUAACUUUACUUGCUUGCUCUAAAUUACCCAUGCAUUUCUGGGGCUAUGCUUUCACUGCUGCUGUAUCCAUUAUCAAUGUUUUACCCACACCUGUUUUAAAUAAUCAAAGCCCAUACUACUUGCUGUCUAACACACACCCUGAUUAUGCUUUUUAUAAAACCUUUGGAUGUGCUUGUUAUCCUUUGCUUCGCCCAUAUAACAAACAUAAAAUGAGUUUUCGUUCAUCAUUGUGUGUGUUUCUUGGCUAUGCAUCCAAUCACAAAGGCUACAUGUGUUUAUCUCCCUCUGGGCGUAUGUAUAUCACUCGCCAUGUCACCUUUAAUGAAUCUGUUUUUCCCUAUGCUGAUUCUACUAACCCUUUUUCUUCUGUCUCUUCACCCACAACUAGCCCCUCUGAUGCUUCCCCUAGUCUAACUGUUUUUCAGCAACCAACGUUCUCUGUGUCACAACCAGCUCUUCCUGCCUCACCACCGAUCGCUUCUGCCUCUUCACAUGACCAACCUGCUUCCUCUGCAUCCACAUCUUCUCACUCUGAUUUGUCUUCCAUGGCUUCACCCCCACCACAUUCUGCUCCUCACAACACUCAUCCUAUGCUUACACGUGCGAAGGCUGCCUUACUUGCCCCAAGUGCUUUCACUGCUGUCCCUGUGUUGCCUCUCCCAAAAUCCACCAAAGAAGCCUUACAGCUUCCCCAAUGGCUUGCUGCCAUGCAAGAAGAACUUGCUGCUCUAAACACAAACAACACUUGGAUUCUCACUCCCCUUCCUCCUGGCGUUCAACCCAUUGGCUGCAAAUGGAUUUUCAAAAUAAAAUACAAUGCAGAUGGCUCGUUUCAACGCAAUAAAGCUCGCCUCGUCGCCAAAGGUUUUCAUCAGCAAUAUGGUUUUGACUAUUUUGAAACAUUCAGUCCUGUGAUAAAGCCUGUCACCAUCCGUAUUAUCCUUACUCUAGCCCUUCAACUAAACUGGUCUGUCAAUCAAAUUGAUAUUAAUAACGCCUUUUUGUAUGGUGACCUUGAGGAAUCUGUCUACAUGAGUCAACCUCCUGGCUUUGAAAUUGGUGACUCCAACACUGUCUGCAAACUUACCAAAGCCCUCUAUGGGUUGAAGCAGGCACCUAGAUCCUGGUUUCACAAGCUAAGUACCACUUUGCUUUCUCUUGGUUUUCAUCCUACUAAAAGUGACACCUCUCUUUUCCUUCACUUCCACAACAAUAUUACUCUCUUUGUCCUAAUCUAUGUUGAUGACAUACUAAUCACAGGGAACUCUAACAGUGCCAUUCAGCGUCUUAUUCACUCUCUCAGUCAGCACUUUGCCCUAAAAGACCUUGGGCCUCUUCAUUACUUUCUCGGGAUUGAGGCCACUUGGACGUCGGCUGGCGGCUUACAUCAUCUCAAACUAAAUACAUUCAGGAUCUCCUACGUAAAACCAACAUGCUCUCUUCCAAGCCUCAACCAACACCUAUGCUCUCCACCACUCGUCUAACAAUAGACGCUACCACUGCUGUAGAUGAUCCUUCAUUCUAUCGCUCAGUAGUAGGCUCCCUUCAAUACAUCCUCAUCACUCGUCCUGAACUCGCUUAUAGUGUCAACAAAGCGUGCCAGUUUAUGAACAACCCUCAACAUCACCACUGGAAUGCUGUUAAACGUAUUCUCCGCUACCUUGCUGGCACUACCACUCAUGGGCUUCAUCUUCAGCGCCCAUCCCACCUCACACUAAAUGCCUUUGCUGAUGCUGACUGGGGUUCUGACCCGGAUGACAGAAAAUCCACCUCAGGCCUUGUUGUCUAUCUUGGAUCGAACCCUGUUGCUUGGCUCUCAAAGAAACAAAAGGUUGUUUCUCGCAGCUCCACUGAAGCUGAAUAUCGCAGCAUUGCCGCCACACUUGCUGAACUCAAGUGGAUACAAAAUCUGCUCACUGAACUUCGUCUUCCUCCUACUCUUCCCACCAUUCGAUCUGAUAAUCUGGGCGCUGUUCUCCUUGCCUCCAAUCCCAUUAUGCACUCCAAGACCAAGCAUUUUGAACUUGACCUUCAUUUUGUUCGUGAUGCCAUCCAACAAAAGCAGUUACAACUUCUACAUGUCCCUGCUACACUACAGAUCGCUGAUGUCUUUACGAAACCUUUAAGUGUUGGCCCGUUUUCAGCUUUCUCGAAUAAAUUAAUGGUGUAUCCUAAACCAUUAAUUUAAGGGGGGAAUAUUAGGUAUAACAGUUGUAUCUGUUAUUAGGUAUAACAGUAUCAACUGUAUAUAACAGUCUUAACUGUUUACGUUUACUGUAGGUUACUACUGCACUGGGUACUAUUAAUACCCAGCCUUCUAUGUACAUCAGAAUAUUGCAUUCUAUACUAAAGAUUACUCAUUCUCUUUUUCCUUCUCUCAAUCUCUCCUUCUCUCUACACUCUUAUAAGUUAAAUCUUCACCCUGAAAUUUGAAUAACAUUAAUAAAACUAACUUAAUGUUAUUAUAAUUAUAGAAAUAUCUUUUAUAAUCAAGAAUAUCCACAUUAUAUAUGUAUUAUUAAGAAUUUUGUAUCUACUUUUGUAUCAUUAUUAAAGGAUAUUAAAUUUUAUCUGUUUUUUGUAAUGACUCCAUUUUCUUAAUAUAAGUAAAGCACUCGUGCUAUCUUAGAAACAUAAAGUUUCAGUUCAGAGUCUCUCUCUCUUCCUAUAGUAACACAUGAUUUCAAUAGCAAAUUCCACAAAAAUUCCGGAGAAAGCUUAUUAUAAUGAAAAAUGGUGAACAGAAAAUAUACACCAGAACCUUAUAGCGUCAUUAGUAGAGCUUAUGUUUCUGACAGUAGCAUCCAACAAACUUUCCCGGUAGUUGAAAUGGGGAUUAGCAUCAAGCAAAGAACAAAUACAACGAACCGCUACAUGCUGAAAUAGAGGCUUAUUCUCUAAGGCCAUCAAUCUUUGCAAGUACACCUAACAACAUGACAAAAGUAAAAAAUAACACAUCUUAGUCCCACAAAUAUUGAAAAAGUUAGUAUUUUAUAAGAAUUUCAAACAAGAUAUCACAAAAAGUUUGAGUGAUGUAGGAAGUAGAUCCAAGAAAAAGGCAACAAUCACCAUUGCAAGCACAGGAACUGGAUAUCAUAUAUGACAGAAUAACUAUGAUUCAGCUAAAUAAGAAAUUGUAGUAUAUAGUGUAACACUUAAGCAUGAUAUGAACCUUGUACGCUGAAAGAAGAGUUGACUCAUAAUAUCGCAUCUUUCUUACAGUCUUUGAAACCUUCAUUUCUAGUUCCUUUUCAGUAGGAAGCCUGAUCCGAUAACUGCCACAUUGCAUGUAUACAUGAAAGUAAACAUUAAAAAUACAUUUAAAGUUGAUUUUCGAAGCAAAAGAAUCACAAUAUCAUUACAUAUAAAAUGUGCAUUAUGAUAUGUAACUAUCAAUACCCGGGUAUGAUAUCUUUGAAAACAGCUAAGAGGGAUAGAAGUCCUAGUUUAACAAUGGUAUGAUUAUUAUCUUUAGAUAUCUGCACCAUCUCUUUCAGAAGUUUAAUAUUGGACUCUGGAUCUGUAAGCAAGGCACUCCCCAAUUCAGCAAGUUUACACUUCUUACUUUCAAAUGCCUCCUCAGCUGUAAGAUCUUCUUUUAUCUCAGCCUAAACAAAGUAAAAAAAGAGAGAAUACCAAAAAUUAUGCACAACAUCAUGUUAAAAAAUUUAGUCUUGUAAAAUAGUUGACAGUUCAAGAGAAUAUACGAAAUCUACAAUUAAUAUGAAAAAACAAAUAUUUUUACUUUCAAGUUGAAACCCAAUAUUUUCAGCACAUUCCUUUAUUAGGUUCCUUUAUCAGGUGAAUGAAGAUAAAGGAAAAGAUAAACUUAGUACCUUAACAAUGAAAUGCAUAAAGACAAAAGCUGAAUACAUGAAAACUAUCUCUAAGUAAAUCAUCAAACUUACGAUUACAAAUAGUGACACAUCUUUUAUCUAAAAAUUAAAAGGGCUUAACAGCCAAACAACAAAUAACUUCCUCCAAAAAACAGUUGUUGAUGUGUGACACAUGAUUUAUUGGAAUGCUAAAAAAGUAAAUAUUGCAUGGAAUCAAUUAAGAAAUAAUCUUACAUUUAUAUCAUUUCAUUAAAUUUAUUUUAAUAAACCAUUCCAUUUCUAUAGAGAUGAUUUGUGCUCUUAUUUUUAAUGAAGAAAAGAUACAAUAAUAAGGAGCAAAAUCAAUACCUAAUAUUUCCCUAUCAAAUCAUAUCUCUAACCCUCUCCCUCAGCUAAAGCAUAUAGUUUAUAUGAAUCAAGCUUCUUUCAUAUGAUAUCAACAAGGAAACCCUUAAGGGAUCUAGAGAAUAUGUCUACAAGUUGGUCAUUGGAGUUAGCAAAGUCACUGAAGAUUUCUCUUGAGAGCACCUUCUCUCUUAUAAAGUUACAAUCAAUCUCUACAUGUUUGGUCUACUCACAGAAGACUAGAUUUGACACAAUGUGAACAGUAGCUUGAUUGUCGCAUCCUGUCAUGGCACAAUUCUCAACAUUGUUUUUUGCUUCUUGCUCCUCUAAUGAGAACAUAAUAUCUAGAAGUGGACUUCUUAUCUAAUGAUGAUCUCGACCAAUCAGCGUCGAAGUAAUAGAGAAAUUUGGAAUUGACUUUGUCCUUGUAUAUGAAUUUACAACCUAGUGCAUCUUUUAGGUAUCAAAGAGUACACAUGGAAGCUUUCCAAUGGCUAUCACAUGGAUCUUUCAGGAAUUGGCCAACCACAUUAACAGUAAAUGUAACGUCUGGCCUAGUAACAGUAAGGUAAUUAAGUUUUCCUACAAGACGGAAAAAUCUUUUAAUGGCUCCCUCUUCCUUGGAAGAAGCUUCACAUUAGGAUCCAUACUAACACUUGAAUGACAAUCAACACUACCAAGUUCAAUAAGGAUGUUUAUUACAUUCUAGCUAUAAAAUGAAAAUGCAAGUGGAUGAUUGAGCAACUUAGGUGUGUGGACCCUAAUUGUUCAUUCCACCACUACCUUUAUUCUAUUCAGAUCUUUCUUUUCUUGCCACGUCUAUCCUUCUCUGCCUUUAGCCUGUCUUUGAGAUCUAUCUUGUUCUUCCUUUGACUUGCCCUGAGCAUUCACUAUCCAAAGUCGAUUAGAUCACUAUUUGAGUCAAGUCAAGGUUUGAAAUUGACUACGAAGACCAGACUUGAAAUGAAGGAUCCCAUCAUAAUCAUUCCCAUUGAUGAUUACAUCAGCAAAAUAUACAACAAGAUAGAUGCAAAGUCCAAAUGGAGAAUGGAAGUGAAAGAUAAAGUGAUUAUCUUCACAAAGAGUCACACUAAACUCAAACAAAGCGAAGGUGAAAUGACUAAACAAUACUUGAGGUGAUUGCUUCAAACCAUAGAUGGAGCAGUGAAGCCUAUAAACAACACAUGAGUUGUUGGAGGCUAUUCACUCACCCAUGAAGACAUUUUUUAUGUCCAACUAAUGAAGAGGCCAAUGAUGAAUGGCAGCCAUAGCGAGAAAAAGGCAAAGGUGAUUAUGGCUACUAGGGAAAAAAUGUCACCAUAAUCAAGUCCAAAAGUUUGAGAAUAACCCAACUUGUUCCUUGAAACACAAAUAUAUAGCAACCCAAGUGGUGUAGUAGGACAUUUUAGUGAGUUUUAUCACACAAAACAAAAUUGGUGAAGGUCACAUAAGUAGGAGUGACUGCUAAACACACCAAAACAACCACAUACAAUUGUGGAAAACCAUGUUGAACCAAACAACUACAAAACAAAGAGUCACAAGAGGUGGAGGAGCUUGGCAAAAGGGUCGUUGGAGGAAGGCACAUGUCAAAAAGAGAAGUGCACCAAAAUAUGGGAUGCACAAAUGUGCAAAAGAGUGGUGUGAGGAAGGGUGGUGGACGGUUGCAGGCCAAGGAUCAAAUAGGUUGUUGGAGGAUGGAUGGCGGUUCUAGUCGUGUGGCACAUCAGGGUGGUUCCAUACAGAUAGGAUUGCUUGUAAUUGUGUGAUGUAUACACACAUAAGUAUUCUUAUUAAUAAUGAAAAAGACAUACAAUAAUAAGGAACAAAAUCAAUACCUAAUGUAAUAAAAUAAAACCAUAUCUCUAAAUAAUCAAAUCAUAUCUCAAAUAACUCCAAAAUUGAAAUAGUAUCACAUGCUAAAAAGAAAAGGAUCUUUAAAACCAUAAAAAAAGACUAAAAUGAUAUUGUUAAUUUGAUUGGACAAUACCAGCACUGCUGCUUGUGGUGUAUCUUCCACUUCUGUUUUAGCCAUUUCUUUCCCUUGUUUUUUGGCCUCUUUUUUCAUCUUCUUAAGUUUGGCUCUCUUUUCAGACUUAGUUAGCUUCACCAUACCUUCAUCUGCAUUGACAUCCUCUGCAGUUCCCUCUUCACUUGGAUCAUUUUCUGAUACUGUCUUUGUAGCUGCAUAAUUGUGAGAACAUCAUAUGUUACCCAAGCAGUUGAUAAAAUAAAUCAGAAAUAAAGAGUAAUCCGGUGACAGCAAUGCAUAAACUAUAUCUUGAACACUCUAUACCUGUCCGGUAAUGGAGUUUUCCAUCCAAUGUCUUGAUUGGAAGAGCAUCUGCACGAUCAACCUGCAAACCAGUUUCUUCUUUUUCUUUCUUGAGAGCAUUCUUUUGCAUGCGUUUCUCAUAAAGUUUUUCCAAUGCAUCAUCUUUGGCAUCAGCAACCCGUGUAACAUGCCUGAGGAUGUGUGGGAAUGUUAUUUCUUAAGUAACCUUGUCAUAUAAAACUCAUCACAAAUACAUUCAAAUAAGCUGAUGGGUUUCCAAAUUCUAAAGAAUCAGGACAACCCAGCAUGGGGUAGCUGCAGGCCCAAAUUUCAGGUUGGCCCACCAGAGUUACCUUUAGUGGAAAAUACAGAAGAAGGAAAGAGUUAGCUAUAGGGAGAGAAGAGAAGACGUGAGGUUACACAUAGAGGAACGAGAGAUGUGUGUAGGGAGAAUUUUGGGUUGUUGCUUUAUAUUAGGCAGAGAAAUAGUUUCUAUCAGGAGCUUAUGCUCUGGGAUUACAGGGGUUCUCUUCUAUAAUAAUUUUGUUUCCAAUCUAUAGUACAAAUUUCAACCUAAACCCCAAAUCCCAAACCUUAUAUUGAAUUGGGUUCCUAUCAAAAUUAAGAAGACACACGCUGAACAGGGGACAGUUGCAUGCCUACCCUAAAGAUUCAAACAGCAAGCUCAGGAAGCUUUUUGUCAGAGUACAAGAACCGAUAAAAAUGUUAUAAUGUGAAAAAUAAAAAUAAAUAAACAAACUUUUCAUUGAUAAUCUAAACCUUAUUGCUAUGGAAAUUUUUUAACAAUAAAUCUGCGAAGUUUUCCAUCCUCAUAAGUGAGAUAAAAUAUUUCCCCAAAUUAUGCACCUAAACAGUCGAAAUUACGGACAGGUUUCAAAGAGACAAACUAUGUAAACGUUAUAAUUUUCCCUAUUAAUAAAUUGUGACAAAAACCUCGAAACUUUUGUAACAUUUUACACAAAGUGUAGCACAGCAAGUAAGGGCGCUAUAAAAUAUUAUGAAAACAGGACAGAGGAUUGGAAGAAAGUAUCGAACUUGGUGAUUGAAUGGGUAUCCAAGGUGGAGAGCAAGGAGGCAUAGCUGCGAUUCUCUUUAAUGAAUUGGAGGUCAUCGUCGGAAACCUCAACUUCAUCCUCUGGGAUAUCCGGUGGAAGCUCCGGCGGAAGAACGAUUUUCUGCUUCUUCUUCCCCAUUGGUUGGAUGUAUGAGACUGAGGUUUUUCUAGGGUUUACUGUUAGUCAAGGUGUGAGACAACACACAAAUUUAUGAGAUUUAUAUUUAUUAAUAUUUACGAUUAAGUACCAAGUCUUCUAAGGUCUCGGCCCCUCGGCCGUCUCGGCCAAGUCUUCUAAGGUCUCGGCCCCUCGGCCGUCUCGGCCAAGCCUUCCAAGGUCUCGGCCUCUCGGCCAAGCCUUCUAAGGGUUUAGGGUUUAGGGUUUAAGGUCUCGGCCUCUCGGCCAUACCGGUACACUUGCCCCCCAGGCUCAAGGGCAGAUGUGUUAGAUAUGUCCGAUGAGUCUUUAAUGAUGGGUGUCGGUCGGUUUCCCUUGAUCGUGCGGCUAUUCCAUUUCUCGAGGUGUGACGUGACCCUAGGUGUGAUCAAAUAAGUUGGAUUUGGGCGGUUGGCCUUUUAAUUGUGAUUUUAAUCGAACAAGAACGGGCGAUCGGCCAUUUAAUUGUGAUCUUUAAUCGAACAACUAAGGAUAGGUGGCCAGCUUACUUGCGAUGUUAAUCGAGAAAGUGUAGGUGGCGGCCGGCACUUGAGAUGUUAAUCGAGCAAGCGGGCAAUCGUUCGGUCAAUACUUGCGAUGUUAAUCAAGCAAGCGGGCGUUCGGCCAAUAAUUGCAAUGUCAUCGAGCAAGUUUGGUGGGAGGUCGGCUGGCACUUGCGAUGUUAAUCGAGCAAGCGGGCGUUCGGCGGCCGACACUUGCGAUGUUUAAUCGAGCAAAUUUGGCGAGUGUUCGGCCGGCACUUGCGAUGUUAAUCGAGCAAGCGGGCAAUCGUUCGGCCAAUACUUGCGAUGUUAUCGUUCAAGUUUGGUCGGCCGGCAAUUGCGAUGUUAAUCGAGCAAGCGGGCGUUCGGCCAAUACUUGCAAUGUCAUCGAGCAAGUUUGGUGGGUGGUCGGCCGGCACUUGCUAUGUUAAUCGAGCAAGCGGGCGUUCGACGGCCGGCACUUGCGAUGUUUAAUCGAGCAAAUUUGGUGAGCGUUCGGCCGGCAUUGUGUUUGGUAUCAAUCAAUUUUUGUUACCAUAAAUUUAUUAAAACAUUUUAUGAUAAAUAUGUGUCAAAUAGAUAAAACUCUUAUUAAAUUUUUUUAUAAUUUUUUAUCUAUUCAUAUUUUCAACUUAUUCUCAUUCACAAAUAAAUUAUAAAAUUUCAAUACAAACUUAUUGUAAGUGUUUAGAUGUGUAUAAAUACAACGCAAAUCGUAAUAUAGUUAUCCUUAAAACAAUUCCUAAAUAAUUAGACUUAUAAAUUAGACUUUUGAAUAUAAAAAAUUAUCUGGUUCAAUUUUAUUUUAGUUAUUGAUUUUCAAACUGAGAUCUGAGAAUAGAUUAUUAAUUAAAGAUAAAUUAAAUAAAUAAAAAUUAUUUUGAUCAGUUUUUUCAUUUUUUGCUUCAGCAUUUAAUUAUUAGUUUCAUAGACUUUAUUUCAAAUAACCCACUUUAUAUUUUUUAAAUUGUAAUUUAAAACAAGAACUUAAAAAGUAACGUUAUAGUUACUCUAUGGUGUUAAUUUGAAAAUUCUUUUUAACACAAAUCCCCUACGAUAACUACAACAACAUUCAUUGGACAAAAAGGAAGUAUAAAGGGAAAAAAAUAGCAAUCACAAGCUCUCUCCAAAGAGUGAAUGAAUCCUAACAUAUCCGUCAACAAAAUUUUCUACAGUUGAGUCAUUGAAAUUCAAAAACGUUGAUUUACAUCACUGGUGAUGCAGUUCAAGACAAAGGAAUUUCAACAUGUUAUUGAAGAAUGCUAAUAUUCCAGACAAAAAAUGGCCAUCCAGAGAAAGGUACUCUGAGUAUCAACGCUUGACCCAUUGGAAACUUUUUCUUGCUUUUGCCUUUCCUGGUUUUUUCCUUUCUACCACUCGUGAGUCCCUUGUCAGGAAACCAGCUGUUCAAGAUUCAAGAAAAUACUUGCUUAGUUUAAUCAUCGUAGUAGUGCAGCAUAACAUAAAACCCAGCCACAACACAACUAAAAGACUAAUCAAGAGUUUUGUAAUAUGGUAGGAAAACAAAACUGUAACAAAGUAAAUCAACAGAGAAAAAAGGCAAAAAAUGUUAUACCAUUUCUCAGUGAAGGCCGCAAUUCUGGUUCCCAGUUCUGCAGAGCCUUGCUGAUCCCCAAUCGUAUAGCUCCGACUUGCCCUGUUUUCAAGAAACACAUUUCAUUGACACUGAUGUGAACAAUAGCUAAACAAAUGAACUUUGACAAGUUAACCAGUGGGUGGUUCUGUCAAACUUCCAUUGUGCAGAGUUUUCUCAGUGUAGGAUUUCACAGAGGAAGUUGAAUAGAAGUGUCUAUGGAUGAUAAAUCCAAGAUCAAGCAUUUAUUUGUCAAACUUAAAUGUUCUUGCUGGGGUUAGCUCAAGGCCAAAAUUCUAGCAGAAUGCAUUUUGCCCUAAAUAAAACCAGAAAAUAUGAAGACACAAAAGCAAGAGAAAAUAUAACAAUAUGAGAUAGUUGUCUGCUUUUAAUAUUAGUGAAGGGUGUAGUAACGCAGCAUAUACUUAUAAUUCAGUUCACUAUUAUUUCAUUUUUAUUUUCUUCAAUCAACACAGAUAUUUUUCUUGCCUGGUCAAGUAUACAUUAAAGAAAGCUCGUGAUUUCUAUGACAAAGGGAAAUUUCCAUAUUACUAGAAUAGUUCAGCCAAUGUUUCAACUCAACAAUUAAGUUUUCUCAGUAGGUGAAGUUGGCUACAUAGAUCAAAGUUUGGAGGCAGACGUGACAGAGAUGAUGCUCCACAAACUAUAAGAAGUUUUUGCUAACUGAAACUAUACAUGCUUUAGUUAAAAGAUGUAAGAUCAUCAUAUAAGAAGCUUUUGCUAACUAAAACUAUACAUGCUUUAGUUAAAAGAUGUAAGAUCAUCAUAUAAGAAGCUUCUGCUAACUAAAACUAUACAUGCUUUAGUUAAAAGAUGUAAGAUCAUUAUACAAUGGAAGAAGCCAAUGCCAAUGACCAAAUAUAGAAACUAACUAAAAAGUAAUGAACCUCACCUGAAACACCACCUCCUUUCACGGUACAAUACACAUCCCAGAGCCCCAAUGUCUUUGUCUCAGAGAAAGGUCGAAGGAGAGUAGCGCGAUGAUCAAGCAUAGGAAAAUAGACAUCAAACUCUUUAUCAUUGACUAUAAAUUUACCAUUACCAGGCUGAACCCAGACACGGGCAACACUGCAUUUUCUUCUUCCUGUUCCAUAAGCACGACCUUUGUCAUCAACGUGUUUCACUCUAGCCUUUGCAGCUUCCUCCUGCUUCAGCCUCUCCAUUUCACCUCUACUGGAUUUUCUAGUAUUCCUCUCAUACCUCAUGUCUUCAAUUACACUAAGAGGGGGCAACCCAUCAACUCCCUCGAAGUCUUUCAACGCAAUCAAACUGUCAAGCAUUUCAUCCGUGAUUCCAGAAGCAGCAAUCAAAUCACCAAAUGCACGUUUUGGGCCUGCAAUAACAAUCGCAAAAUAACAUCAGUUACCUAAAUAGAGGACUAAACACUGAAUAAACAAAAACAGCUAUCGGUACAAGGUACAAUACAUUUUCAUUCAAUCACAAAACUAAUACAUUCUCACUCAAUUACAAAACUAAUACAUUCUCACUCAAUCACAAAACUGAUACAUUCUCACUCAAUCACAAAACUGAUACAUUCUCAUUCAAUCACAAAACUAAUACAUUCUCACUCAAUCACAAAACUAAUACAUUCUCAUUCAAUCACAAAACAGCAUCAUUUAGGAUAACUAUCAUAAACCUUAAACCUAAAAUUUUAAUGUGGUGUUAAAGCCUAACCUUUGACAACAGCAGUGAGAGCUUGUUCUUCCUUCUCAAGCUGUUCAACAUCUACUUGAGGCUUAGCAUCCACAGCAUGGAUCUCCCUUUCCUGUUCCACAUCCUCUUCCUCUUGGAAAGCAAACACAUCCUCUUUGUCUUCUUCCUUCAAGUUCCAAGGUUUGAAGUCCUCUCCUGCUCGAACUCCAGAAUUCCCACCAUCAAAAGCACCACCUCCACCACCCGCAUCUCCACUUUCCUUCUCGAUCCCUUUAAAUAUAGCAUCCUCGUCUUGCUCAUCGAGACCCUUCUCAUGCAACCACCCCUGUUCUUCCUCUUGCAGCCACCCCCGCUCCUCCCUUUUCCCACCCUCUUCGUUUAUUCCGGAAAUUCCACUCUCCUCCUCCGCCUCGAAUAAAGCGCCGUACUUUUCCUCGGUCUCCCCGAAUUCGUUCCACAAACGGGACGAUAGGGGAUCCUUGCCAUCACUGCUGCCGCCGCUGUUGGUGGAGAAGUGUUUGGGAACAACGAAGGUGGUGAAGUUGGGUUUCGCAGGUGCGUGGGGCGGUUUCAACGGAAGAGAGAGGAAGCGACGGAGGUGAGAGGGUUUAGGGAUUAACCGAGAAAGCAUGGUGAUGAAGCGAGUGAAUGUGAAGUUGAAUUAUAGAGUGAAAGUGAUAUCAUUCAUUCGCGCAUUGCGAGAGAAGAGAGUCGUCGGAGAGUUGACGGCGGCGAUCGGAGUGAGUGGAAGAGUGAGAAAUGGAAGGACUACUAAGCUUGGGAUUAGGUUUACAGAACCAGGGACCAAACCGUCGUCGUUUAAUUUCUUUGUUGUUCGAAUAACGAAACAGGGUUUAACGGUCUGUUUAUUUUGUUACACUUAUUUAUUUAGGUGAUGAAAAGCAAACAAAAACAACCACUAGGGAAAAACGGGUGUUUUUUUUUAUCAAAAUGAAGUAAUUUGGUUUCAAAAUUACAUAAAUGAAAACAAAAUUAUGGUUAUGAAUAAGUCUUCAUCCAAAAUAAGUGUGUUACCUAAACAUUUUUUUUUUUGAUCAGCAACGAAUUAAUAAAAUUAAGUGAAGCACUUUAGGGGUGUUCCAACCCUUAUACAUUACCCUCCUAAUUAAGCAUUUAGCAAUUAAAACAAAGUUAAGCGGCUCCCCACUUAACUCAAAAAACUUAAAGCUAGGGUACAUCAUUACGUUUAUGCAGCAACAAAGCCCGAAACUGGUGAUUGGCGAUGUUGGUCCCGACUUACAAAAGGAUAAAGAACUGGGCGAGACCGACCGACCGAUGGUCGAAACCAUCGGAGAGGUGGCCGACCGACUGAGAUGUCGAGACCCUCAGGAACAUGGCCGAACGACAGAGGUGGCAAGACCUUCGAGAUUUUGGACGAACGACCGAAGGUCAAUACCUUUGGACGAACGACCGACCGUCAAGACCUUCCCUUAGACCUUUUGCCCGAACUUUCCAGCCUUCUUCUUUUUCACUCAGUCCCAAGACCUGAGACACCAUUUUGAUCCAGCUUUCUCUGCUAAGUCCUAACAUCCACCUCUCACUCUCCAUUACAACAUUCAGCAGCAAAGUGGUGAUGUUGCACCCUCCACCGUGGCAUACGAAUGCCUUUGUUCACCAUCAAACUACCAUGACCCAGGUCUGCUCCCAUCAUACUUCGUCGUCCUCCACUGAGAUUUGAGUGACUUCAGGCGCUCCAUGCUGGGUAUAAGUAUCUCAGUGCUUUAUACCAGCACUUACACAGAUGUACCUGCAUAAACUUCAGCAAACAUUAGAUAAAAAGCCUCCCUCCAAUCCACCUGCCAAACUACAACCUCUCUACCAUCCAAUCCCCUUCCAUGUAAAUUAGGACGACUCUUCACAGAUAAGAAGGCUUUGGAUAAACCCGAUUCAAGGAAUCAGAGGACCUUUAGAAACAAUAGCGUAGCAGAUUUAACCACACAGUACUGGUAGUGAAAAAACACAUCCACUCUCAGAUUGCCCAGGAUACAAAUGGUCCAGACCCUCUCAAGACUCUUAGAACCAUAACAGAGGACAACAUCAAGAUCAGACAGGAUGUGGCAUUUUACUUCAAGAAGCUCACACAACCACACGAACCUAAAACCUUAUUGCUCCAUGUGCAGUAUGUAACCCCUGUAGCUACCCGGGUUGUUGCCAUCACAUUCAAGCACAGCACAGCACAAGAUUAUUAACAUACGUGCCAAACCUUCCUACUGUGAAAAACCUGACCAGCUAUACAGGGAACCAAGUCUGAUGCAGCAUUUUACACUACAAAUGAGCUUCCUAGAACUCAAAUCAGAUUCGCACCAAAACCACCUUCUGCCAUCAAGAGCAGAUCACUACUUAAUGCUUCUUGGAUAUUCUGGCAAGCCUCAUUGCUGCUCUUGUUAUUACCUCCUCUGCAUAUAAAACUGAUCCUGCAGCCCCAAACUCCUCUCCUCAAGAACACCUUCGAGCGUCCGUCACUUAAAACUUCUGAUACAGAUGAGGGGAUUUAGGAUCCAAUCGGCCAGAGAAUAAGACCAGCGGUGACCUCUGUGCUUCAGCCAUUGCCAUGCUUUGAGUUGGGCCAUCGAAAAAGUCUCUUCCGCAUCAACAACACCUUGUUUGAAAACAACCGAAUUCCUAUGCUCCCAAAUGCUCCUUACAACACACGCCCAAACUCCUUUCCACACGAGGUUUUGUUGGCUAUUCAGAUGAGGCAAGAAGAAGUUUUCGAAGUGCAUCAUAAGGACGUUGUGCUGCACAAAAGAGAUACCGAUCCAUGUAAAACAUGAUCUCCACACUUUCUGGGCGAAGGGACAUUCCAUGAAAAUGUGUUGGCAAGAUUCCUCCUUUGAUUGACAAAGCUCACAUAAGACUGUGUUAAGCAUCACUCCCCUCCUCCUCAAAUCAACUUUGGUUGGGAUUCUACCUAGGAGGACCCUCCAAGCAGUUGUUAUAAUAUUGGGGAAGGCUUUGAUUCUCCAUAGCUGCUCGAAAACUUCGUGGCGUGGACUACUUACCUGUUUGGCUAAGCAAUCAUAUGCAGAAGGGACAGAAAAGGAUCCCGAGCCAUCACACCCCCACGUCUGAACGUCCUUAUGACCCCUUACCGGACUAACUCGGGAUAGGAGAUGGACAAGGUUUGCUUCCAACGGUGAUUCCCAUUCAUACCUAUCCCUUCUCCACCUUAAGUUCCACCUCCAAACGGCGCUUACCCACUCCCCAACCUCACUCACCGUUAGGCCUUGGACCAAGGACAAGGAGAACAACCUUGGGUAGAGGGUUUUGAGAUUGGUAUUGCCAAUCCACACAUCCUCCCAGAAGUUCACUUUUUCACCACCUCCUACCUUCCAUACAAGUUGAUUUUUGAACCACCCUCCUCCUUCUCCCUCUGUGCACACUUUUAUCAAAUCUCUCCACCACCAUGAUUGGGAUUUGACUGGACCAGUCGAGCGAUCCAGAUUCAUCCCAUACUUUGAGAUCAACAAAUCUUUCCACCUCCCCUUUUCUUCCGAUACCAUCCGCCAUCUCCAUUUGGCUAGGAGGGCGAUAUUAAACAUCCGAAUAUCUCUGAUCCCCAGACCACCCUCCUCCUUCGGUUUGCAAACAAUUUCCCAGCUAACCCAGGGUAUCGACCUCUUCUCCUUCCCCCAUCCCCACAAGAACCUUCGCUGGAUGCUGAUAAUGCUCUUAUAUACAGAUUCCGGUGCUUUGAAGAUAGAGAGAUAGUAUAGCGGAAUCGCAGAGAUAACCGACUUGAUAAGGCAAAUUCUCCCUGCCAUUGACAGAAAUCUACCUUUCCAGACAUUGAGUCUAGCUUUGAGCUUGUUUAGCACCGGUUCCCAGAACUUCACCUUCCUUGGAUUCCCCCCCACUUCUAAUCCAAGAUAUUUAAACGGGACUCCCAUCUGGGCACAACUCAGUGUUUUUGCAUAGCUUGCCAGAGCAUAGUUAUCCACAUUCACACCUGCUAUCUUUGACUUAUGGAAAUUUAUCUUUAAGCCUGAUGCUAAUUCAAACCCCCUUAGGAUCGCCUUCACUGCCACAACAUUACUGUAUGACGCUUCACAAAGAAAGAGGGUGUCAUCUGCGAAUUGCAUGAUGCUAAUCUCCACCUCUCCUCUACCGAACUUGACGCCCGAUAACAAAUUGGCCUUGUUCGCUUGCCUAACUAGCCCUGCUAGGCCUUCAGCGACCACAAUGAAGAGGAACGGUGCUAGCGGGUCACCUUGCCUCAAACCUCUGGAUGGUUUGAAUUCCUCCGUAGGGCUCCCAUUAACUAGAACAGACACAGAGGCUGAUUCCAAACAGCCUCUUAUCCACAACACCCACUUCCAGUGGAAACCCAUUUUGUAGAGCAUAUCAUACAUGAACUCCCACCGCACCGAGUCAUAUGCUUUUUCAAAAUCCACCUUCAAGCAUAUCCCGCUCCUCUCUCGCCUUCUGAGGUCCUCUACCACCUCAUUGGCCAUGAGUACACUAUCUAAAAUCCCUCUCCCCUUUAAAAAAGCAGAUUGGCUUUCGUCAAUAACGGAGUUCAACACUUUCUUUAUUCUUUCAGCCAACACUUUCGCUAUAACUUUGUAUAGAGCCCCCACUAGUGAGAUGGGUCGGUACUGCUCCAACGAACAGGGGUCCUUCACCUUUGGAACCAAAGCUAUGAAGGAUGCAUUACAGCCCUUAGGAAUAGACCCUGUAUCGUGGAACACAGCCAAGGCCUUAACAAACUCGUCUUUUAGGAACUCCCAACUUUCCUUGAUAAAGUUAAAAUUGAACCCAUCGGGUCCUGGGCUCUUAGAACCUUCACAGUGCCACACCGCGUCCUUGACUUCAUCUUCCUUGAAACCAGAAGUAAGAAACAGGUUGUCUUCUGGAGAUAUAGUUUUGAACUCCACUCCAUCAAGUCUAACCCCGAAAUCCCUUGUUGCUUUAAACCUGUCCUCAAACAACUUCUUAGCCUCUGCUCGAACCGUAGCAGGCUCCUCACACCACUGACCCCCAACCUCAACACCUUUUACUUCGUUUCUGAGCCUUCUCCAUCUCAAAGAGGAGUGAAAGAAUUUUGUACACGAGUCACCAUACUUGAACCAACAAGCUCUAGCUUUUUGACUAAUGAGGGAGUCUAUCUUUCUGUCAACCUCCCCUAGCUGACUCAGUAAAUCCAGUCUCUCCAUCCUCCCCCUACCCUCCGAGCCUCCAUCCUCAUCUUGAUUAUCAAAAGCCUCGAUUUCACGCAAGAUUCCAUCCUUAGUUGUAUUGAGAUUGCCGAACACUUCUCUAUUCCAGAUUUUCAAAUCCCCUUUGAGCAGCUUCAGCUUACCCUUAAGGUUCAAGAUGGCGUUCCUUUCGGCUGGAUAAGCUUGCCACUUUCCCUUCACCAUCCCGUUGAACCCUCUAUCCAUAUGCCAGGCAUCGAUGUUUCGGAAGGGUUUGGGUCCCCAGUCCUUAUCCAAGGCCUUCACCACCAAAGCACAAUGAUCGGACACUUCCCUCUGUUGGACAUACUGUUUGCAGUUUGGCCAUAUACUCAACCACUCCUCGGUGACAAGAAUUCUAUCAAGCCUGCUCAUAGCCGACCCAUUUGCUCUAAACCACGUGUAAGCUUUCCCUACUAUAGGAAGGUCCAGAAGCAUAUUAGAUUCAAUAAAACAAUUGAGUGUGUUACCUAAACAUGAUUCUUUAUUUUUUACUUUUUAAGUGAAAUCAUCUUUGAUAUAAGCUGAGUAUAAUUUUAUUUAUAUAUUUCAAGUUUUAAGUGUAUGUAUGAAUAAAUUUACUAUUUUAAUUGAAAUUUAUUUUAUUUGAUUUAUUUUAAUUUUAAUUGUUAUUUAGGUUAUGUACUGGCUAGUAAACCGACCGACCGAAAGACCGAAAGGUUUUGAGGUUUUGUUGCUAAUAAAGAUAAACCGACCGACCGAAAGGUAUCCUAUAAUAGAAGUGUGUAAACAAUAAAUAAGGUACAGAAAGAAGGUCCAGCAGGCCCAAAAGCUAAAGAGAAAGCCCAUUGAACAAACUCUAUAAAUAUGAGGCCAGAGCAAGAAAAAGGUAAGAAUAUUUUUCACCUACAAAGCUUAAACCGCUAUCUGACUUUGGCAUCGGAGCAAUUUUCAGGUACCACCCACCUGUCAGAGCGAGAGGACCGAAAGUCUUGACCAAGAAGAGAGGACCGAAAGUCUUGACCAAGAAGAGAGGACCGAAAGCUUUGACCUAGAAGAGAGGACCGAAAGCCUCGACCCAGUCGAGACGACCGAGAACUCCUGCCGAGACGAGAAGCUGUGGUAGACCGAAGGAUUUGUCUUGUCAAUCUGUUGUGAACGUCUUGGCUCCUUUUUGUAAGAACAGGUUAAUUUUAUGUUUUCAAUCAAAUAAGACGGUUUCUUUAGUGGUUAUACGUAUCUAAUAGGAAUGUCUGACUAUAUAAUCAGUAUGAUUUGUCUACCGCUGAAUAGCUCGAAUAAUGCAAAAAAAUCUAAGUUGUUUAUCUGAAUAAAAAACGAAAUUGAGAAAAAUAAUCAGAUAAUAAAAUUUACAAUAUAUCUUAAAUAUAUUUGGAAGUAAAUCACCCCAAAGAUACAAGGUAUGCAUGCAAUUAAAUGGGAAAAUUCAAUGAUUCUUGAAAAUUGGAAAUAAAAAACUGUAAACAUAAUAUAAACUGUUCCUGCUAGGGAGAUGGGACCUAGAGAACUGUUGAAGUCUUCUUCUCCUUCCUUCGGUCGGGCAGGUGACUGGGUGAUGAACUGGGGUUCUUCUCGGCACUCGGCACUCGGCACUCGGUCGUCUGGUGAACACCGGAUGGUGGGGGUACCUGCGAAGGCACUCCGACGCUCAAGUCAGUAAAGCGGGCGGUCGGCUCUCAGAGUGAUAAAUGUCAGCUCUCAGAGUGAUAAAAUGACAUACCUUACUCCUGGAAAUGAGUGCUAUUUAUACUAUUCUAGUGGGCCUACCUUGUUGGGCCUGUUUAUCGAGGUGGGUACCGCUUAGGAUUGCAUUACCUAAUUCUUGAUGAUGGAUUAGCUUCACUGAUCUUGGUUUGAGCGUUAAUUGAAAUGGGGUUCGGCCGUCGGCCAAAUACCCGUGGUCUCGACAUCUCAGUCGUUCGGCCAAGACUCCAAAGGGCUCGACAUCUCUCUCGUUCGGCCAAGACUCCAAAGGUCUCGACAUCUCUCUCGUUCGGCCAAGGCUCCAAAGGUCUCGACAUCUCAGUCGUUCGGCCGUUCGGCCCAGUACCGGUACACUUGCCCCCCAGGCUCAAGGGCAGAUGUGUUAGAUAUGUCCGAUGAGUCUUUAAUGAUGGGUGUCGGUCGGUUUCCCUUGAUCGUGCGGCUAUUCCAUUUAUCGAUGUGUGACGUGACCCUCGGUGUGAUCAAAUAAGUUGGAUUUGGGCGGUCAGCCUUUUAAUUGUGAUUUUAAUCGAACAAGAAUGGGCGGUCGGCCAUUUAAUUGUGAUCUUUAAUCGAACAACUAAGGAUAGGUGGCCAGCUAUUACUUGCGAUGAUAAUCGAGCAAGUGUAGGUGGCGAUCGGCCGGUACUUGCGAUGAUAAUCGAGCAAGCGUAGUGGGCGGCCGGCAAUUACUUGCGAUGAUAAUCGAGCAAGUGUAGGUGGCGAUCGGCCGGUACUUGGGAUGAUAAUCGAGCAAGCGUAGUGAACGGCCGGCACUUGCGAUGAUAAUAGAGGGUGUCAGAUAUGUCCGAUUAGUCUUUGAUGAUGGGAGUGGGUGGUCGCUUCGUUUUUCGAGGUGUGACUUGACUAGGCGGCGUGACAUGAUUUCAGACUGCGCGACGUGACGCGCAUUGAUGAGGGGUUUUUUGGGCGGGGGUUUUUGUGGACCGUUAGAUCUACUGGAUCCAAUGGUUGAGAUUGGUUUGUUGUUUCACGUUUUGAGGCCCAUGAGCCCUAUAUAUAGAGGUCCACCAGUGUCACAUUCUUGUUUUUUCUAUUGGAGCGAGCGAACUGGUAGCCCAGAGAAAGUUUAGUCAUGUCGAGCCGGUCUCGGUCGGCAUCUUCAUCAUUUGGUCGAACGCCUUCUCCCACCCUUGGGUCGUCUUCCUUUUCUUCCUCUUCAUCUUCUACCACCGGCCCUUUAUCGGUUAGUUUGGCUGGGGCGCCACUCAUGGUAGAGGUGGUAAGGGGUGAACACCCGGUUAACGCGAGGUGGAUCUUAGCUGGGUGGAUCCUAAGGUUGCGGAGUUCUCGUCCGCUUAUGAUACUGAGAAGUCUGUGGCCAAGUUUUUGGCUGAGUACCCCCCUUGGCUCCAGCUCCCGAACGACCGAAGCUCCCUCAUGGAUAUGUUGAUUUGUUCGGCCGAACGACCGAACGACCGACACUCCCCCCUCAAUGUUCGGCCCGUCGUCCUUACUCAGGAGCACUCCAUCUCCUACUUCCUCUUUUUUUUUUGAUCAGCAACGAAUAAAUAGAAUAAAAUGAAACACUUUAGGGGUGUUCCAACCCUUAUACAAAGACCUCCUAAUUAAGCAUUUAGCAGUUAAAACAAAGUUAAGCGGCUCCCCACUUAACUCAAAAACUUAAAGCUAGGGUACAUCAUCGCGUCUAUAUGAUAACCUGGGGUAACAUUUUCCUUAAGCAGUAACAUAGCCAUAAACUGGUAGAAGAAGAACGACCGAGUGGUCGAAACCUACGGAAAGAUGGCCGAACGACCGAGAUGACAAGGCCCUCGGGGACAUGGCCGAACGACAGGAAUGACGAGACCUUCUAGGACUUGGGCGAACGACCGAGAGGUUAAGACCUUCCCGUACGGCCGAAAGUCCAGACCUACUCUAUGACCUUCUGCGCAAACUUCCAGCCUUCUUCUUUUACUCCAAAGCUCGAACCUCCAGCAAAGUCUUUUAUGCAGUCCCAAUACCUGAGGCUGCAUAACACCAGCAUGACACAAGUCCUAGAGAUGAUUUGUAGAACCCCAAGUACACCUCCAGAAGCUAUUCCUACUGCAACCCCAUUCUAUUACUAAAGUUACAUCAGAUUUCCUUUCCCUAACCAUCAUGCACUCAUCAACAUAUAAGACAAGCAGGCCUCCCAUUUCCUACCUCGCUACCUCACAACACUGAUUUAAACAACAUAACAGAACAGAACACAUAACAGUACACAUAAAACAUAACAGCUUCUACUAAAAAGAACAGAGGUACUACACUGACUUAAACAAUCAGGCUAUCCCUUACAGCUCCAUCAGUCUCCUACUUCCUCUUGGACUAGCGAAUGGGAUAACCCAUUGCCAAGAUGGGCCAUCCGGUUUUCUUCGUGGCCCAAAAAACCAGAGGGUUCGUGCUGAGUGCAACUUAACUCCUCAUCCACAACUAACUUGGCUACGUCAGCCCGAGGGUUGGUACUAUUGUGCGAAGCUGUUUAUUGUGCGAAGCAGUACCGGUUCUCUAUCCUAUAUAAGUCGAGACCAACAUCGUCUACUACCAGUUUAUGGCCAUGUUACUGCUUAAGGAAAAAGUUACCCCAGGUUAUCACAUAGACGCGAUGAUGUACCCUAGCUUUAAGUUUUUGAGUUAAGUGGGGAGCCGCUUAACUUUGUUUUAACUGCUAAAUGCUUAAUUAGGAGGUCUAUGUAUAAGGGUUGGAACACCCCUAAAGUGUUUCAUUUUAUUCUAUUAAUUCGUUGCUGAUCAAAAAAAAAAUUGUGCGAAGCUGUGGGCCCGUGGCUACAGGUUUUCAGGAUCGCCGCUUCGUCAGAGGCUAUCUGAUGUACUGUUUCCACAUUGGUGAAACUCUUAGCACUGACCCUCUGACUGACUAGACCCUUAGAGGUUGCUUCCCCUCGAACCAAGCCUUUUGUCGUUUUCUCUUGACCCUCACCGACACCUACCACCUCCCUUCCGAUUUGGACAUCUUCACCGUUAACUUCACCACCGAUCACCUCCCCCCUAUGCCACUGCCUUAUCCGACCCCGAACUUUUCCUUCCUCUUCACAACUAUUCACAGAGGCAGUAUCCUCUACAUAGGUUUCCGACGAGGAAACACUAUCCGAGGAGCCAACAUCAUCAUAGAUGCACCUGCAUGAACCUCUAUUCCCACAUAUAACUUCUUCUUCUAUAAGGAUACUAUAAAGAUUAUUGUUGAUCUUCAUGUCUGCCGCCAUCCUUACACUCUGACUCUUUGGCAUCCUGACUUGAAGAAUAGCAUACUCCAAGUUCUCCCAUAGGAGAGUGGCUUUGCCGAUAGACACUAUUGUUGCCUUAUCUCCCACCACUUUAGAGAAGCACUCCUUGUUCCAGAGAGAAAGGUAACUUUUAAGUGCGUCCUUGAAACGAAAAAUAAAAAACUCUGUUUUUUCAGUAAUAACGGGUUUAAAAAAUUUCAUAAAAAUAUAUUGGAAAUUAGUUUAAUUAGGAUUCAAUUUUCAGGAAAUUUGUGCCUCGUUCGGCAUCAGAAUUAUCAUUACUUUAAUGCAAUCAGAAUUAUUUAUGCCUCGUUCGGCAUUAGAAUUAUCUUAUUACUUUAAUGUAAUCGAAAUUAUUUAUGCCUCGUUCGGCAUCAGAAUUAUCUUAUUACUUUAAUGUAAUCGAAAUUAUUUAUGCCUUGUUCGGCAUCCGAAUUAUCUUAUUACUUUAAUGUAAUCGGAAUUAUUUAUGCCUCGUUCGGCAUCAGAAUUAUCUUAUUACUUUAAUGUAAUCAAUUAUUUAUGCCUCGUUCGGCAUCAGAAUUAUCAUUACUUCAAUGUAAUCGGAAUUAUUUAUGCCUCGUUCGGCAUCCGAAUUAUCAUUACUUUAAUGUAAUCGGAAUUUUUUUGCCUCGUUCGGCAUCAAAAUUAUCUUAUUACUUUAAUGUAAUCAGAAUUAUUUAUGCCUCGUUCGACAUCAGAAUUAUCUUAUUACUUUAAUGUAAUCAGAAUUAUUUAUGCCUCGUUCGGCAUCACAAUUAUCUUUACUUUAAUGUAAUCAGAAUUAUCUAUACCUCGUUCGGCAUCAGAAUUAUCUUAUUACUUUAAUGUAAUCAGAAUUAUUUAUGCCUCGUUCGGCAUCAGAAUUAUCUUAUUACUUUAAUGUAAUCAGAAUUAUUUAUGCGUCGUUCGGGAUCAGAAUUAUCUUAUUACUUUAAUCACAUCAGAAUUAUUUAUGCCUCGUUCGGCACACGAAUUAUCUUAUUACUUUAACGUAAUCAGUAUUAUUUAUGCCUCGUCCGGCAUCAUAAUUAUUCAGAAUUAUUUAUGCCUCGUUCGGCAUCACAAUUAUCUUUACUUUAAUGUAAUCAGAAUUAUCUAUACCUCGUUCGGCAUCAGAAUUAUCUUAUUACUUUAAUGUAAUCAGAAUUAUUUAUGCUUCGUCCGGCAUCAGAAUUAUCUUAUUAUUUUAAUGUAAUCAGAAUUAUUUAUGCCUCGUUCAGCAUCAGAAUUAUCUUAUUACUUUAAUGUAAUCAGAAUUAUUUAUGCCUCGUUUGGCAUCAGAAUUAUCAUUACUUUAAUGCCUCGUCUUGACCUUUCGGUCGUCCGUCCAAGUCCUCGAAGGUCUCGACAUCUCUGUCGUUCGGCCAACUCUCCGAAUGGUUCGACCUUUCGGUCGUUCGGCAUGUAGUCGAAUUUUUUCUCAAUUAACAAGAACAAUACCCAACUACUAACUAACUACGUACACAAAUACCAUACCUACCACACAUCAAGCAACCAAGAUUCUCAUCACAUACAAACUACAAUUGUUUUGGUGUUAGAAUUAAGGCUAGUUGAAAUAUUGCGUAGAUAGAUAAAAGAAAUUGGGGCUUUUUUUUCUCUCUAUAAUUCAACCAAAAUAAAGGAAUAAAUAGCCACGGAGGUCAUUAUCAUAUUGAACUGAACUCGUUUCAUAAGAGAAUGUUACUUUCUACAAUCAUACUGCAAUUAUUAUCAUUAUUUUAAUUUUUUUGAAAUGUGAAGAUGAGAGCAAACCUUAUUCUCAUUCAAUGUUACAGGCAGCAAUAAGUGCAAUUUGAAUGCAAAUGAGAAAUUGAGAUCCUAACUAGUAAUCGGAAAAAAAAUCGGUACCUUUACAUACUGAGAAUGAGAGGUUGAGAAGUGCACCGUCACCGUCAAACCCUCGCAACGUUCAACCAAGAAACAGAGAGAGAAAGAUGGAUGAUUUUGGAAGGAAAAGAGAAGAAUGGAGGAAAUUGGGGAUUUAGGGCACGCUUUGAAGUAAGGACAUCAAUGCUAAACGCUCUCAGAGCUUUUCCAACAAGGGUUUAGUUUUAUAGAUGUUAUUUAUUUUUAUAUAAAUUAUUAUAAACAAGAUUGCUUAAUUAUUAAAAAUAUAGUAUUUUAAAAUAAAUGUUUUUUUGACCUGAAAAAAUAAUUGGAAUCCCCUAAAAGUAAAUUAGGAAGUGCAAUUGCAAUUUUAUAUUGGAAUCAAAUUAAUAGUUAAAUCUUAUAUGAAAACAUGUGGCUCACUAAAAAAAGAAAAUACAUUGAAGAUGCUACAAAUUUAAUAGUUAAAAAGGAAAAGUAUAUUGAUAAUAUAAACUUUUUACAUUGAUAAUGCAUAAUAAAUUUGUUGGCUUUUACUUUUAAAACUAUAAUAACGAUUAUUUGUGACUAUGAAGAAUGAUGUCAAAUUAUCAUUUUCUCUAGUAAAACACGAUUAAGUUUUAAUCUCACAAAUUUCCUGAAAAUUGAAUCCUAAUUAAACUAAUUUCCAAUAUAUUUUUAUGAAAUUUUUUAAACCCGUUAUUACUGAAAAAACUGAGUUUUUUAUUUUUCGUUUCAAGGACGCACUUAAAAGUUACCUUUUGUUAAAGCUAAAAGAAAUUAUAAAGUAGAAGUUAUUUAUCCUUUUUUUAUUUUUGAAAAUUAUUUUUAGCUUGAAAGUGGUUUGAUAAAUUUUUUAAAGAAAUUAUAAAUUUUAUGAAAUAUUUUAAACACAAUAAAAAAUACUAAAAUAUAAAAAAAGAUUUUAAUUAUUUUUAAUAAAGAUUAACAAAUAUUAUUUGUACUGGGCCGACCGAAAGCAAUAUAUUGGGACGACCGAAAGCUAUGAAAGAAAGCAAUAUAUUGGGACGACCGAAAGCUAUGAAAGAAAGUAAUAUAUAUUGGGCCGACCAAAAGCUAUGAAAGAAAGUAAUAUAUAUUGGGCCGACCGAAAGCUGUGAAAGAAAGUAAUAUAUAUUGGGCCGACCGAAAGCUGUGAAAGAAAGUAAUAUAUAUUGGGCCGACCGAAAGCAAUGGCCCGACCGAAAGCUAUGAAAGAAAUAGAAUAGAAUGGAAAUUAUUAUUAAGCGACCGAAAGCAACGGACCGACCGAAGGCAAAAGCCUAUGCCCAAUUAGGUCCAAAUAUGCGGGUGUAUGUAGUAAAGGCUUGAUACAAAGAGAAAACGUCCAAAUAACUUCUGGGCCCAAUAAAAGAGUAGUAUAAAUACAGGGUCAUCCUGAGAGGUGAGGUAAGUGAAAGAGACUCUGACAUCUUUUCAAACUGAAUCUAACUUUGGCAUCGGAGCACCUUUCAGGUACGCACACCCGUCCGUGAGAGGAAGCCGAGACUAAAAACCGAAAGAUCAUACCGAGAAGGGAGUUUGGAAGCGCUGGCCGAGAGGUCGAUCUGUGGAAGCCGAAAGAAGUGUGUUUCUAGGCCCUUGUAAGAACAUUUUGGCGCCCACCGUGGGGCCGAGAAACAAGAUGAGCGAAGGAGGAGAACAUCCCAGAGAACAAGAAGAUUGUCAGAACGCCAUGACUAUGGCUAUGUUAAUACAAUUGCAAGAGGAAUUUGAAACACUGAAGAAGAGUAAUGAAGAGGAGUUGAGCGUGUUGAGAGCUGAGAAUGCUAGCAUGAGGCAAAGAUUGAAUGGAGAAGCCGUGUUAAAUGCUUCUCUUGAAACUUUUCCGCCGAGAAAUUUCACAAAUGAAAGAGAGAAUAAGGAAGAGAGUUUCGGGGUUACACAAAGGAAGAUACCUGAGACUUCCGAUGUCGCUGUGGAAACGCCAGCCAGAAGACACCCGUUUUCUGAGACUAUAAUAGAGACCCCGUUACCUGACAAUUGGAAGAGUCUAACAAUAGAGAAGUAUGAUGGGAGCACAGAUCCGGAUGAACAUGUUGCAAUAUACACAACUCAAAUAAGUCUGUACACGUGGAACGACGCCAUUCUAUGUAGGGUUUUCCUGACUACCUUGAAAGGAGCCGCUUUGAGCUGGUUUACCCGGCUACCACCCUUAUCUGUUGAUUGUUUUGACACUUUGAUAGAAAAGUUUGGAGCUCAAUUCGCUACAAGCAGACCACAUCACUUAACAUCUAUAGCUCUCGUAAACAUAAGACAAGAACAGAAUGAGUCACUGCGAGCUUUUAUGGAACGCUUUGGAAGGAUGGCUUUAAGCAUUAGAAACCUCAGUCCGGAAGUUUCUAUGCAUCAUAUGAUAACUGCCUUGAAACCGGGACCAUUCGCCGAUAGCUUGUGCAAAAAACCGGCCGAAAGCCUUGAUGAAUUAAGACGGCGUGCAGCAAAGUUCAUGCAGAUGGAAGAGUUAAGGGACUUCAGAAAUCAAGCAAGGAUGGACGUGAAGAAUGAGAGGAAAACAAAUGAAAGGGAGGCAGGAUAUCAAGGCAGACGUUUCAGAGAGGAACCCCGAAGCCGAAAGUUUCAACAAUACACACCAUUGAGCACAACUCGGACCCGAAUACUUCAAGAGGCGAUGGCAACCGAAGUAAUGCCGCCACCAGCAAAAGCACGAACCCCAGAGCGGGCUGACCGAAAUAAACAUUGCCAGUACCAUAAAAAUCAUGGCCAUCACACUGAAGAAUGUAUAGGCCUGAAGGACCGAAUUGAAGAGUUAAUCCAGGCGGGACAACUAAAACGCUUUCUGGGAGUCAGAAGAAUGAAGGCCAGUCAAAGUCCAGAACAAUAUGUCAGAAAUAGAGGAGAAAAAUUUAGAAGAACGACUGAUACACAAAACGACCGACAGGAGAGAAAAGCAGAAAGAAACGAAAAAGGAGACCUAAGAAGUGGACGAAGUCACCAUUCCCAAGAAAGAAGGAGCCGACAACGCAGCUUGGGAAGGCCGGUUCGGGGGUUCGUCAAUACCAUUUCUGGAGGUUUUCCGGGAAAGGACGCACACAGUACCAUGACUGUCAACCAUGUUUUCAAAACAAGGAGUUUGCCGCCUAUGUUAUUUACUGAUGAAGAUUUCCAGGAUAUUGACCCUGAUCAACGUGACCCAAUGGGGAUAACAGUUGAAAUUGCCAAGUACGCGAUAAUGAAAACUCUUGUAGAUCAAGGCAGUUCAGUUGAUAUUCUGUUCUGGGAAACCUUCCAAAAGUUAUAUCUGAAAGAACAGGACAUGGUCUCUGUGAAAGAGCAAAUAAUUGGGUUUUCAGGUGAAAAGGUUGAAACCAAAGGAUACAUUGAUCUGCCGACAACUUUCGGUAGAGGAAAUGCGACGAAAACAAUUACAAUCAGAUACUUGGUGGUAGAUACUCGUACUUCUUAUAAUGCCCUCUUGGGAAGAUCUUCGUUAAAUGAGUUAGGAGCUAUAGUGUCGACACCACAUUUGGCAAUGAAAUUUCCCACUGAAUGGGGUGACAUAGCAACUAUAUGUCAACCAAAAGGCAGCCAAAGAGUGUUAUGCGACCGGAUUGAAAAUGGUCCAAGAGCCGAGAGUUUCGACCCGAAGAACGAGAGCAAGAAACAUGGUUGCAAUGGUAGACUUGGAUCCCAGAAUGAAUGAUGAUGAACGAAUGGAACCAAGAGAAGAAAUUACAUCGCUUCAAUUAGGCGAAGAUGAAACCCAAUGUACAUACAUUGGGGGAAGCAUGCCUGAAAAGAUAAUUGACGAUUUGGUAGCAGUAAUAAGAACGAACAAAGACUUGUUUGCCUGGAAGGCGUCGGACAUACCGGGAAUUGACCCUAACAUUGUUUCUCACAAAUUAUCUGUUUGCCGAGAAGCCAGGCCGAUAGCUCAGAAACGGAGGAAGUUGGGAGAAGAAAAACGAAAGGCUGCUCUUGGAGAAACCGAGAAAUUGUUACAAGCCGGUUUCAUUAAAGAAAUCCAGUAUACGACCUGGUUGGCGAAUGUAGUACUAGUCAAGAAGGCAAACGGAAAUUGGAGGAUGUGUACUGAUUAUACAGAUUUGAAUAAGGCAUGUCCGAAAGAUUCAUAUCCAUUGCCGAGUAUUGACAGGUUGGUUGAUGGGGCAUCGGGCCAAGCCAUGAUGAGUUUUUUGGAUGCUUACUCCAGCUACAAUCAAAUACAAAUGUAUGAACCCGACAUCCCGAAAACUGCGUUCACCACCGAUAUGGCCAACUACUGCUACCAGGUCAUGCCUUUCGGUUUAAAAAACGCUGGGGCCACAUAUCAAAGACUGAUGGAUACGAUGUUCAAAAAACAAAUAGGAAAGAAUAUGGAAGUUUAUGUGGACGAUAUGAUCGUCAAGUCACAGGCGGACGAUAACCAUGUACAAGAUCUUGAAGAAGUAUUUGCUCAGGUCAGGAAGUAUAACCUGCGAUUAAAUCCAGAAAAAUGUGUUUUUGGAGUCAAAGGUGGGAAGUUCCUUGGUUUCAUGUUGACUAACAGAGGAAUUGAAGCAAAUUCAGAUAAAUGCGAAGCAAUAAUGAAUAUGAGAAAUCCGGCAAAUCUGAAAGAAGUUCAGAGGUUGAUGGGAAGGUUAAAUGCAUUGGCACGGUUUUUGCCCACACUUGCCGAAAAAUCAAAACCAAUAUGUUAAGGAAGGCCGAAACAUUCACAUGGAAUGCACAAUGCGAGCAAGCUUUUGCAACCAUUAAAGAGACAAUAGCAAAGCCUCCCAUCCUGGUCAAACCUGUGUCAACUCUGCCUAUCAUCGUCUAUCUCGCUACUUCUCACGAAGCCAUAGGAGCAGCCUUGAUACAGGAAAAUCCGGAACAAAAACCGGUAUACUUCGUGAGCAGAGUCCUUCAAAGCGCCGAAACCAGAUACCAACACGUUGAGAAAAUCGCCCUAACUCUUGUAUACGCAGCAAGACGACUCCGGCCAUAUUUUCAGAAUCACCAAGUUAUUGUCAGAACCGAUUGCCCAAUAGCCAAAGUAUUGAGAAAACCUGAACUGGCCGGACGAAUGGUGACAUGGUCAAUAGAGUUGUCUGAAUUUGGAAUCAAAUAUGAGCCAAGAGGAGCCAUCAAAGCACAAGCGCUAGCAGACUUCAUUAUCCAGAUGCCAACAGCUGAAACCGAUCAUGAAGCGUGGAUCGUAUCCGUUGACGGAUCAUCUAGCAAGAAAGGCGGUGGUGCAGGAAUCGUGCUAGAAGGACCAGGAAAUUUUCAUUUGGAAAUGGCCCUAAAAUUUGAAUUCAAGACUUCAAAUAACCAAGCCGAGUAUGAAGCUUUAAUCGCGGGAUUGGUUUUAGCCCAAGACAUGGGUGCACAAAAUAUUAUAUGCCGGAGUGAUUCUCAGUUAAUGGUUGGACAUAUGAAAGGUGAAUACCAGGUGCGAGAUCCCUUGUUACUACGGUAUUAUCACAAAGUCUUGAGCAUCAUGGGAAACUUCACCACAGCCGAGAUCAUACAUAUCCCGAGAGAGCAAAAUACGAAGGCCGAUUCUUUAUCCAAGUUGGCCAGUCAACAGAAACAAUCUCAGCACAACUCCAUUUUACAACAGACAAUGCACAACCCGACGGUCGGAGUGGAAGAAUGUUUAAUUGUUACCACGGAGAAAGACGAUUGGAUCCGAUCAUACAAAGAAGUGAUUUCCAAUCAAGAACAAGGAAUUGAAACUGAUGUUAGGACGGCUAGGAAAGCUGCUAAUUUUAUCCUCAUAGGGGCCGAACUGUAUAAGAGGGGGUUUUCAACCCCUUUGUUAAAAUGCCUUUCCUAUGAGCAAGCCGAGCAUGUAAUCCGAGAACUUCAUGAAGGCUUAUGCGGAUUGCACUGUGGAGCGCGAACAAUGGCAACAAGAAUCUGUCGAGCCGGAUAUUAUUGGCCAACAAUACGUGAAGAUUGCAAUCAAUACGUUAAAGCCUGCAAGAAGUGCCAGGAAUUCGGCAGCCUCAACCAUAUACCAUCACAAGAACUGCAAAGGAUUGCUUCUCCCUGGCCAUUUGCUAAGUGGGGAAUGGAUAUCCUCGGCCCAUUCCCUUUAGGCCGAGGACAAACAAAAUUCAUGAUUGUUGCAGUUGAUUAUUUCACAAAAUGGAUAGAGGCGGAAGCAUUGACAAAAAUAACGGCUCAACAGGUUCAAACCUUUGUGUGGAAGAACAUCAUUUGCAGAUUCGGUCUUCCACACUCUAUUAUAACCGACAAUGGCCGGCAGUUCACGGAUAAAAAACUUCUGCAGUUCUAUGCGGAUUUGGGAAUCAAGCCUACAACUACCUCAGUUGAACAUCCGCAAACAAAUGGGCAAGCAGAAUCAGCUAACAAAGUCAUUCUUAGUCAACUGAAGCGGAGAUUGGGAAGUGCGAAAGGUUUGUGGGCUGAGAAGUUAUCUGAAAUAUUGUGGGCAUAUAGAUGCGCACCGCAAACAUCAACUGGAGAAACACCAUUUAAUCUCACAUACGAAACAGAUGCUAUGCUACCCAUAGAGAUCACCGAACCAACAUUACGAAGACAAAUAGAAGAUUGGAGCGUUAACAAUGAAUGCUUGAAAGCAGACUUGGAUCUGAUCGAGGAACUUCGAGAGAAAGCCAAAAUCAGAGAGGAGGCCGUAAAAAGAAGAGCAUGUAAGAGGUUCAACGCAAAGGUGAGGCCGAGAACUUUCAAUAAAGGAGAUCUAGUAUGGAGAAUGAGAACUGAUGCGAGAAAAGAUCCAGCAGAAGGGAAGUUCGCGUCAAACUGGGAAGGGCCAUUCAGAAUCACUGAAAACCUAAAGAACGGAGCCUAUAGAUUGGAGACAUUAGACGAGAAGAUAAUACCCAGAACGUGGAAUACCAGUCACUUAAAGUUUUAUUUCAGUUAAGGCUUGUACCUUACAAAAUAAUCAAUGGAUGCAAGAGUCAUGUAAAAAAAAAUUAUUAUAAUUUGAAGUUGUUAAAAAUAAAGAAAAAAAGUUAAAGUAAAGAGGGUUGGAAUCCAAGAUUCUCUUCAAGAAUACACAAAGAAACCAUCAAGGAAUAUUAAGCAACGUAAUUAGAGAAAAAAAAAAACAUAAAAUUAGUUACGAUAAUAAUGUACUCUAAUUAGAUAUAUCAUUAAACUUAACUAUCAUAGUCAAACUAAUUCCCAUGUUCUUGUAAUUGUUAGUCACUUUUAUUCAAGUAAUUUUAUUUUAGCAUCCAAAUAUCACUUUUAAAAUAUUAUUCUCUAAACAUUGUGAUUGAGAUUAGUAUGUGAAUGAAUAGAGUGAAAGAUACUUAUGAGAAGACGAAAUAAUCAUUUUUAAUAUAAGUUUCUUUUUAAACCAGUAUUCCUAGGGUUAAUUCUUGCAAAAAUAAAGUCUAACAAAAUCUGAAAUGUUUUGGUCUAUAAUGAAGGAUUCAUGAUCGAAUCCAUCACAUAAGCAAAGCCUUUUCUUUUUGUUCAAAGAGUUUCUUCCUGCACCCCCAACAAUUUUCUUGAAAACACUUUCCAGAACAGACUACAUUUUGAAAUGUAUUUUUCAGUGUAUAUUUUGAAAACAAAAUUUCCAAAAUAAGGACAAAUUAGAUGAGAAGAUUUGGUCAUUUCACCUAUUUGAUGAAAUGCAUGAAGAACAAACUUUGAUGAGGUGGAGAAAAAACUUUAAUAAGAUACAUGAAGAAACACCCUACUCAAAAUACAUGCCUUGAUAUUUUUAGGGGUUUAAGAGGUAAAGCAAUUUACUUGGGAUGUUUCUUCCUGUAUCCCUACAUUAAUGUGAAUUGACAAAAUUAACCUGGAAAAUGUUUAAAAACCCUAAGCCAACGCAAACUGCCCUCCUUGUUUAUUCUCUGCACUUUUUGUUGACACUGUUGCAAGCAGCGGCAAACAUGGUGGAGAAGGAAUGUAAGUUUAUUGGCAGAGUUGCAAAUCUGGAAUUGAAAUGGAAAGUGUAUGAUUAUAGCAUUUCAGAAUUGACAGUCCAUAACUGUUACCCUAUAUUGGCUAAAUCUGUGAACAAGAAAAAGGACACCAUGCAUGGAUGGAUGUGAAUAGAGAAAGAGUGAAAAGAAAAGGUGUUGUGCCCACUAAUGAAUGUGCAGUAAGUAGUCCCUUCUUAUUUUCCUCUCUCACUGCUACUUCUUGUGACUGCCAUUAACAUUCCAAGAUUGGUUUGAUUCACUUCCAAAUUUCCUUUUCCGGAACAACAGACUUACACAACACCCCUCCUUCGGGAAUUCAUUUAUCUACCUUACAGAGUAUUCAUUUCAAAAUUUUGAAUAAAACUAGCAAGGUAAUUUUGAUAUUUUAAAAAUUGUAGGAGUGCAUAGGGGUGCAAGAAGAAACACCUUUUACGCUAGUGUGCAACUAUAAAAUGCUUUAUACUUAAAAAUUAUUAAUUAUUUUCUAAGUAUUAUCUAUAAUAAAAUUUAAUUAAUAUAAAAAAAUACUUUUAAUCUAGUUAGAAAUCUCUAAUAAAUUAAAAAAGUAUUUUAAAUAUAUAGGACUUAAAGUGCUGAAAGUCAGGGUGUCCAAAAAUGUUUAAAUGAAAAUCCCCAGUAUUUUUAUGCUUCUUGCUGAGGCUAGACUCAAAUUUGGAUAUAAAUGAAAUUUAACUUUAUUUAACAACACUUAAUUCUCCGAAAGUUCGAAUGAAACUCAGAAAGGCAGUCACAUUUAAACUACAGUAGUAAAAAAUAGUCUAAAUUACAUGGAACAAACUGUGAUAAACUCUUAAAAAGUCGAAAAUAUCACAACGAAGUUAUAGCUAAUCAAAGCAAUUGGAUAUGAAACUGAGGAGGCUAAUAAUAUAUUCUCAUUCUUUGUAUAGGAUCCGAAUAAUCAAGAGCAGAUAAUUUUUUUCAAUAAAGACUGCACCUUAGAGUGAUGGAACCAAGAAUCAUUCCUCUGGAUCCUCAAACCCAUAUAGUUACAAACAUCCCUCCCGAAGAGAUUCUGAAUACCCGUACUGCCACUUUUCACAUAUCAGACACGGACCAAAGAUAAGCUUCUCUAUCUCUAGCUUGCCUCUCAUUUGUUCUCUUGAACAUAUCCUUUUCGAACCCUGCAAACAGCAGUGAUAAGUCAAUCAUUUAAGCCUAUUUCCAUGAGAAAAGUACAAAACCUAUGGUGAAUAUGAACCAACCAUUACUACGAUCAACACCAUCCCAGUGUCGUCCGGGCGUUAUUCCAUACCGAUUUGAAGCAGCAUCUAAACCUCUUUUUAACCAGCUGUGAUUUGGAAUAUCCUGGGGGACUACAAAACCUGAUUCCUUCAUCUUCUCAUUUUCCCCCAAGUUUGGAAGAACAGGCUCUGGAUAUUUUUUCUACAAAACAAUUGACACAAUAAACAUGUGAGAACUGAUCAAACCCCAUCUCACACAUCAAGCAAUAUGAAAUGUUUUGCAUUACCUUUACAAGAUGUGCCAUCGGAUCACCCCACCUUAAUCUCUCCUUCAGCAUUUUGUCUAGUUCAGGAUCAUCUCUGAAGGAAACAAAUGCAAAUACAGCAUAAGAGAUAGGGAGACGCGAAGGAAAAUGGAACCUUGAUCAAUGACAUAAACAUUGCAUCUCAAUGACAGUAUUUGCUCUCAAUGGGAUUUUCAGUAACAUACAAAUAAUUUAUAAAUAAAUUUCCAUGCUGGUACAUGGUAAACUAAGUAAUUAUAUAGCACUACUAAUUACCCCCGAAAAAACGAAAUUAUGUUCAAACAGGUGUAAAAAAGAUCAUCUCUUUUGAUUAUAUACAUGAUAAUCCAUAAAUGAUGUAGGAAUUACUUCCGGAAAUAUUUAAUGAUGGACAUGAAUUUCUAUUUAACUGAUAGUCUAAAUACAUGAAUGAGGACCAAAAGUAAAAGUUUUAUCUUCAGGAUUCUGGAGCCUAAAGUAAAAUAUGUCUUGAAGAAGAUGGAUUAAUCAGUGAGGCAUUAAAGAGUCUAGGAAAGAGAGUCACGAGUUGGCUCACAAAAUUCUUUUAGCAAGAUUACCAGGUUUAAGAAAAUUUCAAACGAGUAGAGAAGCACUUAAAUCCCUAUUUAUAACAAAGGAGAUAUAUAACUUGCACAAAUUAAGGGAUUAAUCUCAUUGUGCAUUGACACAAGCUGGGAAGAGUUGAUUUGAGUCAAGAGUUGCUUGUUAUGUUGCAUUCAUUCCAAUAGCUGAAUCAAGAAUAAUUUUAUCCAAAUAUGAAAGUUUUACUUAAUGUGUCAAAUAUCAGCCUUAAUCUAAUGUAACAUCCUCUUAGAAAAAAGAGCUUAAAUAAUUCACAGGUAUGGAGAAUCCAAGCAUAUCAAUAUCAAACAUGUAUCCGAUUUUGGUAUGGGGGAUGCAUGUAUUAGUGUUUCAUGGAUUAGGAAUUUUAGUUUUGCAAUUAUAUAUUCAUGUUUUAUGAAUUUUUAUGCAUAUUUAUAUUUGUAUUGUACAACUUAGUAUAAUUUUAAGAAUAAUUGUCACCAACUCAAUGUAUCCCAUAUACACAUGGUAUUUUUUAUACCCCAUAUUAUGUUUGUGCAUCAUAGGUUGCUAGAAUACUAUGAUAACAAAUUUAAACAAUCUAGAAACCAUGUUCCCAAGUACUUAUGUAUACCUAGUCCGUGCAAAAGGCUUCUCCUUCUCAAGUUCUAGUUCCUUCAGCCUAGCCUCAGCUUCACGCUUUUGAGCUAAGCCCUUGCCCCAUUCUAUUUCUAUCUCCUGAAAAACACAAAGAUAGCCAAGAAUUCAGCUUACCAGUUUUCAUGGGAAAACAUGAAUAACAUCAAUGUUCUGACAUAUACUUGAGAUUUUAGAGAACGUAGUGAGUCUCUUGCUACUCACUUGUGUAUAUAUUGUAGUCAUAUAUAAAAGUUGGCAUACAAAAGAAAAAGAGAAAAGAAAAAGGGAAUAGGAGUCAGCCUAUGACCCUUCCAUGAUAAUACAUCAAAAAACAGCUUUAAAAAAACGCUGAACAACAGAUAAAAAGGUUAUUUUAACACACAUUAGAAGUAACAUUCAACUUCAAUUACAGCGUAGGGACAAAAUGACAACAACAAAUAUGACACGGUUUAUUGUCCAUUUGAUGUAAUUGAAAUAUUAAUAGAAAUAAUAUCCUUAAAAAAGCACCAAUAAUAUAUUUUAGUUAAUAAGUGCUUUCAUGGAACAAAUAACUUACUGCUCCAUUUUAUUAGGAAAUUUUAGAUAACUCACCCAGUCACACUAUGAUAAUCAGUCUACUGUUUCGAAUACAAUUUGAUCCUUUCAUUUCUUUUGUUCUACCAAGUUAACAAACCUCCUAAUCUGUACUUUUCAUGCUCAUUGUAUGUAAACCUUACAAAAUCAUCCAUGCAAUUAUGCUUACUGCAAAUUACCAAAUCAAUCUUCAGACCAUCAUUGAAUUUCCAGAUAGUACUCCAGAAAAUAUCCAAGUGAACAAAACAAACUAAGCAAGUAUCUUUUUGACCAUUCAUUACGUACAAACAAAAAGUGGAUCCUCAGAAAGAAUCAUACUUUCUUCACAUAUAUGAUAUGCAUCCAAUUACACAUUAGAAGCAUAGAGAAAGCUACAUCUAGAAACGAUACAACCAUGCUACAAAAAUUAUGCAGUGCACCAAAUACCUUGGGUUUUUCUUCUACUUUCUGUUUUGACUUCAAGUAUUCCUCCUUCGAAAUGCGUACUCCUGCAAAAUUCAGCAUGAUUCAAAAGUUCUUUGUAUCACGAAGACAUCAAAUCACAUUGAACAGAAACAUCAACAAAAAACUGACUAAAAUUCCGACCUUUUAUUUUAUCACGAUAUACAGGUUCAGCACCACGUCCACUGAUGGAAGGGUCCAUCUUGUUAAAUCUGCACAAAACAUAGCUAUCAAUGCCAUGGAGCAAUGUGAAGUACACCAAAACUUCCAUAGAAAGACAGGGAGCGACAAGCAUUGUUACGUGUAUAAAUGAAAUAAGAGUUUCAAUUGUACGAAAGAGGAAUUGCAAGAUUAACCCCCCACCCCCAAAAGCCAACCUUAGACAAUGAAGAAAAGGUGACAAACGGGAUUAUUUUUAACCCCUUUUAUGAGUCACAUCUGCUACCUUUGUGAUUUUAAAUGUUUUUUGGUAUCAUAGCAGCCACAAAGUUAAAACAGAACACAAUCAGGAAAAUUAUAGCCUUGCAAUGCCGCUCAGCCAUAAUAGAUAAUUAAGGCAUAACAGAAAGCAUUUUUAGUCAGAAUGAGGUUUACCAGGAACGUUAGUGACAUAAUAAUAGUCCUGGGCUUCUACGUAAUAGCUUAAGAUUUUGGAAGAAUUUGCCUCAGAAAUGAAAUAUUUUAUCAGUUACCUAUAUCUUGAUAACUGAAUUUUAAUGUUGAUUGUUAAAUGUUGAAAUAUAAUGUUAUUUUAUCAAUAUUUACUUAGUGUGUACCCAGCUUUAGGGUUAGGGUUUUAGGCAAGUGUCUUGCCUCUUUUUGUAUCCCCAUAUAUUUACAUCAAUAAGAAACACAACACUGAUCCAGGCGGGACAACUAAAACGCUUUCUGGGAGUUAGAAGAAUGAAGGCCAGUCAAAGUCCAGAACAAUAUGUCAGAAAUAGAGGAGAAAAAUUUAGAAGAACGACUGAUACACAAAACGACCGACAGGAGAGAAAAGCAGAAGGAAACGAAAAAGGAGACCUAAGAAGUGGACGAAGUCACCAUUCCCAAGAAAGGAGCCGACAACGCAGCUUGGGAAGGCCGGUUCGGGGGUUCGUCAAUACCAUUUCUGGAGGUUUUCCGGGAAAGGACGCACACAGUACCAUGACUGUCAACCAUGUUUUCAAAACAAGGAGUUUGCCGCCUAUGUUAUUUACUGAUGAAGAUUUCCAGGAUAUUGACCCUGAUCAACGUGACCCAAUGGUGAUAACAGUUGAAAUUGCCAAGUACGCGGUAAUGAAAACUCUUGUAGAUCAAGGCAGUUCAGUUGAUAUUCUGUUCUGGGAAACCUUCCAAAAGUUAUAUCUGAAAGAACAGGACAUGGUCUCUGUGAAAGAGCAAAUAAUUGGGUUUUCAGGUGAAAAGGUUGAAACCAAAGGAUACAUUGAUCUGCCGACAACUUUCGGUAGAGGAAAUGCGACGAAAACAAUUACAAUCAGAUACUUGGUGGUAGAUACUCGUACUUCUUAUAAUGCCCUCUUGGGAAGAUCUUCGUUAAAUGAGUUAGGAGCUAUAGUGUCGACACCACAUUUGGCAAUGAAAUUUCCCACUGAAUGGGGUGACAUAGCAACUAUAUAUGUCAACCAAAAGGCAGCCAAAGAGUGUUAUGCGACCGGAUUGAAAAUGGUCCAAGAGCCGAGAGUUUCGACCCGAAGAACGAGAGCAAGAAACAUGGUUGCAAUGGUAGACUUGGAUCCCAGAAUGAAUGAUGAUGAACGAAUGGAACCAAGAGAAGAANNNNNNNNNNNNNNNNNNNNNNNNNNNNNNNNNNNNNNNNNNNNNNNNNNNNNNNNNNNNNNNNNNNNNNNNNNNNNNNNNNNNNNNNNNNNNNNNNNNNNNNNNNNNNNNNNNNNNGCCUGGAAGGCGUCGGACAUACCGGGAAUUGACCCUAACAUUGUUUCUCACAAAUUAUCUGUUUGCCGAGAAGCCAGGCCGAUAGCUCAGAAACGGAGGAAGUUGGGAGAAGAAAAACGAAAGGCUGCUCUUGGAGAAACCGAGAAAUUGUUACAAGCCGGUUUCAUUAAAGAAAUCCAGUAUACGACCUGGUUGGCGAAUGUAGUACUAGUCAAGAAGGCAAACGGAAAUUGGAGGAUGUGUACUGAUUAUACAGAUUUGAAUAAGGCAUGUCCGAAAGAUUCAUAUCCAUUGCCGAGUAUUGACAGGUUGGUUGAUGGGGCAUCGGGCCAAGCCAUGAUGAGUUUUUUGGAUGCUUACUCCGGCUACAAUCAAAUACAAAUGUAUGAACCCGACAUCCCGAAAACUGCGUUCACCACCGAUAUGGCCAACUACUGCUACCAGGUCAUGCCUUUCGGUUUAAAAAACGCUGGGGCCACAUAUCAAAGACUGAUGGAUACGAUGUUCAAAAAACAAAUAGGAAAGAAUAUGGAAGUUUAUGUGGACGAUAUGAUCGUCAAGUCACAGGCGUGCAAUCGUUCGGCCAACACUUGCGAUGUUUAAUCGAGCAAGUUUGGUAGGCGUUCGGCCGGCACUUUCGAUGUUAAUCGAGCAAGCGGGCAAUCGUUCGGCCAAUACUUGCGAUGUUUAAUCAAGCAAGUUUGGAAGGCGUUCGGCCGGCACUUGCGAUGUUAAUCGAGCAAGCGGGCAAUCGUUCGGCCAACACUUGCGAUGUUUAAUCAAGCAAGUUUGGUUGGCGUUCGGCCGGCACUUGCGAUGUUAAUCGAGCAACCGGGCAAUCGUUCGGCCAACACUUGCGAUGUUUAAUCAAGCAAGUUUGGUAGGCGUUCGGCCGGCACUUGCGAUGUUAAUCGAGCUAGCGUGCAAUCGUUCGGCCAACACUUAAAAUACUAUAUUUUUAAUAAUUAAGCAAUCUUGUUUAUAAUAAUUUAUAUAAAAAUAAAUAACAUCUAUAAAACUAAACCCUUGUUGGAAAAGCUCUGAGAGCGUUUAGCAUUGAUGUCCUUGCUUCAAAGCGUGCCCUAAAUCCCCAAUUUCCUCCAUUCUCCUUUCUUCUCUUUUCCUUCCAAAAUCAUCCAUCUUUCUCUCUCUAUUUCUUGGUUGAACGUUGCGAGGGUUUGACGGUGACGGUGCACUUCUCAACCUCUCAUUCUCAGUAUGUAAAGGUACCGAUUUUUUUUCCGAUUACUAGUUAGGAUCUCAAUUUCUCAUUUGCAUUCAAAUCGCACUUAUUGCUGCCUGUAACAUUGAAUGAGAAUAAGGUUUGCUCUCAUCUUCACAUUUCAAAAAAAUUAAAAUAAUGAUAAUAAUUGCAGUAUGAUUGUAGAAAGUAACAUUCUCUUAUGAAACGAGUUCAGUUCAAUAUGAUAAUGACCUCCGUGGCUAUUUAUUCCUUUAUUUUGGUUGAAUUAUAGAGAAAAAAAAAAGCCCCAAUUUUUUUUAUCUAUCUACGCAAUAUUUCAACUAGCCUUAAUUCUAACACCAAAACAAUUGUAGUUUGUAUGUGAUGAGAAUCUUGGUUGCUUGAUGUGUGUUUUGAACGUGUGGUAGGUAUGGUAUUUGUGUACGUAGUUAGUUAGUAGUUGGGUAUUGUUCUUGUUAAUUGAGAAAAAAUUCGACUACAUGUAAGGUAGAGAUUGGCCGGACCAUGGAUUUGGUGGUCUAUGUGUUGUGUAAUGGCUUUUAUAAAGAGUGUGGUUUUCUUGAGAUUUAUGUAGAUUGAAAGGAGUCGCGUUCUGGGUAUGCAUACGUUAGCUCUGUUUGAAUUAGCAUACGCUAACCUAGUAUUGGCUUGUUUGGAUGAACUUAUCUAUAAGCUCUUCUACAGCAGAAAAUAAGAAGAAAAAAAGGAAUUUGACUUUUCUAUAGAUAAGUUAAAAAUAAUAAUAUUGGAAAAGCUAUACGAUAUAUAAGCUCAUGCAUAAGCUAAUUUUAACUUGUAGAAGCUAAUUUCAAAUUGUCUUAUUUUUCUCUUCUAGAAAGAACUUAUGGGGAAAUUCGUUUGGCUUAUUUCAAAGUGAGUGUAAGUUGUUUAACAAGAGAAGUUUAUUUCAUUUCUUAUUUUCUUGUUCUGUUAGUCCUUAUUGUGAAGUUCAUGUGAACUGGGCCAUAUUGUUGUGUGCACUCUUUACAGAUUUUGAUUGUCAUUGGGGUUUUUUCUUGUUAUGAAUGAUGUCCAUGUUGAUUGGGUGAUGAUAAUCAGCUUAGAUAUUAUUUACAGUGGAGAUUUAUGUUCAUGAUGGGUUUUUUUUUCCCUGCUGUUGACUUCUUGUCUUACAUUGAUAUGUUGCAGGUUGUGUCCUUAAAUAGAGAUCAUUAUCAUCAGACUAUAACACAAAUUCUUUCCAAAUGGCACUGGUUGUAAUGUGUGGGCAGCCAUGCAGCGGGAAGUCCAAAGCUGCACUCUGUCUUGUUGAAGCUCUCAAGGAAUCAGAAUCAAAACAUAACGUGAGAAUCAUAGACGAAGCUUGCUUUCAUCUUGAUCGUAACCAAAGCUAUGCAAAUAUGCCUUCAGAGAAGAAUUUAAGAGGGGUGCUUCGGUCAGAAGUAGAUAGGUCUGUGUCCAAAGAUAGUAUCAUCAUAGUAGAUUCUUUGAAUAACAUCAAGGGUUACAGAUACGAGCUAUGGUGCUUGGCUCGAGCUUCUGGAAUCAGAUACUGUGUGGUCUACUGUGACGUUGAAGAAACCUUUUGUAGGAAAUGGAAUGAAGAGCGCAGAGAGAAAGGAGAAGUCAAUUAUAAUGAUUCAAUUUUUGAAGAUUUGGUGAGAAGGUUUGAGAAACCAGAAAGAAGAAACAGGUGGGAUUCUCCAUUGUUUGAAUUAUGGCCACACAGAGAAGGGACAGAGAAAUCUUCCUCUGCCAUUAUAGAUGCUGUCUCCUACUUAACCAAAAAGGUGGACUCCAAAACCAGGGAUGUUAAGAUUCUGCAACCAACUAUUGCCACUCAAACCACACGUUUUUCUGAUGCAAAUUCUCUCUUUGAAUUGGACAAAGCAACACAAGAGGUCACAAAUGCUAUAGUAGAAGCACAAUCUCAAGCUCUUGGAGGACCACUUAACGGUGUUUCGGUGGGAAAAGACUUGCCUGUAAUCAACAUUUCAAGAUCAGUUGGGCUGCCGGAGCUUCGCAGGAUGCGACGCACCUUCAUAAAAUUAACAGGGCAAACAAGUUUAAGUGGGCCACCACCCCCUUCUGAUGCAGACAGUGCAAAAAGGAUGUUCAUUGACUACUUGAACAGGGAACUAGGAACAUCCUGAAGAACAGUAUUUGAAUUGCAAUUCAGCUUGUGUGCUAAAACAUGCCAUGUUUGUAUGUUUAGAUCCCGAACUGUUUUCAUUUUUACUUUACAUCAUUAUUAUUGAAUAAAGUGAUCUUUUUUUAAUCCUUUUGGUUUUUUGUACCAUCGUUUAAAUUCUUUUCCCAGCCCUAGUAGUAAUAAUGAAGUAAAGAUUGUACUCGGGUCUGGUUUAAGAAAAUACAUUUCGCACUUUACAAAAACAUAAGAAUAAUGAAAAAGGUUAUAUAAUUUAAAUAAGAUAUAAAAACUGAAUGCUUGAAUUCACUUUUUUUUUUUCCUUCCUUGCUAAAUAGAACAUACUCCUCCCCACAACUUCUGUAUUGGUAAUUGAGUUGCAUUGGAUAUAUUCAAUGAGAUUCCUUGACAAAAGUGUUACUAGAUAUAACAAAACAUGGUAUUUUUGACGCGUAUACAGCAAUAUUAAACAAAUUUUCAUUAAGUAAAAGGCACGAUGAACCGAGAGAGCAAAUAUUGGAAACCAAAGAAUUGGUGUCAGUUACUUUACUAGUUUUGAUACGAUCUUUGACAUAGUUUAGGACUCGUGACGUAACAAGACUCGUGCGAUUAACAUGAGAUCACAACCAAAGUCAUUCUAUUGGACAUCAUAUUCUAUAUUAUUACAAUUGCUAAAGAAGAAACAUCCUCUUUUUUUUAGUAGAAAAAAAUGCACCAUUACACAGUAACGAAUUUGCUUAGAUAACAUUUAUGGUGAGCGUGUACACAGACCCACACAUAAAUAAACUAUGCGUAAAACUAACAAUUCUUUCCCUGCUGAUGAUGCAUACACAGUAUUUUUUUCCUGAUAAAAUUUUGGGCAGAAAUGAAACUAUCUCUGGAUUAGCAAGCAAAUAAUGGUGGAAUGCUAUGGUGAUGCUCCAGAUCAACCAUAUAACCUUUGAUAAUUUGAAUGAGAAAAGAAACAAUGAUUGAUUGCACUUGUGUGUGCUUGUGACCCUAAAAGCUAUGGUGAGCUGGACAUGCACAAGAUCUUCCAGAAAUGGGCUAGAGUGAAAGAAGUUUUCAUCGCGCGCAGGCUGAACAAGGGGGGGAGAAGAUUUGGCUUUGUCCGUUUCUUCGAAGUGGGAAAUGCGGCAAGAUUAGAGAAGGAGCUAGACCAAAUAUUUAUUGGCAAUGUGAAGCUCCAUGUCAAUGUUCCGAGAUACAGGAGGUUUGUCCCCGAUAACAUCAGGGUGUCGUCCAAGGUUUAUAAGUUUCCUCCGGUGGUGCCGCAUUCUGAGUCAAAGAGGAGGGGAGGGGAAGGCCUGGCGGAAAAUCGGAGGGAGAGGAAGAAGGAGGCAUGGGUGAAGAAGAAAGGGGAAGAGUCAUAUGCUGAUAUAGUAAGGGGAGGUCCUCGUCAGGUGUGGAAGGGACCAACGUUUUCAGUCCAAAAAUAGUUCUUACCAUGGAUGGAGGCAAGCGUUAUUGGCCAGUUGCGUGCAGAACUAGACCUCGAACAGUUACGCGAAGAGUUCCUGAAAGGUGGGUUGAGCAUGGUUUAUUUGCGCUCCUUAGGAGACAACCUAGUUCUGCUAAUGCCAAGGGAAGGGGAGAGUAUGCAGGCUCUUAUUAAGCUUAAUAAGGAGUGGUUUGAGAGUGUCUUCACAAGCUUUGAACCAUGGUCGGAAAAUUGCACAGCGAGCCACAAAAUCGUCUGGGUAAGGUGCUAUGGGCUACCCCUUUCUCUCUGGAACAAGGAGUGCUUCUCUAAAGUGAUGGGAGAUAAGGCAACUAUAGUGUCUAUUGGUAAAUCCACUCUCCUAUGGGAGAACUUGGAGUAUGCUAUUCUCCAAGUCAGGAUGCCAAAGAGUCAGAGUGUAAGGUUGGCGGCAGAUAUGAAGAUCAAUAAUAAUCUUUAUAGUAUCCUCAUAGAAGAAGAAGUAAUAUGCGGGAAUAGAGGUUCAUGCAGGUGUAUCCAUGAUGACGUUGGUUCCUCGGAUAGUAUUUCCUCGUCGGAAACCUAUGUAGAGGAUACUGCCUCUGUGAAUAGUUGUGAAGAGGAAGGAGAAGUUCGGGGUCGGAUACGGCAGUGGCCUAGGGGGGAGGUGAUCGGUGGCGAAAUCAACGGUGAAGAAGUCCUAAUCGGAAGGGAGGUGGUAGGUGACGGUGAGGGUCAAGAGAAAACGACAAAAGGUUUGGUUUUUGGGGAGGUAACUUCUAAGGGUCUAGACUGUCAGAGGGUCAGUGCUAAGAGUUUCACCAAUGUGGAAACAGUACAUCAGAUAGUCUCUGAUGAAGCGGCGAUCCUGAAAACCUGUAGCCUUGGGUCUACAGCUUCGUACAAUAGCACCAUCCUUCGGGCUGACGUGGCCAAGUUAGUUGUGGAUGAGGAAUUAAGUUGCACUCAGCACGUGCUCUCUCCCUCUUUGGGCCACGAAGAAAUUCGGACGGCCCAUUUAGGCACUGGGUUAGUCCAUUCGCUAGCCCAUGAGGGAGCUUCGGUCGUUCGGGAGCUGGAGCAAAGUGAAGUCUUGGUAAUACGUGGCCAUGAGGUCAGAAAAGGGGGAAGUGGAAUCAGGAACCAAUCCCCUAGGGGUAGACUGCGAACGAAGGGGCUGGGGGAAAUGGCGGAACCAAGCACCCUUCCACGGAGGUCAAUAAGAGUAUGGCCCUCUCAGGUAAGGAACUCUGCCUCAAAAGCUGGAACUUUAUCUGCAACAAUCUCUGAUGGGGAUACCAUCAUUUGUAAUUCAAGGCCCCGGGACCUGGAUGUAAUGGAGGAACCACUAAAGUUGUGGGAGAUGGGCAAACAGAUGGGAAUUGUAUGUCGUAGGAUAGAAGAAGAGGUUGUGAAGGAAUAUCAGAGUAUGGAAGUGAGAGAUGUAGAGUUUGCACAGAAGCUAGAAGAGGGGGUAACAAAAGGUCUCCUAUGCUGAUAGUUAGCUUGAACAUCCGAGGUUUGGGGGGAGGAACAAAAAGCAGAUAUCUGAAAAAUUUGAUCUCAAGAGAAGGAGCAGAGUUUGUUUGCAUUCAAGAAACGAAACUGAAGGGGUUCACUGAUGCUAGAUGUUUUGCUUUGUGGGGGGACAAUAGAGUCGGGUGGAUUCACUAUGAAGGUGAAAAUGGUGGUGGAAGCUUGCUGUCCAUGUGGCACAAAGAUAUGUUCUGCUAUGAGAGUCAUGUGAUGGGGAAGGGUUUCAUAGUUAUCUUUGGCCAACACCUACGGUCUUCACGUAAGUGUGUAAUUGUCAAUAUUUACUCAGCCUGUAGUCUAAGAGAAAAGAAGAUUCUCUGGGAGGAGAUAACUGGUAUUAAAGAAGCGUCACAGGAGUUGGUUUGGUGUCUCUGUGGUGACUUUAAUGCUGUAAGAAGCAGACGGGAAAGGAAAGGUGCUAGCAGUCGGGGUGCAACUGCAAGCGGUCAAACGAGUGAGAUAAAUGGUUUCAAUUGUUUUAUCGACUCUAAUUUGCUUCUGGAUCUCCCUAUAGUAGGGAAAGCUUACACGUGGUUUAGAGCAAAUGGGUCGGCUAUGAGCAGGCUUGAUAGAAUCCUUGUCACCGAGGAGUGGUUGAGCUUAUGGCCAAAAUGCAAACAAUAUGUCCAACAGAGGGAAGUGUCUGAUCACUGUGCUUUGGUGGUGAAGACCUUGGAUAAGGACUGGGGACCCAAGCCCUUUCGAAACAUCGAUGCCUAGCAUAUGGAUAGAGGGUUCAAUGGGAUGGUGAAGGGAAAGUGGCAAUCUUAUCCAGCCCAAAGGAAUGCCAUCUUGAACCUUAAGGUUAAGUUGAAGCUACUCAAAGGGGAUUUGAAAAUCUGGAAUAGAGAAGUGUACGGCAAUCUUAAUACCAUUAAGAAUGGUAUCCUGCGCGAAAUCGAGGCCUUUGACAACCAAGAUAAGGAUGGAGGUUCGGUGGUUAGGGGGAGGAUGGAGAGACUGGAAUUACUGAACCAGCUAGGGGAGGUUGACAGAAAGAUAGACUCCCUCAUUAGUCAAAAAGCAAGAGCUUGUUGGUUCAAGUAUGGAGAUUCGUGUACAAAAUUUUUUCACUCCUCCUUGAGAUGGAGAAGGCUUAGAAACGAAGUAAAAGGUGUUGAGGUUGGGGGUCAGUGGUGUGAGGAGCCUGCUACGGUUCGAGCAGAGGCUAAGAAGUUGUUUGAGAACAGGUUUAAAGCAACAAGGGAUUUUGGGGUUAGACUCGAUGAAGUGGAGUUCAAAACUAUCUCCCCAGAAGACAACCUGUUUCUUAUAUCUGGUUUUAAGGAAGAUGAAGUCAAGGAAGCGGUGUGGCAUUGUGAAGGUUCAAAGAGUCCAGGACCCGACGGGUUCAACUUUAACUUUAUCAAGGAAAGUUGGGAGUUUAUAAAAGACGAGUUUGUUAAGGCCUUGGCUGUGUUCCAUGAUACAGGGUCUAUUCCUAAGGGCUGUAAUGCAUCCUUCAUAGCUUUGGUUCCAAAGGUGAAGGACCCCUGUUCGCUGGAGCAAUAUCGACCCAUCUCAUUAGUGGGGGCUCUAUACAAAGUUAUAGCAAAGGUGUUGGCUGAAAGAAUAAAGAAAGUGUUGAACUCCGUUAUUGAUGAAAGUCAAUCUGCUUUCUUAAAGGGGAGAGGGAUCUUAGAUAGCGUACUCAUGGCCAAUGAGGUGGUAGAGGAUCUCAGAAGGCGUGAGAGGAGUGGCCUCUGCUUGAAGGUGGACUUUGAAAAAGCAUAUGACUCGGUGCGGUGGGAGUUUAUGUACGAUAUGCUCUACAAAAUGGGUUUCCACUGCAAGUGGGUGACGUGGAUACGAGGCUGCAUGGAAUCGGCCUCAGUGUCCGUUUUAGUUAACGGGAGCCCUACGGAGGAAUUCAAACCUUCUAGAGGUUUGAGGCAAGGUGACCCGCUAGCCCCGUUCCUCUUCAUUGUGGUUGCUGAAGGCCUAGCUGGGCUAGUUAGGCAAGCGAACAAGGCCAAUCUGCUAUCGGGCGUUAAGUUCGGUAGAGGAGAGGUGGAGAUUAGCAUCAUGCAAUUCGCAGACGACACCCUCUUCCUUUGUGAAGCGUCGUACAGCAAUGUUGUUGCCGUGAAGGCGAUCCUAAGGGGGUUUGAACUAGCAUCAGGCUUAAAGAUAAAUUUCCAUAAGUCAAAGAUUGCAGGUGUGAACGUGGAUAACUUUGCUCUGUUAAGCUAUGCAAAAACCCUGAGUUGUGCCCAGAUGGGAGUCCCGUUUAAAUAUCUUGGAUUAGAAGUGGGGGGGAAUCCAAGGAAGGUGAAGUUCUGGGAACCGGUGUUAACCAAGCUUAAAGCUAGACUCAAUGUCUGGAAAGGAAGAUUUUUGUCAAUGGCAGGGAGAAUUUGCCUAAUCAAAUCGGUUAUCUCAGCGAUUUCGCUUUUCUAUCUCUCUAUCUUCAAAGCACCGGAAUCUAUAUAUAAAAGCAUUAUCAGCAUUCAGCGAAGGUUCUUGUGGGGAUGGGGGAAGGAGAAGAGGUCGAUACCCUGGGUUAGCUGGGAAAAUGUAUGCAAACCGAAGGAGGAGGGUGGUCUGGGGAUCAGAGAUAUUCGGAAGUUUAAUUACGCCCUCCUAGCCAAGUGGAGAUGGAGGAUGGUAUCGGAAGAAAAGGGGAGGUGGAAAGACUUAUUGAUCUCAAAGUAUGGGAUGAAUCUGGAUCGUUCGCUUGGCCCAGUGAAAUUCCAAUCAUGGUGGUGGAGAGAUUUGAAAAAAGUGUGCACAGAGGGAGAAGGAGGAGGGUGGUUCAAAAAUCAACUUGUAUGGAAGGUAGGAGGCGGUGAAAAAGUGAACUUCUGGGAGGAUGUGUGGAUUGGCAAUAUCAACCUCAAAACCCUCUACCCAAGGUUGUUCUCCUUAUCCUUGGACCAGGGCCUAAUGGUGAGUGAGGUUGGGGAGUGGGUAAGCGCUGUUUGGAGGUGGGACUUAAGGUGGAGAAGGGAUAGGUAUGAAUGGGAAUCCCCGUUGGAAGCAAACCUUGUCCAACUGCUAUCCCGAGUAAGUCCGUCAAGGGGUCACAAAGACGUUUAGACGUGGGGGUGUGAUGGAUCGGGGUCCUUUUCUGUCCCUUCUGCAUAUGAAUGCUUAGCUAAACAGGAUAGUAGUCCGCGCCACGAAGUUUUCGAGCAUCUGUGGAGAAUCAAAGCCUUCCCCAAUACAAUAACAACUGCUUGGAGAGUCCUCCUAAGUAGAAUCCCAACCAGAGUUGAUUUGAGGAGGAGAGGAGUGUUGCUUAACACAAUUUUAUGUGAGCGUUGUCAAACAAAGGAGGAAUCCUGCCAACACAUCUUCUUAGAAUGCCCCUUCGCCCAGAAAGUGUGGAGGUCUUGUUUUAUAUGGAUUGGCAUCUCUUUUGUGCAGCACAAUGUUCUUAUGAUGCACUUUGACAAAAUCUCUUGUGGAAAGGAGUUUGGGCGUGUGUUGUAAGGAGCAUUUGGGAGCAUAGGAAUUCGGUUGUUUUCAAACAAGGUGUUGUAGAUGCGGAAGAGACUUUUUCGAUGGCUCAACUCAAAUCAUGGCAAUGGCUAAAGCACAGAGGUCACCGCUGGUGUUAUUCUCUGGCUGAUUGGAUCCUAAAUCCCCUUAUCUGUAUCAGAAGCUUUAAGUGAUGGAUGCUGGAAGGUGUUCUUGAGGAGAGGAUUUUGAGGCUGCAGGAACAGAGUUAAAUGCAGAGGAGGUAACAUCAAGAGCAGCCAUGAGGCCUGUCAGAAUAUACAAAGGGGGAAUGGAGAGUGUCCUAACAGUUGGCAAGGAGGAGCUAACCGUCCAGGAGUGCUAGGAGAAGGGGAAUUUGAUGCUGAUUGAUCCUUAACAGUGUGCCUAGAUGGUUCUCUGUCUUUUGACUCUCAGGGACCAGGCGGUUGGAGGGUGGAUUCAGAGGUUGGCUGGCCUUGACCGGGCACUGCUGUAGGAUAGUGUGUUUUUGAUGCGGUACCGGCAUUUGAUGUUGAACUUGGUGUCACUACUUUUGCCGCAUUGCAAGAAGGAUAACAAGGUUGAAUCAAAGGAAUCUAAAGGCGCCACCCUGAACGAGCUUGUUGAGCUCAAAAGUUGCCCCUCGUGUCUUUUGUUUGAGUGCAGGAAGCAAAAACAUCUUUUUCUCUGGACGGCCAAAUGCCCCAGUGGCCCAUCUGUAAAAUUUCUAGUUAGUGCGGUGCAUACUAUGGAGGAGUUGAAGCUAACGGGAAAUCACCUAAAAGAUUUCUACUCAUCAUAAUGAAGCAGAUAAAUUACCAAAGGGAGGCCUUGAUAAAAGUCUUUGUUUGAGGUUCGAGCUUUGGAGUAAAAGUAGAAGGCUGGAAAGUUUGCGAAGAAGGUCAAAGCAAAGACAAGGAGGAAAAUGCAAGAGAUGUCUAAUCCUCUGGAGCCUGAUGAGUUUGCAGAUAUGUGGAAAGAUUGAUUUUGAAUACAACUGCAGCUAAAGAGGGUGCGUGCUGGUCAACAGAACCAGGGAGCUGCUGGUCACCACAGUGGUGCUUGCUGUUGAAGGAGUCUCCACUGUUUUUUUUCUCUCAAACCUUAUUAUUACAAUAAUCCCUCUUGUCAGACUUAUUGAUCUCAAAGUAUGGGAUGAAUCUGUUGUAAUUGAGAGUGGAAAGAUGGAUGUUCAGGACUUAGCAGAGUAAGCUGGCAUCUCUUUUUCAAAAAAGUUGGUAAAAAGGAUACUCUGGACUGUGUCAAGGAAUAUAUAUCAGCAGGAAUAGAUACUGGUGGUGUGCUUGGGUUUCUAUAAAUCAUCAAUAGGAUUCGUGUUAUGCUGGUGUUAUGCAGUCUGAGGUCUUGGGACUGAGUUCUAACUAGCUUUAAGUUUUUGAGUUAAGUGGUGAGCCGCUUAACUUUGUUUUAAUUGUUAAAUGCUUAAUUAGGAGGUCUAUGUAUAAGGGUUGGAACACCCCUAAAGUGUUUCAUUUAAUUCUAUUAAUUCGUUGCUGAUAAAAAAAAAAAUGUAAUCAGAAUUAUUUAUGCCUCGUUCGGCAUCAGAAUUAUCUCAUAACCAAUAAAAAGGGCCUUAACCUAAAUGAAAGGCCCAUUCUCGUUGAACCAAAGCAACUUCUGUAGACCAGAAAACCUUAAAACCCUUUCCUCGCCUCCACCGCAGGUUUAUUUCUUUACGUUCGGCUGAGUUUAUUUUUGUUGCUGUUCAUUCUCGAUCAGGUAUGUAUCUGAUAACCCUAGACUGAUUGUUGUUUCCAAUUUCUGUUAUCAACACGUGCUAUGGUUUCUAGCUUUAUUGUUAUCUGAUUCGGUUUUUGCUAUGAUUUCCAAUUUUAUUCUAGGAUUUUUUUUGAAAAAUGCUUUCCAGAAUUUUUGAAAGUUAUUUUCCAAAAUACACUUAUAAAUUUUGGAAAGGAGUAUAUGAGAAGAUUUCAAAAUAAGUAUUCCAAUUUUUUAUAAAGCUGGCGUUCUAUAUAUCAUCACCAGGAUUCUGAUUUGUGUUUUGCUGGUGUUCUGCAGACUCAGGUCUUGGGACUGAGUUUUAUCUAGUUUUAAGGUUUUGAGUUAAGUGGUGUGCCCCUUAACUUUGGUUUAAUUGUUGAAUGCUUAAUUAGGAGGUCUAUGUAUAAGGGUUGGAACACCUCUAAAGUGUUUCUUUUAAUUCUAUUAAUUCGUUGCUGAUCAAAAAAAAAAAAAGUAUUCCAAAAAAUCAUUUAAAAAAAGGAGUAAAAUUGUAUUUUUAAAUAUUGAUCGGGGGUGAAGGAAGAAACACCCUCAUUUUUUAUGUAGCAGUUGUAUGAUUCUAACACCGUUCAUAUAUAUAACGUUUUCAUAUAAUCUAUUGCUCUCUCAUUUCUAAAUUAUAAGUAAUUUAUUUAUUUAUUCAUUUUCUUUAUUUGUUGUAAUUUUCAGAUUUCAAGGCAAUUAUGAUUUUUUUUUUCAAUUAUACCUUGUUUUCUUUAAUUAAAUAUAAUUGGAAAAUAGAACACUUAAUCUUCUACAGAGUAGCUAAGAUCGAAAAUAGAUUACGAUUUUAUUUUCUGGAUUGAUUUCAGUUCAAAUCUAUGCCAGAUAAUAAAAAUGUAACAUUUGAAGCCAUGCUUGGAGAGUUGUAAGUAAGUUAUUUGAUCAUUGAAUUGGAGUUAUAUAUGCACUGAAAAAUUAAGGAGGAAAAUUUGUUUUGCUAAAUGUGGUUAGAUAUCAAAUUUGGCGAAGAUGGAGAAAAUUAAAGAUAAUGUGAAAUGAGUGACAGUGAUGGAGUAGUAGUAAUAUAAGGAAGUGAUUAAAAAUAAUAUUAAGAAAAUUGCAUCCUCACGGGUUAUUGGCAACAAGCCAAAAUCUUGGUGGUUAUCACUGCUUUGAAGUGUGUUGUUUUUCUUCUUUGCAGAAAGAGUCGCCGGUAGGGCUAGCUACACAAUCUGCCCAUCCAGGUAUUUUGCUCUGCUUACUGCAGUUUCUUGACAUAUAUAUGAGUUUUUUCAAAUUAUGCUAUAAUAAUUGCUUGUGAAUUCAAAAGAAAACCUUUUGUCCUUCUCUGUGCAAUUUCUUUGUAAUUUCUGUGUUGAUACUAAAAUGCACUGUGGACCGUAACAUUGUUAUAGUUUGUANNNNNNNNNNNNNNNNNNNNNNNNNNNNNNNNNNNNNNNNNNNNNNNNNNNNNNNNNNNNNNNNNNNNNNNNNNNNNNNNNNNNNNNNNNNNNNNNNNNNCUGAAACGGGUUGGCUUGGAUUGUAUGGAUUAAUGGGUUUAUUAUUCUCAUUGAAAAUUGGGGUUGUACCUAGGGCAUUUGACAGUUUGUGUUUUAAUUUUAGAGGAUCUGCUCUGUCAACAACGAUAGAAAAAGGGUUUUUGGCAUUGCAUUCAAUCUGUGUUUCUUUGUGUUUAUUAAAGAAAUGCUAGAGUUUUCUCUGGCAGCCCGUCUUCUAGAGUUUAGUUGUGAAAUUGGGAUCAAGACUUUUCUUGGUUGUUUGGUAAUUGCCUUUUUAGAGGCCGUCUUUGUCAAAUUCUUAGCGAGAUUGGCAUUCUUUGCUGCUUGAUUUUGAUCCUGGUUUUCUUUUGUCCCCUUUUCACCUUUUGGUCUUUUUUCCCUGAAGGAUUUUUGGUCUUUAUAAGGGAAAAAAGUUAAAGGUGGAAAAAAAGUAACACCAUCAGCCUCGUCGUUUUUCCGAAAGUGCCGAGUCAUCAUCUUGAUAUGCAUGUUGGAUGUAACAUUGGAUGAAAGUCAUUGACUGAGAAACAUAUCAUUGUGGCUGUUUGAUUAAGAACUUCUGUAGUGUGGAACUUGGUAGCAUAGGGCUAAUUUACUACAAAAAAUUGUUUUCUAUUUUGAUUUUUGUUUGUUAAUUUUAUUUAAAAAAGCCACCUAGUACUUUGUUUCCUAUUUUCAGCAGUAACAACUUAUUAUUUUCAUUGCUCACUGUAUAAUAUUUUAAAGAUCUGCUUUUUGCACAGUUUGGAUUUUGUCAUUGGCAUAAGGCAUACUAGUCACUCUCAAAUACAUGUGAAAUGUUAUUUAUAAAUUAUAAUUCUCUCCAUUUUCUGUACCUGUUUAUGAUUUUUGUGGUUUUCCCAAAAUGCAGCUCGGUUUUCACCCGAUGAUAAAUAUUCGAGGCAGAGAGUUCUUCUGAAGAAGCGUUUUGGAUUGUUACCAACCCAGCAGGCACCUCUAAAGUACUGACUGAUUUUGAAGCUCCAAUUUUUAAGUGUCUUUUCUGUGCUUGGCCGUGUUUUGUGAACUAGUGUAGUGCCGAUACCUGGUGCCUAGUGAUUGAGCCAUUUAUAUUGUUUUGAACCAAUUACGUCAAAUAUGGCUCACUUAUUACUUACUGUAUUAGAAUGAAGUUUCCAAUGUUGAAAUGCACUAAAGGAUUUUGAGUUCUGUUGCAGUCAAUUUAAUAUUUUUUUUUUGAUCAGCAACGAAUUAAUAAAAUAUCAAUUUAAUAUUGUGAAACAAAUAAUUUGUCUCAACGCAUGGGGUGGUUGCCAGCUUUCAAAACGAGAUAAAAGUGCAGCUAGAUGAAACCAGCUACAUGAAUCAACAAAGAAUGAAUGAAAUUUUUAUCUGUGCAAAUAUGUUUACACGUAUUUUCCUUUUCCCAAUUAAGAAACGUAAGAGAAAGAACUUAGUUAUCAUUAACACAGGUAAUUUGAUGGAGAUAAAUGAAUUAUAAAAACAGAUAUUAAUGUAUGUCAAGGGACUAUAAUACUUGUUCCUGCUAGGGAGGUGGGACCUAGAGAACUGUUGAAGUCUUCUUCUCCUUCCUUCGGUCGGGCAGGUGACUGGGUGAAGAACUGGGGUUCUUCUCGGCACUCGGCACUCGGCACACUCGGCACUCGAACUGGGGUCUUGACUUCUCGGUCGUUCGUCCAAGUCCUAGAAGGUCUCGAUAUCUCUGCCGUUCGGCCAUGUCCCCGAGGGUCUCGACAUCUCUGUCGUUCGGCCAUCUUUCCGAAGGUUUCGACCAUUCGGUCGUUCGGCCUCGCCCAGUACCGGUACUCUAUCCAAAAUAAGUCGAGACCAACAUCGUCAACCACCAGUUUCUGGCCAUGUUACUGCUAAAGGCAAAAAAGAUACCCCAGGUUAAUCACAUAGACGCGAUGAUGUACCCUAGCUUUAAGUUUUUGAGUUAAGUGGGGUGCCGCUUAACUUUGUUUUAACUGCUAAAUGCUUAAGUAGGAGGUCUAUGUAUAAGGGUUGGAACACCCCUAAAGUGUUUCAUUUUAUUCUAUUAAUUCGUUGCUGAUCAAAAAAAAAAAAAAGUGAUGGAUGCUGGAAGGUGUUCUUGAGGAGAGGUUUUUGAGGCUGCAGGACAUUCGGUCGUUCGUCCAAGACUUUUUGGUCGUUCGCCCAAGUCCUCGAAGGUCUCGAUUCGUUCGGCUAAGUCCCGAGGGUCUCCACAUCUGCUGCUGAAGGAACCUCCACUGCUGUUUUUUCUCUCAAAAUAUUACAAUAAUCCCUCUUGACAGUGUUUCAACCUCUGAAGCUCUAGUGCACAUAGUUCAUUUGGAUGGAGCAUACCAUUUGCAUCUGGUGCAAAGGCUAGUGCAGUUUGUGCAGCAUCCUGUGGCAACGAGCUGCUGAUAGUGGUUCUAGUUUUUGAUAAUGGUUGUUUCCAAGGUAGAGGUGCUGGUUUUUGGGAAGAUCUACAUUGUUAUGGUUUCUGCAAUUUAAAAUACACCUGGUGAAGUAAUAGAAGUGGUGUAAGGAAGCAGCCUGUAUAGAAAUUGAAUUGGUGUAUAGAAGGACUAGUGCUAAUGAAGUUGUAGGAAGUAAAACAGAUUUGGGGAAUGAUGGUUUGGUGUGGAUGACGGGUUGGGAUGGUAUGCAGGAGAUAAACCAGCAUAGUAUGAUAUGAUGACUAGGUGUGUUUGUUGGUUUGAUGUGGAAGCUGGUGUUGAAUGCUGGAUGCUGGUUUGUAGGUUAAAGGUGCUCUGAAGUUGUAGGAUGUAAAAAAGAUUUGGGGAAUGAUGGUUUGGUGCGGAAGAUGGUUUGGGAUGGUAUGCAGGAGAUAAACCAGCAUCGUAUGAUAUGAUGACUAGGCGUGCAGGUUUUCUUUAUGGCACUUUUUUUUCAAAAGUGGAUCCAAAAUGCAGGGUGUUGGUCGUUGAUGGAGCCGCAAGGGAUUGCCUGAUUGUUUAUAUCAGUGUAGUGAGGGAUGAGGAUGAAGAAGGGUAUAUGGAGGCUGGUGUACCUAUGGACUCGUGUUUGGCCAAUCUGGUUUUUUGAAGUGUGGCCUUUGCCCAGGUCACGCUGGUUAUAGCUGAACAAUACAACCAGGGAGCUGCUGGCCACCAUAGUGGAGCUAGCUGCUGUAGGAGUCUUUGGUGUUCUCUUUUGCUCAAUCUUUAUAUUACAAUAAUCCCUCUUGUCAGAGUUACAAUCUCUGAAAUUCUGCUUGAGGAAUAUGUUGUAAUGGAGAGUGGAGAGGUGGAUGUUCAGGACUUAGCAGAGAAAGCUGGAUCAAAAUGGUGGUAAAAAGGCUACACUUGAAUGUGUCAAAGUACAUGGUUCAGCAGGAAUAGCUUCUGGAGUGGGAGGCCUUGAUAAAAGACUUUGUUUGAGGUUGGAGCUUUGGAGAAAAAGAACAAGGCUGGAAAGUUUGCGCAGAAGGUCAAAGCGAAGGUCUUGUCAUUCGGUCGUUCGUCCAUGUCCACGAAGGUCUUGACCUUUCGGUCGUUCGUCCAAGUCCUCGAAGGUCUCGACAUCUCUGUCGUUCGGCCAACUCUCCGAAGGUCUCGACAUUUCGGUCGUUCAACACCAGCAUCCAGCAUUCAACACCAGCUUCCACAUCAAACCAACAAUCUCACCUAGUCAUGAUAUCAUACGAUGCUGGUUUAUCUCCUGCAUACCAUCCCAAACCGUCAUCCACACCAAACCAUCAUUCCCCAAAUCUGUUUUACUUCCUACAACUUCAAAAGCACUAGUCCUUCUAUAUACCAAUUCAAUUUCUAUACAAGCUGCUUCCUUACACCACUUCUAUUACUUCACCAGGUGUAUUUAAAAUGCAGAAACCAUAACUAUGUAGAUCUUCCCAAAAACCAGUACCUCUACCUUGGAAACAACCAUUAUCAAAAACUAGUAACACUAACAGCAGCUCAUUGCCACAGGAUGCUGCACCAACUGCACUAGCCUUUGCACCAGAUGCAGAUGGUAUACUCCAUCCAAAUGAACUUUGUGCACCCAGCAUUAGACCCCUAGCUUCCAGACAUCCACUUCCACACCGUUUGAAUAGUUGAAAGAUUGCACGCCAUGUUUCACCCAUAACCACAUUUUAAGUGGUGCCUACUCUCCAAACCUCAUUCUUCCAAGUUGUUCUGUUGCCUCAAGUUCCUACUGCAACCCCAUUCUUUUUCUAUGGUUACAUCAGAUUGCCUUUCCCUAUCCAUCAUGCACUCAUCAACAUAUAAAACAUGCAGGCCUACCAAAUCCUACCUCACAGCCUCACAACACUCAACAGAACAAAACACAUAAAACAUUACAACUUCCUACUAUAAGGAACAGUGAUACUGGAGCAGAAUCCUGCAUAAAACCCCAUAAAUCAACAAUUUGGUAUUGCAAAAAGACAGAUGCAGAGGAUAUACAGUGCUUCCAUGUGCCAGAAACGCAAAAAACUCCCUCCUUCCUUCAAAUACAAGCCUCAUGACUACUCUUGAUGUUACCUCCUCUGCAUUUGACUCUAUUCCUGCAGCAUCUAGAGCCUCUCCUCAGGAACACCUACCAGCAUCCAUCACUUAAAGCUUCUGAUGCAGAUAAGGGGGUUUAGGAUCCAAUCAGCCAGGGAAUAGCAGCAGCGGUGACCUCUAUGCUUUAGCCAUUGCCAUGAUUUGAGUUGAGCCAUCGAAAAAGUCUCUUCCGCAUCAACAACACCUUGUUUGAAUACAGCUGAGUUCCUAUGCUCCCAAAUGCUCCUUACAACACACGCCCAAACUCCUUUCCACAAGAGGUUUUGUUGGCUACUCAGAUGAGGCAAGGAGAAAUUUUCGAAGUGCAUCAUAGGAACAUUAUGCUGCACAAAAGAGAUGCCAAUCCAAUUAAAACAUAACCUCCACACUUUCUGGGCGAAGGUGCAUUCUAGGAAGAUGUGAUGGCAGGAUUCCUCCUUUGCUUGACAAAGCUCACAUAGAGUUGUGUUAAGCAACACUCCUCUCCUCCUCAAGUCGACUCUAGUUGGGAUUCUACCUAGGAGGACUCUCCAAGCAGUUGUAAUACUAUUGGGGAAAGCUUUGAUUCUCCACAGAUGCUCGAACACUUCGUGGCGCGGACUGCUGUCCUGUUUUGCUAAGCAUUCAUAAGCAGACUGGACAGAAAAGGACCCCGAGCCAUCACACCCCCACGUCUGAACGUCUUGGUGACCCCUCAACGGGCUUACUCGGGAUAGGAGUUGGACAAGGUUUGCUUCCAACGGGGAUUCCCAUUCAAACCUAUCCCUUCUCCACCUUAAAUCCCACCUCCAAACAGCGCUUACCCACUCCCCAACCUCACUCACCAUCAGGCCCUGGUCCAAAGAUAAGGAGAACUACCUAGGGUAGAGGGUUUUGAGGUUGAUAUUGCCAAUCCACACAUCCUCCCAGAAGUUCACUUUUUCUCCUCCUCCUAUCUUCCAUACAAGUUGAUUUUUGAACCACCCUCCUCCUUCUCCCUCUGUGCAUACUUUUUUCAAAUCUCUCCACCACCAUGAUUGGAAUUUCACUGGGCCAAGCGGACAAUCCAGAUUCAUCCCAUACUUUGAGACCAAUAGGUCUUUCCACCUCCCCUUUUCUUCCGAUACCAUCCGCCAUCUCCACUUGGCUAGGAGGGCGUAAUUAAACUUCCGAAUAUCUCUGAUCCCCAAUCCUCCCUCCUCCUUCGGUUUGCACACAUUUUCCCAGCUAACCCAGGUUAUCGACCUCUUCUCCUUUCCCCAUCCCCACAAAAACCUUCGCUGAAUGCUGAUAAUGCUUUUAUAUACAGAUUCCGGUGCUUUGAAGAUAGAGAGAUAGAAAAGCGGGAUCGCUGAGAUAACCGAUUUGAUUAGGCAUAUUCUCCCUGCCAAUGACAAAAAUCUUCCUUUCCAGACAUUGAGUCUAGCUUUAAGCUUGGUUAACACCGGUUCCCAGAACUUCACCUUCCUUGGGUUCCCUCCCACUUCUAAUCCAAGGUAAUUAAACGGGACUCCCAUCUGGGCACAACUCAGGGUCUUUGCAUAGCUUGACAGAGCAAAGUUAUCCACAUUCACACCUGCAAUCUUAGACUUAUGGAAAUUUAUCUUUAAGCCUGAUGCUAGUUCAAACCCCCUUAGGAUCGCCUUCACGGCAACAACAUUGCUAUGCGACGCUUCGCAAAGAAAGAGGGUGUCGUCUGCGAAUUGCAUGAUACUAAUCUCCCCCUCUCCUCUACCAAACUUAACACCCGAAAGCAGAUUGGCCUUGUUCGCUUGCCUAACUAGCCCAGCUAGGCCUUCAGCUACCACAAUGAAGAGGAACGGGGCUAGCGGAUCGCCUUGCCUCAAGCCUCUAGAAGGUUUGAAUUCCUCCGUAGGACUCCCGUUAACUAAAACGGACACUGAGGCCGAUUCCAUGCAGUGUAGUGAGGAUUGAGGAUGAAGAAGGGUAUAUGGAGGCUGGUGUACCUAUGGACUCGUGUUUGGUCAAUCUGGUUUUUUGAAGUGUGGCCUUUGCCCAGGUCACGCUGGUUAUAGCUGAAUAAUACAACCGGGGAGCUGCUGGCCACCAUAGUGGAGUUAGCUGCUGUAGGAGUCUUUGGAGUUCUCUUUAGCUCAAUCUUUAUUUUACAAUAAUCCCUCUUGUCAGAGUUACAAUCUCUGGAACUCUGCUUGAGGAAUCUGUUGUAAUGGAGAGUGGAGAGGUGGAUGUUCAGGACUUAGUAGAGAAAGCUGGAUCAAAAUGGUGGUAAAAAAUGGUGGAAAAAGGCUACACUUGAAUGUGUCACAGGAAUAGCCUCUGGAGGUGAGCUUGGGGUUCUACAAAUCUUCUCUAGGUCUCGUUUAUGCUGGUGUUAUGCAGUCUCAGGUAUUGGGACUGAGUGAAAAAGAAGAAGGCUGGAAAGUUUGCGCAAAAGGUCAAAGGGAAGGUCUUGACGUUCGGUCGUCCGUCCAAGUCCACGAAGGUCUUGACCUUCGGUCGUUCGUCCAAGACCUCGAAGGUCUUGCCACCUCUGUCGUUCGGCCACGUCCCCGAGGGUCUCGACGCCUCUGUCGUUCGGUCAACUCUCCGAAGGUUUCGACCAUCGGUCGGUCGGCCUUGCCCAGUUCUGGUACUCUAUCCUUUUGUAAGUCGAGACCAACAUCGCCAACCACCAGUUUCUGGCCAUGAUGCUGCAAAAACACAAUGCUGUACCCUAGCUUUAAGUUUUUGAGUUAAGUGGGGAGCCGCUUAACUUUGUUUUAAUUGCUAAAUGCUUAAUUAGGAGGGCUAUGUAUAAGGGUUGGAACACCCCUAAAGUGUUUCAUUUAAUUUUAUUAAUUCGUUGCUGAUCAAAAAAAAAUCCACAUCACCCACUUGCAGUGGAAACCCAUUUUGUAGAGCAUAUCGUACAUAAACUCCCACCGCACCGAGUCAUAUGCUUUUUCAAAAUCCACCUUCAAGCAGAGACCACUCCUCUCACGCCUUCUAAGAUCCUCUACCACCUCAUUGGCCAUGAGAACACUGUCUAGAAUCCCUCUCCCCUUUAGGAAAGCAGAUUGACUUUCAUCAAUAACGGAGUUCAACACUUUCUUUAUUCUUUCAGCCAACACCUUUGCUAUAACUUUGUAUAGAGCCCCCACUAGUGAGAUGGGACGAUAUUGCUCCAGCGAGAAGGGGUCCUUCACCUUUGGAACCAAGGCUAUGAAGGAUGCAUUACAUCCCUUAGGAAUAGACCCUGUAUCAUGGAACACAGCCAAGGCCUUAACAAACUCGUCUUUUAUAAACUCCCAACUUUUCCUGAUAAAAUUAAAGUUGAAUCCAUCAGGUCCUGGACUCUUUGAUCCUUCACAAUUCCACACCGCUUCCUUGAUCUCAUCUUCCUUAAAGCCAGAGAUAAGAAACAGGUUGUCUUCUGGGGAUAUAGAUUUGAACUCCACUUCAUCAAGUCUUACCCCAAAAUCCCUUGUUGCUGUAAACCUAUUCUCAAACAACUUCUUGGCCUCUGCUCGCACCGUAGAAGGCUCCUCACACCACUGACCCCCAACCUCCACUCCUUUUACUUCGUUUCUAAGCCUUCUCCAUCUCAAGGAGGAGUGAAAAAAUUUAGUACACGAGUCGCCGUACUUGAACCAACAAGCUCUUGCUUUCUGACUAAUGAGGGAGUCUAUCUUUCUGUCAACCUCCCCUAGCUGGUUCAGUAACUCCAGUCUCUCCACCCUCCCACUAACCACCGAACCUCCAUCCUUAUCUUGGUUGUCACAGACCUCAAUUUCGCGCAGGAUACCAUUCUUAAUGGUAUAAAGAUUACCGUACACAUCUCUAUUCCAGAUUUUCAAGUCCCCUUUGAGCAGCUUCAGCUUAACCUUAAGGUUCAAAAUGGCAUUCCCUUGGGCUGGAUAAGAUUGCCACUUUCCCUUCACCAUCCCGUUGAAACCUCUAUCCAUAUGCCAGGCAUCGAUAUUUCGAAAGGGCUUGGGACCCCAGUCCUUAUCCAAGGUCUUCACCACCAGAGCACAGUGAUCAGACACUUCCCUCUGUUGGACAUAUUGUUUACAGUUUGGCCAUAAGCUCAACCACUCCUCAGAGACAAGGAUUCUAUCAAGCCUGCUCUUAGCCGACCCAUUUGCUCUAAACCACGUGUAAGCUUUCCCUACAAUAGGGAGAUCCAGAAGCAUAUUAGAUUCAAUAAAACAAUUAAAACCAUAUAUCUCGCUCGUUUGGCCACUUGCCGUUGCACCCCGACUGCUAGCACCUUUCCUUUCCCGUCUACUUCUUACAGCAUUAAAGUCACCACAGAGACACCAAACCAACUCCUGUGACCCUCCUUUGAUUCCAGUUAUCUCCUCCCAGAGAAUCUUCUUUUCUCUUAGACUACAGGCUGAGUAAAUAUUAACAAUAACACACUUACGUGUAGACCGCAGGUGUUGGCCAAAGAUAACUAUGAAUCCCUUCCCCAUCACAUGACUCUCAUAGCAGAACAUAUCUUUGUGCCACAUGGACAGCAAGCUUCCACCUCCAUUUUCACCUUCAUAGUGAAUCCACCCGACUCUAUUGUCCCCCCACAAAGCAAAACAUCUAGCAUCGGUGAACCCCUUCAAUUUCGUUUCUUGAAUGCAAACAAACUCUGCUCCUUCUCUUGAGAUCAAAUUUUUAAGAUAUCUGCUUUUUGUUCCUCCCCCCAAACCUCGGAUGUUCAAGCUAACUAUCAGCAUAGGAGACCUUUUGUUACCCCCUCUUCUAGCUUCUGUGCAAACUCUACAUCUCUCGUUUCCAUACUCUGAUAUUCCUUCACAACCUCUUCUUCGAUCCUACGACAUACAAUUCCCAUCUGUUUGCCCAUCUCCCACAACUUUAGUGGUUUCUCCGUUACGUCCAGGUCCCGGAACCUUGAGUUACAAAUGAUUGUAUCCCCAUCAGAGAUAGUUGCAGAAAGAGUUCCAGCUUUUGAGGCAGAGUCCCUUACCUGGGAGGGCCAUACUCUUAUUGACCUCCGUGGAAGGGUGCUUGGUUCCGCCAUUUCCCCCAGCCCCUUCAUUCGCAGUCUACCCCUAGGGGAUUGGUUCCUGAUUCCACUUCCCCCUUUGCUGACCUCAUGGCCACGUAUUUCCAGGACUUCCCUUGGCUCCAGCUCCCGACCGACCGAAGCUCCCUCAUGGAUAUGCUGAUUUGUUCGGCCGAACGACCGAACGACCGACACUCCCCCCUCAAUGUUCGGCCCGUCGUCCUUACUCAGGAGCACUCCAUCUCCUACUUCCUCUUGGACUAGCGAAUGGGAUAACCCAUUGCCAAAAAGGGCCGACCGGUUUCCUUCGUGGCCCAAGAAGACAGAGGGUUCGCGCUGAGUGCAACUUAACUCCUCAUCCACAACUAACUUGGCCACGUCAGCCCGAGGGUUGGUACUAUAGUGCAAAGCUGUGGGCCCGUUGCUACAGGUUUUCAGGAUCGCCGCUUCGUCAGAGGCUAUCUGAUUUACUGUUUCCACAUUGGUGAAACUCUUAGCACUGACCCUCUGACAGACUAGACCCUUAGAGGUUGCUUCCCCACGAACCAAGCCUUUUGUCGUAUUCUCUUGACCCUCACCGUCACCUACCACCUCCCUUCCGACUUGGACUUCUUCACCGUUAACUUCACCACCGAUCACCUCCCCCCUAGGCCACUGCCUUAUCCGACCCCGAACUUUUCCUUCCUCUUCACAACUAUUCACAGAGGCAGUAUCCUCUACAUAGGUUUCCGACGAGGAAACACUAUCCGAGGAGCCACCAUCAUCAUAGAUGCACCUGCAUGAACCUCUAUUCCCACAUAUAACUUCUUCUUCUAUACGGAUACUAUAAAGAUUAUUGUUGAUCUUCAUGUCUGCCGCCAUCCCUACACUCUGGCUCUUUGGCAUCCUGACUUGAAGAACAGCAUACUCCAAGUUCUCCCAUAGGAGAGUGGCUUUGCCGAUAGACACUAUAGUUGCCUUAUCUCCCACCACUUUAGAGAAGCACUCCUUGUUCCAGAGAGAAAGGGGUAGUCCAUAGCACCUUACCCAGACGACUUUGUGGCUCGCUAUGCACUUUUCCGACCAUGGUUCAAAGCUUGUGAAAACACUCUCAAACCACUCCUUAUUAAGCUUAAUAAGAGCCUGCAUACUCUCCCCUUCCCUUGGCAUAAGCAGAACUAGAUUGUCUCCUAAGGAAUGCAAAAAAACCGUGCUCAACCCUCCUUUCAGGAACUCUUCGCGUAACUGAUCAAGAUCUAGUUCUGCACGCAGCUGACCAAUGACACUUGCCUCCAUCCACGGUAGGAUCUGUUUUUGGACUGAGAACGUUGGUCCCUUCCACACCUGACGAGGACCUCCCCUUACUAUAUCAGCAUAUGACUCUUCCCCUUUCUUUUUCACCCAUACCUCCUUCUUCCUCUCCCUCCGUGUUUCCGCCAGGCCUUCCCCUCCCCUCCUCCUUGACUCAGAAUGAGGCACCCCCGGGGGAAACUUGUAGACCCUAGACUCGGGUACAAGCCUCCUGUACCUCGGGAUAUUGACAUGGAGCUUCACAUUGCCAAUGAAAAUUUGGUCAAGCUCCUUCUCUAAUCUUGUCGCAUUUCCCACUUCGAAGAAACGAACAAAACCAAAUCGUCUCCCCCACUUGUUCAGCCUUCGAGCAAUGAAAACUUCUUUCACUCUAGCCCAUUUCUGGAAGAUCUUGUGCAUGUCCAGUUCACCAUACCCGUUCGGAAAGUUGGAGAAGAAGAAUGUUGUGGCGUCGCCUGUGCUAUACGCAGAAAUACCUGUCUUCUCUUUUACACCAUGACCACCUUGACCAUUGUGACCACCAUAACCACCAUGAGAAGGGCGAGUUUCUCUCCCUCUCCUUUCUCUCUCUCUCCCUCUCCUUUCUCUCUCCUUUCUCCCUCUCCUUUCUCUCUCCAUUAAAAUUGAACGAGGCAUAAAUAAUUCUGAUUACCUUUUUUUUGAUCAGCAACGAAUUAAUAGAAUUAAAUGAAACACUUUAGGGGUGUUCCAACCCUUAUACAAAGACCUCCUAAUUAAGCAUCUAGCAAUUAAAACAAAGUUAAGCGGCUCACCACUUAACUCAAAAACUUAAAGCUAGGGUACAUCAUUGCGUUUAAGUAAUAAGAUAAUUCUGAUGCCGAACGAGGCAUAAAUAAUUCUGAUUACAUUAAAGUAAUAAGAUAGUUCUGAUGCCGGACGAGGCAUAAAUAAUUCUGAUGCCGAACGAGGCAUAAAUAAUUUUGAUUUCUGACCAAGGUUGGUGAAUAACGUUGAAGUUAUAAUUCGUUAUAUAUUCUGGCCGAACGAACGGUUAAUGAAUUAAUAGAUAAUUCGGAUGCCGGACGAGGCAUAAAUAAUUCGGAUUACCUUAAAGUAAUAAGAUAAUUCUGAUGCCGAACGAGGCAUAAAUAAUUCUGAUUACGUUAAAGUAAUAAGAUAAUUCUGAUGCCGUAGGAGGCGUAAAUAAAUCUGAUUACCUUAAAGUAAUAAGAUAAUUCUGAUGCCGAACGAGGCAUAAAUAAUUCUGAUUACAUUAAAGUAAUAAGAUAGUUCUGAUGCCGGACGAGGCAUAAAUAAUUCUGAAUAAUUCUGAUGCCGAACGAGGCAUAAAUAAUUUCGAUUUCUGACCAAGGUUGGUGAAUAACGUUGAAGUUAUAAUUCGUUAUAUAUUCUGGCCGACCGAACGGUUAAUGAAUUAAUAGAUAAUUCGGAUGCCGGACGAGGCAUAAAUAAUUCGGAUUACCUUUUUUUUUUUUGAUCAGCAACGAAUUAAUAGAAUAAAAUGAAACACUUUAGGGGUGUUCCAACCCUUAUACAUAGACCUCCUAAUUAAGCAUUUAGCAGUUACAACAAAGUUAAGCGGCUCCCCACUUAACUCAAAAACUUAAAGCUAGGGUACAUCAUCGCGUCUAUGUGAUAACCUGGGGUAACUUUUUCCUUAAGCAGUAACAUGGCCAUAAACUGGUAGUAGACGAUGUUGGUCUCGACUUAUAUAGGAUAGAGAACCGGUACUGGGCGAGGCCGAACGACCGAAUGAUUAGCCUCAAUACCCCGAUGUGUGAGCAUGAAGCCUAAGAACUUCCCACCUUCGACGCCGAACGCGCACUUUUCCGGAUUUAAACGCAUGCGGUAUUGACGCAAGGCUUGAAAAACCUCUUUUAGGUCAGAAACAUGUUGCUCGCAAGAGUCUGAUUUGACGACGAUGUCGUCAACGUAUACUUCCACAUUCCGACCGAUCAUGUCGUGGAACACGUGGUCCAUGAGUCGCUGGUAUGUGGCUCCUGCAUUCUUGAGACCGAACGGCAUGACUUCAUAGAAGAAAUUAUCAGAGUCCGUUCUAAACGCGGUUUUUUCCCGGUCACGGUGGUACAUUUGUAUUUGAUUGUAACCCGAAUAAGCAUCAAGGAAACUUAGGAUUUGAUGACCGGCUGCACCGUCGACCAGUCGGUCGAUAGUAGGCAGGGGAUACGAGUCUUUUGGGCACGCCUUGUUAAGGUCUGUGUAGUCUACGCACAUUCUCCAUUUUCCAUUCGCCUUUUUUACCAUCACUACAUUGGCUAGCCAUGUCGUAUAGUGGGCCUUUUGAAUGAAACCAGCUUGAAUUAACUUUCUGUUUCUUCUCGUGCGGCUUUGCGCCGUUCUUCACCUAGUUUCCUUUUCUUUUGAGUGAUCGGCCUGGCCUCUGUAUACACAGAUAAUCGAUGGGUAAUCACAUCUGAUUUUACCCCUGGCAUGUCUGCAGCCGUCCAAGCGAAAAGAUCAGCGUUCUUUAUUAAUGUUUUUCCGACCGCCUCUCGGUCGUCCGGAUUGAGAGAUGUUCCCAUGUAUGUUUUUCGGUCUUUGUCUUGGAGGAAUAUGGGUUGAAGAUCUUCCCCUGCUUCCAUCCGGGGAUCAUCCAGUCGAGGGUCUAGAUCGACUAAGGCGACCAAGUGUCUUCUAGUUUUAAUAUUUUUCUCCCUCAAUAGAAAAUUUGGUCAACACACUCGUUUAACUCAUAUCAUAGUAAUCAUCACUAUGUUGAAACUCUUGAGUUGUAAUUGUAAGGGUGAGACAACCUUCUACAACAUAGAGUGGAAUUGCAUAAAACUAAGGAUCAUACUUUAAUAAUUCAACUGGUUUUAAGAGAAGGAUUGUCUUUUCUCAGUCGGUAUCUUUUUCACAUAACGUUUUUGUACUCUUCUUUAACUCCUUUACUUUUCGACUUCUUGAGCUCCAAACUCGGAUAAUAUCUGUAAAAACAUUCUGACGUUCAAGUCAGAUUUCCAAUAUUUGAUACUCGGUGCUAUUAGUCCUGAAAGAUGACUACCUUAUUUUCAAAAUCUGUGCAUAUUUAUAUAAUUAUCAUGAGUUUUUUGUUAUUGGGUUCGCAAGUGAUAGAUUUUAGAAAUACCUUAUGCAUGCAUCUUAUACAUAUUAUCUAUUUGAUGUUUAUAUUUGUUCACAUGUUUGUUCAUAUGGCUCACCUCCCCGGGCUUUUUAGCAGAACUCUAGUACUAUUUCAGCCUCUGGUGGAGCUAAGCUGUUAACAAGAAUGUUAGUGAGUACGUCGCUCCCAUACAGGGGUCUUCCUUUGUGCCUGAGAUUGCAGACAAUACUAUGAUGAUGCUAGUGUGAUCCAAUAAUUUUCCAAACAUAAACUGUUUGGAGUGCCAAUGAUCCGUGACCAACUCCAUUCUUUCUCCUCUCCAACUUCUAAUUCUGCUAACUGCCAUAAGUCAUGAUGUUACCAAAACACAAUUNNNNNNNNNNNNNNNNNNNNNNNNNNNNNNNNNNNNNNNNNNNNNNNNNNNNNNNNNNNNNNNNNNNNNNNNNNNNNNNNNNNNNNNNNNNNNNNNNNNNCUUUGCUUGUGAGAGAGUUUUAAAUGGCAGGUUUGAAAAGGGUAUUGCAAAUGCCAAAAGGGGUAGAAUUCAAGCACUAUGGUCGAAACCUACGGAAAGAUGGCCGAACGACCGAGAUGUCAAGACCCUCGGGGACAUGGCCGAACGACAGGAAUGACGAGACCUUCUAGGACUUGGGCAAACGACCGAGAGGUUAAGACCUUCCCGUACGACCGAAGGUCAAGACCUACGCUUUGACCUUCUGCGCAAACUUCCAGCCUUCUUCUUUUACUCCAAAGCUCGAACCUCCAGCAAAGUCUUUUAUGCAGUCCCAAUACCUGAGACUGCAUAACACCAGCAUGACACAAGUCCUAGAGAUGAUUUGUAGAACCCCAAGCACACCUCCAGAAGCUAUUCCUACUGCAACCCCAUUCUAUUACUGAAGUUACAUCAGAUUGCCUUUCCCUAACCAUCAUGCACUCAUCAACAUAUAAGACAUGCAGGCCUCCCAUUUCCUACCUCGCAACCUCACAACAACUGAUUUAAACAAUCAGGCUGUCCCUUACAGCUCCAUCAACGACCAACACCCUGCAUUUUGAAUCCACAUUUGAAAAAAAGCCAAAAAGAGAACCUGCACGCCUGCAUUGUCUUAAGCUUUGUUUGUAAAAAGAAGCUUUUGGCUUAGAGCACCUUUAACCUACAAACCAGCAGUCAGCAUUCAACACCAGCUUCCUCAUCAGACCAACAUACUCACCUAGUCAACAAAACAAACGAUGCUGUUUUAUCUCCUGCAUACCAUCCCAAACCAUGUUCCACACCAAACCAUCAUUCCCCAAAUCUGUUUUACUUCCUACAACUUCAGAGCACCUUUAACCUACAAACCAGCAUCCAGCUUUCAACACCAGCUUCCACAUCAAUCCAACAAUCACACCUAGUCAUCAAAUCAUGCGAUGCUGGUUUAACUCCUGCAUACCAAACAACCAUUAGCAGAAACUAGAACCACUAUCAGCAGCUCGUUGCCACAGGAUGCUGCACAAACUGCACUAGCCUUUGCACCAGAUGCAAAUGGUACUCUCCAUCCAAAUGAACUAUGUGCACACGAGAUUCGGAGGAUGAAACACUGUCAAGAGUGAUUAUAAUAAUAUUUUGAGAGAGAAAACAGCAGUGGAGAUUCCUUCAACAGCAGAGAUGGAGACCCUCGGGACUUAGGCGAACGAAUCGAGACCUUCGAAGACUUGGGCAAAUGACCAAAAAGUCUUGGACGGACGACCGAAAGUCCUGCAGCCUCAAAACCUCUCCUCAAGAACACCUUCCAGCAUCCAUCACUUAAAGCUUCUGAUACAGAUAAGGGGAUUUAGAAUCCAAUCAGCCAGAGAAUNNNNNNNNNNNNNNNNNNNNNNNNNNNNNNNNNNNNNNNNNNNNNNNNNNNNNNNNNNNNNNNNNNNNNNNNNNNNNNNNNNNNNNNNNNNNNNNNNNNNUGCUUUAGCCAUUGCCAUGAUUUGAGUUGGGCCAUCGAAAAAGUCUCUUCCGCAUCAACAACACCUUGUUUGAAAACAACCGAAUUCCUAUGCUCCCAAAUGCUCCUAACGACACACGCCCAAACUCCUUUCCACAAGAGAUUUUGUUGGCUACUCAGAUGAGGCAAGGAGAAGUUCUCAAAGUGCAUCGUAAGAACAUUGUGCUGCACAAAAGAGAUGCCAAUCCAUAUAAAACAAGACCUCCACACUUUCUGGGCGAAGGGGCAUUCUAAGAAGAUGUGUUGGCAGGAUUCCUCCUUUGUUUGACAAAGCUCACAUAAGGUUGUGUUAAGCAACACUCCUCUCCUCCUCAAAUCAACUCUNNNNNNNNNNNNNNNNNNNNNNNNNNNNNNNNNNNNNNNNNNNNNNNNNNNNNNNNNNNNNNNNNNNNNNNNNNNNNNNNNNNNNNNNNNNNNNNNNNNNGUGGCGCGGACUACUAUCCUGUUUAGCUAAGCAUUCAUAUGCAGAAUGGACAGAGAAGAACCCCGAGCCAUCACACCCCCACGUCUGAACAUCUUUGUGACCCCUGGACGGACUUACACGGGUUAGUAAUUGGACAAGGUUUGCUUCCAACGGUGAUUCCCAUUCAUACCUAGCCCUUCUCCACCUUAGGUCCCACCUCCAAACAUCACUGUCCCACUCCCCAACCUCACUCACCAUUAGGCCCUGGUCCAAGGAUAAGGAGAACAACCUUGGGUAGAGGGUUUUGAGAUUGAUAUUACCAAUCCACACAUCCUCCCAGAAGUUCACUUUUUCACCGCCUCCUACCUUCCAUACAAGUUGAUUUUUGANNNNNNNNNNNNNNNNNNNNNNNNNNNNNNNNNNNNNNNNNNNNNNNNNNNNNNNNNNNNNNNNNNNNNNNNNNNNNNNNNNNNNNNNNNNNNNNNNNNNNNNNNNNNNNNNNNNNNNNNNNNNNCACCGCCCCUCUUCUUCCGAUACCAUCCGCCAUCUCCACUUGGCUAGGAGAGCAUAAUUAAACUUCCGAAUAUCUCUGAUCCCCAGACCACCCUCCUCCUUCGGUUUAAAGUAAUAAGAUAAUUCUGAUGUCGAACGAGGCAUAAAUAAUUCUGAUUACGUUAAAGUAAUAAGAUAAUUCUGAUGCCGAACGAGGCAUAAAUAAUUUCGAUUUCUGACCAAGGUUGGUGAAUAACGUUGAAGUUAUAAUUCGUUAUAUAUUCUGGCCGAACGAACGGAAAUAAUUCGGAUUACCUUAAAGUAAUAAGAUAAUUCUGAUGCCGAACGAGGCAUAAAUAAUUCUGAUUACGUUAAAGUAAUAAGAUAAUUCUGAUGCCGAACGAGGCAUAAAUAAUUUCGAUUUCUGACCAAGGUUGGUGAAUAACGUUGAAGUUAUAAUUCGUUAUAUAUUCUGGCCGAACGAACGGUUAAUGAAUUAAUUAACUUCUGACCAAGGUAGGUAAUUUAAAGUGCCUCGUUAAAAGCUUCUCGGUAGAAAACCCUCCUUAGGGAUAAAACUACCGAGCGAGGAAAGAGUGCACUGAGUUUAUUCAUCAACUGUAGUAGAAUUUGAGAUGCGUGGCAUUCCAUGUUCUCGGUAUAGAUUUUCCUGACAAAUAUUCUAAGUAAUAAGCUCCUCCUGUUGCUGUGUCGGAGAUUCGGAACGGUCCUUCCCAGUUGCUUGAAAACUUUCCUCCGUCCUUCCGAGCGUUGCUGCGCAUGCGCCAAACUAGAUCUCCUUUCUGAUAGUUUCGUGGCUUCACUUUCGAGUUGUACCUUCGUGCUGCUCGUAUCUUGCAUGCUUCUUCCCUUAUCUUGCAUUUGUCCCUCAAUUCAUUGAUGAGGUCGAGGCCGACUAGUAGACUUUCCUUGUUUAAGUCUAGGUCUAAUGUCUGUCGGCGUAGUGAAGGCUCGCCGAUCUCGACCGGAAUCAUGGCUUCUGUGCCGUACGUCAGGCUGUAAGGUGUUUCCUGAGUCGUUGAUUGGGGAGUACAACGAUAAGCCCACAGAACCUCCAACAAUUCUUCCGUCCAGUUUCCCUUAGAGGGGCCAAGUCUCUUCUUUAACUCAUUGAGAAUAACUUUGUUGGCCGCUUCUGCCUGCCCGUUGGUUUGAGGGUGUUCGACCGAACUCGUUAUGUGUUUGAUGUGAAGUUUCUCAUAGAAUUCAGCUAGCCCACGGUCGGUGAACUGCCGGCCGUUGUCUGUGAUAAUUAUCUGGGGUAGGCCGAACCUGCAGACAAUGUUUUUCCACACAAAGCUUUGGACGUUCCGGGCGGUGAUGGCCGUUAGCGGUUCAGCCUCAAUCCAUUUAGUAAAGUAAUCUAUGCCAACCAACAAGAACUUGCAUUGUCCCUUUCCAGGUGUGAAAGGUCCGAUAAUAUCCAUGCCCCACUUCACAAAUGGCCAAGGGGAUAGGAUAUAGUGUAGGUGUUCUGGCUUUUGGUGCGAUAGGGUGCCGAACUCCUGACACUUUAUACAUCUUUGAACGUAUUCGGUGCAGUCCCCUUGUACGGUCGGCCAGUAGUAUCCGGCUCUGAAAAUUUUAGCGGACAUAGUUCGUGCCCCUGAAUGGGUUUCGCAUAUCCCCUCGUGCAACUCGGUCAUUACAUAUGUGACCUGUUCUGGACUAAGGCAUUUUAGGAGGGGACGGGAGUACCCUCUCCUGUAGAGGUCUUGGCCAACGAGUAUGUAUCGGGCGGCUUGUAGUUUCAUUGUCCUCUCUAAGUGUGGAUCGCAUGCUCCGUCGGUCAGAUAUUGUUUUAUGGGAGUCAUCCAAUUUGGUUGAGUGUCGGUCGUCAUACAUUCUUCGGUACCAACACUUGGUUUAGAGAGGGUCACAUGUAUGCCCGACCGGUGGACACCUUUAUUUUUUAAGGUAGCCAAUCUUGAUAGAGCGUCCGCCCUAGUGUUAUUUUCCCUUCGUACGUGUUGGAAUGAGAUUUCUUCGAACCUGUUUAGAAGAUUUUGCACAAAAUGAAAAUACUGCUGGAGUAAGGUUUCUCUUACCUCAUAUUCUCCUGUUAUUUGCCCAAUGACUAGACGGGAGUCGCUCUUACAAAUUAUAUUUGUUAUCUCCAACUCAAUCGCCAGAUGUAGACCUGCGAUUAUAGCUUCGUAUUCGGCCUGAUUAUUGAAAGUUUUGAAUUCAAACUUCAUGGCUUGUUCGACAACAAUUUCCCCUGGUCCUUCAAGUACAACUCCUGCUCCGGACGAACGACUGUUUGAUGAUCCAUCUACGUAUAGUGUCCAUCGGGGAGUUCGUUCGGUCGGAUAGGGAGUGAGUUCCGCUGUGAAGUCGGCGAGGGCUUGGGACUUGAUGGCCCCCCUGGGUUGGUAUUCGAUGUGGAAUUCUGACAGCUCGACUGCCCAACCUAUCAUUCGUCCGGCGAGGUCAGGCUUGGUGAGAAUCUUCAUAAUGGGAUAGUUAGUCUUAACAAUAACCUUGUGAUUUUGGAAGUACAUCCGCAUCCGUCGUGCGGUAAUGACUAGAGCUAAGGCAACUUUUUCGACCAUUUGGUACAGGGUCUCCGCGUCGUGCAAGACUCGGCUGACGAAAUAUACCGGUCGCUCUUCCGCUCCGAUUUCUUGUACUACAACGGAACUCACUGCUUCAUUGGAGACAGCGAGGUAAACCACAAUGGGCUCUCGUACGUUCGGUUUCUGGAUGACCGGUGGGGAAGCCAGGAAUGUUUUCAGCUGUUGGAAAUUUUGUUCGCAUUCAUCCGUCCAUUCAAACUUAGUCGUUUUCUUCAAAAGCUUUAUAAUGGGUCUUGUUCGUUCGGCAAGCUUUGGUACGAACCGAGAUAACGACGUGAGACGGCCGACUAGUCUCUGGAUCUCUUUGAGUCCGCUGGGACUUCGCAUUUCGGUGAUUGCCUUGCAUUUUUCUGGAUUAGCCUCAAUACCCCGAUGUGUGAGCAUGAAGCCUAAGAACUUCCCACCUUCGACGCCGAACGCGCACUUUUCCGGAUUUAAACGCAUGCGGUAUUGACGCAAGGCUUGAAAAACCUCUUUUAGGUCAGAAACAUGUUGCUCGCAAGAGUCUGAUUUGACGACGAUGUCGUCAACGUAUACUUCCACAUUCCGACCGAUCAUGUCGUGGAACACGUGGUCCAUGAGUCGCUGGUAUGUGGCUCCUGCAUUCUUGAGACCGAACGGCAUGACUUCAUAGAAGAAAUUAUCAGAGUCCGUUCUAAACGCGGUUUUUUCCCGGUCACGGUGGUACAUUUGUAUUUGAUUGUAACCCGAAUAAGCAUCAAGGAAACUUAGGAUUUGAUGACCGGCUGCACCGUCGACCAGUCGGUCGAUAGUAGGCAGGGGAUACGAGUCUUUUGGGCACGCCUUGUUAAGGUCUGUGUAGUCUACGCACAUUCUCCAUUUUCCAUUCGCCUUUUUUACCAUCACUACAUUGGCUAGCCAUGUCGUAUAGUGGGCCUUUUGAAUGAAACCAGCUUGAAUUAACUUUCUGUUUCUUCUCGUGCGGCUUUGCGCCGUUCUUCACCUAGUUUCCUUUUCUUUUGAGUGAUCGGCCUGGCCUCUGUAUACACAGAUAAUCGAUGGGUAAUCACAUCUGAUUUUACCCCUGGCAUGUCUGCAGCCGUCCAAGCGAAAAGAUCAGCGUUCUUUAUUAAUGUUUUUCCGACCGCCUCUCGGUCGUCCGGAUUGAGAGAUGUUCCCAUGUNNNNNNNNNNNNNNNNNNNNNNNNNNNNNNNNNNNNNNNNNNNNNNNNNNNNNNNNNNNNNNNNNNNNNNNNNNNNNNNNNNNNNNNNNNNNNNNNNNNNNNNNNNNNNNNNNNNNNNNNNNNNNNNNNNNNNNNNNNNNNNNNNNNNNNNNNNNNNNNNNNNNNNNNNNNNNNNNNNNNNNNNNNNNNNNNNNNNNNNNNNNNNNNNNNNNNNNNNNNNNNNNNNNNNNNNNNNNNNNNNNNNNNNNNNNNNNNNNNNNNNNNNNNNNNNNNNNNNNNNNNNNNNNNNNNNNNNNNNNNNNNNNNNNNNNNNNNNNNNNNNNNNNNNNNNNNNNNNNNNNNNNNNNNNNNNNNNNNNNNNNNNNNNNNNNNNNNNNNNNNNNGCUCCAAACUCGGAUAAUAUCUGUAAAAACAUUCUGACGUUCAAGUCAGAUUUCCAAUAUUUGAUACUCGGUGCUAUUAGUCCUGAAAGAUGACUACCUUAUUUUCAAAAUCUGUGCAUAUUUAUAUAAUUAUCAUGAGUUUUUUGUUAUUGGGUUCGCAAGUGAUAGAUUUUAGAAAUACCUUAUGCAUGCAUCUUAUACAUAUUAUCUAUUUGAUGUUUAUAUUUGUUCACAUGUUUGUUCAUAUGGCUCACCUCCCCGGGCUUUUUAGCAGAACUCUAGUACUAUUUCAGCCUCUGGUGGAGCUAAGCUGUUAACAAGAAUGUUUGUGAGUACAUCAAAGUGCUUCUGAGCAGAUCUCUGUCAUGUAGUGAGAGAUUGCAGACAAUACUAUGAUGAUGCUAGUGUGAUCCAAUAAUUUUCCAAACAUAAACUGUUUGGAGUGCCAAUGAUCCGUGACCAACUCCAUUCUUUCUCCUCUCCAACUUCUAAUUCUGCUAACUGCCAUAAGUCAUGAUGUUACCAAAACACAAUUUCAGUAUCUUUGCUUGUGAGAGAGUUUUAAAUGGCAGGUUUGAAAAGGGUAUUGCAAAUGCCAAAAGGGGUAGAAUUCAAGCACUAUGGUGCAAGUUUUCAAGCUACUUAUUACAGUAUUAUAUAUUAUUGCUAAUGCUUUGUAGUGGAAAGCUAUAGCAGACAAUAUCAAAGAAGUUUGACAAAUGGGAACUUAAAAUGCAUAGAACUCGAAUCUUUAUAAAAUCCAUCCUUCAAGUUUGACAAAUGGAUGAUAUAAUCAUUAAUUAGAAACUAUUUUUGAGAAAGAAAAAAAAUAGUUUCUAUAUUGAUUAAAUUAGAUAUUAUUUUUUGUCUCUAAAAUUGUUUUUUAUUUAAUGAUUUUCUUGUAGUGAGUUAUAAACUUAUUAUAAAAGUUUUCCAUCAGAUAAUUGGAAUCUAUCUCAGUGUGAUAAGGUUCUUACCCUGCCAUCUCUGAGCUCAAAUAUGACAGAACCUUCAGAAAAUGGAAUUGGUCUUGUUGAUGCCACCUGUGUUGCAUAAGAUUCAAUGUCAAUUCUAUGUUCUUGUUACUUUUUAUUUUAUUUCAAAAUAGAACUUUGUCAAUUUUAACCAACCAGUAAUCAUACACUAACUUUUACCUUUGGUUCACAAUUUAAGUUGAGGUCAACAAGGUUGUCUUGGUUCUUGUUCAAGCCAGAUGCACAAUUUCCAUCACUCUGAACUGGUUUCUCCUCAUUGAAUCUUCCACUUUGUGCUUCAACAAUUUUAUUUCCCAUAUUGGGGAAGCCACAAUCCUUCCACUUCCAUGCAUUGUUGUCCAUGUAUCUCAGGUAUACUUUUCCAUCUGAGCCAAUCAAAAGUAGUUGAUUCCCUUCAAAGCUUGGACCAGGUGAACCAACCAGUGUAACACCUUUAUAAGGUGUUCCAUGUUCUAUCCAGUUCCAUCCAUGCCAAGUAUUCCACUGGUACUCAACAAGACCACCUUCUCUUGAAAGCAUGAAGAGAGAACCUGAGAGUGAUUUUGUUGAUGGUCUUAUGACUGUUCCAGGAAACUGUGAUAGAAUCAAAUGUUGAGACUGGUAAUGCUCAUGCCACAAUUCAGUCACUUUGUUAUACUGAUAUAGACGACCAUUUCUUCCAGUGACAAAGACUAUAUUUUCCCUGAACAAUUCCUGGUCAACUAUAGUUGCAACUUUAACAUUUUGAGGAUUUUUGCAAUCUUUCCAUUUGAACUUCCUCAUGUACACCUGAGUAAACAUGUAAAUUUUUACUUCACAUCUAGCUAGUGUAGCAGUAUUUCAAGUCUAAAGAGUUUAUUCCCUGAAAAUUUUAAUAUUUAAUCCAUGUGUGUUAUAAAUAAGACUUUAGUUUCACUACUUUCAACUAAUUCAUUUUGCUAGUUCCUUUGUUUCGUGAGGUUGCAACUUGUGGAAAGAGUUCUUAACGGUUCAAAGGGCAUAAUUACCAAUGUUUAAGGCACAACUGUAAAAAAUAUACGGAAGUGUUGGAGAUCUUACAUAACUAGAGAUUAAGAUAUUUCAUAGUAUAUAAGUGGGUGUUGGUGCAAACCUUUAUAGGUUGGUUUUACGAGGUUGAGUUAGACUUAAAGUCUACUUCUUAAUAUAGUAUCAAAGUCAUUUCGGACCUAUUCUAAUGAGAGUUUAUUGGGUAGAAUUACCAAUGUUUAAGGCACAAACUGUAGAAAAUAUACAGAAGUACAAUCAUAUUUUUGUUAAGAGGCAUGCAAUCAUCUUAAGCUUUUUGAAAUGUUAUUCAUUCACACUUCUAGCAUCUUUUAUCAAGGCUUGUCUCUUAAGUAUUCUAACUUCUAAGCAAUUAAAAAGUGAAUUGGUUGCACCUAUAUCAUCAUCUUGUACCAUACAUUUUAGUUUGAGAAAUUGUGUUGCUGUUUACCUACCAUGAACUGCAGUAAUCCUCCACUUUUGCUCACAAAGAAGAUUGAAUCUUCAGUUGUAGCCCUCCUUGCUUUACCUGGUAAUGUAUCCCAUGGUUGACCUCCAAUAAUAUGUCUCCCUUUCCUCGUAGCAGUGCAGUUUUUCCAUGCCAUCUCGUUAUCACUCCAUUCUCUAAGGAACAGACUCCCAAAUGAAUCAACCAUAAACAAACUUCCAUUAUAGUUCCCCACUAUACCACUCAUAGCCGAGGAGCUAUCAUGCUUCAACCAUACCCAUACAUUCUCAAUACAAACGUAUUCAAAAACAAAACCAUCAUUGCUUAUUAAGAAGAAUGACUUGCCUUCAUACAGCAGUCUUAAGCGAAAGUUACUACUAAUCCAAUCAUCUGGCAGAUUGUAUUCUUCUGAAGACUUGUUCAGUUCACCACCUUUGCCUAGAGACAAGUAAUGACUCUGUGUUUGGCUUUGUUUUCUUCUACUUGUUCCUGAAUCAUUUGAGUCAUCUUUUGUACCUGUCAUACAAUUUCUGGGGCCACGUUCUUCUGUACAAUAUUCUGCAUUCCACCCUUCACUCUCUGGCACAUCUAAUAUAGUCCAAACAUAUCUGUUUGAUGCUUUCCUUCUAGAGUUUUGUGGUGCAGAUGGUCCUGAACUUUCACCCCCUAUUCCUACUAGAUGCAAUUCUGCAAGUCUACCAUCGUCUAGUGCAUACAGUAUCCUCCCAACUUGGAAUGCUAAGCCAGCUAUACCUCUUGCUGCUUUUGCUUGUGAGGGAUGCUCAUGACUUCCCCAUGCUUCUGGAAACUGAUUAUUAUGAACACUACCUGUUUUCAUUUGAGAAUUCAAUGUCUAAAACGCAGUAUUCAGAUAGAAAACUUUGUUGGAACAGGAAAGUUUGAGUCUUUCACAGAUGGGUGCAGAUAAAUUAAAACCUUUAACAGUAAAAACAUAUACUUCACACCUUAAUAAAUCAAUAUUUUAUUCAUUUUCAUUUUAUUUUUAAUUUAAAAUUAUUAUUAUAUUAUUAUUAACAGUAUCAAAUGUAUGUCAUUUACGGUUCAGAGUGUCAACAAAACUUUUCUCUUCUCAAUAUUAGUAUUCCAUGUCUUAUUUUAUUCUGCAGAAUAUAUAUUGCAAAUACUAGCUAUUUUUAUGAGUAGGAAUUAUGUUUACUGAUGUUGAAAUAAUGAAUCUAAUCCACAAAUAAUAUUGUUAGUCUUUUCGUUGCUUGUGUAUAAGCUUCAAUAAUCUUUCAGGUUCUUGACAGAUUAUGAAUUUGAUUACAUAACAGUUAAGUAUCAAUUGAUUACUCUUGGUUCCUAAUUAUCAAACAACUAGAGUGAGGUAAACUAUCUAAGAGACACAAGUAAAGGUAGCUGGGAAUGAUAAUUGUCUCUUAUUUACUUCCUAGGAAUAGGAAUCAAAUUUCAGAUGGACGAUAGGUUUUGGUAAUGGUGAUAACUAUUCCAAAAAGUUUGAUAGAUAAAGAAUGAAACUGAAAAUCCCAAAUAGUAUGUUGCAGAUUCCACGUCAAAUAAAGAUAAAACAUCUCAUAAUAUAUGAUAAUAUAUGACUGAGUGUAAACUUCACCUUAUCAGCCAAUUUUAUAAGAUUGAGUUAGGAUUAAAAUCCACUUCUUAAUAUAAUAUAAUAUAGUAUCAUAAAGUUCAUAUUUAGUAAAAAUAUUAGUAUAGUCAUAGAAGUAAAUAUCAAUCAUGGAUGAAGUUAAACAGAUUUAGAGCAAUUGGAUGACUCACCUAGUUGUUUUGGCAUUUGAUAUUCAAAAACAGAUCCAGCUGAAGUAGUAAAGAAUAAAGAAUUGAAUGUUUCACUUGAUUCAUCUUGCAAAGCUGGUGUAAUAGACGUCAAAGUUUGCUGUUCAGGGCUUCCAUGAACUACCCAUUUCCACUUCCUUUGAUGCAAUCUUCUCUCCACCAAAGUGCCUUCCUGUAUAAUUAUCAUUUUUUUUAAAUGGUGUCCAAGAGAGACAUGGUUUUUAGAUUCUUAAAGGACCUCAUUAAGAUGAAAUUCUAAAGUUUAACAACAUGCCCAAUUGAUUUUAAAGUUAAUUGGAACCAUGGUUUUACUUUACAUAAGUAAUUUUGAUUAAGCUUAUGUUCCUGAUUAAUUGGGCAUCAACUUGAGAGUAUUCACCAAUAUGUUCUUUAUUAUUAUAGCACUCAUAUUCUGAUAAUGGAAGAUAUGUUCAUACAGUACUUUCAUUAACAGUACCUUGGUUAAAAGAAACAGAGAUUCAGAAUGAUCACCACUUAAUCCAUGUAAAAUGCACCCUUUAGAUGGAAUCAAAGGUGAAAAUUUUGCUGUUUUUUCUUGCCAUAUGUGCUUCCUCCACGACGGUUUUGAUUUUCGAUUAUAUUCAAAAAGAUCUCCCGAAGAACUACAUCACCACAUCAUCCAUUAGUUAGACUCUAUGCAACAUAGACACUAACAAAGACACGACAUAGAUACGAACAUGGAGAUAUAUAUAAUCUCUAAAAUGUAAGACACUGAGACACGAAUCUAUAUAUUAUAUAACUAUGAAUUAUAUAAAUUGGUAAUAAAGAUUUAUAUGCACAAAUGUAUUUCACAUUUUUUUAGCAGCAAUAUUUUUUGAAUUGGACACUUCAUUUAUACAUGUCUUAUUACGUGUGUCCGACACGGUCAUGUCAUUUAAGAGGAGUGUCCGAAUAUUAUAGGUGAAGAAUGAUGUUUGGUACUACUUAAAGACAACAGGGUUUUGUUUUCUAUCUUUCUUUACUGUUCUGUUUGUUAGUCAAAUUGUUUCAAGCAACAUACACAUCACCCACCUUAUGGUGUAUACUGCUUCUCGUGUAGAAGCAACAGCAGCUAUUGCUGCAACAUUUGCUCCUGCUGGUUGCCCAUGAUUUGUCCAUCUGCUCUAUAUAUUGCCAAAAUAGGACCGAAAUUAGUAAUAUUUGCUUAGGAUUUAACUUAUGUACAAUUAUGUGCUGCAAAACUUGAGUUUUACCUUGGAGACUCAACCACAUCAAGUUCUACUAGAGUUCCAUUUUUUGUACAGAAAUAACCUCUUCUGUGGACAAUGCAAGAACACAAACGAGACAUUAAGAGUUUGAUUGGUUUCAGACUUUAAGUAAUCAUCCAAUUCAAAUACAUCCUUGUGUUAUGUGUUUAAUCUCAAACUAAAAUUUCAAUGUGUACUCACUGCCCAUCAUCUGACACCACACCAGACUUCAUCAAUGUCAAAGUAUUUUUCUCCUGAUCAUUAUCUUCAAUUGGACCAAGUGCAGGUGGGAAUUCAACCCAAACUGGUUGUGAAGUUUCACCAAGUUGCAAAUGCAUCUGCUAAAAUAAACAAAGUCAGUAGAGAAGUGACCGAUUUAAGUGCAGAAUCAGAUCAUAUUAGUGAGUGAUUUAAGUUACAAUUCAAGUUGACAAUCUGUAUACAUAUAAUCACUAUUAGAUUCGAACACUCCUCUUACAUGACGUGUCCGUGCCAGACACACAUAUCAGACGUCUAAUAAGAGACAAAUUCUUUUGAACCAACCAUGAAAAAUAUUUCUUUUUUAAAAAAGACCGAAACAUACCUGUGCACAUAAAUUUUUAUUGUUAAUUUAUAUAAUUCAUAAUUAUAUAAUACAUAGAGUAUGUGUUUCCAUAUCCUAUAUUUUAGAUAUUAUACAUAUCUCCUGUGUUUCGUGUCUGUAUCGUAUAGAUAUAGUGCUUAAAAUGUAUCCAAAUAGAAGAGUAUAUAUUCCGAACGAAAUAUAAUUCUGAGAACUGAUAUAUAUAACCUGAUACAGAUUUCCCGAUUCAGAUAAAGCAAGAAUCAUCUGACUGAUGAUAAAAACUGCCACUGCACGUCCUGCUGAUAUUGGUAAGUCAUGAGGGGCCAUCACCCAUUCCAAUCCAUUCCAAAACCUCUCAUAGAUAGACCCACUUUCACCAGUGAUCCACACAGAUGUCUCAGACAUUUUGGUCAAUGAAACUCUCUUUCUCAGAGGCCUCAGAACCACAUCCAAGGGCUCCACAGCUCCUACUUUAUCAUUUUUUCUGUCCAGUCUCUUCUUUUUAUCAUCAACUCCCUGUUCUUGAUCCAUGCUUUCCUCCCUUCUCUUCACCUUACCACACUCACUAUCACCACCAGAUAUCAGAUCACAGGGCAGUUGCACCUCAACCCAUCUAUCAGCUUCUUCACUGAACUUCCAAAACCUAUCGGUUUUCUGUUCAAACCUUCUAUUGCUCUGCUGAAACAGCUGAUAUUGACAGCAUGAAGCACAACCCACACCAGUACAAAAGCUCACAGACACGAGCCCCCAGAUGCCACAUAUCAAAUGGAACACUGACAUGGUGGCAUGGGGAGCCAGAUAACAGAAACUCCAAAAAGUCAGGAUUUUUAAGAUAUUCUAAGACCAAGUUUGGUAGUUGCGUCCCACAUGAGGGUUCCCUUAUGAGUCAUGGAUCUAAAGGCUUGGAUCAUCUGAUAAAAAAUCUCAAAUUUAUUGGAUAGAUGGUUUUUUCAUAGCCUCCAAGUAAAAGGGAAUUCAUUAUACUGGUGUAGGGAUGAAAAGAAGGGAAGAUAUUUUGUGGGGUACCUACCAUGUAGUAUCAGGCGCAGGUAUUGAUUCUCAUAUUAUAACUACCUCAGAUGGCUUGUGUUUAUUUUCGUCAACUUUGAAGUUAAUUCUUUGGUAAAAUAACAUGAAACAACCUGUUUUUCACGCAGCGGUUUAACCACCACGUUUCUUUCUUUCUACAUCAAAAGGGUAAGUUGAGUUCUCAUUCAUUCUAAGUAGCUGCUUUAUCUGACCAAGUUGGAUUAUUUCUUGCCCUUGAUUUCAUCAUCACAGUGAUGUUUAGGUGAAAGAUUUUGAUGAAUUGUUGGUUUGUGUUUGUAAAGUAAUGCUAUUGAGAUUCUAUAGUCGACUUUUACUACUAGGAAGAAAAGAAUACGGAUUCCUCUGGCUCUACCUUGACAUAGAUGCAACAACGAACAACUAGCCAUGAAAAUAAUAUUAUGAUAUGUGGUAACUGUCAUUGGAUCAUGAGAACCCUCCAACCGAUGGCUCUGAUGUUCUGUUGCACUUUGACUAUGUGAUUAGAAAACCUUACAAGUUUCGUAUCAAAGGGUUUUGUGAGAGUGAGAGGUGGAUGACCUCAGAUACCAUUAAUUUUCUUUUGAAGACAUUUAGUGUUGAAAAGACAAUGAACACAUCACCAUUAGAAAGUGGUUGGCCUAAUAAGACAUUACUUAGAAACGUACUACUCAUGAUUUUACUGGUUGUAAGAAAACUUAAUUGUGGCUGUUUACACUAAGUAAUAACAUCAUAGGACUCUCAAAAUUUGAUUAAAAGAUGGUGAAACCGUGGAGAACGGUGCUGCUGAAGAAGUUUGUCCCUGUUGUGUAAGCAAUUCCAUCACUAUCACUUUAUCAGUUACAAAUUAAGAUCAUGCAAAAUUAAAUCAUGAAAAAUGUUAUGUCAACAACUCCUUUCUCCUUUGUGCCUGCAUACAUUCUGAGGUGGCAAAGGGCAGUUUUGUCAAUAAACAUUGCUGAGUGGGUGAUGUGGGGCCAAGAGCAGUUUCAGGUGAUGAUAUUUUAACACUCUAAUUCACCUUCCACCCACAAUAAAAUAUUAAUAUUUAUAAUAUUUAUAUAUAUAUAUAAAUAAUAUAACAGUAACAAUGUCAAAAAGAAAAAGGAAAAUAGAUAUUUUUUCAAAUGGUAUAGAGAUAAACUUUAGUAUAUUUAUCUUCAUCACAACCUCCUUUGAUAAUAUUUUGAAUUUUAUGUAAUAAUGUGGGAUAAAAUUAAAUUCACUCAUAUAAUGUAUUCAUCAUUUUUUAUUCCGCAGUCUAAUAGUUGUAUAUAAUUUAGAAAUUGAUAUUAAAGAUAAUUUAAAUGCACAUUAUAAAAAAAUUAUUAAAUAAAAUUUAAUUUUAAAUAAAUAAAUAAUUUAUAUAAAAUUAUAUACUAUUUUAAAAACUAAAAAAAUUAUUAAUAUCUAAAUUAAUUUUUAUUAUUGAUAAAUAGUUUUUAAAUUGAUAUUUAAGAUAAUUUUUUUAAUUUGAUUUUUUAAGAAAUUCGUAAUUAAACUUUGAGUUUUAAAAUAAAUAAUAUCUUAAAUACUGUGAUUUACUCUAAUAGUAUUACUUUAUCAAAUUUAAAGUCGAAUAUUGACAUUUUAUGUGAUUAGAAAGACAAAUCCUUAAGAGAUCCAUAUACAAUUAUUAAUUUAAAUGAUAAUUAAAAAUUCAAAUUUUAAAAUGGAUAAUACUUUAAAUACACUUAUUUACUCUAUUGAUAUUAUCUUACUAGAUUUAAAAUUAAAAUAUUAAAUAUGUAUAUGGUUUCAAAGAUAAAUUUUCAAAAUAGAUAAAUCUUCAAAAAAAAUUAUUAAUUUAUUUUAAACAGGGAUUUGAAAUCGAAAAAUAAUCCAAUAUUAAUGUGAAACUGAUCCACCAAAAUUAAGUUGAAACGAAGCUAGUAUAGUUACUAGGUCGGCGUAGUGAAAAUAGUGGUAGUUAACUAUUAAUUACUCUUUUUCAAGUUUUAAUAAAUCCUUAAAUAUAAUCACUGCGUCAAUAAAUGUUUAGCUAACACCACAACUCAAUUUACUAACAAUAACAUUUAGUUUUUGAAAGUCACAGAUAUCUUACUUUUCUAAAUUAAAUUUAUCUUUAAGGUCAAAAAACAAGGACAAAUCUACUUUCGAUUUAAUUUAAAGUAAAUCAUUAUUUGAACCUACUCAACUAUUUUAUUCAAGAAACUCUCUUAGAGUUAAAAAAAAGUACUUUUUUAACAUUCCAUAAAGGCUUAGAGCUUCUAUUUUUGGGUGUUUCUUCCUCCAACCCUAUAAUGUUUUUUCUGCACCCCAUCAAUGGGAAAGAAGAUCAAAAUGUCUAAUCUAACCCGACCUUACUUCAAAAAGUUUUUUUUUUUUUUAACGUGUAACUGGAUUUCAUAAAGCCGAUUUAUAAUUUAUAAUAUGAGGUUUGCAUCUAUUUAUAAAUAAUGAAAUAUCUUAAUUUCUAGUUGAUAUCUCCAACAUACACCUCAAACAAGGAUACUAUGGAAAUAUAUGUUAUGCACCCUACUUCAAAAUGUCCAAUAAACUCUCGUCAAAAUAAACGAAUAAAAAAAUCAAAAUGUCUCAUUUAAUCUAGCCUUACUUCAAAAAGUUGCUUUUUUAAAUGCGUAACUCGACCUCAUAAAACCGGUUUAUAAUAUGAGGUUUGCACUUACUUAUAAAUAAUAAAAUAUCCUGAUCUCUAGUUGAUGUAUUAUGCAUGUUUCAUAAAUUUUAUUCUAGGAUUUUUUUUGAAAAAUGCUUUCCAGAAUUUUUGAAAGUUAUUUUCCAAAAUACACUUAUAAAUUUUGGAAAGGAGUAUAUGAGAAGAUUUCAAAAAAACUAUUCCAAAAAAUCAUUUAAAAAAAAGAGUAAAAUUGUAUUUUUAAAUAUUGAUCGGGGGGUGAAGGAAGAAACACCCUCAUUUUUUAUAUAGCAGUUGUAUGAUUCUAACACCGUUCAUAUAUAUAACGUUUUCAUAUAAUCUAUUGCUCUCUCAUUUCUAAAUUAUAAGUAAUUUAUUUAUUUAUUCAUUUUCUUUAUUUGUUGUAAUUUUCAGAUUUCAAGGCAAUUAUGAUUUUUUUUUUCAAUUAUACCUUGUUUUCUUUAAUUAAAUAUAAUUCGAAAAUAGAACACUUAAUCUUCUACAGAGUAGCUAAGAUCGAAAAUAGAUUACGAUUUUAUUUUCUGGAUUGAUUUCAGUUCAAAUCUAUGCCAGAUAAUAAAAAUGUAACAUUUGAAGCCAUGCUUGGAGAGUUGUAAGUAAGUUAUUUGAUCAUUGAAUUGGAGUUAUAUAUGCACUGAAAAAUUAAGGAGGAAAAUUUGUUUUGCUAAAUGUGGUUAGAUAUCAAAUUUGGCAGCAGGAAUAGCUACUGGUGGUGUGCUUGGGUUUCUAUAAAUCAUCACCAGGAUUCGUGUUAUGCUGGUGUUAUGCAGUCUCAGGUCUUGGGACUGAGUUCUAACUAGCUUUAAGUUUUUGAGUUAAGUGGUGAGCCGCUUAACUUUGUUUUAAUCGUUGAAUGCUUAAUUAGGAGGUCUAUGUAUAAGGGUUGGAACACCCCUAAAGUGUUUCUUUUAAUUCUAUUAAUUCGUUGCUGAUAAAAAAAAAAAUCAAAUUUGGCGAAGAUGGAGAAAAUUAAAGAUAAUGUGAAAUGAGUGACAGUGAUGGAGUAGUAGUAAUAUAAGGAAGUGAUUAAAAAUAAUAUUAAGAAAAUUAUAUAACCAAUAUUUUAAAAAAUAAAUUAUUUAACUUUUUUGAAAUAUAAGGAAGUGAUUUAAUUAUUUACUAAAUAAAUAAAUAAUUAAAUUAUAUUUUAUUUAUUAAAGGAUGAAAUUGUUCAAGGUAAAGGAAAGUUACUUCUCUUUAUAUAAUGGUAUAAAUAAUAUUGAAUAGAAAAGUAAUAGUGUAUUAUAAGCAUAGAUGAUUUUUAAUUAGAGAAAACAUUAAUACUCGUUUAAGUAGCAGAAGAAUAAAUAAUUAAUAGAAUUACUUUUUUUUUACACGAUAUUGUAAUUGUAUUUAUAUAAAUUGUCGGAGAGAGUAUUCUUAGAAUCCAUUUCCGCUUUACUCUUUUUGUUCCUCUGUUAACAUCUUCUCUCAGUUAGCUUUUUCUACUAGUCAAUUCUUUCUCUCAAUCAACUCCUUCUUUGGAAUUACUUUAUGAUCUCUCUCGAUAUGAGAUGUAGUACCUACAGGAAUUCUCCGAUGCUUAAGUUAGUCUUUGUAUUAAUCACUUAAUAGAAAAACUAAAAAAUUGAACUAAACAUUCUAUCUAUUUAUACUACUUGUUAACGAGUCACAUCAUUUUAAUCCUUCUACUUAUCUCUUAUUAAUUGAUUAUCAACACUUAAUUAAUUUUAUUUAUCUUUCAUGCGUGUCUCUUAUUAACACUGACACUUGUGCGUUUUUUUCACGUAAUAUUUCUACUAACACUUUUGCUUGUUCUUUACUUCUUUCGACCUUUUGGUUUCUCGGUCUUUUGACGUACAAGCUUUCGACAUGACCGAUUCAAUAACAAUUGUUAACUUAUCUAUUUUAUUCAUAAAUUUAUUCUUAAAUAAAUAAAAAAUGAGGAAGUAUUUCAUUAGACCUCACGUUGUCAAAAUAUUAAUAUUCUAGCUAAAACUCUUAAGUGAAACAUUCACCAUGUCUUAUCUAUUCAUCAUUAGUGUUUUCUCUUUUUUUUUAUUAUGUCAUUUUGUGCUAUGUUGUGUGAAUUUUAUUAUCUAAUGAGAUAUUAUUUUUAUGAUAUAAAUAGUAGUCAUGACUAUGGAUAAAAUACCAUUGAAUUUUGUUACCUUAUCAUACAUUUUUCAUCGGUAUUAUAGUACUUUUCCAAGCGCAAGAGAAUUGUGGGUCACAUUCUACACAAAGUUAAAGUGUUUGCGUCUUCCUACGAACUUAGUGUCAAUUGACAUGAUGUUAAAAUUGAGUAAUUAAUGGUUGCUUGAAUUGUUCUAUUUUUAAAUUAAAAAAAAUUAGGUUAUUUUCUAAUUUAAAAUGUUGGAUACACUUUAUAUAAACAAAUGCAAGAGAAUGAGUGAUUCAAAAAAUGAGUGACAAUAAACAUUUUGUACAACCAGUCAUCCAUAUUUUGAUGCUAAAUAUAAACAUGGAAAUUUCUUUUUGAAAAAUCUCUUGAGAUCCAAAUGGGCAAAUUUUUACUAUACUCAACCAUUUUUAAUCUUCACCCUACACAUUUUUAAGUUUCGGUACAAGGUACAAUACAUUUUCAUUCAAUCACAAAACUGAUACAUUCUCACUCAAUCACAAAACUAAUACAUUCUCAUUCAAUCACAAAACAGCAUCAUUUAGGAUAACUAUUAUAAACCUUAAACCUAAAAUUUUAAUGUGGUGUUAAAGCCUAACCUUUGACAACAGCAGUGAGAGCUUGUUCUUCCUUUUCAAGCUGUUCAACAUCUACUAGAGGCUUAGCAUCCACAGCAUGGAUCUCCCUUUCCUGUUCCACAUCCUCUUCCUCUUGGAAAGCAAACACAUCCUCUUUGUCUUCUUCCUUCAAGUUCCAAGGUUUGAAGUCCUCUCCUGCUCGAACUCCAGAAUUCCCACCAUCAAAAGCACCACCUCCACCACCCGCAUCUCCACUUUCCUUCUCGAUCCCUUUAAAUAUAGCAUCCUCGUCUUGCUCAUCGAGACCCUUCUCAUGCAACCACCCCUGUCCUUGAGCCUGGGGGGCAAGUGUACCGGUACGGCCGAGAGGCCGAGACCUUGGAAGGCUUGGCCGAGACGACCGAGAGGCCGAGACCUUAGAAGACUCGGCAGAGAGGUCGAGACCUUGGAAGGCUUGGCCGAGACGGCCGAGAGGCCGAGACCUUAGAAGACUCGGCCGAGAGGCCGAGACCUUGGAAGGCUUGGUCGAGAGGACCGAGAGGCCAAGACCUUAGAAGACUUGGCCGAGAGGGCGAGACCUUAUAAGACUUGGCCGAGAGGGCGAGACCUUAUAAGACUUGGCCGAGCGACCGAGACCGUUGAAGACUCAACUGAUAAGGCCGAAGGCCACGGGUAUUUGGCCGAUGGCCGGCCCUCACCACGAGACUUUGGCCGAUGGCCGAGUCCCAUUACAAUUAACGCUCAAACCGAGAUCAGUGAAGCUAAUCCAUCAUCAAGAAUUAGGUAAUGCAACCCUAAGCUGUAUCCACCUCGAUAAACGGGUCCAACAAGGUAGGCCCACUAGAAUAAUAUAAAUAGCAUGCAUCCCAAGGAGUAAGGUAUGUCAUUUAUCACUCUGAGAGCUGACCACCCGCUUUACUGACUUGAGCGUCGGAGUGCCUUCGCAGGUACCCCCACCAUCCGGUGUAUAGCCGAGGCCGAGGGCCGAAGGGGAAGCAGGAGGGCGAGAAGAACCCCAGCUCACUACCCAAUCACCUGACCGACCGAAGGAAGGAGAAGAAGACUUCAAUAGUUCUCUAGGUCCCAUCUCCCUAGCAGGAACAAUAGGCAUGCAUUUCAUGUUAAAAAUCAUUAAUAUAUCAUCUGUGUUACUAAAAAUAGUCUUUACAUAUAAUCAUGAUGUGUAGCAUUAAAGGGAAAAGGGUUCUUUAGAUGAAAGAGCUACUUCAACCUUGGAAAGCAAACAUGUGGGUGGCCCCAAAUUAAAAACAGUGAAUCAUGGCCAAAUAUGUUGCCUUUGCUUUAAGAUCCACAAACUCUAAGAGAACCAAUUCCAGCUUGCUAAUUUGUCUAGCAGCAAAAGUAACACAAACAAUGACAAAAGUGUUCCAAUUAUUGAUGAAAUCUAGUAAGCGUUUCCACCAAAUUAUAGAGGAAAGACAUGAACAAAGAAAAACAAGCCCACAAAGGGUGUUGUUGUUUUCUUUUUACUUUACAAAAAAAAUAAAGUGAGUGAAGAUCUCACCUUUUCAAACUGAUUUUGUUUCAUGUUUUCCAAAACCAUAUUAUAACACUUUCAUUUGUGAUUUAUAUUUUAAUGGAUUUGUAUCAUAGAACUUCUUUUUAUAAACUAUUGAAAAUUUAAUCGAAUAUCAUCUUAAGAAAACCCUAAUAAUUAUAAUUAAGUAUAUAGUUUGGUUUGGUUGAUUGAGUAUGAUGCAUGAGUUAGUGUAAACUUGCUUACAUGUGUUCAAUUCCUAUAAUCCAAUGCACCCUUGUUUGUACUUUCAUCUUAAUUAAUGUCAUAAAUUGAUGGAAAUUAUAAAACUUGGAGGCUUCAAUAAUUUUUUUUUCUAAUUGUACUAAAAUUUCAAUUAUUUUAUUUAAAAUGAUCUACUGGCACUUAUUUUCUCUUUCUUAAUUCCAAUUUUGGAGAGUAUUUUUUAUAAUGUUAUGUAAAUAAAAUAUCGUUCUGUAAAGUACAUUUUGAAAUAACAAAUGGAUACAAAUGUUUUAGAAAUAAGGUAAAUAAAAUAUUUGGAUUACUCACUGCAAUCUUCUAAUUUAUAGAUUUCGAAAUGUACUUUUCCAAAUAAGUUUUGGCUUUCUUAAAAGUUAGAUGAUUCUUUUGAUAACAUGAAAAUCAUUAGUGUUUUGUAAAAUAUUUUUCAGAAUGUAAGAAAUAAAAAAAUGUUUAUGAAAUUAUUUUUUAAGGUGACAUUUUCAACCAAAUUUUUUCCAAAAAAAAGGAUAACAUUAAAAGAGUGGAAAAUAGUUUAAUUUAAUCGGAGAAAACAAACUUAAUCUCAAUUUAUAUUUAUUCAAGAAGAAGCAUUGCAUUGUUGCGAGCUUGGCAGUGAAAGCAUAAAAGUUAAUGUGAGAUAUGAAAGAGAAUGCAAAGAAGAUAAAUAGUUUUGAAAGGGAAAAAUGCGGUAAUAAUAUGUCAUUUUAAAUGAAAAGCAACAAAAGGGGCUGCAUUUCACAAAAAAGGAUUGUAAAUAGUAGGAUCCAACAUGAGUCAACAUACCUAAUGAAGCCCAAGAAAUAGAAACGGACGGCCAGACUAACUUCUGCAAGCGGUAGUAAGACUGCUCUCCUACACCUCCAUACGUCUCUCUCACUUCCAUAAACUUUUGUAUUUCCAAAUUGUCAUUCUAUAUAUCUAUAUUACGUAAUUUGAAAGUCCUUUUUCNNNNNNNNNNNNNNNNNNNNNNNNNNNNNNNNNNNNNNNNNNNNNNNNNNNNNNNNNNNNNNNNNNNNNNNNNNNNNNNNNNNNNNNNNNNNNNNNNNNNCACAUGCGUGAUUAAUUUCUAAAUUACAUAAUUCAGAAAUUUUUUUAAUAUAAGAUUAGCUUUUGGAUUUUGAAAGUUUUUUUUAGAUAACAGAUUAAUUUCUAGAUUAUAUAAUUUAAAAAUCUUUUAUGAAUUUGAAAGUAGCUUUUGAAAAUUUAAAAUUUCAGAUUACAUAACUCGUAAGUUAUUUUUGAAUCCGAUAUUAAGUUUUGGAUUAUAUAAUCUCGAAUAUAUAUAAUUUUUUAAAUUGAUUCUGGAUUGUAUAAAUUUAUGAGACUGAUAAAAAAGGAUAAAAAAUAUUUUCAAGUUUUGUAUGGGUGAUACCCUUACAUUUUUCUUUCUGCCCUCCGAUAAUUUUGUAAAUUCCAAAAUUGACCCCCACAAUUUUGGGAUCUGGGAGUGUGCUACGGAUUCAUCAAUCCAGAAGUGAAUCAUGUUGCAUUCUGGAUGAGGGGUGUUCCAGAAGCAAAGUUUGCAUAAAUUAUUGAUUUCCGGAUUGCUGAAUCCAGAAGCCUAAUUUCUAUUACGGAUUGGUGAAUCUGGAAUGAUUUUUUUCAAUUAUGGAUUUCUGAAUCCGGAAUGCAUAUUUUGAAUUACAGAUUGACGGAUCCGAAAUGGUUUUUCAAUUAUGAAUGUUUUGCAUUUUUUAUUUUGGAUUAACACUACUAUUCAUGUACUACCGAAAGCAUUAAUCCGUGAGAUUACCGAAAAUUUACCGGAUUUCAUAAUCUGGAAUACAAAAAAAUGAACAAUUUAUAUAGGGACACUUUUGUCUUUGCUCAACCUUAUGGGGGUGUAGGAAGAAGAAUGUAGGGGUGCAGAAAGAAACUGCCAAGAAAUAGUCUUUUCAUAAGCAUAUCCCAAAAGGGCCGAAACCGGUUUAUAAAGGGCCCAACUUAAGCAUAAACCCUUUGCCGCCAUUGCCACAGCUCAUUCAUUCAAUUAUUCGUCGCCACCGCCGGCGAAAGCCCAAACCAGUUUCUCUAUCAUCUCUUUCCUCCGCAGGUGCGUUUAUACUCUGGCGCACUCCUUUCUAAAGGGUCGUUGUCAAUUUUUUAUGUUUUUGUGAUUAUGGUUAUUGGGUGUGUCAGUUUUUGAAGCAAAAAAAUGGGGAAGAAGAGAAAGCACAGUGAGAGUAGUGAACUUGUUGCACAGCCCAAAAAGGAAGAUGCUGCUCCAGAGAGACCAACGAGGACCCUUUUGGGUUGGAAGGAUAAGAGUCUAGUCAAUGAUGAAGUCGACGACAGCAACGUUGGUUCACCAAUAUUCAGGAACAAAGAGAAGGUUUUGGUCACUUGCUCUAGGCGCAUCAGUUACAGGUACAAUCUAAUACAAACCCCAUGACUUGUCAAAGUGUAGGUCUUGACAUUCGGUCGUACGGGAAGGUCUUGACUUCUCGGUCGUUCGUCCAAGUCCUAGAAGGUCUCGACAUCUCUGUCGUUCGGCCAUGUCCCCGAGGGUCUCGACAUCUCGGUCGUUCGGCCAUCUUUCGAAGGUUUCGACCAUUCGGUCGUUCGGCCUCGCGAUGAUGUACCCGAGCUUUAAGUUUUUGAGCUAAGUGGGGAGCCGCUUAUCUUUGUUUUAACUGCUAAAUGCUUAAUUAGGAGGUCUAUGUAUAAGGGUUGGAACACCCCUAAAGUGUUUCAUUUUAUUCUAUUAAUUCGUUGCUGAUCAAAAAAAAAAAUAGAUUUUGUGUUUUUCGUUUAUAGUUUGUAUUACUCUAUUUUUUCGUCACUUGCCCGCUUGCUCGAUUAACAUCGCAAGUGCCGGCCGACCACCCACCAAACUUGCUCGAUGACAUUGCAAGUAUUGGCCGAACGCCCGCUUGCUCGAUCAAACAUCGCAAGUGCCGGCCGCCCGACUACCCGCUUGCUCGAUUAACAUCGCAAGUGCCGGCCGACCACCCACCAAACUUGCUCGAUGACAUCGCAAGCAUUGGCCGAACGCCCGCUUGCUCGAUUAAACAUCGCAAGUGCCGGCCGCUCGACUGCCCGCUUGCUCAAUUAACAUCGCAAGUGUCGGCCGACCACCCCCCAAACUUGCUCGAUGACAUUGCCAGCAUUGGCCGAACGCCCGCUGGCUCAAUUAAACAUCGCAAGUGCCGGCCGCUCGUCUGCCCGCUUGCUCGAUUAACAUCACAAGUGCCGGCCGACCAAACUUGCUCGAUGACAUUGCAAGUAUUGGCCGACUGCCCGCUUGCUCGAUUAAACAUCGCAAGUGCCGGCCGACCACCCACCAAACUUGCUCGAUGACAUUGCCAGCAUUGGCCGAACGCCCGCUUGCUCGAUUAAACAUCGCAAGUGCCGGCCGCUCGACUGCCCGCUUGCUCGCGGGCAAAGUUUAAGAACAGAGAAACCUUGUGCAGUGAGUCAGUUUUUGUAUAUUAUAAUGGUAUUUUUUUGGGCGGAGUAUUUAUUUUCCAUUCAUUUGUAGGUACCGGCAUUUGAUGUUGAACUUGGUGUCACUUUUGCCGCAUUGCAAGAAGGAUAACAAGGUUGAAUCAAAGGAAACUAAAGGCGCCACCCUGAACGAGCUUGUUGAGCUCAAAAGUUGCUCCUCGUGUUUAUUUUUUGAGGUAUUUUAUUUAUAUGCCACAAGGUUUUUCAGUGCCGUGUUACUUCGAUUUAGGAUUGAUGUGUUGUGCUGUUCUCUAGACUAGUAUUUGCAUUAUGUUUGCUAUUUGGAAAAUCUAAAGCAUGCUUGUAGGUAGAGGGAUUCGUUUCUUGGUUACAAAUGUUGAUGCUAUUUAACUAUGAUAUGGUAGUCAUGAGUUUGUGUCUGGUCAACUUGUUAUAUUAUGGUUAGUGUCUUCUCCUCUCAUUUUCUAUGCAUCAAUUUCAGGCAGGAANNNNNNNNNNNNNNNNNNNNNNNNNNNNNNNNNNNNNNNNNNNNNNNNNNNNNNNNNNNNNNNNNNNNNNNNNNNNNNNNNNNNNNNNNNNNNNNNNNNNAAAAGAUCUUUAUCUCUGGAUGGCCAAAUGCCCCAGUGGCCCAUCUGUAAAAUUUCUAGUUAGUGCGGGUAAUAUUCUGAUCUGAUCAUUGUCGUAAUGUUUAUAUAAUACUAAUUUGCUUGCUCUGAUCAUGUAGAGUUCUGAUGUCUGUAUACUCUAGGCAUCACUGGUCAUUCUUCCCAGUGAAUUAUGAUUUUGUGUUUCUCUCUCUCUCUCCCACCCAAUUUUUUUAUAUACUUUUUCCACCACUGCUUUUCAGUGCAUACUAUGGAGGAGUUGAAGCUAACGGGAAAUCACCUAAAAGGUUCCCGUCCUCUUUUGACGUUUUCUGCAAAUUUUGAAAAAGAUGCACAUUGGAAACUGUUAAAGGAGAUGUUGUUACAGGUAUGUGGUCUGUUUCUUUCCUUGCAAGUUUUUUCAUCUUUGUCCACCUAGUUUCAUCCGAGUAAAACUUAAGUUGAUUACUCUCAUAUGUGCCAUUUCAUAUACAAGGUAAAGGUUAGCUUGAUGGUUUCAUCUUAGUUUGUUGAUUCAUGAUGUUGCCUCCAUGAAUUUCCAGUCUAAUUAUGAUCUGCUUCAUGUGCUCUUUCCUGAUGUUAUUGGGAUCUUACAUUGUGGUUGUCAUGUUUCUUCCUAGGAGUAUUUUCUCAAUUUGUUGUUUCUGAUUGGAGAAAAUUCAAUUAAUGUUAUUAUAUCUCCAUCUAUUAUUACAUNNNNNNNNNNNNNNNNNNNNNNNNNNNNNNNNNNNNNNNNNNNNNNNNNNNNNNNNNNNNNNNNNNNNNNNNNNNNNNNNNNNNNNNNNNNNNNNNNNNNACCAAUUUAGAAACUAAAUUCUCUAUAGCAAUUGUUUUAAUAGUCUAAUCUCCUAGAAAACUGGUUUAAAUCAUUAUCUAUUUUUUCCUGUUUAUUAAUCACAAUUCCAUUUUAUUAUUAUUGUUAUUGCUAAUCCUUAUUGCUUGCAGAUAAGUUUUGAAUUUUGUUAACUGGACUCAUUAUUAGAUUCUUUGGGAGACGACUUGGAAUCAUCUGACCACUUUUAUACUAUCAUCUUUCUAGCAUUGGACAAGUCUACACUGGAAUCAUAUUAAUUUGAUAGCAAAACGACGACUAUCAACAUACAAAGAAGAUAAGAUAGGGAGAAAGAAGACAACUGGCAGGUGAUGGAGGCGGGACUGGGCAACAAAGGGCAUUGGAAGGCGGCAACGGAGGCAGUAAGGGUUGCGACGAAGUGAAAGCUGAAAUGGAGAAGAAGAACAAAAUAAGAGAAGAGAAAAGAAGAACCGGAGAAGUAGGAACACACUGGCGGUGAACAAUGCUGGAUUAGUGGCAGCAAGACAGAGGCAUUACAGGGUGGGGGCAACGAAAUGCGAAGAAUGAGCACUGCAAAGGGGCACUGGCAAAAUGCGAAGAGGGUAAAAAAACGCAUAGGUGGAAACAAAUUUUGCGUCAGUUGGCCGACGCAAACCCCUACAUAUAUAUAUAAAAAUUAAUUUAAGUCAAGAUAUAAUUAAAAAAUAUUACAUAUAAAUUUAUAUUUUUAUAAAUUCUUUCAAAAAUACAUAAAUCACUAAAUUUACUAGAUAUUUAAUUAAUCAUUUCCUUAAUAUAUAUUUUAAAUAUUUAAUAAACUUAAAUUAAACUUUAAGAAAAUUAAUUUAGAAUACAACAAAAAAAUAAGUUAAUUUAUACAACAAAAGAUUAAUUUAAUUUAUACAACAAAAAUAAAUAAAUAAUUCAAUUAAACUUUGGUUUGGAAAACCAUUUAUCGUUUAGUGUUGUUUAUAUCUACUAUUAUCUAAAAAUAAUCAAUUUAUUAAUGUCCGGGAGAAACAAAAAAAAUAUCUCUUAGGUGCGAUAUUGAAAAAAAAGGUUCCAUUUCCUAUCAAAUAAUUUCAUUGAAGUAAGUAUAAUUGUAUCCGUGCUAGCAUCUACUAUACUCUUUUUUAAUCUUUACCGUUUGUUUCUUAGUUCAACUUUUACCUUACUAACUGCAAUAAAAAAAAAUUAGUACAUAUGCGCCACCCAAAAUGGUAAUAGGCUAUGGUUAUGAACUUAUAAUCCAAAAUCUGAUGAACCUUCCAUAUAAUGAUCAAGGUGGCCCAUGACUAAGUAAAAUCACUACUAAAAAAAUCAUUAAUAGUAACCAAAUUUAGGGACAAAAAAUAAUUAGUCACUAUAUUAACUAAAUUAGAUACUAAUUUAGAGACUAAAAAAUUAUUCAUAUCUAAAGUGGUCUCUCUAUAUUAUUAAUAAAAAUUUAUAAAAUGGUUUCUAAAUUUGUACCUAAAUUAACUACCUAAGUUUUAGCGACUAAUAUUUUAAAUUUUAAAUUAGACUCUAAAACUAAAAGACUAAUAUAGACUAAUUUAGAAUGUAAAAUACUAAGUAGCUAAAAUCUUGGUAGCUAAUAGUUAGAUAUCAAUUUAGAAACCAUUUUAUAAAUUUUUAUUAAUAAUAGAAACUACUUUGAUACCAAUAGCUUUUUUAGUUUAUAAAAUUGUAUCUAAUUUAAUCAAAUAGUAAGUAACUAUAUUGAUUUCUAAAAUUAGUUUCUAUUUAAUGAUUUUCUUAUAGUGAAUUAACCAAGGUUUACGGGAAUAUUAUGAGAAUCAAUUUUGUUAACACACAAUUAAUAUGUUUUCCCGUAAUUUGAUUUUUGGACACAAUAUCUCGAUUUCUUUAAUUAUAUUGAUUUUAUCAUAUAAUAUCUCUAUCAUAUACAUAAUAUGCUAGCUCCAUUAAUGCAUUGAUUUAAUCGUACAAUAUUUCUGAUUAUAUUACCUAAACCUUUAUUAUAGUACAAAAUACUCUGAUUAUACAUACAUGAUAUUCAAAUUUUGACAUAAGACUACGAUCUGCUACAUUAAAAACCUGGAAAAGUGAAGAUCCAAACCCAUAAAAAUUUAUAAAUAGAUGAACAUUCACAAGGAAUAGAGUCAACUCAUAUUUUGACACAAUACUUACUAUAUACACUAAGAACAACAUCAAUCAAAAGUAACCUCUUUUAAAUUACAAUGGACAUGAAAGGGGUCUAGUUCAAAAUAAAUUGUUCCUUUAUCUAUUAAAGUGAUAUUAUGAGAUUAAAAUUUAUUUAAGUUAUCAAUCAAUAUUUUAUCCUCACUUUUUUCUUUCUUAAGUUUACUUUCACAUUUUGUGACAAUAAUUUUUUAUUUAUUUUUAAAUACACCCAUUAAAGCUGAUAAGGACGAUUCAUCUUCUUCAGAUUCCUCACACGUUAAUCCCACCAAACAGAACUCCGGCACCAAGGGAAUCAAUAUGUACGGAAAGUUAGUAUCACUUGGACUAGGGCUUGUACUUGUGGCAACAACUAUGCCAAGUUGACGGGGCAGGUGGAUUUGGCACCUAAGGAUUUCGUUUUUUAAGUUUCUUUUUGGAUCAGAGAGAAAAUUUGAAGAAAUGAAUUUAUAAUCAAUCGAGAGAAAAGUGUAAAAAAGUGAAAUUGUUUGGAUUAAAGUAUUUUAGAAUAGAUAUGUGAAGAAAAUUGAUUGAAGUUUGUGAGUAAUGUGAUUGUUAUAAAGGGAUUUUUAUUUUCUUAAAAAUAUAUAAGAGGUAAAUUUACAAAUCUAUUCUUAUUUUUAAAAAUAUUUAAAUAAUAAAAUAUGAGAUUUUUUAUAAAUUUGAGUUAAUUAAAAACUUUUAUUUCAACUUCAAAUAAAUUUUGAUAUGAAAGACAUAAUUUUAUUUUUAUAUUACUAAUUUACUUUCUUUUACUAUUAUUAUAUAGAUACAUUGAUAUUAUUAUUAUAUAAAGACAUUUAUGUUAUUAUAUAAAUAUAUAAUAUAGUCGAUUAAGUUUAAUAUAUAAUCUAUUAUGAUAUAAAAAUUAUAAGUAAUUAUUUUAUGUUUAUUAUAAUAUAAAUAUAUAUAAUAUUUAUUAUAAUAUAUAUAAAGUGUCCUUUUAUAUGUGUAUAGAAAAAUAGGAUAAUUUUCACCUUUUAACAAUGUAAAUUUUUGUAAUUUUUUUUAGCUUUUCUUAAAGGCUUAUAUUAUUUCUUUCCUGCAAAUUUUUGUCUUUUUUUCUUUGUAUUUUAAAAAAAAAUGUCUUUACUUUUCUGUCUAAGUCCGAAUGUAGAGUAGUCAUUCGAAACGAAAACUAAACGCUAAACCUUAAACUUAAAAAAGACGCAUGUUCCUUUUAUAUAUGUUUCGGACUCAGUAACCAUUGUUUUUCAUUUUUUUUCUUGCUGAUAUAAAAGCUAAACCUUAAACUUAAAACACGCAUGUUCCUUUUAUAUAUGUUUCGGACUCAGUAGCCUUUGUUUUUCACUUUUUUUUUCUUGCUGAUAUAAAAACGAUGUGUUAGUUAAGGAAGCGUUCUCUGAAUAAUGUAAAAGGUUUGCAUGAUUACGGAGUUUUCUUUACUAAAUUAUUUAUUUUAAAAAAAUUUAAAAGCAAAAGUAAAAUAUUACUGUUAACAAAAAAUUUAAGUACUACCAUAGUAUCAUUACAACCAUUAAAAAAAAAUUAAAAAAAAUCAUUAAAUAAAAAACCAAUAAUGAAUUUUUUUUACCGUUUUUAUAAUAAGAAAUUACUGACAGUUUUACGUUGAGAUUUUGUUUGUAUAAAUUCCUGCGCUGAGAGUGAAUACAACACAAGCUUUGAAUUAUUUGGAAGAAUUUGUUGUUGUUGAAAGAGAAGAAGGAAAAGAUGUUUACCACGCUGAGCCAAACUCAUCUUUGUCGCAUUGUCUUGUUCUUGUUCUUGCUUUGCACGCCGAGGUUCAGCAGUAGUGGUGCUUCUAGCAAGGGUAUGAAGUUCUUUCACACCCAUAUACUCUUUCUUAUUGAUUCAACUCUCAUUAACCUUUGUAACUGUAUUUGAUGUCAUGAUAUGAUAAAGUAGAUAGUGAGAGUGGAGAAGGUUUGGUGUCAUCAACGGUUGAACCUAUGUCAAGGCCACCAAUCUGCAUUUACCGGUGUGAGAAAUGCAGGCCCUGCAAAGCAAUUCUGGUAACGACGCCACCCGCCGGCCGCCAGCAAGCCUCCUCUGGCUCCGGCGGACCCAACGACUACUACCCUCAAGCCUGGAGAUGCACGUGUGGCGGCAAGUUGUACAACCCUUAAAUUGAUUUUCUCUAACUAUCACGUGUUCAUUUUAGAUGGAUGGUGUUGGACACUGAAUUUGACACAAAACUUGACUUCAUCUGAAAUAAAUGAUAUCUUAAAACAGGUUACGGAUAAGUGUUUGUAUAAGGAUAAUAUUAUGUUAAUCUGGGCUUUGAUUUUUUUUUUUUUUUGAAUUGUUUGUUCUUCUCUUUUAUGAAUUGUGUUUUAGCCUAAUGAUGAACUAUUUCUUUGUCAGGAAGUGAUCACUUUGAAUAAAUAAUAUAUAUAUUUUUAUUUUACUGCUAUUUUCUAAAUAAGAAUAUAAUAUCUUCAAAAGUUAUAAUAAACUUCCAAAUUUUACAUUCUCUCAUAAAUAAUAUAUUAUAAAUUAAAUUUAAAAUCGUAUAAAUGACAUUUAAAAUUAGAAUUGUAGGUAAUAAUUAUUAAUUAUUCAAAUUUUAAAAUAAGAAACAUGAUAUUGUAGUGGAAUGAUCACUUUAAAUAGAGAAUAUUUUUUUUUACUUUUAUUUUUUAAAUAAGAAUACAAUAUCUUCAAAGAGUGGUAAAAUAGACUUUUCAAAUUUUACAUACUCUCAUAAAUAUUAUACUAUAAACUACAUUUAAAGUCAUAAUAUAAAUGACAUUCAAAACUAGAAUUAAAGGUAAUAAUUAUUGGUUCUUCAAAUUUUAAAAUAAGAAACACUAUAUCUUUGUCAUGGAGUGAUCACUUUAAACAAAUAAUAAUUUUUUUUAUUUCAUCUGUAUUUUUUAAAUAAGAAUGCAAUAUCUUUAAAUAGUCUUACAAUAGACUUAUCAAAUUCUAAUUCUCUCAAUACAAGAAAAUCAUUAAAUAGAAAUCAAUUUUAGAGACCAAAAUAAAUUAGUUUUUUAUUUAUCAGCAAAGAAUAAAUAAAAUAAAAUGAGACACUUCAGGGGUGUCCCAACCUUAUACAAAACCCCAAAAGAAACUAAUUUAGAAACAAUAGCCAAAGUGAUAUGUUCCUAGGAUGCAUCGAAGAAUUCUUGUAAUAGUUUUUUUAGGUGCACAAGUCUCUUAGAUCCUCUAUGAAUCAACUUAUUAUACCAACACUAUGUCAAGACACCGUAGACUCCCUACUACUAGACUGCGGUAUUGACUUGCAUUCACUUGAUCUCCUCCAUCAAAUUUAGAGAGUUUCAUAUUGAGCUCCAUUGAUAAGGUUAUUCACUUGAUCUCCUCCGUCAAAUUUAGAGAGUUUCAUAUUGAGCUCCAUUGAUAAGGUUAUCAUAUUACAAUCUUCCAUCUUGCUUUUUCUUUAAUAUCCUUGGGAUAUGUUUCUUAUCACAAAAAUUCCAAAAUAUUUUUGUCUAAUCUCAAGGCCAAGAACAUAAUUCAUCAAUCCUAAGUCUCUCCCAAAGGUGCCUAAAAUUGAUAAAGACGAUUCAUCUUCAUGUAAAGUGUAAGGGGGCAGGUGGAUUUCACUAUGAAUUUCGUUAUUUAAAACACGCAAGUUACUUUAUAUACAUUGUUAUUUUGUUUUGGGACUCAGUACGAUGUGUUAGCCUAUGGAGUUUUCUUUCAUCGCCAUUUCCUGCAAAACAUUCUUUCACAUACAUUUUCCAUCCUCAUAAAAUCAUACAAAACCAAAAAAGAAAGCCGAGAAAGUAUUACGAGAAAAAAUAGUUUUAAAGGGGGGUUUAUUUUUAUAUUAUUUAGGGUUAAAACCUUUAUUAAGUCAUUUAUUUAGGAUUAUAGUUUCUCUCGCUAAACCAUCCCUGGGAAAUGUGUUCUCCGAGAUUUUUUUAAACCUCAUGAAAAGUCUUUUAGUGCUCAUGUUAAAUACUAUGGGUUUAAGAACCUUUGUAAAAUACCAUUAGUUUCAAAAAUUUUGUAAAUACCAUGAGUUUAAAAACAUUCAUUAAAUAUAAUGGGUUUAAAACAUCCGUAAAAUACCACGUGUUUAAAAACCUUCAUUAAAUACCAUGGGUUUUAAAACUUCGUUAAAUACCAUGGUUUUAAAACCUCCAUAAAAAGUCCUGGACCAGAUGGUUUUAAUUUUGGAUUUAUAAAAUUUUGUUGGGACAUUUUAAAAGGAGAUGUGGUGAGUGCGGUACAAAGGUUUGGAGAGGGUGGAAGUUGGCCGAAAGGCACUAAUGCUUCUUUUAUUACUCUUGUCUCAAAGGUUGCAAAUCCACAACAAUUGAAUGAGUUCAGACCGAUUUCUUUGGUGGGUUGCGUGUAUAAAAUUAUCUCUAAAAUCCUCUCUUUAAGAUUAAAAAGGGUUUUAAACAAAGUUAUUGAUCCCAGGCAGUCUGCUUUCUUGGAAGGAAGGGGUUUGUUGGAUAGUGUACUAGUGGCUAACGAGACACUUGAGGAGGUAAAAAGGAAAAAGAAAGAAUGUGUGGUGUUUAAGGUGGAUUAUGAAAAGGCAUAUGACUCAGUAAGUUGGGAGUUCAUCUACUACAUGCUGGGAAGAUUGGGAUUCUGUGAUAAAUGGAUUGAUUGGAUAAAAAACUGCUUAGAAUAAUCCUCAAUAUCUGUGUUGGUAAAUGGAAGCCCAACAACUGAGUUUAAACCUUUGAAGGGCCUAAGACAAUGGGAUCCUUUAGCACCUUUCCUUUUCCUAAUUGCGGCUGAAGGUCUUGCUUGGGUAGUCAGACAGGCGGAAGAAAAGAAGCUACUAGAAAGUAUUGAGGUUGGGGAAAAACAAGUAAAGGUGAGCAUGCUGCAAUAUGCAGACGACACGUUUUUUUUCUGUAAAGCCUCAAUCCAAAGUGUUAUGAUUUUAAAGGCUAUUCUGAAGUGUUUUGAACUUGCAUCUGGCCUUAAGGUUAACUAUUCCAAGAGUAAGGUUGGUGGAGUGGGAGUGAAUAUGAAUCAGACGAUGAUUUUUGCCUCUAUCCUUAAUUGCGACAUUAUGAAGGCACCUUUCAGUUACUUGGGGAUGAUGGUAGGUGGGAACCAUAAGAGGUGUGUUUUUUGGGAAGGUAUGCUCAAUAAGUUACGGAUGAGGUUGAGCGCGUGGAAAGGGAAAUCUCUCUCUUUGGCUGACAGAUUAUGCCUUAUCAAAUCGGUACUUACGUCCUUACCGCUCUUCUAUGUCUCCCUAUUUUGUAUGCUGAUGACUGUGAUGAGGGAAGUGAAAAGGAUACAAAAAAAACUUUUUGUGGGAUUGGGGGUCAGAUAACAGGAAAAUUGCUUGGGUGGUGUGGGAUAAGAUUUGUCAAUCAAAAGAUAAAGGCGGUUUAGGGGUCAUUGAUAUAGAAAAGUUUAACUUGGCUCUUCUAGGGAAAUGGAUUUGGAGACUUAAGUCUGAAGAGAGAAGCUUUUGGAAGGAUAUUCUAGUGUCUAAGUAUGGUGGGUGGAGGGGAUUAAAAUCUCAAGGUAAGAUUUGUAAGGAAUCGUUGUGGUGGAGGGACCUUAGGAAGGUAUGGUACUUAGAGGGGUGGGGUAAUGAUUUUGAAGGCAGAGGUCGGUGGGAAGUAGGAGACGGGAAAGAAAUCAGGUUUUGGGAGGAUAAAUGGUUGGAAAAUUUUCCUCUAUUACAUAAAUUCCCUAGGCUCUUUUCAAUCUCCUUAGAUACCGAUUGUACUCUUUCACAAGUUGGGGUUUGGAAUAAUAAUACUUGGUCGUGGAAGCUGCGGUGUAGAAGAAAUCUUUUUUAGUGGGAAUCCAGUUUGGUUGCUCUUUUGAUGCAGUUGUUGGAUAACAAGAGGUUAACAAGAGAGGGUGGAGUUAAACCUGAUAAAUGGAUAUGGGGGGAUGUGGAUAACUUGGAUUUAUCUGUGAAAGCAGCUUAUAAGUGUCUCAUGGGGGAGAUGUCUGUAGUGGAUGAGGAUUUAUUCGUGAAUUUUUGGUCUCUAAACACCUUACCUUCAGCACAAUUUAUGGCUUGGAGGGUGUUAUGUAAUGUCAUUCCCACGAAGGACAAUCUCUCGAGACGCGGCAGAACUUUGAUGAGUGAUCGGUGCCCUUUGUGUGGUGUGGAAGAAGAGUCGGUAAGACAUUUAUUUUUUGAAUGCAGAAUCUCUUGAAGAAUUUGGGGUAUGUGUCUAGAGUGGUUGGGGUUCACCUCGGUGCUACAUCGUGACCCACAAAUGAAUUUUAGGAUGUUCAAACCUAUAGGCUUGAAACAUGUAGUUACCAGGUGUUGGGGGGUAUUUGGGUAGGUAUUGUGAGUGAAAUUUGGAACCAUAGGAAUAAGGUUGUGUUUGAGAACGGGCAGGUGGAUCUAGUGGAGGUUUUUACCGUGGCACAAAGAAAGACUUGGUCUUGGGUCACAGUAAAAGAAAAAUUGGUUGUUUUCUCUUACUCUGACUGGUGUUUGGAACCUCUCUGUUGUAUGAGGUAUUUGAAAGACUGAUUCCUUGUCUUAUUUAACUAAUGUUUUGUUUCCUGUCCUGGUAGUUGUGGUGUGGUUUUGUGCAGGUCUCAUCGGUAAAUCCUAUCUGGCAAGGUUGAAUUGAGGUAUGGAAAGUAUUGUAUGUUUGUGCAGGUUGUCUUGGUCUUUUCUUUUUGGCAGGGUAGGAAUGUUGUUCUGAACUGCGAUAAAGGAAGUGACUUUAUGCAUGAUUAUCGGUUUGGUGUUGGAAUAUUUAUGAAGUUUGAGCUGAAGCAAAAGGAUACGUGGUUCUUUUUGGUUACUGGUGUGGCCAGAUUGGGAAGCUAUUAAGUGUUUUUUGGGGUUUUCUGGCUUAUGCAUAUUCCUCAUAGGAUUGGGUUGUUGCUGUUCGUAUUUGGUUUAGUUUGGUACAACUCAGCUUGCUACAAAGAUAUGGUUUAGCUGUUGUGAUGGUAUGCCUUGUAUUGGUUUGUUGUGCUUAUCACUUGGGUAUGGUACUCCAACCUGUUGCCAAAGACUAUGUUGUAGUUGUCAGAUGUAUUUAGUUGUUGGGUGUAUUUCUGUAUCUUGUCUGGAAUUCUAUCUUUGAUCUGUAGUGUAGUGUCUGUCGGAUUCCUGGUUGGCAGGGUACUAGAAAACUUGGUUUUGGGGUUUUGUAUAAGGGUUGAGACACCCCUGAAGUGUCUCUUUUUAUUUUAUUUAUUCUUUGCUGAUAAAAAAAAGAGGAUAAUAACAAACUCCAAAGACAACUAUAAUUUAAUGUGCUCAAGUACUUUUUCAAAAGUAAAGCAUUUAAUGAGAGAAAAGAAAAACCAGGUCAGAUUUUCUCCCCACCAAAAAGUCCAACCUAUCCACCCACCCCCAAAACAAAAAGUAAAAGAUAUAACAAUCAUAGAGAUUUUAAGCAAAGAAUAGGUUUAAAAAACAAAUUAGAGAAAGAACACGAAAUUACUUACCCUUUAUAUAUUCUUCAACCAUAAUCAAGAUUUAAGUGAGAUUUAUUAAGUGAGAUUAUGCAAAUAUACUUAUCCUAUGGCUUGUAUGUUGUCAAUUAAGUGAGAUUAUGCAAAGUUUGUCUCUUUGACUAGGAUGUUAUUUAUUUUAAGGAUAUAAGGAUUAGGUAGGUUAGAAGGGGUUUAGAUUAUGUAUAAGGGUUGAGCCACCCCUUAAGUGGUUCAUAUUAAUUUAUUUUUUUCUUGCCGAUAAAAAAAAAAAUUUAAGUUGAGACAUAUGAAUAAUUUUCUUGACAUCUACAACUUCUGGUCUAAAAACAACGUUGUUGCUAUGAUUCCAAAUAUUUCAUAUAAGUGCAAUCAACAUAGCCUUCCAGAGUUGAUUUUGCUUAUGGUUUAAAUGAGGUAAGAUAAAUUGUUCAUAAUGUUUAUAAAAAUUAUUGUGUUAAACAACCUAUGUAUUAACCCAUAUAAAACAUUAAUUAUUAACCCAUAUAAAACAUUAAUUCCAAGCAUAUAAAGAACAACCAUAUUCAAGAAACAUAUAUGGUUAACAGAUUCAACAUGAAGAUUAUAACGAGGGUACAAAACAUUUGCUAGAGACACUCCUCUCCUUGAAUAAUAUAUCUUCAAACAUAUAUAUCAUGAUAAAGAAUGAUAAAGAUACAUCAAGAGAUUUGAAGAAUCCUACAUCACUUACAAUAUAGAUAAUGCAUAACCUCUUUAUCAUUCAUACCUAACUACAAGAAUGUCAAUCUUUGAAUCUUUUUCUCCUUCGAAAUAAUGCAUUUGUAAAUCAACUUGACCGAAAGCACAAAUGUUCUUAUUUUGAAACAACCUUGUUAUUAAGACUCUUACUGCCUGCCAGUAUACAUCUGAUACAGUUCUUCGACCACUCUAUCUAAGUAUUUUGGACAAGUAAUAAUAUUUUCACAUGGAAGAAGCAUUGGGAUUAUUCUUGCAAAGUUGUGUUGUAUAUGGAGGAAGUGAUGUAGAUUGUUUCUUCCCAAUUAAUAUUCUAAGAAAACUACACCAGUCAAGAUUCAAACUCAAGUUCUUCUAGUGAAGAGGGAAGCAUUAACCACUAGAUCAGACAAAUUUUUUGGUCAUAUUAUUAUUUUUAUUAUACUUAUUAUUAAUAUAAUUUAUACAUAUUAAUAUAAUUAUUAUUAAUAAUAAUAAAAUAUAUUAUACUCAUAUUAUUAAAUUAUUAUUAACAUUAUAAUUAAUAUUAUAAUUAACACUAUAAUUAAUAUUAUAAUUAACACUAUAAUUAAUAUUAUAAUUAACACUAUAAUUAAUAUUAUAAUUAACACUAUAAUUAAUAUUAUAAUUAAUAUUAUUAUAAAUAUUAUUAAUAUUAUUAUAGAUAUUAUAGAUAUUAUUAAUAUUAUUAGUAUUAAUAUUAAUAUUUAAUAAAUUUAAUAUUAUUAUCAUCAAUUUAAUAAAUUUAAUUUAACUAAUUUAUAUCAUAAUUUCAAAAAUAAAAUAGUUAUGACAAUAUAUAAAUAAAAUAAAUAAUAUUUAAAAUAAACAAAUAUUUUAUAUAACAUUUAAAUAAUUUAAAUAUAUAUUUUAUUUUACUCAAUUAAUUUUAAAUCAAACACUUAUUUAAUUUAAUAAAUCUAAUUUAAUUAAUUUAUAUUCAAAAUUGAUAAAUUAAAUAAUUUAUUAUAACAUUAAAGAAAUAAUUCUAAAAUAAAUAUAAUAAAGAAUUAAAUAUUAAAAUAUUUAUUAUAAAUUAAAAAUAUUUAAAUUUUAAAAUAAUUAGAAGGUGUUUAGAGUUGCCUUCAUUAAGAAAUUACUGACAGUUUUACGUUGAGAUUUAGUUUGUAUAAAUUGAUGCAGUGAGAGUGAGUAGAACACAAGCUUUGAAUUAUUUGAGGAAUUUGUUGUUGUUGAAAGAGAAGAAGGGAAAGAUGUUUACCACGCUCACCCAAACUCAUCUUUGUCGCAAUGUCUUGUUCUUGUUCUUGCUUUGCACGCCGAUGUUCAGCAGUAGUGGUGCUUCUAGCAAGGGUAUGAAGUUAUUUCACACCCAUAUACUCUUUCUUAUUGAAUAAACUCUCAUUAACCUUAGUAAUUGUAUUUGAUAUGAUGAUAUGAUGAAGUAGGUGGUGAAAGUGGAGAAAGUUUGGAGUCAUCAACGGGUGGAGCAAUGUCAGAGCCACCGAACUGCAUUAACGGGUGUGAGAAAUGCACACCCUGCAAGCCAAUUCUGGUAGCUACGCCACCCCCCUCUCCCCGCCACCAAACGGACUCUGCCUCCCUUCGAUCCCCGGACUACUACCCUCAAGUCUGGAGAUGCACGUGUGGCGGCAAGUUGUACAUUCCUAAAAAUAAUUUUCUCUAACUAUCAUGUAUUCAUUUUAGAUAUAUGAUAGUCGACAUGGAUUUUGCCACAAAACUUUACUUUAUCUGAAAUAAAUGAUAUCUUCAAACGGGUUACGGAUACAUGUUUGUAAAACUAUACUUAUUCUGUUACUCUCUGCUUAGGUUUUCAUUUUUUUACCAUUAAGGAUUUUUUUUUAACAAAAUGGAAAUUCUUUUAAAAAAAUACAAAUUUAAAUAAGUCAUGUCAAAUUGACAUGAGUUAAUGUGAAGAAGUUGUAUCAACUUGACAGACUUUACCACCUCAACUUGAACUCGUGUUAAGUUGACACGAAUUUUGUCACGUCGUUCUAACUUGAUAUGACUUUGUUCACGUCAUAAAUUUUUUAUUUUGUUGACUUUAGUAAAAACAUUAUUGUUUUUAAAUAAAUAAAUAUUACUAAUUAUUUAAUUAGAGUUGAAAUUAAUUAAAAUUGGUAAGUUAUGUAAUAUUUAAAAUUAAUUUGAUAAAUAACUUUUUAAGAGUGUUAGCUUUAAGCAAAAAAUUGGAUAAUCAUGCAUGAAUCAUGUUUGACGGUAAUGUAAUAUAUUAAUUUAAUUUUUUUAUUAAUAAAAAAUAUGAUGAAAAUUGUUAUUGCAUUUGGAAAUAAAUAGAGAAAUGAGAAUUAUUAUUGUAUUUGCAGAACACGUAAUAAUGAGGAGAUUAAUUAUAACUAGACAAAUUAGUAAGAUUCAUUACAAGAUAUAAAAUAAAAAUAAAAAGUUGAACUAUUGGAAGUAAAUUAUUUAUGGAAGACGCAAUUGCUAUACGUCUCCCUUAUCCACACACAAUUGUUGUUUGUUCAUUUUGUCAUUUACAGCUAAUGACAUUUGUGGUACAGUCUCUGCAAAUAUUUUAAAGGUUAUGAGGUCCAAUUUAAUCCUGUUCGAAAUCAAGAUUAUUCGUCUAUUUACACGGACCAAAAUUUUUUACCUGACCCCAUGAUGUGUUGACAUCAAUCAAGAAAACGUAUAAACCCUAAAUUGUUAUACGGUAGGACCAAAGGUCAUAAACAAUUGUUUGCACAGACAAACUUGAUAAUAAAAUUCAAUCUCAACUUUGAUUAUUAAUUUUCUCAUUUUCUUUACCUAUGUAUUUAUGCCUUAUUUAUUUUAUUCAACUAACAACCUAAAUUAACCAAGAAUAAAUAUUCCUCCAUAAAAAAUUAUUUGUUAAAUUAAUUUCAAAUAUUACAUAACUUACUACUCAAUUUUAAUUUUAAUUAAAUAAUUACAUGAAUCGUGUCAACUUUUUUACGUUAACAUUAGAGGAAUCGUGUUAAGUUUACACGACUCCAAAUUGAGCGAACAAAGUCAUAUCGUACCAAAUUAUUAUGACUUCUUUCAUAUUAAGUGAUAGUUUUUUUUUAUAAAAGGAGUCACAUCAUUUUGGUAAAAGAAAAAAGAAACAUCACCAUGGUGGUAAAAAACCUGGAUUUUCUUUCUCCCUUCCGUCGUUUGUUUCUUCUUCUGCUUUAUGAAUUGUGUUUUAGCCAAAUGAGGAACUGUUUCUUUGCUGUGGAGUAAUCCCGUUCUAAUUAAAAGCAACAAUUUGCAACGUUCUAAAAGUAGCAGCAUGUUCUGACAGAAUCUGAGAAGACUAUUUGUAGUGUGUUUUACGUUCUACGUAUUUCUAAAUAUUUUAUGAAAAAAGGAAACUCCAUAAUCAUGCAAACCUUUUACAUAACGCUUCCUAGGCUAACACAUCGUACUGAGUCCGAAACAAAAUAACAACGUAUAUAAAAGGAACAUGCAUGCGUGUUUUAAAGAACGAAAUUCAUAACUGCGAAAUCCACCUGCCCCCAUCAACUUUACAUAGUUGUUGCCACAAGUGCAAGCCCUAGUCCAAGUGACACUAACUUUCCGUACAUAUUGAUCUUGUCGGUGCCGGAGUUCUGUUCGGUGGGAUUAACGUGUGAGGAAUCUGAAGAAGAUGAGUCGUCCUUAUCAGCUUUAGGCGCCUUUGUUGCGUCAGUAGAAGGUUGUGGAGCCAAUGAGGGAGCCUUUGCAGGUGCUUUAGCAACAGUAAAAAAGUCCAAAGGAAGAAGCACCUUACCCACCUUGUAAAUAGCGAGAUGCUUAUCCGUAUAUACAAUGCCUGUGAUGGUGGUGUUAACCUCACCCGUUGAGAUGUUCACACUCCCUCCGUAACUUAUCACAUUCAGUUCCACUUUUCCAGGUUUAGCCCCUGCAAGGGUUCUCACUGGGUUGGUUAGAGUAUCAAAGUUAGAGCUAGAAACAUAGUCUGAAAGAACAUGGAACUGUAAGAGCUCGAGCUUUUGGCCAUCAGAAAGAGAGUUGAGGAAGCCUGCUUUGAGUUCAGAGAAGGAACUGUCAUCAGGUGCAAGAAUGGUGAUGCCACCUGAUUUAGUAGUGAGGAGCUGUGCAUUGAGUUGGUUGAUCAAUUGGGUGGUUUUCAUGAGGCGGAUUAGGAUGUUGAAUGACUUAGCCUGCCUCAGGAUUCCAACAAUGUCAACAGCUGCAGUGUCAGGAGUGGAAUCACUUGGUGACUGUGGCAAUGAGGGAACCAAUGGCUGUUUAGGAGCCUCAGCUGGUGGGGUAGGGGUAGGUUGAACUGGUUUAAGAGGGGCAGAAGCUGGUGAUAAUUGGGCCAAAGUGGUGGUGGAAUUAAAAAAUGAAAGUAGCAGUGCCAGUGAGAAGGACAAGACACAUUGCUUUCUCAUCAUCCUGGUUUGUUAAAUAAAGGUUUGGAUGAUAUUAGAAAUGAUUGCAAGUGAUAACUAUUGUAAUAACAGUGUGCAGUUCAUGCAAUGAUGAAAUGCAUGAGUGUAGGGUUUUUAUAUAUUGAAGCUGAGAAAGGAAAGGUAGGUGAAGGGCCAUGUUGUACAACCUUUAAUUGUGAUUUAUGAACUAUCUUGUUUGAUAUUUAGGUGUUGCAUUAAUCAAAAUAUAUACAUAUAUGGUAUGUAAGAUAACAGUGAGUUCUUGCUUGAAAGGUACACAAAAGAUUGAGUGAGACACUGGUGUGAGACAUAGUCUCAUUAUUGGACAAGGAAAUUACGGUGGCGCAUCAAUGAAGAUUGAAACGUUUUAGCUCAUCAGAACUCGUUUUCUAGUGGAUUUGGAUCUAGAGAAGAAUGAUUAGUAUCCUCAAUGUAAUUAUCAAACAUUAGUUAAUUCAUUUUUUUUUAUAAAAUAAUGUACAAAUUUUUUCUACUUUUUUAGUUGCUUAAUUGGGUUUUUUUUUACCAUCAUGGGUUAUUUUUUUUGGUUUUUACCAAAAUGAGUCCGUUUAAAAAAAAUUACAAAUUUAGGCAAGUUGUGCCAAUUCGGCACGACUUCAUAUGCAGAAGUCGUCCCAAUUAGGCAUGACUUCUGCCAUGUCAUACUAAAGUCGUGCCAACUUGGCACGACUUCUGCCCUCUCAUACUGAAGUUGUGUCAACUUGGCACGAUUUCUGCCCUGUCAUACUGAAGUCGUGCCAACUUGACAUGACUUCUGCUACGUCAUAAUUUUUUUUAAUUUUAUUGUUUAUAUAUUGGGUAGUAAGUUAUGUAAUGUUAAAAAUUAAUUUGAUACAUAAUUUUCUAAGAGUGUUAGUUUUAAGGAACAAAAAAUUGGAUAAUUGUGUAUGGAUCAUGUUUGAAUUGAAUGAAUAAAUACAUAGAUAAAGAAAAUGAAUGUUCUAAGAGUGUUAUGAAUGAAUAAAUACAUAGAUAAAAAAAUGAGGAAAUUAAUAAUCAAACUUGAAUUGAAUUUUAUUAUUAAGCUUGUCUGUGCGGACAAUUAUGACGUGGCAGAAGUCGUGCCAAGUUGGCACGACUUCUGUAUGACGGGGCAGAAGUCGUGCCAAGUUGGCACGACUUCAGUAUGACAGGGCAGAAGUCGUGCCAAGUUGACACGACUUUAGUAUGACAUGACACAGCAGAAGUCGUGCCUAAUUGGGACGACUUCUGCAUAUGAAGUCGUACCGAAUUGGCACGACUUGCCUAAAUUUGUAAUUUUUUUUAAACGGACCCCAUUUUGGUAAAAACAAAAACAAUAACCCCAUCAUGGUCAAAAAACCGCUUAAUUGGCUGAUGCUAUUUCACUUUUUAUACUGCGUUAUACACAAAAUGAUUCUGUCAAUUGUUUGAAAUAUCAGUAUAAACUAUAAUCAUAUGUUGUUUAUCUAAAUUUAAAAGAACUGUGUAUGUUAUACCAUAUUUCACAACAAUUUCUCCUGAUUUCAACCAUAGUUAAGGCUACCAAAUUCACUUUGAUGUAUUUUUUUAAAAAAAAAAACUAUCAUGAUUAUUGCUCAAUGAAAAUAUAAGAAUAUUUGUGAUUUAAUUUUACUAAGAUUUUUUUUAUAUGUUUUAAAUUUUAAGAUAGUGUUUGGAAAAAAGAAAAGCAUAUGAUCAUUUUAUCUUUUAAAUUUAAGAAAUUAUUAAUUUGAUUUAAAUAUAAUGCUACUAUUUUAAAGUUUUUUUUUAACUUUGUUCUUCCCAAAUAAUAUAUCUUUUAUUUUGUAAAUAUAUUUUAUAUAAAAAAUCAAUAAUUGGUAUCAUAGUUUUCUAACCUAUGAAUUUGAGAAAUUCAGUGAGUCUACCUUUUUUUUUCAGCAGUGAGUCUACCCAUGAUCCUAAACAAACACUUAAUCUCAUCAUAAUGAAUCCAAAAGGUUCAUUUAUUCCGAUUGAACUUUCCAUUCUUAAAGGAAAACAUGAUCUCUUCUGGAUGUUAUAGACUAGAAGUCCAUCUUGGUAAAUGUGAACAAGUUUCAUUCCUAUUAAAUAAUCUAACUAUUGUUCAAAUCAAAAUUUACAAGAGAGAAAACAGGUUGAAGAAUUAGAAACAAUUAAAGAAUACUCCCACAUUUUCUAAAUCUCAAUUUUAACGUCACAUUUUAUAUAAUACGGACACUUAAACGAUACGAAUAUAUCAGUGUUUGAAUUUUAUAGUUGGCAACUCAUUCACUAACGCCUUCAAAGUUAUUACUAUUAUAUCAACAUAAUGGAAGAUAAUGUUACAGACAAGGUUGGAUUUGCUUUCGAUUUACUAGGCUGAAAAUCAGACUCCAAGCUUGUAAUAAAAUUGUACUUAUAUGAUUUUAUAAGGAUAAAAAGAAUAAAUAAAUAUAAAACAUGUGAGGAAUAUGCUCCAACUUUAUUAUAAUUUAUACAAGUUAAGUUAUGAUUCUUACAUAAUUCCAAAACCAGUCAAAAGAAUAGUAUUUUUUAAGUUACAAUUAGCAAAUCUCUGGCUCAGUUGAAUAAAUUACAUUUAUUAAUGUCUAAAUACAGAAAACAGAUAGUUUGUAUUGAACUUAGAAUUUAAAAAAAAAAAAAAAAAAAAAAACUGUAGCUAUGAAUGACCUUGUCUAUAUGAGAUGCAUUGGAGCCAAAAAUUGCAGUGUAUUGUUGAAUUAUAUGCAUUGUUAAUCUCUAACUUUUCAGUUUAGUAUGGUGAAAUGUAUUGUGGUGCAUGGUCGAUGUUUGUUCGUGUUGAAGUCCAGGUGAUUAGUGAUGAAAUAUGAAGUCUAGGUGAUUAGUGACAACUUUCUUAAUACUCAUCUCUCAUUGAUUCUAAUAUCAUCCUUAACAUAACAACAUUUUACCUCCACUUUCAUUCUUACCAAUAUCUUUCUCAAAUAUAAAUGGAACAUCAUCCACAUUCAAAACUUGAAAAAAAUAAGAAAAACAGUAAAAUCUGACUUUUUUUAUACUUAAAAUUAGCUCGUGUAUAAAUUAAAAAUUAGAAAAGUUACCUAAGAAAGCUUCUAUAAAUUAAUUUUAAAUUAUGGAAAAAAUAAUUUUAAUUUUUUUUCUUAUUUUGAAGGAGAAAUUCAUCCAAAGUCACCCUACAACCAAAUUAUUCAUAUCCAUGAUCUCUAAUACUGCAACAGAGAUUCAACACUGAGAGUUGCCCCCAUGUAAGGUUAGGUUCUGUACUAGGUUAGGAGUUGUGAAACAUGUGAAUUCAUUGUUGGUCUUUCAUGAAAACCAUAAUUUUUAGAAACAGUUAUGGUUUAACUUGGUAAUCAUUAACGGAUUCUUGAUAUAACACGAAUGCACAAGAAACCACAAAAAGAGACAGCAAAAUUUAAACAAGAAAUGCACAAAGCAAGAAAUUAAUGACAUAGAAAACUGUACUGCUGCCAGAUAGAUCAACUCCAUAUGUUUGCCACUACCAUCAAAGCUAUCCCAACCGACAUCAGUGCAUGAAUGCUAACCAAACUCGCUGCCCCAGAUUUAUUCUGAUCCUGCUUUGUUUCGCCUUGAUCAUUCUCGGAAGAGUUCUCCUUAGCAGCUUUGGGGGCCUUUGCAAGAGAUGAAGGAGCCAAAGCUGGAGCCUUAUUGGUUACAAAGAAAUCUAGAGGAAGAAGCACCUUGUCCACGUGAUAAAUCCCAAGUUUAUUAUCCGCGUAUACUACUCCAAGAAUGGUGGCAUUGACUACCCCAGUUGAGAUGUUGACACUGUUACCUAAUGCAUUCACAUUCAGUGGAAGCCUUGCAGGGUCUUUGCCAGCCACUGUCUGCACAGGGUUGCUCAGAGAAUCAAAGUUUGAGCUGGACACAAACUCUGGCAAUAUGUGAAACUGCACAAGUUCAAUUUUCUGGCCUGCGUUUAGGGAGUUGAGGAAGCCUGCUUUGAGGUUGGAAAAGGCAGAAUCAUCUGGUGCAAGGAUGGUUAUGCCCCCACUCUUGGCUGUUAUGAGCUGUGAGUUGAUGUUGUUCAUGAUUUCUGUGGUUUUGAGGAGGCGGACCAGGGUUGAGAACAUUUUGGCCUUUUUGAGGAUUCUGGUGAUGUCAUCAGGGACAGAGUCAGGAGAGUCUGGAGACUGAGGUAAUGUGGGGACUAAUGGUUUUGGUGAUGGUGCUGCAGCCUUUGGGGUAUGGGGAGUUUUUGCUGCAGGGGCUUUUGGGGCUGCUGCAGGUGCAGGUGAAAUAGCCAAGGUGGUAGAGGAAAAGAGUAGAAAGAGCGAGAGGGAGAAAAGGGUUGCUUGUUUCAUCUUCCAGAUGCCAACUCAAGCCUAGAUGGCCUUGAUGAUUUUGAAAGAAUGUUAAAAUGAUUGUAGCAAUUUAUUUUUGAUGUGUGGGAGCUGUGAAGGAGAGGGGUUAUAUAGAGAUUGGAGGGCAAGGAAAUGAUAGGUUGGUGAAAUGUUAUGGCUGUGAAAUUUGUUAGCUGGGGAGUCUGAGGGUGUAUCACGUCUGUCAUGGAGAAUAAGGAUCCUUUAUCUAAAUAUUAUUGGCAUAAAUUAGUGUAAGUAUUGAGUUCGGAUAUGGUGAACUGAGAAUGGACACAUUAAAUACCUGCUUUUAACACUUCUGUAGUAUGUAGUUGAAGAAGGGGAGUGACAAUGCAGAGAGGCUACAGAGGACCCCCUUAAAAAUAUCAGGGAGCAGCUACAAAUGUUGAGUUUAUGUAUAUCUAUAAGAUGUAAUUUAAUAACUUGGAUCAGAAAACAGAGCUGGAGCCAUCCACUUGAUACAAACCAAUUAAUGAAGUUCAAGAACUUUGUGAGUUGAGUGAGUAACUGGAUUGAAAUUCUCCUCCUGGUGUUUUGCACUUCCACUUCCAAUGGUUUUAUUUGGGAGAAGGUUGGUUUUUCUUUAUGCUGUAUUAGCUCCUAAACAUCUCACUCCAUUAACAAAAAUUUCUAUGUAUAGUUUAGCCCUGAAACAGAACAUUGGAAUCCAAAACCAUGUUCUGGAUACCUUUUAGUGCAAAUAAUUCAAGUUUUUAGCUUUAAUUUUUGCUCUCAUAUUCAAACUCUUAAAAAUUUGGACUUUGAACAUAAUAUCAUGAAUUACAUUUUCACUUCUAAAAUCUUGAUAUUUCAUCCUGUUCGUGAAUAUUAUAUAAACAAUAAAGACUUCGCAACUUUUUUUAUCACAAAUGGAGAAGAGACAUUUUACACCUCAUAUACGAAGUCUUUAGCAACAAGUAUAUGGUUUUCUUAAAGCCUCCAUGAGACAUAAACAAAAACUAAUUUGGAAAAUAAAAAUUUCCCUUCUUUCAUCUUCAAUUUCUAAGUCCAUCCUAUAGAUGACUUUUAUUAAUUCUACAAAUACCCAUUUUGUGUAUUUAUACAAAGAGGGACAAUUAGUUGUGAUUUUUACAAUAAUAAUAUUGGUGAAAAAGUAGGGUUAUGCAGAGGCCAAAUAAAUGAUGUGCUGGUGAAAUGUUGUGGUUAACAGGUUGCAAAAUUUGUAGCUGUGGAGGGUAUAUCCCAUCUGUCAUAGAGAUGAGGAUUUGUUAUCUAAUUAUUAUUUGCAUCUUUGCUGAUAAUGAUGAGCUGAUAAUGGACAUAUGAUAAUGCUGACAUAUUCAUGGACACUUGCUUUUUAACAUCUUUUGUAAGAAAAAUAAUGUAGUUGAAGAGGAGUGACCCACCUCACACAUACUAAGGAGUUGUUGCAAAUUGUUUUGUAUUUCUAUAAGAUGAUGCAGAGUUUUUAAACUGUGAUUGUGCUCAUGAUUGUUGAUACUGUCAAAAAUCACAUACAAGUACACUUAAUUUAAUUGCAUUUUAUAUUGAGGAAACUUCGAAAACUUUAACGUUCUGGUCAAAAUCGCAGUUGGAUUGGGAACCAUUUACUGAUAAAACUUUAAUAAAACAAAUCUUUAAUAAACAUUUAAUUCAAAAUAUUCAAAUUUACAAAAACUUAUAGCUUAAUUGAAUUAUUAUUUUCAUGACAUGUACUUAAUUAAGAUCCAAAGUAAAAGCUAAACUACGUCACUCUGCUUCGAGAGUAAAAUCAAACUGUAGAAUUUUAAUUGAAAAAUAUAAAAAUUUGAAAUAUUCAGUAAAAUAUAUUUUUUAACAAAAAUUAACUUAAACCUUAAUUAUGUCAUGCUAUAAAAAGCUCAGGUUGUACAGAUGAAGUUAUUGUUUCUGCUUCUGGAUAAAAGUCCACUUUUCUUAAUAAUAAUAGAUGUUAUUGUAAACAACAAACACAAAAUAGUUCGUAUAUAUUUCUCUCCAUCCUUUUCAACUCGAUAACAUUCAUUAUGAAUUAACUAUAUUUGGAAACUUUGGACAGUUUUUAUAUAAAUAGUGCCUUGGAGGAAAAUGUUUGAAAGAAAAAGAGGAUAGGAGUUAUGAAACAUGAAUUCAUUCCUGGUCAUGCAUAUAAAGCAUGAUGAUAGCAACAACAUGGUUUCAGAUAAGAAUCGUUAAUCAUUCAAGCAUUCUUUCCCUUUCCAUAACAUCCAUACACAAGAAACCACAAAGAGAGAAAAAUUUAAACAAAAAAAGAAGCGCAAACAAAGAAAUUAACCACAAAGAAAACUGAAAGUUCAGCUGCUAAAUGAUCAACUCCACAUGGUUGCCAUAGCGACCAAGGCUAUCCCAAGUGACAUCAACUUUGUUCCACUAACGCUGCUCAAACUGAGUGCCCCAGAUUUAUUGUGAUCCUGGUUUGCUUCUUCUUGAUCGUCAUCAGAAGAGUUUUCCUUAGCAGCUUUGGGAGCCUUUGCAAGAGAUGAAGGAGCCAAAGCUGGAGCCUUAUUGGUUACAAAGAAAUCUAGAGGAAGAAGUACCUUGUCCACGUGAUAAAUUCCAAGUUUGUUAUCCGCGUAUACUACUCCAAGAAUGGUGGCAUUGACUACCCCGGUUGAAAUGUUGACACUGUUACCUAAUGCAUUCACAUUCAGUGGAAGCCUUGCAGGGUCUUUACCAGCCACUGUCUGCACAGGGUUGCUCAGAGAAUCAAAGUUUGAGCUGGACACAAACUCUGGCAAUAUGUGGAACUGCACAAGUUCAAUUUUCUGGCCUGCGUUUAGGGAGUUGAGGAAGCCAGCUUUGAGGUUGGAAAAGGCAGAAUCAUCUGGUGCAAGGAUGGUUAUGCCCCCACUCUUGGCUGUUAUGAGCUGUGAGUUGAUGUUGUUCAUGAUUUCUGUGGUUUUGAGGAGGCGGACCAGGGUUGAGAACAUUUUGGCCUUUUUUAGGAUUCUGGUGAUGUCAUCAGGGACAGAGUCAGGGGAGUCUGGAGACUGAGGUAAUGUGGGGACUAAUGGUUUUGGUGAUGGUGCUGCAGCCUUUGGGGUAUGGGGAGUUUUUGCUGCAGGGGCUUUUGGGGCUGCUGCAGGUGCAGGUGAAAUGGCCAAGGUGGUAGAGGAAAAUAGUAGCAAGAGUGAGAGGGAGAAAAGGGUUGCUUGUUUCAUCUUCCAGUUGCCAAUUGAAGCCUGUAGAUAUGGCUUUGAUGAUUGUGGAAGUAUGUGAAUGAUUUGAAUUAAUGAUUCUUGCAAUUUGUGUCUGAUGUUUGGGAUGUGUGAAGGGGAGGGUUAUAUAUAGGCCAAGAAAAUGAUAGUUUGGUGAAAUGUUAUGGCUAUGAAAUCUGUUAGUUGUGAAGUGUGAGGAUAUAUCCCAUCUUUCAUAGAGAACAAGGAUCCUUUAUCUAAUUAUUGUUGGCAUGUUUGCAAAACAGAUGCUAUAGGUUAACUAUAUUGGGUAAGUUUGGUUAUGGUGAGCUGAGCAUAGCACAUGUAUAUUUAUAAAUAAAUAGGUUAAAUACAUUGUUAAAAAAUGUUUGUAAUAUAUUGUUGAAGGGGAAUGACUGUGGAGAGGCUAGAGAGGAACCCUAAAAAAUAGGGAAUUGCAUCUGCAAUUGUUAUGUAUGUUUAUUAGAUGUAAUUUAAUACCAUGGAUCAGGAAGAGCCAUUGACAAAGGUUGGAACUCCUACUGGCAUUCUGAACUUCCAAUUCAAAUGGUGUCAAUUGGGACAAGGUAUGAUGAGUUUAUUAACUCAUAAAAUACCUUCUUUAAAAUCAUACUAAUUACUGUUUUUAAUUUAUUGAUAGAGUAAAACUUUUUACACUCUUAAAAUUGUGAUUAUUUUAUCUUGUCCAUGUAUAAUAUAUAAAUAAAGACAUCACAACCUUUUGAUUUUAGUACAAACAAACUAGGACAAGACAUUUUAACCCAUACGAAUCUCACUUUUGGAUAUAGAUCCACAUUUCGUGCUAAGUAAUUGAUGUUAUUGCUAAAAUAUAAAGACAAAUUAAUUUUGAUAUAAUUAUUGGAUUUUGCUCUUCCUCUUCCAAUGGUUUUAGUUAGGAGAAGGUUGAAUUUUCUUUUAACCAAAUAUUACCUCCCUAGCCUUCCUGUUGAUUAAUAACACAGAAAAAUGCUAGAUAGGUUGACAAAAUUCCUACUACACCUUUUUUCCACUUCAACACUCUUUGCAUUGAUUAUUUGAUCAACUAUGUUAAGUGAACAAUCAUCUGACACUGAAUAACAUUAGCCUCUAGCUAAAGAUUAAUAUCUAUAAGUCAUGGCUAAUGAAGCACAUUAUACAUGGGUACUCCAGAAAUAAUGUCUAAUUGUUGAAAGAAGAUUAUACCUUAAACCAUAAAACAGAACCAUAAUAACAUGAAAAGAAAAAAGAAGCAGAACCAUUUUCGAUUUGCUGUUAAACCAUACUAGUCUCCAUACAUUGAUUCAUAUUUAAUUAAAAAUACAAGAGAAAUGGCUUCCAUCAUCAUACCUAUACAUGUCACUAAAAGAUCAUGUACGCACUGUCAUUAAGAGAACAAAUAUGUCCAAAAUCAGACUAAACUCCUAUCUUCUUACUUAACCAUUACCCUUGUCACAAACAAAACAUAAUUACAGCAAUCAAAAAGGUGAUUUAGAAAGUUCUCAUGUCCUUAAUUUAACACUAAUGUACUCAGCAGCCGUACUCAUUCUUGGACAUUCAUUCUCUUUGGUUCCUCCAGCAGACCAGCUUCGACUGAGUACAAUCCAAAAGGUGGGCUAACAUCCGCCAAAAUUGGGAAACAUGUUAGUUCUAGACCAAGUAACAAUUCAUGGAAUUGAUUUUCCUAUAAUUUCUAUUCAGUUCCUACAACCAGCCUUUGAAUCUCUCAAUUCCUUCAGCUCCUUUUUCUCCAAGGUGGAGAUUUGUGGCUUAGUAGUACACCCCAUAGAAACAGAAAAGGCUUCCAUAUAAGGUUUUAAGGUAGCCACCAUAAGGUCCUUCAAUUUUCCAAGAACCUCGAGUCCUUCCUUUUAGUUCAUAAUGAAACUACUUAUGUGACGCAAUUAUGUUCUUGGUCUGUUUUUCAAGUUCUUUAUCAAACUUUUGUACAUUGCCAAUGCAUAGUUUUUACCUUGGAAACUGAGGAAAGUAUUGGCAGAUAUGUUUACACAUCAUAAUAUGUAUCAACUUAACUCCAUGUAGUUUGAGAUGAAAAUUUUGGUUGUCUUAAUUGCAUCAAAAUUCACACAAAACAAUCUUAAUUGUAUCAAAAGAAACACAUCUAAAUAACUCAACCCUUCAGAAUUCACAUGUUCCUCAAACACUACGCAGCUCAGAGAAAGAACAUAAAUUCAAAAUCAUCAAAUAGAUUGUCUGGUCUGGUAUGGUCUACCAGCCUUCAACAUGAAAGAACCACGAAUGCAACUAAAGCAACUCCAAGGGACGCCAACGUUGUUCCUAGAGUACUCAUCAAACUGCAUGCGCCAGCACUGUCCUUGGAUGUUCCAAGGCUAUCAUCAGCAGAUGAGUUAUCAUUAUCAGUUUUUGUCGAUAUUGUAGGAGAGGGUGCAGGAGCUGGUGGCUUAGGCUUGAAGAAGUCCAAAGGAAGAAGCACCUUGUCCACAUGAUAUAUAGCAAGCACCUUAUCUGAGUAUAUAACUCCUGUGACCGUGGCAUUGACCACUCCUGUUGAGAUAUUCACAUUGUUGCCAUAUGCUGUCACGUUUAGUUGCAACCUGGCAGGGUUAUCCCCAGCUAGUGUUCUCACAGGGUUGCUCAGAGAAUCAAAGUUUAAGCUUGAAACGUAAGUGGGAAGAAUAUGGAACUGCAAAAGUUCGAUCUUUUGAUUGUCAGCCAGAGAGUUCAGGAACCCCACUUUGAGAUGUGAAAAGCUACUGUCAUCUGGGGCAAAGAUGGUUAAGCCACCUGAUUUUAUGGUUAUGAGCUGAGCAUUGAUUUGGUUGAUCAAUUGGGUGGUUUUCAUUAGGCGAAUUAGGACGUUAAAUGAUUUGGCCUUCCUCAAUAUUCUGAUGAUGUCAUCGGGGGAAGAAUCAGAGGUGUCAGAAGAGGGUGACUGGGAUAGUGCUGGGACAAUUGGUUUUGAUGGAGCUGCAUCAGGAGCUUGGGCUAAUGUGGUUGAAUAUAAGGAGGAAAAAGGUAUGAAGAGUAGAAGGGAGAAUAAAACUAAAAGCUUCAUUUUCUAUGAGCAAUUACAAGUUGCUAGUGAAGGCUCUAGAGUAAAGUUUUUGUUAUUUGAAUGGUGUUUGAUGUGUGGAAGAUGUGGAAUGGGGUGGUUUUUAUAGGGACUAGGAAUGUGAUAGGUGGAAUAAAUGGAUGAAGCUUUGGUAAUGAAUUUCCCUAUGUAUAAGUUUGUUAUGUGUGAGGUCUGUCUGUGGUGGUCCUGUUGGAGAUUAAGGUGAUGCAUCAAGGUGGAUGAGAUAAAGGUGAUUGAGAACAAUGUUUUUUGCCUUUUGCUUGGCAAUGCAGGAAAAAGAGGAGUUAAAGUUAGAGCUCAAUUGGGUGCCAAAUGCACAUUAAUGAAAUUGUGAUGCUUCUUUCCACUGAUGCAGUAAUGCCAUUUAGAUUCUGAACUUUUCAUAAUUGCUAUAAACUAUAUACUUAUAAUUACAUUACAAACACCUUAAAAAUGUUAAUCUUAAGCAUUUCAGAUAAUAUUAUCUUAUUGGUACAAAAUAUAAUUAAGAAUGUCUCAAGUUCCCAAAUCUCCAAGGCAAGAUAGUUGUCUCAAAUGCUGCACAACUAUGGAGGUACUUUUUUGCAAGAGAAAAAGACAUCGUAAUGACUAAUGAUACUAGAAGAUUGAUUGUAGAACUACUUAAUUAAAAACUUGUGAGUGCUUUCAUACAUGUUACCUAAUUAAAUUGCUGAGGGCCCAGAACUUGGGAGAUUUAAAAAUCUGAUAUUGGUAAGUUGUUAUCACUACAUUAGAUGCAACAAAAGGUUAAUAUUUUGCCACCUUUUGACAGUUCUGAAAGGAAAAGUAUAUUUCUCCCUACUUUUAUAUCAUUUUAUGAAUAAAACAUUUAUCACUUCUUUUUGUUCAUUGAAUCCAAUAUAAAUAGAACUUUGAGGAUAUGAAUCUCAUUAAACCAAGCACCAUUAAUGAAUCUCAUAUGAGGGUGUUGCUUUGAGCUUUGAGCUUUGGAGGCUGAUUCCCACCUCCUUUCAGGUUUCAUAUGUUUAUUAUUUUUAGUGUUAUAUGUCUUUCAUAUGAAUCUAUGGAUAUUGCUUUUAUGAAGGGUUACCUCUUUCUCUUGUGUUUGUUUCCAUAAAAAGGUAUUGAUAAUUUGUUGCAAGCUAAAAAAGAAAAGUGUGUCCUAUUGAUAGAUGAAUUGCAUGUUAAGUUUCUAUUGAAUUCACAUGUUAAAUACCCUCUAACACCAACCCUCUAAUAAUAUAAUACUUAAAAUUAUUUAUAAUAUAAAAAAUAACCAGUAUUCUUUUCUUUUUCUUAAUCUUACUCAAUUUAAAACUAAUAUAAAAUAAUUGAUUUGGGUAUAUUAAUUUAAGUUUAUAUAAAUAAUGUUAUUUUCUUAUUUUAGUCUCUGUAUAUGACUUUUAAAUUUUUUACUUUUGUGAUAGUAUUUUUUAGUACUUAAUAUUAGUUAUAUUUAAUUUAUAAGCAAAAAAUAUGAAAUAUCAAUUAAAAUAAUUACAUUACUUUUAAGUGUGCUAUUUCAAUUAAGUAAUAUAUUUAAUUUUUUUUUAUAAAUGAGAUAAUCACUUUUUUUAACUUCUAAUAUAUUAUGAACAAUAAUUUUUGUAUUAUUUUCAGAAUAAUAGUGAAUUUUUUAUAUAUUAAAAUUAUUUAUAAAAAAAAAUAUUACAUAUAAUAUUCAUUUUGUAUCUAUAUAUUUAUCAUUAUAUAUGUAAACAAUGAUUGUGACGAAAUAUAUUAUAUUAUGAAUAAAAAUAUUGAUAUUAGUUUUAAAUUGUAUAAGAGAUAAUUUAUAUAUAUAUAUAUAUUAAUUUAAAUAUACUGUAAUUAGUAUUUAUGAAAAUAUAAUUAACACAUUUUUUUUAUUUUGUCUUUCAAGAUAAAAUACUUGCCAUGCUAUUAGAAUAUAAAUAGUUAAUUAUAGCCUCAUUCAAAAUUAUAAUAUCUAAAUUAAUAUAUAAAAAUUAAAUUACAAGCUUCUAAAUAAAUUAUAAUUAUUUUAAUAAAAUACAAUGUUAAAAAUCUAUAUUAGUGAAUACAAAAUAACAUAUAUAAAAAUUUUAUUUAUAUUAAAUAAAAAUAUAAUACUUAACUAAAUUUUAAAAACUUAAAAAAUAUAAUUAUCUUCGUUGAAUGUAUUUACUUUAAUUAUAUUAAUUUACAUUUAUUAUUUUUAGGGUUACCAUGAUUUAUGAUUAGAACUACAAAGAAUUAUUUUAAAAUGUCAGAGAUUUAAAAUUAAGAGACAUUUUUGCAGGAAGUAAAAUCAUUAAACCUAACUAAAAUUAUUAAAUUUUGUAAUAGCUAUUUAAAAUUUAUAUUUAAAAUAUUUUUUAAUUGAAUUUCACUUGCAAUCAAAAUUCAGAAAAUUAACUAUAUGCAAAUCAUUGUUUCACUUAAUUAUUCGCAAUUUUGGAAAAUCACAAAGGGAAAAGGCAUCAUGUAUAACAUUAUAGGAAAGGAUUUUUUCUUUUAACUACUUUUUUUACAUAAUUCACCUUCUGAGUAACUGCUUUUUAAAUUUAAAUAACUACUCACAAUAAAAAAAAAUCACCUACACAAUAAAAAAAUUAUAUUUAUUUUUAUAAUUUAAUCAUAUAUUUUUAUUUCAAUAAUUAUUAUAAUAAUAAUUUCUUUUGCCAAAAGAAGGUGAACAGUAUGUGUUUGUACUAUAGUUCUAUUAUAAGUAAAACAAAACUGUAUAAAAAAAAUUAUAAUUCAGCCACCUUGACCUUCCCAUCAAAUAUCCUCUUUGACACACCUUGCAAAUUAUUUUAAAUAUAUGAUAUUAUAUUAAAAAGUACUUUUUAAUACCUUAAAAAUCUUAAACACUUAGUUAAAGAAAACUAUUACUAGGAUAUAUAUUGACUAUAAUAUUAUGAAAAUAGUUUCUUUUUAGUGAAAGAAAAUAUAUGCUUACUUUUAUGAUAUGCUUUUGACAACUUUGUUGAAAAAUCACAUUUUUUUUAUUAAUUUUAGAGCAUUUCUAAUAUUCAGCUAAAAAAUGGAAAACUUGUAUCUUCUAAAAUCUACUUUUAAAUAUGAAAACAUAACGAUAAUGUAAGACUCAAUAGACAAUCAGUCAUAGAAAUAAAUAAAAAAAAAAUUUUUACAUUAAAUAUAAUAUAUAAUUAUUUUAAUCAUUUUUUUAUAUUUUUAAUAUAUAUUAUUAUAUUGUUAGAAUAUUAUAGAAUGAGAGUAUUUUAUGUGGCAAACUAUAAUUUAUUUAAAUUAUAAUCAGUAAUGGAUGAAGAUUCUUUUACACUCAAAAUAUAAAAAUUAAUAUUGUAAAAUGAAUAUAGGUAAAGAAAGUUAACAUUGUCAAAUUAAUAUUCCAUAAUGUCAUAUUUAACAAUAGUUAACAAAACUUCUGUAUGAAUUCUCUAUUAAAAGAUCAUUGUAUGCAACUUUUACACAAUUUUUAAAUUUCUCAUAAGUAGUAAUACAUAAGAUAUAUGAAGUUUUUCUUGUAGGGGAAAGAAGGAAGAAAGCCUUCAUAAAUCAAAUAUAAUUUCCACCACAGCCUGAAACUUGAAUCAUCAGAGAAGGAAAAAGAACAGAAAAAAAGGCCAAUUAUUUAAAACCACUGUAUCUGCAAAAUGUUGAUCGUUCACCUUUCAAUCCACCCUAGAUGGCAUAGUUUCACUUCAAUGCUUAUAUUCUUAACCUUCAACCUCUCAUUGUCACCACGAAAAUGCUGCAACUAAAAGUGCAGCAGCCCAUGUCACAUGCUGCUGUUUCACACUGAUAGCAGCAGAUUCAGCAUCAUCUGCAGGAGUUUCUGUGCUGUCUGCAGAUUUCUUCUUAGACCCUUUAGACUUUUCUGGCGCUGGAGCUGGAGCAGGAGGCUUAGCAACAAAGAAAUCCCGAGGAAGAAGCACCUUGUCCACUUGGUAAACCGCGAGCUGGUGAUCAGUGUAAACAGUGCCACCUAAUGUAACGUUAACAAUCCCCGUUGUCAUGUUAACUUGGUUCCCUCCUGAGCUUGUUAUGUUGAGUGCCAACCUAUCAGGGUUUUCACCGGCCUGUGUUCUCACGGGGUUGCUGAGAGUGUCAAAGUUUGAAACGGAAACGAAUGUGGGUAGCAAGUGGAAUUGGAUGAGCUCGUUCUUUUGUUGGUCGUUGAGGGAGUUGAGGAAGCCAGGUUUGAGGCUUGAAAAGGCAUUGUCGUUGGGUGCAAAUAAGGUUAAGCCACCGUUUGUGGUAAGGAGUUGGGAGUUGAUUUGGUUGGAAACUUGUGUGGCUUGAAGGAGACGGAUUAGGGUGGUGAACCCUCCAGCCUUUUUGAGGAUUCUGAUGAUGUCUGUGGGGGGUGAGGAGGGUACCGGGGCCGGAGUGAUGGCCGUGGUGGGAGUGGCGGGGGCGGUUGGUGCGGCGGCGGGUGACUGGGCUAAAGAGAUGGUGGAAUGGGAAAAGAGUAGUAUUAUAAGAAGUGGAAGGGUAAGAGAGAAGAGUGGAGGGUUCAUGAUGACCAUCUUUUGGAGGUGAGAAAGGAAAGAGUGGUCCUUGAAGUGAGAUUUGAUGUGGGGAUGAUGGAGGGAGGGUAAUAUAUGGAAACCUGAAAAGAGUGAAAGGGGUUUGUCUUUGUGAGUUAGGUGGAAUGUUUCUUUAGAAAGUUCAGUUGUUGUAGCAGAUCUGCAUGCUUACACAUCAAUGAAAGGUGGUUUGUCAUGGAAAUGCAGUUGGAUUUUGCUUGGGAAGGCAGGAAAAGAAUAGUGAGAUCUGAGUAAGAAAAGAAAAAAGAUGAACAUGAUAACGUAGCAUUCACUUGUAAUUCUUGUGAAGUAGCAAAACAAUCAAGUGCUAGCGGCUAAGUUAAGGAAAGAGUUUCUAAUUAACUUUUGCAAGACAAUUUUUGAUGAUGUUAGUAUCUGACCUUACGAUGCAUGGUUUGUGCAACUUGGUCGGUGUUGAAUGCCGGCGGGAUUAUACCAGUUGUCUUUUUUAAUAUCUUUGAUUGGGAAGAACGACGGUUUAACAUAUAUCAUCGUAUAUCAGACCAAGCCAAAGAAGGGUGUUAACACAGAGUCAUCAUAUCUUCACAAACUAACAGUAAAUUUCUACAUAUUAUCUUUAAUUAGAAGGAAAAAUAAGAUAGAGAAAUAUAGAUUAUGAGAAGAUAGAAAAGUUUUAAAAGAUUGUAAAUUUUACUGAUAUUUUUAGUAAAAAAUUAUUUUUCCUUUUAAUUUUAAAAGUUGUAAUAUGUAACAAUUUCCUGUUAUGUUUAUGAAGAUAUAGUUUUGAAUUACCUGCAUGCAGCUAUUAGAUUGGGAAAUACUUUCUCUAACCGUAUGUUUCGCAGAAUCCCACUAUUAUUGUGUAAUUCAUUCACAGACAAUUAUUUGGGUAUCUCACGGCUUGUAUGUUGGGAGGUCCAUUUCAAGUUAAUAUUUUUGGGCAUUCUAGAAACUGAAAAGAGAUGGGCAUCAUCGUUGACAUUUUUAACAAUUUCGUGAUCUACAACAUAGUAUGUCUCUCUUUCGGGUUUUGGUCGAACAUCAACGUAGCUUUGAUUGCUAGGCUACAUCUGAGCCAAUAUUCUAGAAUAACAUGUGAAGAGAAAUUCACUGGGAGUCCAACAUUUUGCUAGCUUUCUGUUGUUCUGAAGAAUAUAUUAUGUGAUAAUACAAAAAAUUUAAAGACAUACAAAUUAUGCUACACCGUAUUUCUGAUUUAUCAAGCCGAAAUGACUUAUUGCCAAGUCAAAAAAGAAGAGAAAAAAUAAAUGUAUUUUUGUCUUGUAAUAUGGAAAGGUAAAAUGAGCUUCCCAUCCUUGAAAAUUGAGGAUUCGAAACAAGAAAAAUUAUGACAGAGGAUACUUAAACUCCAAUGAGUUCGUAGCCAUUACGAAAUGGUGUUUAAGAACUAUAAAUAGAACUUGGUUGGAACUCGAAAAAUGAACACCUGAAAGAAGCAGCAUGUUGCAAUGGGGCUUUCGUAAGUUGCAUAAAGCACAAUGCGAGGAUUAACAAAAUAUGGAAGAUGCAAAAGUGUUUCAGCCUUUCUAGUCUAAACAUUCAGCAAAACCUGCUAAUGCUGUUGUGCAGUGUGCAUGCAAUCAUCCAAGAUGCAAUUUGUGAAAGAAAAGGUAAGCUAGGAAAGAACAGUUCUCACCAUUCCAAUUCUCUCAGCCUCAAUCCUCCCCCCUCAAACCGGUGAGAAAGAGCAAGUAAAAGGUUUUUUAAAUUAAACAAGGGGAAGUAAAAAAUCUCUUUGCCCCCUAGUUUAACUUUAAAUUUCAAGAAAGGGAAAAAGGUUUCCUCUCUUUCUUUCCUCAAGCAUCCCAGAACAAGGGGAAAUACUCUCCCUCCAUCCGAUCACCUACCUUCCUUUGCAUUCUCCCCUCCACUCAAAAUCAUACAAACAUAGCUUAGGCAUCGAUUCCAUCCAGUAGUAAAAAUUAUUUGUGUUUCACAUCUUUCCAUUGGCAAAUUAACUUAUGAUUUUCAACAUAACAAGGAAUUUGGCACUUGCAGCAUGCUACCAAAACACACUCAAGCAUGAAGCACGUCUGGUCACUGGAAAAACAUUUACAGUUAUACAAUUACGGGAAUCGAACUAUUAAGAAAGAGAAGUGUGAAAAUAAAUACAAUAUGGAAAAUUAAAAAACAGUAUUACUCCUCCUGAUGCAUGUUUCCGUUACAAAAUGUGACAUGAUUCUAUAAUGUACUAGUUUAGAUUCCCCACUGGCUCGCUUUAGAUCUUCUGAAAUACUCCAUUGCCUGCUGCAUUUCUCUCUCUUAAUGCAUCCUCAGCUUUCACUUUCUCAGGAACAAAAUCUGAACAAGUAAAAGCAAGGUAAGGUGAAAACAGGGAAAGGUAAACUUAAGAAUAUGAUAGCAUUGCAACAGGGAUAUGAAUUACCGGAAAGAAAGUCGUAUCUCAUCUUCUUACUAACAACAUUUGCUGAAAGGAUAAGCGGGUGACUAAUCAGUGAUUGGAAAAGAAAUAUUUAAUAGACUCAAUGAGCCUGUAAGCAGAUACACAAUCAAACACAAGGAUGAAGGAUCAAUUCAAAUGGCCAUAAAACAUAGUAGUUCAAUAAUCCACCUAGGUUACACCUUCAUACUAAAUCUUAUUCUACAAAGUGGUUUAGACCUGACUCAAUACUACAAAACCAACUUGCAAGAUAAUUGCAGUAUUCCCUAUUUGAUGUGAUGAAAUCAUAUUAUAUUUCCUUUAUUUAAUAUAAUCAAAUCAUAUCUUUAAGACUACCUAUCAAAGUGGAGCAUAUGUAUCAUGGGUCAAGCUUGUCACAAAUGUCAUCAACAUAAGACUCCUUGAGAGACUUAUUGAACAUGUUAGCCAAUCGGUUGCUAGAGCUAACAAAGUCAAUAAUGACAAAGAUUCACGCAUGAAGAUGACAUGUAGGGGAGCUAGUGGCACAUGGUGGCAUUUGGCUGAGUGGAAUAACAUAGUGGUUGCCAAAGAAGCAUGUCUUGGUUCGCAAGGUAGAGUUCAAAGAACACAAUGGCUGUCGAAGAGCAAAAAAUGCUCGAAGGAUGCAGUGGUUUUUAGAGAGCAAAAAAUGCCCAGAGAGAGCAAUGAAUGUCACAUAACGAAAAUGGAUAAAAGGUAUGACGCUGCGAAAGAGAAAAAAAUCUCAAAGGGAAAGCAACUACUAGAGAGAAAGUAUGCUCAAAAAACAAAAGUGCUUAGAGGACGUGGCAAUUGUCAAGAAGAAAAAAUUAUCAGAGAGUGCCACAAUUACCAAAGAGAAAAAAUGCUCGAAGGGCCUAAGAGCUACUAAAGAGCAAAAAAUGCUUGGAGAGUGAGACGCCUCUCAUAAAGCAAAAGUGCUCGACAAGUGCAGUGACAGCCAGAGAGCAAAAAUGUUUGGAAGGUGCAUCUGCAAAGAGCAUAAAAUGUUGCAGCAGAGUGAGUAAUGUUUACUUAGGAGAAAAAGUCAUGGUGACAAAGUCAAGGCCAAUACAUAUAAGGAAAAAGUCAUGACCUAACAAGAGAUCAGUAACAAAACAGGUCACUGAAGAUGGUACAACUUUGAUACUGUUGAAGAUCCCGCAUGAACUAAAGAUAUGGUUAAAUUAUAGUAUAUAAGAGGGUGUAAGCCUCACCUUGCAAGUAAAUUUUGUAACAUUGAGUUAGGUUUAUACCCACUUUCUAAAAUGGCAUUAGAAUCUAUACUAGCAAGUUUGUUGGACCUAAUGUCAUCUACUAUCGGAUCACCUAUAAACAUCGAGUCAUAUGCUCGAGAUAUCCAGUUCUCAUCAUGAAAAGGUGUGUUGAAGAUUCCACAAUUACUUCAAAGAAGCUUAAUGGAAAAAAUUAUUUGUCUUGGUUUGCCCUGGUUUAACUGUGGUUUAUUGGUCAAGGUUUUCUUGACCACUAAGAUGGUAAUGCAAUACCAUCAGAAAAAGUUAAAUAGUGGAAAAAGAUGGAUUUUCAGUUGCCUUGUUGUGGCAAUCUAUGUAAUCCAAUAUAUUGGGAAUUCUUGGAAGCAUAUAUUCCAUACUUCUAUCUCAAGUUGGUAUCAGAUCGAGUUUAUCUUGCUCAAUUUGUCACUGUCUAGUAAGUACAUUGUUGGGCACCAUUGUCUUUUCUCUCCAAUGAGCACCUAGUUGUGUUCAUCUCAUCAAGCAAUGAAAGACCCUACCAUCAUCAUCGCCAUUUGUGCCUGACACAACAGAUUUUUCCUAAGUGCACCAGAUUUAGAGAGCCUCUUCAAGUGACAGAGAACCUCACUAAUCACUAAGGCAAAUUCCUCCACAGAUCGCCACAACCGGCAUCUUUGCAUAGUCAACCUAGGAACAUGUAAUCCAUUCACUGCCUUCUAGUCUCUAUCUUGGUCAGCAUCGAUUAAACUAUGGCUUCUUUGCUAAGGUUUUAAUGACCACUUGGAAGAAGGUGGUAGUACAAUAUCAUCAAACAAAGUUGAACAGGAAGAGAUGGAUUUUCAGCUUUGUGCCAUGUUGUGGCAAUCUAUGAAACCCAAUAUAUUAGGAACUCUUUUAAGCAUGUUUUCCCUACUUCUAUUCUAUCUCAAGUGGUACCAUCUUACACAAUGGUUUAGGCUUAACUCAACCGUACAAAACUGACUUAUAAGUUGGGAUUACCCCCACUUACAUGUUGUAUUUUGACACCAUCUCUAGGGUUUUUCCUAGUACUUACGAUGGUCAUUUUUUAAAAUUUUGAAUGCCAAUCAAUUACCAAUGGUUUCACAAUAUUCACACACUCCUUGUUUUUGCUCUUACUAAAGAGAUCAAUGUUAAUGAAACCAAAGGUCUGUAGCAGAUUAAUAUUGUUUCCUAAUCAAUGGGUGAGAUUAGAGACAUUCCUCUUGACUCUUGCUCUUUUUUCCUUUCUGGGUACAUUUUUCCUUCAAUAUUGCACAGGGAAAGAGAAGGUAGUCUUUGCAAAAGCUUUGAGAGACAGUAAUUUUAAAAACGAUCAAUAGCAUGCAUUUGAAAAACAUGUACCAUUCCUUUUGCAAUUGCUCAGCAUCGAGGAAGUUGAACAAUUUUACCUUAUCUCUGCACCAUUAAGGCAUAAUCUCAUAUUAGUUUACUUUUUAUUAUACAUUAUUAGAAUAUAGAUUUCCACAACCAAGUGACUGUGCAGAACCUGUUGCAGUUAUUAAAUGUAGUUUACUGCCGUUACAAGUUGGAGGUGUGCAGAAUCUUGCAAGGUUUGAUGAUGACCUUCAUAACUGAAUGAGCUGAUAGCUAUAUAGAAGUGAACAGAAUAAAUUAUUCAAAUAGAGAGGUUGUGCUAAGCUACAUAUUAAUUACCUAGUUCACAAAUAAAACUCUUCAGUGUGGAUAUGGGCGCGUGGUAUGCUACUUGGUAAAUAUAUGGUACAUGGGGGUAUAUUUGGUUUAUAUAUUAUUUAAAUAAUAUGUUUGCUAAUAACAUUUAGUACCUAAUGAUAUGAUUCUUUAGAGAAAUUUUAAAAAGUUGCAUAAUAUAUUUUUGUCUAUUUCCCCUCCCAAAAAAUAAUUCUCUGAUUAUAUAUUUUUAACUUCUUUCCUUAUAAACCCCUCUUGAGGCCUCUUCCUGAUUCAAAAGCAUCUGUUUGACAAUUCUAUUCCACCUUGAUCAUCAUCUUCUUCCAACUUGCAUUGUCCUAAUUGAGUCCCCCUUACAUUGUUUUCUUCCAAAAGUGACUUUUCCUCUUCCCAUCUUCCAUCAUCUCUUACUGAUCUUCAUUGACCACGUGUCUAUCUGCACUCAAACUCCUCUUGAUCCAUUUCAAACAAAGGUACGCAACUUCAACUCCCAAAACAUCAAUGAUUGCAUACUAAUGCCAAACACAUUGUGAAUCGGUACACAAGACCAUCCAUUUUUCCAUUUGUUAAGUGAUUUUCUAUUGAUAGCACAGAUCUAAAUGUUCCUUAAUUCACACUACAUGGAAAGAAUUCAAUAUUUACUAUAAUGAAUUUGAUGUGGGAUAGCUACUAGAGUCUAGACUGAGAACUUCACUGAAUCAGAUUGAAAUCAGUAUGAUACUCCCUAUCUUAAGACUAAACCCUUUCAAAAACUUACCACCCUCACCUCAAAAGUGUAACCAACAAAAUGAUCAGGAAUUCUACUCAAGCAGUUCAUCUUCUAAGUAUAUUUUAAAAAAAUGUCAAACUAUAAGUAUAAGCCUAAAACUAAAAAAGCCUGCAAAUUUUCAAUCAAUAUAUAGAAAUAUAUCCUUCAAUUCCCAAAACAUGGAUAUUAGCAUCAAUGUCGGAAAAGCAAUCAGCUAGAAAAUGUUAUUGGACCAUCUAUCUAGAGUACCUCAGACUCACCCUUGAUAGGCUAUUCAACCAAGAAUCAGACAACCUCUAGCCAUAAGAAAACAACCAUCUAGCACCUAAUAUGGACCGAGUCACUCAUAGACCAACCAAGUUUAGACCAACCAAACAUUAUAACUGUCUCAUUCUAUCACAUUGCCGCUUUAGGGCUCAAACAGCCAGUGGGUCAUAGGCCAAUUACAACCAGAUUAUAGAUUCCAUGGCCUCUUCACAAGCAAGGAAGGCACCAUGCACGCCAUCCCUAAAAAAGAAGGUAACGGUCAAAGAACACACUUGUUGAAUAGAUAGUGGAGGCUCAGUUGGGUUUACUGAGCUCAUGUCUAGAUUUAGGACUCCCCAACAAGUGCAUUCGCCUAUUCUAAACAGUUAUAGGGUGUGUUAGCUUUCACAAUUACUUCCGGAGAAGGUGAACCUGUGUGACAGUAUGAUUUCCAUUCAAAGUGCAGUUGAAACUAGGAAUCCAUAAACCAAAACACACACAUACUUCAUUACAGCAAACACUAUACUACAGUAAAUUUUCGUUGAACUCACAUAUCUCAAUCAUAAAACCUUACCCACGUGCUUGUAACUCAGGCAUUUCUUGCGGUCCUGAACACAACAAGCAUAUGAAUCCUGCGUAAAUUGCUCAAGGAACUUCUCCUGCAAGAAAAACGAAACCAAUAAAAAAAAGACACAUAAAAACAUAAACAGAACAAAAAAACGCAAGGAAUAAAAAAAUUACCACAGCUUUGUUGAUGGUUAACACGGCUUCCUGCGAAACACGCAUGUCAGGACCUUCGCCCUUGAUCAAGGUCCUGAUACGAUUCAUUGGAAACACGUUGGUUUUCACAUCUUCACCACUUCCUUCUGCGCCCUUUUCCUGUGGCUGCUUUGAAUUGCCGUUGCUGAGCUUGGGCCUCUUAUUCUUCUUCUUUUGGUUCUCCUCUUUCGCGAUGUCUCGAUUCUUCUUCUUCGUUUUACAUUGGGUUGUGGAGAUUUCUCCUUUCUUGGCUUUGGGAGAUUUGGGAGUGUUGGAGGACGCCAUUGUAUUACAGAGGGGUUUCAGCCUCACUCAGAAGCGCGUCUCCAAGAAGAAGGGUGCAAUUCGAAUUUCUUUGGAAGUCCUUUUAGUAAAAUCGAUUAUUGGUGUUGAAGUGAAGAAAAAUUCCUUUUGAGACUAACUUUUCUCUUACAAUACAACUUUUUCAAGAUGCAUAACAUAUAAAAACACAAUACAAUAUAAAAUAUCUGCGUGAUCAAUUUUAAUUUUAUUUAAUAUUUAAUAUAGAUUAUAUAACAUGGCAACUGCAUGAAUAUAAGAUAUUAUAGUUAUAAUUUUAUGUAUAAUUUAAUAUUCAUCAGAUAACAAAAUAAAUGAGGAUAUACUCUUGAUUUGUUAGAAGUAUAUAUGCUCUAUUUACCAGCUGCAUAUAUUUUUUUAACUUCACACCUUUUCCAUAUUAUGAACAAAUUGUAAUUUUACUUAAAUUAUACAAAAAUAUAUCAUACAAAUAUAUCUUCCUUAAAAAAAUUAAAAUAUACAUAAUAUUUUUAAAUAAUUAUUACCAUUCAAAUAGUUUUUACAUAAUUAUUACCUUUCAAACUAUCAUCAGAACAAUUAUUAUUAUUAUUAUUAUUAUUAUUAUAAUAUUAAACAAUCAAAAAGCACUCUAUGAGAUUAAGGUUCUAUUUGCUUCUAUGGAUGUACUGUUUACAAGGAAAGAAGUGAGAGAAUAUCAGUUGUUUGGAUUUAAGAUUUUAGAGGGAAGAGCACGAAAGGAUAUACUUGUAAAUAGAGUGUCCCCUCAAAAUGAAAAGAUGUAGAGGUCACAUCAGCAUGUGGUAUUUCUAAAUUUACCCUCUGUUUUUAAUAUUAAAAAAUAAUAUUUCUUUUAUUUAUAUACGAUGUGAUUUAUUUUCUAAUUUUAUAGUAUAUAUUUAAUAUUUUAAGAAAUUAUUUGAAGUUUUCUUUUUAUUUAAUUUGUUGUUGUGUUUAUAUUAAUAUAUUUUUUAUAAUUAUUAUGUUUUUGAGUUAGUAUUUUUUUUAUAAUAGUUUUUAUGAAAUUAUUUUCUAUUAUUAAUUACGUAUUUUUUUCUAGUAUUUUUAUUUUAUUUUUCAUUACUAUAGGGUUUUUAAUAAUAAAAAAAUAUUAUUUUUUUAUAUGUAAGAUUUGAUUUAUUUUCUAAUUUAUUUUCUAAUUUUAUAAUGCAUGUUUAAUAUUUAGAAAUUACUUGAAGUUUUGUUUUUAUUUAAUUUGUUGAAUAAAUGUUUUUCUAAUUAUAACUUUUAAAUUAUAUCUAUUUAUAUUUAAUAUAUAUUUAUUUUCUAAUUUUAAUUUUUAAAUCUACGAAAUAUGUGAAAGUUGUUUAUUUUUAAACAAAAAUAACUCAUUUCAUUAUUACAAUUUUUUAAUAAGCAAGGAUAAAUUUGUAACGUAACAUUUAAAAAUUUAAAAAAAAAAACUAAAAUUCUCUCACAACCAUCACAUCACUCACAAAUUCUCAUCAAUUUUUCUCACAUAUUCACCCUAACAUACCUCAAUCCAAACGCUCUCACUUUCCUCUCACAUCUUCACACAUCCAUUCCCUCAAAUCCUCACACAUCCUCUCCCCAAUCCAAACACACCCUAAAAGAUCAUCAGAUCAACAAUGUAUAUCCAAGAUCAAAUGAUCAUCAUAAUAAUUACUAUCUAAAACAAAAUGGCCAUUGGAAAAAAGUUAUACAUAAUCACUAUAUGAGAUUAAAUAAUCAUUGAAUUAAAGCUAACAAAAAUUCUAUUUGAGAUCAAACGAUCAUCGAAUCCAAAUUAUGCAUAAUCGUUAUCUGAGAUGAAAUGAUCAUCAGAUCAAAUUUAUACAUAAUCAUUAUUCGAUAUCAAACGAUCAUGGUAACAAAGCUUUGAAAAUAAGUAACCAUCUAUUAUAAAAUAAAAUAAAAAUAAAAAACUACUGAGAUGAACAAAAGAGAAAAAUGAAGUCAAGGAUAUGAAAAGGAAUAUUUCUUUUAUUUUCUUUUUCUUACUUAAAUCAAAGAAGGUAAUCUGGAUAUAUACAAGCAAUACAUUCAUUUUAGGUCUAACUAAAGAGUCGGAAUGUAAAACAAAUAGUCAAUAAAGGCUAGAAUAAGAAAAGACAUAAUAAAGGCUAGACAUAUGUACAAAGAGAAACAACAAAGAAUUAAAAAAGACAAAAUUAAUAUUAGCUUCCUUUUAGAAGCCUAGUAACCAUAUCCUUUGUUACCAUCAUAACUUGACAGGUCAUUUGAAAAUAAACGACCAAUCUUAAAGUAAUUCAAAUCAGAAAAAAAAAAUAUCAUCAAAUCAAAAUAAUCCGAUGAACUCUUGCAAAACAUUAAAACUCGUUAAUCCAUCAAAUUUUUCCAUCUACACCUCAUUUGUGGAUUUCGAUCUUAAGGGACUUAUGUACCUAUCCUAUCCAAGAUAUAUGGAGAUACACAAUAAUAUAAAAUUCAAUCAAAUCGAGAGCAACCCAAUCAAAUCAGAUGCAAUGUAUCUUACUAAGUCAUUGUCACAAUAUAAAAGAGAUGGUUGCUUAAAAGGAACUUUGUCAUCUUGAAGAAGAUAAGUUAAACAUUGAAUUUCACAUGUAACAACGGUCAUUGCUUUGAUUCAGUUUCACAAAAACUCUUUGAUAUUGUUCCUUGCUUCUUUGAUUUCCAGGAUACGAGGGAAUUCCCAAGAUACACACUAAAAUCAAUCAUUGAUUGUCUUGAAUCACUACAGGUGUUGGGUUUAAUAGUGUCAAAGUUCAAGAGGGGGGGUGAAUUGACCUUUCAAAAGCUUCUCGCAGAAACAGUGUUUAACACAGUUUCCAAAAAAUAAAUUGAUUUAAAUGGAAAUGAAAAGAUUUAUUUUGACACUGUUUGUGUGUUUGAAAAACUUUUAUACAGCAAGGUUAAUCACGAGAUUAUGCAGAUGGAUUUUUCAGAUGCACACACACUGAUAUAAGAACGAAAAAUAGUGAAUCACCAAAACAACAACCUUCAAUUUCAAGCAAGUGAUUAAGGUUCAAUUAAUGGCUUGACAGUUUAUUGAGUGAUUUAUUACAAUCAACCUGUUCUAAUGGCUUUUAAGUGUUCUUAUUGAAAUCAACCAGUUUUCCAUAAAUUAAGAACAAUAUGAACCGUGCCCAGAAAGAACAUAUUUAUUUUUAAUUGAACAUAUUUAUUUUUUUGCUGUUUUAUCAAUUAUGCAGAAACUUAAUUGCAGAGAUUGAGAGAGAAUGAACACAAGGCAUCACUCAACUGAGCUACAUCCAGUCUUCACCUAAACCAAGGUGAAAUUCACUAAAUCACAAUACAAACAAACACAAUUCCCACUGUUCUUGAAACCUACAAGAACUUAGGUACUCUUGCUGAAAAAACAUAUUUCAGCUCACACACUCUUCAAGAAAACCUAUCAAGAAGAGUGUUCAACCAAACUAUUACAAGAAAUGAAAAGUGAAACGACUACACCUGAUUGAGGAUACAAAGAUCUGCCUUAAACCAGUAGGCAAGAUUGCUAGAACAGUAGCAGCACCUCACACCAAGCUUUUGGAACCAAACCAAGAACAAGCACUUUGUGAUUUUCGAAAUCUUUGAAGAACAAAUGCUAAUACUUUGUAAACUCUUAAUUCUCUGCUGUAAAACNNNNNNNNNNNNNNNNNNNNNNNNNNNNNNNNNNNNNNNNNNNNNNNNNNNNNNNNNNNNNNNNNNNNNNNNNNNNNNNNNNNNNNNNNNNNNNNNNNNNNNNNNNNNNNNNNNNNNNNNNNNNNNNNNNNNNNNNNNNNNNNNNNNNNNNNNNNNNNNNNNNNNNNNNNNNNNNNNNNNNNNNNNNNNNNNNNNNNNNNNNNNNNNNNNNNNNNNNNNNNNNNNNNNNNNNNNNNNNNNNNNNNNNNNNNNNNNNNNNNNNNNNNNNNNNNNNNNNNNNNNNNNNNNNNNNNNNNNNNNNNNNNNNNNNNNNNNNNNNNNNNNNNNNNNNNNNNNNNNNNNNNNNNNNNNNNNNNNNNNNNNNNNNNNNNNNNNNNNNNNNNNNNNNNNNNNNNNNNNNNNNNNNNNNNNNNNNNNNNNNNNNNNNNNNNNNNNNNNNNNNNNNNNNNNNNNNNNNNNNNNNNNNNNNNNNNNNNNNNNNNNNNNNNNNNNNNNNNNNNNNNNNNNNNNNNNNNNNNNNNNNNNNNNNNNNNNNNNNNNNNNNNNNNNNCUCAGCAAAAAAUUAUUUCACAUUAACAGGGAUAACUAUUCAUCUUAACUUAAAGCAAAGUAAAAUACACAUGAAAAGCACAUAUAAGUCUUCAUCAAACACAUGUCUUGAAGGGGCAGCAACCAUCUUCAACAAUCUCCCCCUGUUUGAUGGAGACAAAUCCCCAUAGCUCUUGUUGCUUUAAGAACCUGCACUGCACCACAUACUAAACCAGAAAAAACAGAAACAUUGCAUAGCAUGAGAAAUGGUUUUAAGGUGCAGAAUUAACUCCCUGUUUCAACUAGCUUCACCUAGCAUGGUGAGCUAUUUUUCUCCCCCUUUGGAUUCAUCAAACAACAUGUAAUCAUAGGGAAAAAAAACCAAAAGCAUAACCAUAAUAGUCCAAAAGAUAAAGACAACUUGUUCAUCAUUACAGAGAUUUGAAAACUGAUAAAGAAAGCAUAAAAAACAGAAGACUACUGAUCCUUGUAGUAAAGCUCUGCAAGUUGUGCCUGAACCCCUUCAAUCUGAUCAUCAAGGUGUUGAAACCUUGCUUAAGUAGUUUCAAAGUAUGCCCUUUGUUCUGUAGUCAUUACAUCAAGGCGAUACAACACUUGCCUUUCAAACAUAGACAUUGGUUCUCCUCGGUAUUCUGGAGAUUGAUAGGCAACUAUGGCAUUUGUAGCAACUUCCUCAUGCACAGAUUGGGUAGCAGGUGAGUCAUCCUCCAUGGGGACAGCUUCAUGCUCAUCCUCACUGUUGAGGUUUGAUGCUUCAUGUUCUGCUUGAGGGUCCUUCCCUUUGAGAACCACCCACUUGUCCUNNNNNNNNNNNNNNNNNNNNNNNNNNNNNNNNNNNNNNNNNNNNNNNNNNNNNNNNNNNNNNNNNNNNNNNNNNNNNNNNNNNNNNNNNNNNNNNNNNNNCUUGAUAGGGUCGUUUCUCUCAUUUGUAACAUCAACACCAAAGUAAUCAAUCAAUUUGGAAAUAAGUAUAGCAUAGGGAAAGCGGUAAUCAGCCAACCUUUUCGAUUUCAUCAUGUGUUCAUUGAUAAUGAAAACCCAAUUUACCUUAAUCUUGUUCAUGAUGCAAUAUAGAAGGAUUAAAUCCUCUUCAUGUAAAACAACAUGGUUUGUACCUAUUGGGAUAAGUUGUCAUGCUAUGAUGUAGGCAACAAGGCAUGGAGUGAGGUUCAAAUGCCCUGCAUGGAACCUGCUUAUACUCUCUGUAGGAUUCCUCAUACAACUUUUAUAAUAUUGUAGCUUGUUGAAUUCUUGAAUUCCACUGGUGUUUCCCUUUCCUACUUUUAGUCCAGCAUACUUUAUUCCAGCCAUAGAAUUCCACACCUCACUUGUGAUCUUCAUCUUGAUCCCUUUCACAUAAGAGAUGACAUUCUUUCCAUCCAAUGUGAGGUUAGUGUAAAACACCUUAACCAAGUUAGGAUAUACCUUACCCGUUAAUUCCAGCAGCUUUUUCAGUUUCUGGUGCUUCAACACAGCCCUUGUUUCUGCCAGUUUUUCAGAUUUCAACCAAUUGAAAUCCAGCACUUUGGGUAUGUUAAUCUGUUUUCUGCUUGUCUAGUGAAUGUAGGCAUUGAUGCCUUCUUCAUUUCCAGCGAACCAACCUUCUAGCACGCCUUGAAAGGCGGUUUGCUUGCCCUUAUUUUUCUGUUUUUGUCUUGAAGAAGAAGCCAUGGUUGAACCAUAAUUUUUCUCUUAUUUCAAAUGGUGAGAUCAGAGAAUAGGUAGCCAAUGUGGGUAGUAGAUAUUCACACAGAUUUAUAGUAAAAUGAAUGGGUUGAUACGGAAGUUAUGAGUGGAUAUGCAUGAAGAUUUUAUGCUCUGAAUUUAUGCAGAGAAUCUUUGAAAAUAUGCAGCAAAUAUUUAAGGUCACAAUGCACACACUCAUACCUUUAUUGAGCACCCAAACCAUCAAAUCGGUUACAUAACCAUGACCAAAACCGUCAAAGGUACAGAGGUUAAUGCCCACUAAGUCAGUCAAGCAGUCAAAGAUCAAAAUUUCUCUUUCCUAGUCAUCAAUGCAUAUCAGUGCAGAAAAUAAACACAUUCAAUUGCGAAUAAACAGAUUUAAUUUUUCACUGCUAGGUACAAUUGACAUUUGUAAUACCCAAUUCAUUAAGCAGAAAAUUAAACCUAUCUUUAGCCGAUGGUUUUGUGAACAGAUCAGCAAGUUGUAAAUCAAUACCAAUGAACUUAAUCUCACAUGUUCCAUUAGAUAUGUGUUCCCUUAGAAAAUGAUGCCUAAUUUCAAUGUGUUUGGUUCUUGAAUGCAUGACAGAAUUUUUGGUUAAGUUGAUUGCACUUGUAUUAUCACACAGCAGAGGUAUAUGGUUAAGUACGAUACCAAAAUCAUUCAAUUGUUGUUUAGCCAUAUGGUUUGAGCACAUCAACUCCCUGUUGCAAUGUAUUCUGCUUCAGCAGUGGAUAGAGCUACAUAAGCCUGCUUUUUUCAUUGCCAUGAGAUCAAGCUUGAUCCAAGCAAAUGACAGGUUCCACUUGUGCUCUUCCUAUCAAUUUUGCAACCUGCAAAAUCUGAAUCAGAAUAUCCAGUUAAGCUUAAUGAAAUGUUACUUGGAUACCACAAGCCAACUUCUUUAGAUUCUUGUAAAUACUUCAAAAUUCUUUUGGUAGCAUUGUAGUGUGAUUCUUUAGGAGCAGAUUGAAAUCUUGCACACAUGCACACUGCAAACAUUAUGUCUGGCCUGCUGGCAGUGAGAUACAGUAGUGAUCCUAUGAGUCCUCUGUAUUUGGUUUCAUCAACAGAAAUUCCAGCUUCAUCAUGAUCCAAAUGACAGCUUGUUGAGAAGGGUGUGCUGAUUGGUUUACACUUGUCCAUUUCAAAUUUCUUCAGCAGAUCCUUACAAUACUUAGCUUGACUUAAGAAAAUGCCAUUCUUGAGUUGUUUGACCUGCAAGCCUAGAAAAUAGUUCAACUCACCCAUCAUUGACAUUUCAAAUUCACUCUUCAUGACUUUCACGAAAGCUUCACACAAUUCUCCAUUGUUUGAUCCAAAAAUGAUGUCAUCCACAUAUACGUGUACUAGGAUUGUGUCAUCUCCUUUCUUCUUAAUGAACAAGGUCUUAUCUGAUGUGCCUCUGUCAUAGCCUUGAGAGAUGAGAAAAUCACUUAGCUUCUCAUACCAUUGCCUAGGAGCUUGCUUGAGUCCAUAAAGAGCCUUUUUGAGUUUGAACACGUAUUUUGGAUGCUGAUGGUCUUCAAAACCUGGUGGUUGUGAAACAAAUACCUCUUCAUUUAUAUAACCAUUCAAGAAGGCACUCUUCACAUCCAUUUGAAAUAGCUUAAACCCUUUGAUGCAAGAGAAGGCAAGCAGCAAUCUAACAGCUUCUAACUGAGCCACUGGUGCAUAGGUCUCGUCAUAGUCUAUCCCUUCUUCUUGAUUGUACCCUUUAGCUACUAGCCUAGCCUUAUUUCUGGUAAUCACCCCGUGCUCAUCCAUUUUGUUUCUGAAUACCCAUUUUGUCCCAAUUAUAUUCAUCUCAGGUAUUCUAGGAACAAGAGUCCAUACCUCAUUAAGAGCAAAUUGAUUCAGUUCCUCUUGCAUGGCUAAAAUCCAGUUGUUGUCCUUGAGAGCUUCAUUCAGAUUCUUUGGUUCAACUUGAGAUACAAAGGUCAUUGCUUCACAGAAAUUGUUCAAAGAUUUUCUAGUUGACACUCCUUUCUCAAUGUUCCCAAUGACAUUAUCANNNNNNNNNNNNNNNNNNNNNNNNNNNNNNNNNNNNNNNNNNNNNNNNNNNNNNNNNNNNNNNNNNNNNNNNNNNNNNNNNNNNNNNNNNNNNNNNNNNNNNNNNNNNNNNNNNNNNNNNNNNNNNNNNNNNNNNNNNNNNNNNNNNNNNNNNNNNNNNNNNNNNNNNNNNNNNNNNNNNNNNNNNNNNNNNNNNNNNNNNNNNNNNNNNNNNNNNNNNNNNNNNNNNNNNNNNNNNNNNNNNNNNNNNNNNNNNNNNNNNNNNNNNNNNNNNNNNNNNNNNNNNNNNNNNNNNNNNNNNNNNNNNNNNNNNNNNNNNNNNNNNNNNNNNNNNNNNNNNNNNNNNNNNNNNNNNNNNNNNNNNNNNNNNNNNNNNNNNNNNNNNNNNNNNNNNNNNNNNNNNNNNNNNNNNNNNNNNNNNNNNNNNNNNNNNNNNNNNNNNNNNNNNNNNNNNNNNNNNNNNNNNNNNNNNNNNNNNNNNNNNNNNNNNNNNNNNNNNNNNNNNNNNNNNNNNNNNNNNNNNNNNNNNNNNNNNNNNNNNNNNNNNNNNNNNNNNNNNNNNNNNNNNNNNNNNNNNNNNNNNNNNNNNNNNNNNNNNNNNNNNNNNNNNNNNNNNNNNNNNNNNNNNNNNNNNNNNNNNNNNNNNNNNNNNNNNNNNNNNNNNNNNNNNNNNNNNNNNNNNNNNNNNNNNNNNNNNNNNNNNNNNNNNNNNNNNNNNNNNNNNNNNNNNNNNNNNNNNNNNNNNNNNNNNNNNNNNNNNNNNNNNNNNNNNNNNNNNNNNNNNNNNNNNNNNNNNNNNNNNNNNNNNNNNNNNNNNNNNNNNNNNNNNNNNNNNNNNNNNNNNNNNNNNNNNNNNNNNNNNNNNNNNNNNNNNNNNNNNNNNNNNNNNNNNNNNNNNNNNNNNNNNNNNNNNNNNNNNNNNNNNNNNNNNNNNNNNNNNNNNNNNNNNNNNNNNNNNNNNNNNNNNNNNNNNNNNNNNNNNNNNNNNNNNNNNNNNNNNNNNNNNNNNNNNNNNNNNNNNNNNNNNNNNNNNNNNNNNNNNNNNNNNNNNNNNNNNNNNNNNNNNNNNNNNNNNNNNNNNNNNNNNNNNNNNNNNNNNNNNNNNNNNNNNNNNNNNNNNNNNNNNNNNNNNNNNNNNNNNNNNNNNNNNNNNNNNNNNNNNNNNNNNNNNNNNNNNNNNNNNNNNNNNNNNNNNNNNNNNNNNNNNNNNNNNNNNNNNNNNNNNNNNNNNNNNNNNNNNNNNNNNNNNNNNNNNNNNNNNNNNNNNNNNNNNNNNNNNNNNNNNNNNNNNNNNNNNNNNNNNUUAUCACCAUAGGUUACAUGUCCUUCUGCUUUGAGCUUCAAGCUAGUAAAUUUUGUAAGAUCUCCAGUCAUAUGCCUGGAGCAACCACUAUCCAAGUACCAUUGAUUCUUCUUAUUGUUCAUCUGCAAAACAGAGUAAAAAUGAUACAAAUGGUACCCUUUUUAGUAUAGGGUACAACACAAAUUAAAACCUUCUCUUUGGUAGCCAUUUUGCUAAGUUCUUAGGAACAAGAUGCUUUCUAGCAAUGCAAGACCUAGAUGUAUGACCAGAUUUCAUGCAGUAAAAAUAGGUUACAUGAGAUGCCUUUUUGCCACUGUUAAAAGCUGAAAAACUUGAUUUUGCUGGAACAAAAAAACUUGAAAGCUUUUUGACAUUGGUUACAUUUCCAGGGGUAUAACCAAGACCAUUCUUAUUGAAAACAGUAUUCUGUGAGCCAAGGAGAGACUCAAGGUUUUCUCUUCCCUUGGUGAAAUAGGAAAGGGUUUUCAGCAAAUACUCCACUUGUUUUUCUAAUUUUUUGCAGUUUUCACAGGUUUUAAUAAAGGCAUGCAAGCAUGUUAGUUCAAGGUUUACCAAAUCUGUUUUGGCUUUAUGCAAUUCUUCCUUAAGUGUUUUUACUUUAGGUGCAAGCACAUUAUUUACCUUUUGCAGCUUAUUGCAUAUUACAGCUAGCCUAUUUGCUUCAUCAUGUGUUUCCUUGAAAGCAGCAAGCAAACGAUCAUAGUUAUCAGAAUCCACAGAAAAAUCACUUACUGAAUCAGAGAUUGACUCCUCAUCCUUCAUCAUCAAGCACAGAUUGUUUUCUUCAUUCUCAGUUGAAGAGCUGCUAGUUGAAGAUACUUCAUUUUCUUCCCAUGAGAUGUAAGCUCUUCUUCCCUUGUUCCUUUCAAUUCUCUUGCUGGCAUAUUUGUCCUUUGCUUGAUUAUCUGGACAAUCUGUUUUGAUGUGCCCUAUUUUGCCACAGCCAAAGCAAGUAUAUUUAGAGGAAUUUGAAUCAUUGGGUUUAGGAUACCUUCUUUUCUGCUGGUUCCUAUCUCUGCUUUUCUUCCUCAGGAAUUUGCUUAAUCUUUUUGUAAGAAGACUGAUUGUGUCAUCAUCUUCAACAUCUUCUUUUUCCUCCUUGAUCUCACUCUGUUCAGUUGCUUUCAGUGCAAGACCUUUGGGUUUUCUCUCUGUUGUUUCCUGCUCUUUGAGUCUCUUGAGCUCUAGCUCAUGCUCCAUUAGCUUUCCAAAUAGUGCAGCAUUUCCCAGCUUUGACAGAUCACGGCUUUCAGAUAUGGCAGUCACCUUUGGUUGCCAGCUUCUGUCGAGGCACUUCAAUAUCUUUAUGUUGAGUUCCUCUCUGUCAAAUUCUUUUCCCAAACCAGUGAGGUGAUUCACAAUAUGAGUGAACCUUUUCUGUACAUCAGCAAUGCUCUCCUCGGGUUGCAUUCUAAACAGUUCAUAUUCUUGGAUGAGAGAAUGUUUUCAUGACCUCUUCACAUCUUCAGUACCCUCAUGAGUGACUUCUAAGACUUCCCACAUCUCCUUAGCUGACUUACAUUGGGAUAUCCUGAAGAACUCAUCCAUUGUUAAUGCAGAGGUUAUGAUGUUCUUGGCCACAAGAUCNNNNNNNNNNNNNNNNNNNNNNNNNNNNNNNNNNNNNNNNNNNNNNNNNNNNNNNNNNNNNNNNNNNNNNNNNNNNNNNNNNNNNNNNNNNNNNNNNNNNUUUCAUUUUAUAGAAAACAAACUUAUAACAGAAUUUGAAAAACAGUAAAAGCUGUUAUAAAAUGAACAGAUUGAAAAUACAAUGAACAGAUUUAUUUUCAAAAAGCAGUUAGAGAAUCUGUUAAGAGAGGAGACUUAGUCAACCAUUCUGGUGCUGAGAUAAAACUGAAAACGUUUAAGCUAGACAUGGCACCAGAGACAAAAGGAAUCAAUUCAUUUACAGAUGAAUAGAUUUAUUUUUUCAAAACGAAAAGAGAAACAGUUUAACUAUUUAAAACUCAGUCGUUUUGAAAGGUGGAAGACUUAGUCAAAAUACAUGAUGCACAAAAUCUAAUUUUCACAAGACUUAGCCAAGGCAUCAGAUUAAAAAAGAAUCUGUUUAUUUAGAAAAGAACAGAUUUAUUUUUAUGCAGUAAACGUGUUUUUUGUAAAACAUGUGAAAAACGGUUUAAGAAACCUUAUGCUUGUUCUUAUCACAUGGCCAGUGGUUAUGAGGUGAGUUACUCAGCAAAAAGUCCACUCUUAAACAACCUCUAAGCACUACCUAAGACACACUUAAAGCAAAGUAAAAUGCACAUGAAAAGCACAUAUAAGUCUUCAUCAAACACGUGUCUUGAAGGGGCAGCAACCAUCUUCAACAACAGGUACUCCAAUCACUAUUACAAAAGGCUUUUAAAUGAGCAGAAAUGUUGGAAGAGAAAAAUAAACAAGACCCGGAGCUCCUUUAAUAUAUUUGAGAAUUCUAAUUGUUGCAUUAUAGUGAGCAAUUGCAGGUUUAGCAAGAAAUUGAGAAAUUUGUUGCACAUAAAAGGUUAUGUCAGGUCGAGUAUAAGUGAGAUACAUAAGUAUUCUAAUCAAUCUUUUAUAGGCUUGAACAUUUGCAUGAUUAUCAAUUGGAGUAAGUGCAAGUUUGCAAGCUAAAGGACCUACAUUUGUUAACAAUUUCAAUGCAUAUUUCAUUGGAUUCAUCACUAUCCCUUUCUUACUUCUUACUAUUUCAAGACCAAGAAAAUAUCUUAAAUCCCCAAGAUCCUUAAUCUUAAAUGUCUGAUUUAAGGCUUGUUUGAUUUGCUCAAUCUCCUUUUUAUCAUUUCCUACCAAUAUUAUAUCAUUCACAUACAUCAACAAUGUUGUAAAAGAUCCUUCAGAAGAAUUAAUUAACAAGGAAUUAUCAUUCAUAGAUUAAAUAUAUCCCACAAAAAGCGAAAAGGAUGACAGUUUGGCAAACCACUCCUUGUUGGCUUGCGUAAUUCCAUAUAAAGCCUUUUUUAAUUAACAAACUUGUCCUGAUUGAAUAGAAGUCAAUCCAAGAGGAGGAAUUAUGUAUACAUUCUUUCAACUCUCCGUGUAAAAAGGCAUUUCUUAUGCCUAAUUUUUUCAAUUUCCAAUUAUAGAUAAAAGCUAGAGAAAGAAGCAACCUUAUAGUGGUCAUCUUUGCUACCGAAGAGAAAGUAUCAAAGUAGUCAAUGUCUUCUGUUUGUGUGUAUCCCUUUGCUACUAGCCUUUCUUUAUACCUUUUAACUAUAUUAGCCAUAUAUUUUAUUUUGAAUAUUCAUUUUCAACCUAUGGUUGUUUUGUCCUUAGGCAUAAGAGCAAUUUCCCAUGUUUGAUUUGACUCCAAAGCGUAUAUCUCACUUUGUAUAGUUUUUCUCCAAUAGUCAUGUUUCACAACUUCAUAGUAAGUGUUUGGCUCAUCAUGUGAAGAAAGAGACAUAACAAAAGAUGUGAUAAUAUUUUAUAAGACAAAACAAAAUUCAAAGGAUAUUUAACUCUUGAAGAUCUAUUGGAAACAUUAAGAUUACAAUAUAAUCUUUUAGAUGCUCAAAUGGUCUUUUUAUUUUGGUACUCAUUUGGAUAGGUUGAUCUGAUUCAGAAUUUUAUUUUGUGUCACAAUUUUUGUUGAAGUUUUGGUCUAUAUGGGAAAAAACUUCUUCUAGAACCUUAAUGUCUGAUUCACAAUUAUUAUUAUUGUUAUUUUAAGCAUUACCACAAGGUGCAAGAAUAGCUUGAUCAUGAAUGUUAGGACUGUUAGUUUCAUUGCUAGUAUCUUGAACCUUUUGAUAUGGAAAGACAUAUUCAUAGAAGACAAAAAUGAGUUUGAAAGUGAGAUAUAAAUGAGAAAUUGAAAGUGUGAGAAAAUGAAAAUGUGAAACAAAAAUGUUUUAAUGUUUUAUUUUUAAUUUUCUCAUUAAAUAACUUAGUGUGGGCUAAGGUGACAAUAAACGUUCACGUCACAUUAAUGCCACCUAGAUCUACGCUAAAUGUAAUAUAAAUAUUAACUUGCAUCUACUUUGUGUCAUCAUUCUCAUCGCAAUAUCAUUUUUGCAACUUAUUUUUUUAUUACAUCUACUUUGUGUCCCCAUUAUAGACACUAACUUAUUAUUAUUAUUUUAAUAAUUUUUAACUCGCAUUCACUUUGUGUCUCAUUCUAAACUCAAUAUUAUUUUGUCACUUAAUUUUUUUCAUUAUUGCAUCUACUAUGUGUCCUCAUUCUAAAUGUUAACUUAUUAUUAUUAUUUUAAUAAUUUUUAGUGUGAGUUAAAGAUCUCCAUUGUGGAUUCAAAAUUUGACAUUUAUUUCUGUAUCCAACUUUAGUAUACUUCACUCAUGCUAGUGGCUUUUUUUUUUAUAGCCUCCACUCUUGUUGACAACUAAAAUGGAUUUUUCUUGUAGUGAAUAACAAAUAUUCAAUAACCAUUCAUGUAUCUCAUUUAAUUUUCUGAAUACCUCAGCUCAAGCCCAAAAAAUAUUUAAGAAUACACAUUAAUUUCACAUCACUCAAUUCUUAUACUCACUUAUAUUCUUAUAAUUCUCUAUACUAUUAAUGACUUGAACGUUGAGAAAUAUUUUACAUCUAUAUCUCCAUUUACCAUCUUUGACAAACUUGACGAUAAUAUUUCAAAGUCAUAACUCAAUAUACAAGACAAACCACGUUCUUUCACUUUAGAAGACCAACACUUUUUUUUAAUAAGAAUAAUAUAUAAUAAAAAAAAUAUUACAUAAAUUAAUACAUGAGUAUAUUAUAUUAUAUAUAUUAUGCUAUAUUACUAUUAUUAUAGUUAAUAUUUAUUGUAUAUUAUAUUUAAAUCUUAUAGAUUUGUACAUAAACAUGUUAUGCAAUAUUUGAAUAUCAUAAUAAAUAUUUCUUAUAAUUAUAUGUAAUUUAAUAUAUUAUAUGAUAAGUGUGCAUGAUAAGGUACGGUAACAUAAUAAGGAUUAUGAAAUUUUUUGUCAAUGAACUUAGAUAUUCUCCUAUUGAGAUACUCAUAGUUAGAGGGCUGAUUUUUUUAGUCUACAUAUUUCGGGAUUUUAUUAAUAUUCAUAUUUUAAUUUUUAAAAUAAAUAGUUAAAGUAUAAUAAAUUAGUAAAUAACAAAUUCUUAAUAAUAAUAAUGUUACUUUUUUUCAUAUAACUUUAUUUUCUAUUUUUUAUUUACUUUUUUAGUUUCUAUCCUUAAUCUAAAAAAUAUAUACAUCACAAUACUUAUAACUCCACUUGUUCCUACUUAUUUUAUCUUGUCCAUAAAGAAUGUAGAUUAGGUUACUAUUGUUGUAACUCAUAACCCAAAUGUUGAAACAUGCAAUAGUCAAAAUAUAUGGAAAUUGAAAUUGAUGACAUAGAGAAAUGGUUUUACCUAACAUUUGUUGGGUUUGCAUUUAUUGGUGUUAGUGUCACAAAUGCAUUUAUUAGUUAUAUCUCCAACUUACUUUUAUAACAUUCAUUGUUCUAGAAAUGCACUAGGCACAUUGAGGAGCUAUAAGUGAAACAAGGCAAAUACAUUAUCUGAGUAUGAACAAUCUUAAUUAGGUAGGAACAAGUGGAAGCUCAAAAUAAAACCUAAUUUUUAUGUUUCCUUGUCGGUUUAGGUUCAAUAAUUGUGGCUAUGAAUGUGACCACAUUGAUAAUGGCUGACUCCUAUCAUCAAUAUUUUCAUGGAAGGAGGAGUGUCCACUAUCAUUGCCAUGCUAUCAUAAUUCAAUCAUGUUUCUCCACUUUCUUUUUAAUCAACUAGUUGAAAUACUUAUUUCUUGGGUGAACAAGUUAAUUUGUUGGUUUUUAAACUAAAAGUGAAAUAUAUUUAGGUAUUUUUUUAAUUUUAUAUUUUGGUAAAUAAUGAUAUAAUGAAUAAACUUGAAUAAGUUGAACCCUUGAUCUAGAAAUGACCUAUGUGUUUAUAUAGAAUUAUCAUAUUUAAUUGGGUGGGACUUUUGGUCCAAUCCCUUCACUUAGCAAGCUUAGUUUACACAUACUUUGUCUCUUAAGGUUUAAGUAAGUAUUUGGAAUUUAUUUGUUAAAAUAUGAUAAGUCAUUCAUAUUUGUUAAAAUAUGAUAAGUAGUUAUUAUUUUUUGAUUUGUUGAUCCAACGAAAGAAAAAUUUAGACCAUUGGAUUUAGGGUAUCACUUUUGCCCUAAUAAUCUCUACACUCCUCAUUUCCUCUCUCUAAUUUUAUUGUGUGUCUCGCGAACACUUUAUCAUUUACUUACGAGACUACUUUAUAGCCAUUGGAUGAAGAAUGUGCGAUCAAGUGAUUGUGAUUUGGUAGUCCUCGAUUCUCACUCCAUCAAUUUUAAUCUGGGUCGUUCAAAAGGCAUAUUCCAUUGAAUUGUUGUGAUCAUUCUUACCGUGUGGUCCCACCUCCACCACACUUGCCCUUUUCUAAUUUUUACGUAGUCAAACUUGAGAAUUUAUUUGAGUGAUAUUUAAAAAAAAAAAAUAUUUGCUUACAAACUAAUUUAAUGUAAACAUGUACUGAGUUCUUAAGUUUACCUGUUUGAAGAGUUAUUUACACUUUUAAGUUUGUUCUUAUGUUAUUGGACCGAAAACACAAUUAUUUUACUCUUUAUAUAGUAUAACAUGUCACUUACGUAAAAAUUAUGUAUAACAAGUUAUCUUAUAUCAAAAUAUGUUAAUAUGAGUGAAUAUAUUAUAAUUCUUUUUAUUAACUUUUAAUAUAAUAAUAUAGAAUUUAAUUGCAUUAUUAAGUUCAUGAAAUUUAAAAUUUAAGGUUAUGAUGGUUGGAUAUUUUUUCAUAAUUCACGUUGACACACCGACAUAUAUUGUUUUGUCAUAGGUGUUGUUAUUUAUACCAACUUAACCUUUACAAUCAUUGUUGUUAAUACAAUAAUGAUGAUCAUAUAGAAGACUUAACCUUUUGAAAUUAAUAACUUUUCUGGAUGUAAUAAUUUAUUGUGUGAUAGGUUCACUAUAACUUCAGUUAUUGCGGAAAGUAUAUCUUUGUUAAUUUUCCCAAUAACUUAUUGGCUUGAAACAAAAUUAACUAAGAAAUUAGUUUUGAUAUUGAGGUUUAGACUCUUUUACUAAAUAAUUAGCAUUUGAGUAAACUAUGAACUUGUUGAAAGAAAGAGUUUUGAAUACUAUUGAAUUGGUUUAUAAAAUUUAAUUUUGAAUAUUUUAAUAUUUUAUCAUCAAUUGUUUUGUAUAUUAGAGUAAGUUUUCUUUUUGAAAAAUUAUAAUUUUUUUGUUUAUUUUGUCUAGGUAAAUAUUAGAAUUGUAGUUAAUUUAUUUAUAUCCGUAUAACUCAAAAAUAUUUUAAGUCUUCAUUAUUAAAUAUUUAAAUUGUCUACGUAAAUUUAUAAAUGCAAAUUUACGUGAGAUAUUCACAAUAUUUAUUUAUACAAAUCAUUCCAACAUGUUUAAGCUCUUCUUCCUUUUUCAUUUAAAAAAAAAAGAAUAAUUUUUCUUUAUCUCCUUAUGUUCUCUUUUUCUUUUUCUUUUUUUCUCUAAUUUCUCACGAUUUUCUCAUCCUUUAUUUGAACAUAUUCUAUCUAUUAGAAUGUGAGUAAUUAUAAUAAUUCCUGAAUGAUCAUAAUUUUUUUUUCAAAGUAAAUUCAGUUUUUAUUCUAAAGUUUUUCUGUCUUGUCUUUCUAUAGUUAUAUUAUUUGAAUGUUUUAAAGUUUACAUGUUCCAUAAACAAGAUGAGAAAGUUACUAUUUCAACUUAUUCAACUUCUGAUAAGUGUUUUUGUUGAUUAGGUGAUAUCUUCUUAUAUUUAUGGAGUUUCUUUUAUGUACUUUUAACUUUAAUUUUAUUUAUUAUUGCUUGAUGGACAAACAAUCUUUAGAUGAGGGCAAUUAAUCCAAAAUUACUUGUUUAUUUAAAAUUGAGUUGUUGUGAUUUAGGUUGUAUGAAGAUGGUUGUGUAUUAUUUCUUGAGUAUGAUUUUAGAUUUGUUAAACUAAGAAGUAUUAGAUAAUUAUAUAUAUAUAUAUAUAUAUAUAUCGAGUCAUAUUAAUAAAUGUUAUCGUGAUAAGAAUCUAUCAAAUUUUUUUGACAUAAACAAGUUAAAUGUAAAAUGUAAUCUAGUAUAAAAAAGAUGUGGGGAAGAAAGUGAUUAGCAACAGUGAAAAAAACUAGUAAUUAACAUUAAAAUAUAUUUUAUUAAAUAAAAUAAAUUUUAAUGAAGCAUGAUGAAAUUAUAUUAAUAAAAUAAUACAUAAUAUUAUUAAAUAUUUUUUUGAUGUAAAGAUAAACAUAUGAUUAAUAUGUUAAAAAUAAGACAAUAUAUUAUUUUGCCAAAAUAGAUUUAUAAUAUUAUUAUACCAGUAAUUUAAAUGUAAUAAAAAUAUUAUAAUACCAAAAACAUGCUAAUCAACAUUUAAUAUUUGUUUAUAAAUGAAUGGCAUUUUUUAAAGUGCAAUGGAUAAUAAUCCUAAGUAAAAUAAUGUUUAAAAGCAUUGAACAUGGUCAACAAGAUUGUGAUCUUCAAUUGGCUAACUGGCCUUAAUCGGGUUUUUCUCUGUCUUUGUGCCACACAUCAAGCACUUCAGACAAAAAAAUAGAUUAAUAUUUUAAAAAUUCUGAAUAUAUAGAUAACAAAAAACCAAAAAGUGAAAUAAUUAAUAUUUAAUGGAGGUGAAUCUGAUUACCCCAUUGUAAUGACACAAUUAUCGUAAUUUAUUGUAAGAAAAUAAUUUAAUUUUGUUAAGUUAUGGGAAAAAUGCUUAAAAAUAAACACUUAUUUCACUCAAAAUAAUACCAACCAAUAUAUAGGAAUUAAAUUUAGCAAAUUACAUUGAUAAAAAAUAAUAGCAAAUUGCAAUUUAAUUAGAUGCCAAAAUCCGACACCAGUACAGCUAUUAUACAAAAAUAAGUGUGGAAAAUCAAGAUAUAUUAUUAUUUAUAUUAAAGAUUCAAUAAUGACAAAAUAAACUCACGAGUCACGAAUUUUGGAAAUUAUUUAAUAAUAAUAAUUAUAUGUUUGAAUUAUUUUACUUUGUUUUAUGCAGACAUACUGUUACUUCGAUAGUCUAAAUUAGAAAUGUGAUUACCAAUGCCAUUCAUUUUUUAACGCUAUUGAUUAUUAUGUGAAUUUGUUUUUUUUAUUUUUAUCAUUUAUAUAUAUAAUUAUGUUUAAUAUUAAAAAUUAAAUAAAAGGUGUUAAUUAAAUUAAAAUAACGUUUGUGUAUUUAUAUUUUAUUAUUAUUUAUAUAAUUAUAUUUAAUAUUAAAAAUUAAAUAAAAAAUAUUAAUUAAAUUAAAUAAUAAGAUAAAAAAUUUAAUUUUUAAGAGAGAUGUGAUAUGAAAAAAAAAAAAAUGUUUUCAAGUUGUAAGAACUGUUUCACGUCUAAUAAAUAGUCUUAAUAAACGGUGUUGUUGUUUCACUUUUGACAACAAACUACUUUACAAUUAAAAUUUAAAACAGUAUAUUUGUUUUUUCUAAAAACAGUUUUAAUUAAUUAUAAGAAUAUUUAGUUAUUUAGUAAAUAUUUAACAAAUAAAAAAUGACUGAAAUAUUUAAAAAAAUUCUACAUCUCUCUUUCAAUUCAAAACUAUUCUUCCACAUAUAUUAAAUAUUAAAAAAAAAAUAGAAAAUGACACAAUGUUAUGAUAAUGAAAUAAAAUCAUCAAAUAUUAAUAUAAGAAUAAAAUAAAAUAAAAAAAUUAUUAAAGAAAAAAAUUCCCUUUAUAUAUAAAUAUAAAUUAUAAAAAAUAUUAAUGUUUAUUUUGGAUGGACUUUUUUAAGGAUUUUUAAGAAAAGAAUUUGAUUUUUUUCCAUAAAUUAAAAUUAGUUUAUAUAAAACUAAUUGGUUUAUAUAAUUUUAUAAAAAUUUAAAUUUAAAUUUAUAAUAAAUUAAUUUUAGCUUCUUAAUUAUUUUUCUCUCUCUUUGGGACUUUCUAUAAAUAAAAUAAUAAUCCAAAUAUAUUUAUAACUAGAAAUGUUUCUCUAUGUGACAAAUUCUCCUAUUUUUUAGAGUAGAAAGAUGGAUUCUCACUUCUAUAUAGCUUUAUUAUAUAAUAUUUUAUUCUGAUUUAAAAAUAUAGAUUGAUUUAAUUUCAUAUAAAAUAAACUUACUUAAAAUAAUGAGAAAAUAAAUUAAAUAUAUAAAUAUAUUUCAAUUAACAGUAAUGUGCGUAUAGCACGUGAGAAAAAUAAAAUAAAAUAUAUUUAAAAUAUAUUAGUAAUAUUGAUUUUAUAUCUUUAUUAAAUAUAUAUAAAAAAUAAUACAUCACCAGCUUAAUUGUAAGAAAAUAAAAAAAGUAACUUUUUAUUAAAAUAAAAUAAUUUAAAAAAUGUAUUAUACUACCUCAUAGUUAUAAACUAAUACAUUUCAAUAUCUAGUCAUUCAAUAUUUUUUAAUUGAUAAGAGUGUUGUUAUAUUUACAAAUCUACAAGAGAUUACGAUAUAUAUAAAUAAAUUUAAAAAUAUGCAUAUAAUAAUAAGUAUUAUUAUAUUGCCAUAUGAAUAAAAUAAACGGUUGUGAUGUGACCGUGUACUACGUUACUGUCGUGCGACAUUCCCUUUCAUAUUUAAUCGCAAAAUUUAUUUUUGAGUUGUUUAUGUUAUUUUUUGUGAGCCAUUUGUUAUACAUUUAUUUUCUAUUUGUUUUUACAAUUUUUUGUUAUACAAAUUGUGAGCUUUUUCUUUACCAAAAUGUUUUGAGAAAAAUAAAUUAUUCACAACCAAGUCAUAUUUUCAAUGUAAAAUUUAAAUAAAAUCUAAAUUUUUAUUCUCAGAAUCUAGUUAAGGACGUGCAAUGGAGAUGCCAAAACAUGAUGUCAUCAUUACAGUGGCUGACGCAAGAUGAAAAAUACCACGCGCAACAACUCUCAUACUAUUUUCAUAAUAAAUAAACGUAAAUUUUAACAAAAUUUUAUUAUUAAAUUAAUUUUAACCACGUCUUGAUGAAAAAUUAAGUUAUACUUUUGCAGUAGAAAAUAAUUUCGUAUUUUCCAAUCGAUUUGUUUGAAACCAUAAUUAUGUGAUAAUCUAAGUUUAUUUGCUUUUGCUGUCAUGAUAAUCUCUGAGUGAUGGUCUUAAUUGAUUUAAUAAUUUAAAAUCGGUCGUAAUGAAAACAAGGUGCUUCAGUUAUGGUUCAUGAUGAAGUUAACACAGUACAAAUCCAAACAGAAACGAAGACAUGCUAAAACCAAAAGCUGCGGCAGAGUGAGCUCAGAAGCAGAGAACAUUACCUGAAGAAGAUGAUCACGACAUUGACAAUUAAAUACUAUAAUACUAUUUGCAUGCGUGUCGUGCCCUUCAAUGCCUGCAAUAAAUACAACCCAUUAACAAAGUUGUUCUUCACUUUUUUUCUCCCAUGUAACUUGAUUCUCUUCCCACCCUCCAAGUUUAUCAAAUUUCAAAGUCAUAACUUCCUCUAACUCUCACUCUUGUCUCUUCACAAAACGGCCAAGCAACAACGUCUUGCACUCACACGCAUGCAUGUGGAAAAAGGACAUAAGAAAGAAACUGUGAUACAUGAAGUGCUUCAAGAGUGCAAGUUUGAUUUGCUUGUCUUAGAAAGCCAACCCCAUUUAAGUUUUCUCUCUCUCUUUUUAACUAUAUCCUAAAGCCAGAUUUAGUAUUUGCUUCAAGACAAAUUUUUUAAGAAAGCCUGUGUCUUUAAAUAUAUAAGAAGUGAAAACAAAGAGGGUAUCUUUCCCUUGUUGUUUUGUUGGUUCUUUUCCCAAAAGGCAAUGAGAGCGACACGUGUUCUGUUUGUUUUUCUUUGGUUCUUCUGCGUUUAUUCCCCUGCUGCGUUUUGCGCAAAUGUCACGUAUGACCAUAGAGCAUUGGUCAUUGACGGCAAGCGCCGAGUGUUGGUCUCUGGUUCUAUUCAUUAUCCUCGUAGCACUCCAGAGGUUCUGCUCAUUACCCUCUUUAUGUGUCUGUUCAAUGUUACACGUUCGCCUUUUUUUGCAUGUGUCCUUGAAGUCUGGACUUAAAAGGGAUGAUUUUUGCUGUUGCAGAUGUGGCCAGACCUCAUUCAGAAAGCCAAAGAUGGAGGACUUGAUGUGAUUGAGACUUAUGUUUUCUGGAACUUACACGAACCAGUUCGAGGCCAGGUUCUGUUCUGUUAAUGUUACUAUUACCAUUUUUGUGUUGUUUCAGUCCUUCACUGUGUCUUGCAUUCUAUUGAGUUUGUGGAUGUGUUUUCUUAUUUUUCAAGCUAGUAAAAAGUGUAUAGAGGGUCCAAAUCAAAACCAAAAGUAAAAUUCUGCAGCUUAGGAAAAUAAAUUAUCAUUGUUUGAAAAUAUUUUUUUACUGUUCAUAAAAGCUUGAAUUUGGGUGGAGAAUUCUUCAGUGUCAAUUAAAAACAACUUAUAAAGUUGGGGUCUUGUGAUCUACUCAAUGAUGGAUUGUAUACUUUGGCUUGGCAGUAUAAUUUUGAAGGUAGGGCAGAUUUGGUUAAAUUUGUGAAGGCUGUAGCAGCAGCAGGUCUAUACGUGCAUCUCCGGAUUGGUCCAUACGCAUGUGCUGAAUGGAACUACGGGUAAAAUAUGAUCUUUAUAUGUUUCUUUUUACAAGGGCUUUCUUAUCUGAUCAUGACCAAACUUUUCUGAGCAGUGGUUUCCCUCUUUGGCUACAUUUUAUUCCGGGAGUUCAGUUCCGAACUGAUAACAAACCGUUCGAGGUAAUUAUUCCUUUUCUUUCUCCGUGUCUCAUCUUGCUGCAUCUGCUUCCUUCAAUCAUGAGAAAUUGAUUUGUGUUCAGGCCGAAAUGAAGCGGUUCACCGCUAAGAUUGUGGAUAUGAUGAAGCAAGAAAACCUCUAUGCAUCACAGGGAGGACCUAUUAUUUUGUCUCAGGUUUUUCUUAAACUUCAUUAAAUACAUGUCUAUUUUCUUUUAUAAGAAAUUGUGGCAUCCACUGGUGGAAGAGUAGUAUAGACAGAGAGUCUCGAAUUCUAAAUGGCCUACUGCAUAUUUUUUUAUAUGAAAAAGUUAUGUAAUACUAGUAUGUAUACUUUCUAAUGCCAGGUCGAAAAUGAGUAUGGAAACAUUGAUGCGGCCUAUGGUCCUGCUGCUAAAUCUUACAUCAAAUGGGCAGCAUCAAUGGCAACAUCUCUUGAUACAGGGGUUCCUUGGGUAAUGUGCCAACAGGCAGAUGCUCCUGACCCAAUUGUAAGUUUUCUCCUUUUAGCCAUCAACAUAAACUGUCAUGUAGUUCAUUUGCUACAUUGUCUAUUUCCCUGAUUCCUGAAUAGAGCAAUCUUACUAUGCUGCUGUCUACAAUUAUCCUACUUGAUUGUUUAUUUCAUAAUUUGUAAUCUUAACUACACUCAGAUUAACGCAUGCAAUGGAUUUUACUGCGAUCAAUUCAAUCCAAACUCUAACUCAAAACCAAAAAUUUGGACUGAGAACUGGACUGGAUGGUUAGUUCCUUUUCUAUAUAAAUCAUUUAGUUAUUUGAAUGUCAUACUCAAAAUAUGAUCUGAUUGUUUGUGUAUCACCUUUCUCAUUCAACUGCACUUUUCUUUUUGUUGUAACCUUUUGAAUUCUGUGAAACUGCAGGUUUCUUUCAUUUGGCGGUGCUGUGCCUUACAGACCAGUGGAAGAUAUUGCUUUUGCUGUGGCACGCUUUUACCAGCGAGGUGGAACUUUUCAGAAUUACUAUAUGGUAAUGCAACUUAAUAUUGUUUAAGGAUUUAAACUAUUCAAGAUAGGAAAAGAGCUGAUGCUACAACUUUUUCUGUUCCUUGCUGGGAAACAGUACCAUGGAGGGACUAAUUUUGGCCGAAGCUCUGGUGGACCUUUCAUUUCUACUAGUUAUGAUUAUGAUGCUCCAAUUGACGAGUAUGGUAUGGAGUCUUUCAACCUUUGUAUCUCAUAUUAAUUGUUGAUUCUGUAGAAUUAUAUAAACUGGUCAAGUUUGAUUCUAUAUGAAGUCAAGAAGAUACGCAAACAUUAUCACAGUGAAAAUAUAUGUUUUCUUUUUUAAACUGUCUGAAGUGCAUGAUGCAGGAAUUGUUAGGCAGCCUAAGUGGGGCCACCUUAAAGAUGUGCAUAAGGCCAUAAAGCUUUGUGAAGAAGCACUGAUAGCGACUGAUCCAACCAUUACAACUCCUGGACCAAAUAUAGAGGUGAUAAGCGGGCAGGAUCUCUGGAUUAUCUUUUGGAACCUUAAAUGUUUCAUAUUUUCAAAUUUUAAUCUGAAAUAUCCCUUGAAAAGUGUGAAGAUCCAUGGAUCUUUGUCAUUUUGUCAUAGAUUUCUCUGAUUACUGUCGCCUUCCCAACUUUGUGAGUGGUACCUUCUAUUGAUUGCAGAAAAUUGUCUGCUAGUGCUAAUCUAUUAUUUUCUGGGUAUAGUUGUUUUAUAUGCUUUAUAAAGGUUUAGUCUCUUUUCUGUAUAAUGUAUGCUGUUUUGUGAACCAUCCCAUGAGCUUAAAUGCUGGAGAAAGGAACAUAAAUGGUUGGUGCCUUAGCGGCAACAAACUAAGAGUUAAAUCUAAUUAUCCCAAAGGCUUAAGCUGUUGAGUGAGAUGAGAUGUGAUGAAUUGUUUAGUUACCUCCUUUAACAUUUACUUUUCAAAUCCAGGCUGCAGUUUACAAGACAGGAUCUGCAUGUGCAGCCUUCCUUGCCAACAUUGCCACAUCUGAUGCAACAGUGACCUUUAAUGGAAAUUCAUAUCACUUGCCUGCAUGGUCUGUGAGCAUCUUACCAGACUGCAAGAAUGUAGUGCUUAAUACUGCAAAGGUUUGCCUCAUCAACUUUCCAAUAAAAAUAGAUGGUUAAAUUGAAUCAACUUACUUUCAAUAUGCUGUGCUUAAUCUAUCUACACUUUAGAUAUUUUCUAGUUCAAGAAAUAGUAUAACCUACAGUUAUAUUCCGGUAUGGCAGAUUAAUUCUGCAUCUAUGAUUUCAAGCUUCAGAACUGAGUCCUUAAAAGAAGAGGUUGGUUCUGGCUCAGGAUGGAAUUGGAUUAGUGAACCCGUCGGUAUUUCGAAGGCAGAUUCAUUCUCAAAAUUUGGAUUACUGGAGCAAAUAAAUACAACUGCUGAUAAAAGUGAUUAUUUGUGGUACUCGUCAAGGUAUAUAGUGUGCCUUCAAGGUUGAGGAAUCAUUCUUCAGACUUGCCUUUCACUACCCCACGUAACACUUCAAUAUUUUUCUGCAGUAUUGAUCUUGAAGAUGAUGCUGAUUCUCAAACUGUCCUUCACAUUGAGUCCCUUGGUCAUGCCCUUCAUGCUUUCAUAAAUGGGAAGCUUGCAGGUAAAAUAAAAUUAAAAGCAACGACAUCUGAUGAUAAUGUUUGGUUUAGUGCCUCCAUGCCUUUUUUAAAUUACUUGGCUAUAUUUUAAGGCCUGACACUGGUGGGGAAACACUAUGCCACAGUCAGAAGAUAAAUAACAAAGGUAUACCGUGUCUCUAUCUUCCAACUAUGCUUGGCCACAGGCCACACAUGAUAGAUCCUUAGCCUGAUUAUCAAGAACACAAUAUUCUUGGCUGCAGAUCCAAAAGCUUUCAAGCUAGUUUGCAAUCUUAAAUAUUUAAACGUAUAAUAUAUAGAUCAUAUAACUAACAUCAAGCAAAAAUCUUAGUACUUACCAGUUUUAUCAGGAGCAAUGUAAAAUAUGUUACCAAAUCCUAGGUACAUUAAAUGCAUAAAAGAGGAAUUAUGAACAUAAUUUUAAUUUUGUGCAUCCUUGGCAACAAAAAUUUAGAGUAAUGAUGCAUAUACUUUUUACAUUCUAUCUCCAUUCGUAUCUCACACUUCUGUCUUUUUUAGUCCCAUGUCAUGUCUCUCUUCAAAUUGUAAACUUCAUUGUAUAAAUUGAUGUAUGAGUAACAUCAUCCCAAAAUUUAAUCCCUUUAAAGAUGUAGUGAAAUAAAAACAAGAUUAACAGAGUAAGAUCAGCUGUUUGUCCUUGUUUCUUCCUAAAAUGUUCAACCUUUUCUUUAUUUCUACGGAAUAUUCUGCGAUUUAUCCAAUAAUACUUAUCUGCGACAUUAUGUACAACUUUUUCAGGGAGUGGAACGGGAAACAGUAACAAAGCUAAGGUCGAAGUAGACAUCCCCAUCAAACUAGUGGCUGGGAAGAACAUGAUUGAUCUCCUGAGUUUAACCGUGGGACUUCAGGUUUGUCUUUACUUCUUAUGUUGUAUAUAAGAAUGUAAGGCUGAGGCAAUUUUGGUUUAUAUAUGCAUUGGCUUUCCCUCCUAAUAUCCUUUCACUUUAUCAUCAAACCUGUUCUCUUACUACAUCAACUAAUGCAAACCUUACGUGCUUCAGAACUAUGGAGCUUUUUUUGACACAUGGGGUGCGGGGAUCACUGGUCCAGUGAUAUUGAAAGGUUUGAAGAAUGGAAGCACUGUUGAUCUCUCCUCCCAACAGUGGACAUAUCAGGUUAGUCUCAGCUUAACUAAAGCCAGUUAUUUUUUUCCCAUUUUGAGUAUUGUUUACUCAUUUAACUGGACAGAUACAACUGAACUAGUAAAUUGGAUUUCGGUUGUCCUCUUUUUAUUGAAGUCAUGCACAGACAGAAUACACCAUCUGUAUUUUUGUAAAUUCAGGUUGGCCUUAAAGGUGAAGAUUUAGGUCCAUCAAGUGGAAGCUCUGGACAGUGGAACUCUCAAUCUGAUUUACCUACAAAUCAACCCUUGACUUGGUACAAGGUAAUCUUUAUACGAAUAUAGCGUCCAUUGAAAUUUUCGAGUUUUUCUAAAUUAUUCUCAUUGUUAUAACUGCAUAAUAGAGUAUCGUUGAACCUAUUUGGUUUCCUUGGUUUAUGUACUGUCCAAAGCCAUGGUUAUUCAACCAUGUUUUUGCAUCUGAUAUCUUCACAAUCACACAUACUUUAAAGAAAACUAAGGGAAUGGUACUAUUAAGACAGAUGAUUUUACUGCUAACUAAUGGUAAUACAUGUUGUAUUAGACAAACUUUGUUGCUCCCUCGGGAAGUAACCCAGUUGCUAUUGACUUCACGGGGAUGGGAAAAGGUGAGGCUUGGGUGAAUGGACAGAGCAUUGGGCGAUACUGGCCUACAUAUGUCUCUCCAAAUGGCGGUUGUGCUGACUCCUGCAAUUAUAGAGGGGCCUAUAGUUCAUCCAAAUGUCUCAAGAACUGUGGGAAACCAUCACAGACAUUGUAAGUAGUUAAAUAUUUUGCAUUAGAGAAGUUGAAACUUGAAAUUAAUCCUGAAUUGUUUGAAGGAAGUGAAGGCAAUCCUGUUAGGUACUAAUUGAGUAACUAAUCAUGCAGAUACCACGUACCACGAUCAUGGUUACAACCAGAUAGCAAUACACUUGUAUUGUUUGAGGAAAGUGGAGGUGACCCUACGCAAAUCUCUUUUGCUACAAAACAGAUAGGAAGCGUGUGUUCACAUGUAUCUGAAUCUCACCCUCCACCUGUAGACUUGUGGAAUUCAGAUACAAAAGCAGGGCCUGUACUGUCACUGGAGUGUCCUUAUCCUAAUCAGGCGAUCUCUUCCAUUCAAUUUGCAAGUUUUGGAACGCCUUAUGGAACUUGUGGGAACUUCAAACAUGGACGGUGCAGAAGUAAUAAGGCUCUAUCCAUUGUUCAGAAGGUGUUGUCCCGAGUCCUCUUGAAAAGUUCAUAUAUGCCUUUUGUGUAGUCAAUUUUACUUUUUUUUCACUUGGAUUAUACUGACUCGUAUUAAUUAACAGGCCUGCAUUGGAUCAAACAGUUGUAGCGUUGGACUAUCACUUGAUACAUUUGGAGAUCCAUGUAAAGGAGUAGCAAAGAGUUUAGCAGUUGAAGCUUCUUGUGCAUAGAUAUUUCGCUUCAAACCUUCCCACUUCCUAGCUCAGACACAGCAGAAAAGCAUUCCGCACUCCAAGUGUCUUGUACUCUUUAUUGAAGAUGAUCUUGGAUAAGCCAAUGUGUAAAAUGCAAUUCUGGUAGUAAACCGGGAAAACAGUGUAUAUUUACUUAAUAUAGAAGGAAGGCCUUGCUCAUGCAUGAUGUGUGAUAGUGGUAUAUUUUACUUGAAACUUGAAAGGAAGGUUUCUAACAAGCCAUACAAGAAAUUGAUCUCUUGAUGAACAGUACGGCUAUUUUCUGAUAAGAUAAGUUAGAUUAAUAAAUCAUAUACGCAGUACAUAUAAUCACUGUUUCAUUACGAACAUGUUUGGCCUUUAUUUGUCAGUAAUUGGUUCGGGAAACUUUAUCAUGAAUAUUGAGGAUAUCAACACUCACCAUGUUCUUCGUUAGUAGUAAACCUCUGUAUCAAAACUAGAGCAUUACUAGACUCUGCCAAAACCCUUUUUUUCAAUUAGAAGAGGCAAGCUGGUGCAAAGGAGAGCCCGAAGGGGACCCAACUAGAUUUGCAUCCCCUACGAUACUCUGCAGGGACAGCAAGCCAAGAAAUAUCAUUAAACCAAAAUGAGUGACAACAAAAAGGCAAGGGGAGGAGAAACCAAACCCCAACACAAACAAAUAUCUACUCCUAUUAGUAGCUAUGAACUGAGGGAGAGAAUUCCACCAACAAAACCCAUUUACGGAGUGAACUGCACAAGUAUUACUCUGGUAUAUAUGACCGACAAGUUUCAUGCUCUUGGUUAUAUCAAUACACUUAACACCUACUUCUAAGUCUCCAGGGACCAAGUUUGAGUUCUUGAAAAAUGGUUCCAUCCUUUCUGCUUUGUUACAAUGGCUAUAAUAAAUUCAUUAAGCUUUGCAAAAAAGCAUGCAGAGACACCCAAGUUAAGCUAGAAGCCCCCAAGAUACUCGCCCUGUGAUUGCCACGGGAUGAACCAUUCGUCUUGCACUUAGUUUAACCAUGCAAAGGAGGGUUCCAAAAGACCGAUAAAGUACAAUUAGCCUUCCUUGGGAUGUCUCUGAUUUUUAAGUUGCUUCCCAAUUUAAAAGAAAGUUUUAAAGAUGAGUGUUCCCAAACUAAUUCGUCAUUAGUUAGUUGUAUGGGGAUGACCAUGUUUUUAACAUCAUGAAGGAUAAACGGGAACCAAUCUCUUAAAAAUUCCGACAGUUAAAAUCACCUAUGAAACUCCAAGGGCCAGCAUGAUUCUGUUGAAUGAAGAAGCUUUUGUUCUUCCCGGAAGUUGUUGGGGCUAGAAUCCUUGCCCCAUUGGGACAAACGAAGGAGACCUGGUUGGAGGUUCUGGGUUCCUUUGGCCAAGAUUAACCUUCCGUGAAGAUUGUUCUUGCAAUUGAGAAGCCCUUUUCUGUAUUCUUCUUUCGUGAUCUUUAUGGAGACACAAUUGCGUUUGAUGCAAGGCUUGAGUAACUGGCUUGAGGGGAAGUCCUAUGAAACAGAGAGAACCUGUGCGAAGGAUCGUUCUUGUUUGGGAGCGUGAGGGGCUGUUGCUUUUGGGGCCCAUGAACAUAUCGCAGAAGCGGGUUCCAUGAGAAUUGGUUAUGGAAAUUGUUUUGCCUGCUCAUGAUGAUGGAUAAACUACUCUUUCCUUCACCUAUCUUCACUGCAGAAAAAAGAUAGUGCUUGGUUAGAAUGGUUUCGGCAAAAGACACUACAGUUCACAAAAUCAAUUGAUAGCGAUUGGAGAUUGGUGUGGCCUUCAAUCAUAAAAACAACACUGCUCCAUGAUUUCAUCCAUUUAUCAUCAUUGAUGCAACAUCUCAAUAUCCUUACCAGCUAGCAACUGUGUGUAUGUUCAGAAAUCACAAUUUAAUGUUUUAAAACAAAGCCUUUCACCUAACUAUCAUUGUCUCACAUUCCCAGAUUUGCUCUAUAAAAUCCAUCUCUGCCAUAUCAUCAAUGCAUCAAGUGCUCGUUGCUAAUACAAAUCCUACAUUUGAUUUGUUUUCCAAAAGCACCUGAGCCUUCAUACAUCAGAACUAAAAUCACGAUGCAAAAGCAAUAUCUCUUUUCCUUCUCACUAGUACAGCUAGUUUCAUUUCUGUAUUUCACCACCACUUUAGCCCAAUUAUCACCAGCUACUUCUCCUCUAAAACCACCCCAACCUAUUCCUACACCACCAGCUGCAGCCCCUAAACCUUUGGUUCCCUCGUUGCCAGAGUCACCAAGUGAUGCCACUCCUGACACCGCAGCUGUUGACAUUGUUGGAAUCCUGAGGCAGGCCAAGUCAUUCAACAUCCUUAUCCGCCUCAUGAAGACCACCCAAUUGAUCAACCAACUCAAUGCACAGCUCCUCACUACUAAAUCAGGUGGCAUCACCAUUCUUGCACCUGAUGACAGUUCCUUCUCUGAACUCAAAGCAGGCUUCCUCAACUCUCUUUCUGAUGGCCAAAAGCUCGAGCUCUUACAGUUCCAUGUUCUUUCAGACUAUGUGUCGAGCUCCAACUUUGAUACUCUAACCAACCCUGUGAGAACACUUGCAGGAGCUAAACCUGGAAAGGUGGAACUGAAUGUGAUAAGUUACGGAGGGAGUGUGAACAUCUCAACAGGGGAGGUUAACACCACUAUCACAGGCAUUGUAUACACAGAUAAGCAUCUUGCUAUUUAUAAGGUAGGAAAGGUGCUUCUUCCUAUGGACUUCUUUGCAGUGGCCAAAGCACCUGCAAAAUCACCCUCUUUGGCACCAGAACCAUCUGCAAAGGCUCCUAAAGCGGAUAAAGAGAAUUCACUGUCCCCAGACUCCUCAGACUCAUCUCAGAUUAAUUCCACAAAGGAUAACUCUGGCACUGUGAAAAUCAAUGUGUACGGAAAGUGGCUGUCCCUUGUUCUUGGAGUAGUUCUCAUGACUGUUUUCUCAUCAUAAACCAAAAUAGAUUCUAAUCCAUUAUAUACCAUGCAGUUAAUAUUCAAGAGUGCUAUGAUUGCGUGAGAGGAGUGAGUAUUGAGUACUAUUGGUGGUGAAUUUAUCAGAGUGGAUUAGGGAUCUGAGAUUGUUAUAUCCCUCUGAUUUUAUUGAGAUAUGCUAUGCUUGUUUCAGUAUAUUAUUUAUGUAAACUUAACAAAGGUUGCUUCAAUAUUUUCUAUGUUUCUAAUGUCAAGAAAAAUAAAUCAUGACUACUGUCUCAAAUUCAAUAAUUAAAAUCUCUAAUUUGUUAGGUGUAUUUCAGGUCAUGCUUCAAUGUUUUUUGAGUUUUAACACUCACUAGUUAUAAACCUUUUGGGUCAUGAAAGGAGGCAGGAAAAAAGUAUUAGGCUAAUUUAAGCAAAAGAAUAGGUUGCAUUGCAAAACAAAAAGGUUUCACUUUGCAGAAAGACAUUACUUGUUUGUUUCCCUCGGGACAAACCUUAAAUAUAAACCCCAGUCAUUAGUUAGCCAUAUGCUUGAAGUAGCUUUUAAAGACAUGCUUUUAGCAAGCUAAUAAGCUUUUACACCAAAUUUUGAUUGGUUUUGUAAAGAGUUAAUAGCUCACGUGGUACUGAAUAUAAUUCUGCUGUCGAGAGUAUGAUAUUUUUAUGAAUAAGAAUAUGGUACACCAUUAGGAAGCUAAAGAACACAGUGUAGACUACCAUUAAAUCUAUUUUAGAGUUUUUGAUUAUUAGUUGGUAAGAAAGACCCUACAACUGUCAAUUAAAAUAAAAACUAACAUUUCAUCUUUAAAGUUUUUAACCAUUUAGGUUUUAAGGUAAUUUUGGACCUUCCUAAGCCAUCCUAACAGUAUAUAUGUUCCCUCUGUUAUCAAAAUUGAUUUUCCAGGCAGGAAAUCAUCAAAUAAUAAUAACCAUUGUAAAUGUUACAAACCAAUUAAAGGAGAAUAACUUUUCUACCUGUUGCAAAAGUAAAACAAAAUGACUUUGACCACACAUUUCUUAUUCUAGUAAGACUUCUUAGCAACUUGUUGUUCAUGUAGUUAUUAGUGAACAGGAUUUUGGAGGAUGUUGGUUUUGGGAUACAAAAGUUUGUAAUUCUUAGAUUUGGUUGGAGGUUCUUUUGUAAUAGUAUUAGAAUAUCCUUCAAGUGUUCCAUAUUAAUUUAUUUAUUAUUUGUGGAUAAAAAAACAUUUUUUAUUUUAAUGAGACUUCAAUCAGUUAUAGAUCUGCUAUAAAUAUCAGAGUAAGCAGAAUGGCCCAAAGAAAAAUGUUUAGGCCAAAUCAUUUCUAUUUGAUGUGAGUACUCGACCUGUAUAAUCACCUUGCACCUCUUAAGUAACAUUUGCAUAGAUACAUGCAUCCAACUAUUGUUUGAUAAUAACAUGCGAAUUGCUGUGUUAAAGCAAAACAGUUCCACACUUUCACAUCUAGAACAACCUAAAAGGUUUUCCUUAUCAACUUUAUUGUCCGUGUCUUAGUCUAACCUUAAAAGGUGAAGACAUAAGCCUAUAUAAUGUUAGGGGAUCCCUCCUUAAUUUUAUUGGGAGAUUAUGACCAAUGAAUAUUGGUAACACUAUUGUGGGGAGUUAAAUUAUUGAUACCCUCAAUUAAGUCAACUAAGGAGAGAAUUAUUGGAAAUCCCUCCUUAAUUUAAUGGGAGAUUAUGACCAAUUAAUAUUAGUAAUCAAUCCAUUGAAUAUAUUCAAUGAUAGUCAUUAAAAAGAUUUUUGGAAAUUGUAACUCUCUUAAAAAGUAAAGAGCAUUAAUUUUUUCACGAAGAAGUCUUUCUCUCAUUAUCUGUAAAAGGAAACUUCUAAGGAAGAGAAAAAUAGAAGCAAGUAAGAAGAGCAACAUAGAGAGAAGAGAUAUCCACCAUAGUGUGAGAUUAAAAAUUCUAGUGAAAGACUUAGAAAUUUUGUAUUCUUUUCUUGUUGGAUAAGAUUGAGUGUUAUCCUCAUAUAAUAAGAAAAACAAAUAUUGUAAUUCUACUUUUAUAGUGAAGGCAUUUUUUAAACUAGGUCCGGUGAAUUUUUAUUUCUCAAGUUGAGAAGGUUUUAUUUAUCUCGUUAUUCUAUUUUUGCUCUAUUUUCUAUUAUUUGCUUAUUGUUUUCAAAAGUGUUCAUCUUGUAUCUACAUAAAAAAAACAAAAAAAAAACCUGAAUUUUCUGAAUUUUCCUAAUAUCUAGGACCAUGGAGUUCACUAUCUACCUUACCUAAGAAUUAAACCUAAACUUGGUACAGGGUAGUCUUAAUAAUAUAUUGAAAUUUAAGAACAUGAUCCACGUGUAGUUAUGUUAAAUAAAACUGCAAAAAAGUUUGCAGAAACAUUUUAUUACAUAGAGGGCUUGCUUAUAACUCUAACCCCGCAACUUAUCUCAAAUACUUGUUUCAUUACUAGAAAAUUAUUAUAAUUAAAGUAAAUAUUAUUUUAAACACUAAAAAUAUUAUUAAUUUUUAAAUUAAUUUUUAGUAUAAAUAAAUAUUUUCUAAAUUGAUAUCUAAUUAGCUACUAAAGUUUUAACUAUCAAUUAUUUAAAUUCUAAAUUUGGUAAUUAAUUAAAUAUUAAUUUAAUUUUUUUAAUCUCUAAAAUAAUAUCUAAUUUAAUAAAUAUAGUAACUAAUCUUUAAAAUUAGUUUUUAUUUAAUAUAUUUUUAAUAUUUUAUUCCUUUCUUCCUCUCUAAAAUGUCUAGUAAUACUAGGUACAGAAACAUCUGGAAAUUUGUGUACUUAAUAACUGUCAUGUCACACACUUAACAAAAACAAAUAAACAUUAAACACAAGUUAAAUUUUUUUAAUCUAUCGGGAUUUUCCAUCUGUUACCAUUUUUUUUAUACAAUUUAUUUUCGAUUUUACCUUAUAUCUUAUUUUAUUAAUACAAUUAAAUAUUUUGUUAUUUUAUAUUAAUUACUUAAAAAAUAAAACUAUUUUUUAAUUUUUUAAAUUAAUAUUAAUAUACGUUUUUAUAUGACUUUCCUACUUUUUCUCUUAAUUUUUUAUUUUAAGUUAAUCACAUAAAAAAAAACAUACUCUGACAUAUCAAACAAAAUAACAUUCAUUUUCAAUCAUUCUUUGUACUCCACUUCAUUUUUACUUUUCAACUCAUCCAAAAUUAUUUCCGUAUAUAUAUUAAAUUUUUAUUAUUGUAAAAGUCAAUUAAAAACCCUAAUAAUAGUAAGGAUUUAAUUAAAAAUACUCAAAAUUUAUGAGAAAAAAUAAAUUUGAUUAAGCCAAAAAAUAAUUGUACCUUCGAUCAACUUGUGUCGGACCAUAUUUGAAGUGUGUGGGAGCCGCAAUUUCUUUUUAUUAAUUUGACACUAUAGCAAAGUGUUUGACACACGCCAUUGAAAAACCAUGUUGGAGUUUUAUAUGAUUCCUUCAAAUGUCUAAACAAUUUCAAUUUGGGGUACGUUAUCGAGAAACUGAUGCAUUGGAAGACUACACUUCUUCAUAUCUUUAAUACUCAUCAAUCACUAUAAUUUAAUGAUGAUCAUGGGCAACACUUCAGGCCCUUAUUUUUUUAAUACAAUUGAAACAAACCAAAUGCAAGAUGUUAAAUAUUUGAUUACUAAGAAAAUCUUAUAUGUUUGAUGAAGCAUGAUAUCAGUACUGAGCAACAAGUCCUUCUUCAGUGCUUGCUAUGGUGGAUGGCCUCUGGAACAUGCACCGUUUGCAUGAUGUUGAAAAGAGAGAGAGAGUCUGGUACUUGUUCUCCCCACCCAUCAUUGGCAUAGCAACCCCUCUCUUCACAGGGCUAACAUACCCUGGCCUGUAAGUCUGACCCAAAACUCCUUCAAAUUUAUCUGUGCUUUUCUUGAAUCUGAAUUGUGUCUCCAAAUGAGCAAAAGCAUCAUUUUGUGGCAGUUGGUAGUUGUGAACCUUGUUUUCUUGCUCUCCAAUAGGCUUCACACUUAUGUCCAUCUCAACCAAACCUGAAACCGUCACUCUCACACUGUUGGUCUCAUCGGUUCUCUCCACAACCACUUCUCUUUCAUCUCCAUUGCCCCUCCAUUCAGCCUCCCCAUCAGUUGGAACAUUGAUCACUUCACCAUCCCACUUCACUGUGAGAGAAUCAACCUUGUCAUUCCAAUGAGACACUCUAUUGGCUGCAAUAACAAGAGUGUGUGAGUCAAACAUGACACCAAGUGCUUGCACCCAUGUGUAGUCACGAGUCCUUCCUUGUGGUCGAGACCCAAUAAAGUGAGCAUUGAUUUGGAACUCCUCAUCAGAAACAAUGGCAAAAUUUCCUCCUUUGGCACCGUGGAAGUAGAACAUCACACCAUCACCUCCCACAAAGCGAGGAUCAUAGCACAGAGAUCCAUACCCAUCACAGUUAGCUUUCCUGACUGUCAAACAAGCAAACUCAACAUAAGUUCCAAUUUCAAUUCUUAGGUUUGUUUGGUGAUGAUUGAGUACAUGGACUAUUUUACUCUUUUAUAUAUACCAAUAUAAAUUUUUUAAACAAAAGUUCAGGUUCCUUGGAACUUACCCUUGCAGGUGGCUUCACAUGUGCUGCUGCUACAGUCAAUGAAACAUGCCUUCUUCUUCUUGUUCUUCUUGGGCUUCCUUUCUGCGCACUCGGAUGGACAAACAAUGGUCUUGAACUCACAGGUGGUGUUUGUUCUGCAGAACCCUCGUUCUUGACCUGAUGGCAGUGCUGACAUCUUGUCAUAAUCUGAGGCUUCAUCACGUUGCUUUUUUGGCUUUUUCUCUUUUGGCUUCUUGUCCUUUCCAUCAUCCUUUUUAUUUUUCUUCCCCUUUCCAUCAUCACUACCCUCACCCUUCCCCUUUCCAUUCUCAUUUCCUUUACCUUUGUCAUUGCCAUUACCUUGACCUUGAGCUAUGGCAGCUUCCAUGGCAAUAAGUAAGAUGAAGAUGGCCACCAAGAUGCUCCACUUUUUUCCACCCAUCUUCGUGAUCUACAAUGCACCUUUCUUUUUGUUUUUUGUCCUCUGCUAUGAUAUGAUGAUCUUCAAGUACUUCUUGAAUGACUCAGAGGAUGUUGAAGAGAGCAUGCAUUGAAAGAGAAUAUAUAGAGAGAGGAAUUGGGUUGAAAAUUAGCCCUGAAGUACGCCUUAAGCUUUGCUACGAUCCUUAUUCUAAACUCUUCAAAAGCUUGUAGUUGCUUAGUAGUGUAAUACGUAUGAAUUUUUAAAGUUCAAAAGUUACUUAUUGACCACGUAAACGCAACGCAUGCAUGAUUAAUAGGGUUGAGUAGCACGUUCUUUUUUGCCAAAGAUAAAAAAAAAAGACUUGUGUAGGAUCUACAGAAGACCCUUGAAGAUGAUAGACCUAUAGUACUAUAGACACAAGAAUUGAGAACCUAGGUAUGAACGAAAGCAUGCAUAACGCCAUGCAUCAACAUAACUUUUGUCUUAUUUUAUUCUAUUUUCAAAUGAUCAGCUUCAAUACUAAGCUACACGUAAACGUUAUGGUUACGUUUGUGUCAUGAAACUAAAGACAGAUGGUGACUUAAGAGUAGAGCAUUAGCUGUAGUAACAUGGGUUUCGAUCGAGUUGAGAAGAAGCAGCUUCUAUUGAUGGCAUUGAGUUAGAACAGCAUCAGCUGCCACUAUUUAUAUGCAAGUUGCCUUUGCCACCUUAAUUCUUCUGUUUAAACAUAAGAAUUAUUGGAUCUUGUAGCCGUCAUAAAUAGAUCAAAGUAUAUGAAACUUAAAUUGGACAACUAUGAAACUCUUAAUUUGACUCAAGAAACAAAUAAACUAUGACUAAGAUUGUGAGUCCACACUAAAUUUUCUUUCACACAACUAAAUUUUAACCAAUACUACAAGCAAGGUAAAAAAAUGCAAAACAAAUAACAUUUGAGAAAUCUCAAUUGUCAACGCUCUAGUUCUUUAGUCACAACUAGACAAUUUAUUUCCUUAUGUUAAAAGUCUCACUUUAUUUAAAAUAGUUUUUAAAUGUUAUUCUUUUAACCAUUUAGUUGUCUUUUCAACAUGAAAUUGUGAUGUAAUACUAUAACCAUCUCAAAACUUCUGAAAGUAAAUAUUUAUAAGAAAAAUUAUUAAUUUCUUUUUUAGUUUAUAUUGUUACUUCAUAUACAUUGCAAGAAAAAAUUAUUUUAGUGGCCAAUAAAAAAGUGGGAGUUAUAAAAAAAGAAGUAAGGGUGUGGUCUACUCAAGUUGGACAAUGGAUGGCAAUGCGGAGCGAGCUAUGUGGGUCAGUCCGCAGCCCGUUAGUAAAAAGUGUGGGAGGACUCAGUAAUUCAACAUGUCGACCCGCUUAAGCCCGUCUCACAUAACUUGUAAUUCGCGCGGGCCAAUAAUGGGAUGGGUCGAGUUGACCCGCUGACCCGUACAAAAAAAAAAGGAACAAAAUUGUUUACUUAUGUCAAUCACCUAUGUUUAGAAAGAAAAAAAUGACAAUAAUGUUUCUUCAAAUUGGACUAAAGUAGUUUAACCAUCAUUUUUGUUUCUCUGUCUUUAUGUUCUAGGUUUAUUGCGGGAGUAUAAUCAUAUUUUCUUUUGUAUGAUGAUAAUUUAUUUUGUACUAUAACCAUAGUUGAACCAUUAAUUUUAAUUAUAUGUUUAUUCUAUAUUUUUUGACAAGAUCUUAAUUUGCAAACACAGGUUCAAUUUUUUAUUCAAUUAUAAUCAAUUUAUAUUCAAUAUUUUUUAUAAUUUUUCAAUAGCCAUGCAAAAAGUAAAAAAUAUUUUGAUUAAAUUCUUUUAUAUUCAAUUUUUCAUAAAUAAACAUUUUUAUUGUAUUUCUUAAAAAAAUAUUGUAUGCGGGUUGACCCGCAAACCUGUGGGCUGACCCUUAUGCGGGGCAGGGUAGAGAAAUUAGUCUGCAUUCACUACACGGGAUGAGUCAACCCAUACCGCAUUUUGCAGGCCAAAUGCGGGGCGGGCCAACUCGCAUUGCCGUCAAGUUGGACACAAAAAUAAAUGUCAAAUAUUGUGUCCAAUAUGGAGACCUUUAACUCACACUAAAAAUUAUUAAAAUAAUUAUAAGUUAGUGUCUGGAAUGGGAAAACAAAGUGGAUGCAAGUUAAAAAUUAUAAUAAGAAUAAUAAUAAGUUAGCGUUUAGAAUGAAGACAAAAAUUAUAUGCAAUAAAAAAAAUAAGUUGCAAAAUGAUACAUGGAACACAAAGUGAAUGCAAGUUAGUAUUUUAUUACAUUUAUAGUAGAUCUAGACAACACUAAGGUGACGUGGACGUUUAUUGUCACCUUAGCCCACACUAAGUUAUUUAAUGAGAGAAAAAAAACAUUAAAACAUUUUUGUCUCAUUUUCAUUUUCUCACAUUUUCAAUUUCGCUCUUUUGUCUUACUAUUAAAACUCAUAAUCCCAAAAUUCCUACGUCUCCUUCGUGGUCAUUUCGCUCUCCUUAUUGUUUGUUAGGCUUGGUUUAUCAAGUCACCCGCUAUCGGGUCAUUAUCAGACCACCCAUAUUAUAUAGUCACACACGAGUUGCUAGCCUCGGCGUAAGGGGUGUGUUGGAGAUCUCAUAUCUUAUAAACUGGUUUUAUGAGGUUGAGUUAGGCAUAAAGUUCACUUCUUAAUAAUUAUUUAAUUUUAUAUCUAUUUUAGUGUCUCUCAAACCUACGCUGUAGUUAAAUAAUAUAUUUUUUAUGUAGGCUUAGCCAACAGUACAUUGUAAAUUUGUGUCCCAUUAAAGGCCGUUUCUAAUGCAUGAUUACCAAAAGAUUAACUUUCAUUUCUAUUGGGACACUAAACCCGCACUAGUUCCAAGUAACGUCUUUCUUUUUCUCUUUGUGUUGUUCUUUUAGAGACUCUAUCAUCCUUAUUUCUGGUAGGGAGAAAAAAAAAAGUGUUUAAGAUUGUAUAAAUAUGCAUAAGAUAUAAAAUGUUGUAUUUGUAUUUUCAUUAAUGAAAAGUUGCAUCUACAUUCACAUUUUGAAAAAUUUAUGUAUAACGUGCAUUGGUUUAUUAAUUUGAUGAUUAUUUUUUCAAUUACUUAAUAUUUACAUUUGAAACUUUUAUGUAAAACAUGCUUUGGUAUAUUAAUUUCAUGAGUAAUUUUUUCAAUUACCUAAUAUUUAUAAUAGUUAAAUGUUAACGCUCUGAAAUAAUUUUAUAAUGUAUUUAUUAUUUUUGGUUUAAAGGAUAGUCAUCUAUAUAUAAAUUUGGCCUAUAGCUAUGAUAUAUUGAAUAAAAUAUUCAAGUUUAUUAUUUAAUGAAAAAACUUCACUAAUUUCAAAAUACGUCAAAUAUAAAUUAUGGAACAAUGUACUUGAGAAUACAUUCUAGAUUUGUUGUUUAUGGAAGUUUGAAAUUAUUGUUUUAAUGAUGGUUUAUGAAUUAGAUAUUUUGAAACAACUUUUUUCAAGCUAUAUUUUAAAAUAGACAAUCUGAAACUACAUCUGAAGGUAUAUUAUAAAAUCUAGAAUAUAUUUUAUGUAAUUUAUAACCAUGUUUUGAAUUCUAAAUUUACUUAAUUUAUAAUUAUAUUAAGAAUUUUAUAAUCCAUAAUUUUAUUAUGAAUUACUUAAUUUAGAAUCAUAUUUUAUAUUUUGAAUUUUAAAAAUUAAAAUUAUAUUUUAUAUUUCGUAAUACAAUAACAUGCCAAAAUUUCCAUCUUGUUAACAUAAUAACAUUAGUCAAAAACACAAAUAGUCCAAGUUUAUUUCUGUAAUUUAUUAGGCCUGAAUUUAAUUUUUGCAUUUCACUUUGAUCCUUCGACAAUUAUUUCACUCGCUCUCAUCCACAACUUAUUUUUAAUACUAAUUUUUCAAAUUGUCGAAGUUUAGUUUAUUUGAUUUAGAACUAGGAAAAGAUGGAUGAUUUAAUCACAAAAUUUAGUUAAACAAAGCCAUGCUGAAGAAUCCAUAAAUAACUUUUGAUUUAGAUGUUAGCUAUAUUUUUUUCAAAUUAUUUAAUGAUUUUUUAAAAUUGGGUAUCUAAUAAAUUAAAUAUUUUAAUUUAACUAUUUUAUGUUUUCUGUCUCAAUUAAUUUAAUACUUAUUAGUUUAUUUCACGUGUCACACAACUUAUAAAUUUUGAACCUUGAUCAUAUUAUUAGGUUUCAUGAGAUUAACAAAAAUGUAUUGGUUGUGUUGAUAAAAUAAAAUCAAAAUAUAAAAAAAAAUCAAAAGCUUAAAUCAAAAUAAAUAUUUUAUUUAAAACCUUAAAUAUGUUUGAUGUAUUAAGCAUUCAAUUUUUUAAAAAUUGGUUAUAUAUUAACAACUUAUAAAUUUAGAUACAAUACCCUUAUAUAUUCUUAAAAAGGAAAAGACUUUAAAUUUAUCCAAAAACAAAUUCAAUGAAAGUUGGCAUAAAAUUCUCCCUGGUAGGAUACUAAUUAUGAGAUUCUAUCAUUAUUAAAUUAAUUGCAUAUAAUUGGGUACAAUAUUAUAUACAAUAAUUGCAUAUAAUUUAAUUAUUAUUAUUUUCUUAAUAUUCCGUCAAGUUGGCAGGGGAAGAUAAUGAACCCCAACUUGUGUCGUAGCGUCAAAAACCAUUCCUUGCUCAGUGUCUUCAUAAAAAUAUAUGCGAGUUGAUACUGUGUCGAUACAUAUGAAGGACUGAUUAUCACAGCUUGUAAUUUUUCUCGCACAAUGUGGCAGUAUAUCUCAAUGUAUUUUGUGCGUUCAUGAAAUACUGGAUUUGUUGCUAUAUGUAAUGCCGCUUGAUUGUCACAAAAAAGUUGAGCUGACAAGUUACAUGACACCUUUAAAUCCUGCAAUAGAUAUCGCAAUCAAACUAUCUCCAAACAAGUAUUGGCCAUCGCGCGCGGUAUUCUGCUUUCGCUGAUGAUCUUGAUACGUUUGUCUUCCCCAGUCUGAGUCGCAAUAAGUUGUCAAUGUCAGAUUGUUUUUGGAUAGCAAUAACCAUCCUUAUCCUGGUGAUCCUUUGAUGUACUUUAGGACUCGAAUUGCGGCAUCCCAAUGAGGUUUUCGUGGAUCUUGUAUAUAUUGACUUAGGGUCUGAACCGAAAAUACUAUGUCAGGCCGAGUAACUGUGAGGUAUAUCAGUCGUCCCACGAGUUGCCUGUAUUUGACUGGAUCCUUUAAUAAUUCUCCACAGGUGUGAGUUUUAGGUAUUGUUUGGAAAUUUGUCUAGACGAGCACCUGUGAGUCUCGUAUCCUACAAAAUAUCAAGCGCAUAUUUUCUUUGGGACAUGUAAAUACCAACUUUGGAACGGGAAAAUUCAAUCCCUAGAAAAUAUUUUAGGUCUUCAAGAUCUUUAAUGCGAAAUUGUUGUAAUAAACAAUCUGAAUUUCUGUCAAAUCAUUGUAUGUCAAAAGAAUAUCAUCCACAUAAAUCAAAAGGGCAGUAAAUAAUGAGUUAUUUUGUCUUGUGAAUAGAGAGUAAUCUGACUCUUGAAAUCCUAUAGAUUUAAUCCCAUGAGAAAAUGUUGAAAACCAUGUCCGAGAUGCUUGUUUGAGACCAUAAAGGAUUUGUUGAGUCGACAUACAAUGUUCUCCCUCUAUCGAUGAUGCCGGGUGGCAAGUCCAUGUAAAUAAUUUCAUGCAAUGUGCCAUGUAAGAAGGCAUUUUGCACAUCUAGCUGGUGAAUAAAUUAAUUGUUGGCUGCUGCAAUGGUGAGGAGACACCUUAAAGUUGUUAAUUUUGUUGUUGGUGAAAAAGUUUCAGAAUAAUUGACACCUUCAAUAUGAGUGUACCCUUUGCGACAAGGCGCGCCUUAUAUCUGUCGAUGUUACCAUCUGAGUUGCACUUUAUUUUAUAGACCCAUUUGCAUCCGAUGGGUUUCUGCCCAACGGGUAACGGUGUCAAGGUCCGAUUUAGCUGCAAGGCAGAAAGCUCUUCGUCCAUUGUUUUUUGCCAAUUUGGAUCAAGGAUAGCUUGAGCAUAAGUGUGAGGUUCUUUGGUGGCUGUGAUGUUAGCAAGAUAUGCACUAUGUGUAGAAGAAAAUCGUGAAUUAGAAAGAAAAUGAUGCAUAGGAUACCUGGUUCCAUUCAGUUGAUCUUGGGCAGUGGUCAAAUGAUUGGCUUGGGAUCCGUUAUGUAGUUUUGAAGCCAGGAAGGUGGGGUUGAUGUGCGACUGGAUCGUCGAACAGGAAGGUCGGUUUGAGAAGGUUUGGUAAUGGGUGUUAGACUUCUUGGCAUGGGAGUAAAAGGUUGGUCUACUGGAGGUUCAGGUGUAUUAUGACGAGUAGGAGAAGAAGGUUGGUUUGAUGGAGGUUCAGGUGCAUUGUGAUGAGUAAGAGAAGAAGGUUGAUCGAGUGAAUGUUGGACAGAAGUGGGUAAGUCAAUGUCAAUAGUGGGCAAAAUACCUUGUGAUGGAGGUGAGGAUUGUGUCUGUGACUGUUGGCAGAAUGGGAAAACACUUUCAUGGAAGAUGACAUCUCGACUUGUAAAAAAAGUGUUUGCAUCUAUAUCAAAUAAUUUGUAUGCUUUUUUAUUGAGAGGAUAACCAAUGAAGAUGCAUUGUCAAGCGCGCGGAUCAAAUUUUUGCUUAGGUGAACCAAAAGUUGCAUAACAUCUGAAAAGGUGAUUUAUUUUUUAGUAAAGGUGUUGGCAAGCGAUUAAUGAUAUAUGUGGCGGUUAAAAUGUAUUCCCCAAAAUUCUAAUGGUAAAUGGGACUGAAAUAAGAGGACUGGUGCUGUGUUAAAAAUGUGUCUAUGUUUGCGUUCUACUACUCCAUUUUGUUGAGGAGUGUAGACAUUCAAUACCUUUUUUGAGAAAAAAAUUACACAUAGAAAUAAAUUUCAAUCCGUUGUCAACACGGAUGGUUUUAACAGAUGCCUGAAAUUGAUUUUGUGCAAAAGUAAUGAAUGAAUCUGAGAGAUGUUGGGUUUCAGACUUGUGAUUCAUAAGAAAUAAUCAAGUACAUCUAGUAUAGUCAUCAACAUAGUGAGAAAAAAACGUUUUCCCAAAAUGAGUUGGGGUUUUAUAAGGACCAAGUGUCACCAUGCAAUAGAUUAAAUGAUGAGAUUUUAUUGUGCUUAAAGGAAAGGGUAGCCUUGUCUGUUUAGCUUUGGGAUAAAUAGUACAAUUAUUUUGAAUGGGAAUGAUGCAAGUUGUAGACACGCCGGAGAAGGAUGUCCAAGGCGCUUGUGCCAUAAAUCAGGGUCGGUCGAUAUUUGAGAUGCGUGGACUUGGUUUGGAAGAGGGACAUGUAAUAUAAGUCUGUGUGUUGUUUACCCGAGUCAAUCAUCCUCCCCGUAGUCAAGUCCUGCAAAAUGCAACCUGUGCACAACAAUUUAGUGAACUGGUUAUCUUACUAACAGACAUGAGAUUUAAAUUAAAAGAAAGAACACAAAGAACAUUUUUUAGAGUGACUUUGCCAUUGAAUUUAAUUGUGUCCAUAGAUGAAAUGGGUGCAGUUGAGCCUGUGGGCAGAUUAACAUUUGAAAUAAAUGUUGAUGAAGUGUGUGUGAAAAAUUGUGAAUCAGAUGAUUGCUCCACUAUCCAAAAUUGUGAUUGGUUGCUCCACUAUCCAAAAUCCAUGGUUUCGUAAAAGCAGACCUGCAGAGCUAACAAACGUGUCACUUUUAAAUAGUCUUUGCCAAUUGUUGAAUUUGCUCGGCACUGAAGCCUUGUACGAGGUUUCUAUCAGACUCGUUAUUGAUGCCUUUUUUGCCAGACGAUCUUUUAUUUAAGGGAUAAAAAUGGAGAGGCUGUCAGGGCACCAAGAUCGGUGCUCUAAUACAAUAUAAGAAAAUGAUUAAAAAAAAUGGUAAGAAGAAGAGAUGUUUCUUAUUCUCUUAUGUGUAUGGUUACAUCAUGAAAUAUAAACUAAAUUUAUAAACAAAAAUAAUUAGUUGAUAUAGUGACUAAAUUAGAGACCAUUUUAGGGACUAAAUAAAUUUUUGGUUUCUAAAUUAAUUUCUAUUAUUGUUAAAUGGUUUCUAAAUUGGUAUCUAAUUAACAACUAAAGUUUUUGUUACCAAAUUUAGAAUCUAAAUAAUUGGUAGUUAAAACAUUGGUAGCUAAUUAAAUACCAAUUUAGAAACUAUUUAACAAUAAUAGAAACUAAUUUAAAAACUAAUUUUUUUUUAGUUUCUAAAAUGAUUUCUAAUUUAGUUACUAUUGCAACUAAUUAUUUUGGUAUUUAAAAUUUAGUUUCUAUUUGAUGAUUUUCUUGUAGUGUACUUAAAUUGACUUUCUUAAGAUUUUUUUAAAAGUUUCUUCUUACCCUGUACAAUUAUUUUAGCAUAAUUUUAGAAUGUUUUCUCGACCAAAAUAUAAAUAAGCUUAAAAUAACUAAAUGAGUACUAUUAUAUUAUAAAUAGAAUACCUAGAUUACUAAAGUAAAAAAGAAAUUAUAUGGUUUUAACUAUAAAUUAUAUAGAUCCUAAUUUUUUUUUAAAAAACUUUGGUAGCUAAUUAGAUAUCAAUUUAGAAACUAUUUAUCAAUAAUAGAAACUAAUUUAGAAACCAAAUUUUUUUUAGGGUCUCUAAUUUAGUCACUAUAACAACUAAUUAUAUUUUGUCUCUAAUAUUUUUAGUUGUAGUACAAUUUUCACUUCAACAAAAAUUUCUUCGCUUGAGUGAAAAUUGGGUUGAGACUAAGCUUAGUUGAAAUAAUAUUUUUGCUUGAACAAAAAUUUCUCUACUUGAGCGAAAAAUCCAUCGUUUGAAUGAAAAUUCCUUCGCUUGAGCGAAAAUAAGAUUGAGACUAAGAUUUUGAUUUCUAUUCUAUUUUAGUUUGACGGAAAAAUAUAAGAAUUUAUGUCUCGUUCAAUAGACUCACAUAAUCCUAAAACAAAAUUCAAAGUCAUUACUCUACAUUAAUAUAAAAUUUUGCAACUUUUGGAUAAUCAAAGGACUUUUAUGGUUUUAAAAUGAUUAAAUAUAACAUGUAUUAUCAUUAAAAUCACAAUUCAUCAAAGACAUUAAACUUCAAAUUCAACUCACAAUCAAUCAACUACUUUUCCAAUUGGUUAAGCUUCAAAUAUUUUUUAUUAAUCAACAUCUAUUUUACUCAACAAACAAACCUAAAGUUCUAUUGAAAAAUAAAACUAACUUUCCUUACGAGAUUAGAAGUACGAGUACUCACAAAGAACUCCAACUUCUAAAAAAACAAAGAUAACCUAACAUGCACCACACAAUUUUGAUCAAUGAUCUGAACACACCACUAGGUUCCCAAACUAACAAAAACUCAUACUAAAGUUAUAAACACUACAUGCAAAUCAUGUCUACCCAAUUAAACAAACAAACAAACUCAAAAUCGACUCAGAAAAAAAAAUACAAGAAAGAAACUUAUUCUAAAUAAAAUUAUGAUUGAACAAUUUUAUUUGAGUCACUACCAAAAGUCUAAAAGUGACAUCUAAUCGUCAAUCUCACGAAGAAUAAAGUCAAAUUUCUAGAAGGAAGCAAAUAUAUAUAUAUAUAUAUAUAUAUUUAUAGAAAUAAUGAUUAUUUUAAUUUUGAAAACUAACUAAUUUUUUAAUUCUGAAACUAUUUUCUAAAUUCUUACAAUAAAUAUAUAUUAUUAAACAUUUAUAUUGUAUUAAAUUUAUCAGUAUUUAAAGAUGUAAACAUUCAUAUCACUAAAAUCAUGAAAUAGAAACUAAUUUGUAGAAACCAAAAUAAUUAGUUGCAAUAGUAACUAAAUUAGAGACCAUUUUAGAAACUAAAAAGAAAUUUGGUUUCUAAAUUAGUUUCUAUUAUUUUCUAUUAUUGUUAAAUAGUUUCUAAAUUGGUAUCUAAUUAGCAACCAAGGUUUUUGCUACCAAAUUUAGAAACUAAAUAAUUGGUAGUUAAAACCUUAGUUGCUAANNNNNNNNNNNNNNNNNNNNNNNNNNNNNNNNNNNNNNNNNNNNNNNNNNNNNNNNNNNNNNNNNNNNNNNNNNNNNNNNNNNNNNNNNNNNNNNNNNNNAAGGUCUCGUCAUUCCUGUCGUUCGGCCAUGUCCCCGAGGGUCUUGACAUCUCGGUCGUUCGGCCAUCUUUCCGUAGGUUUCGACCAUUCGGUCGUUCGGCCUCGCCCAGUACCGGUUCUCUAUCCUAUAUAAGUCGAGACCAACAUCGUCUACUACCAGUUUAUGGCCAUGUUACUGCUUAAGGAAAAAGUUACCCCAGGUUAUCACAUAGACGCGAUGAUGUACCCUAGCUUUAAGUUUUUGAGUUAAGUGGGGAGCCGCUUAACUUUGUUUUAACUGCUAAAUGCUUAAUUAGGAGGUCUAUGUAUAAGGGUUGGAACACCCCUAAAGUGUUUCAUUUUAUUCUAUUAAUUCGUUGCUGAUCAAAAAAAAAAAACAUAGCCCUCCUAAUUAAGCAUUUAGCAAUUAAAACAGAGUUAAGCGGCUCCCCACUUAACUCAAAAACUUAAAGCUAGUCAGAGUUACAUUGCCUUACAAAGUUGGUCUCGAAACAUAGCCUUACAUAGCCUUACAUAGCCUUACAUAGCCUUACAUAGCCUUAAAAACGGCUCCCCUCCUAAUCAUUGUGUUUUUGCAGCAACAAGGCCAGAACUGGGCGAGGCCGACCGACCAAUGGUCGAGACCUUCGGAGAGUUGGCCGAACGACAGAGCUGUCGAGACCCUCGGGGACAUGGCCGAACGACAGAGGUGGCAAUACCUUCGAGGACUUGGACGAACGACCGAAGGUCAGGACCUUCGUGGACUUGGACGAACGACCGAACGUCAAGACUUUCCCAUAGACCUUCUGCGCAAACUUUGUUGCUAAUUAGAUACCAAUUUAGAAACUAUUUAACAAUAAUAGAA
rnacentral:lncRNA from 1 species